rnacentral:lncRNA from 1 species
CUUAGGUUAAAUAGCCUUCCUUAAUCUGAUUAGACAUGGAGUCUAGUUUGGUUAUUGAACUAAAAAAACUGCUUGAGUAGAUAUUGGUGUAUUUUGUCGGACUAACCCCUGCAGAAAAACUUUCAAUAUCGAUUUGGGAAGUCCUGAGAUAAACUCACAUCAGAGACGAAGAGAGUGACACAUGAAGUUUAACAAUUUGCACAAGAAGGACAUAGCUCAUUCAUCAUAGAGAGAUGAUCCAUGGAGGGUGCCACAAACACGACGCACAACCGCUAAGAAAGGAAAGCUUCCACAAGAUGAUACUAUACCAUCACUCUUCGAGCAAGGUAACAUCUUAAGGUACUUGACUAUCACUUUAUAAGCUUCUCCUUGGUUCUGGCGUUCAUAUAAAUAAAAAAGACAAACGUGUAUGAUUUACAACUCUAGAUUAACCAACCCAACUGAUUCAACAUAUUUAGUCCUUUAAUCCUUGUUCUUAGUACUACCUCCAUGAUCCCACACUCUUAAUUAUAUGAGCUAAAAUGUUACACAUUCAAUCAUUGAGAGAUAUAAAGAAAAAGACAUAUACAUAGAUAGAUUAUCUUUCCAUAAGGUUGAGCGAUCUGAUCUGACAAAUGUUAUAAGUGCUACACUCAUGAACUUAUCAUCCAUCAACUUGUCUUGCUCACUAUGCUUAAGGUUAGAGAAGAAUAAAUACACUUUUGGUUCUGUUGGUGUUUUCCACCAACAGGGCCCAUGCACUUGAUCUCUGCCUUGUCUCUAUGAGCAGGUACACUACGAGCACAAACACACUGAGCAGGUUACUGCCAACGCCGCACUUCGAACUACUGGGCAAACGAAGAACAUGGGUGACACCGUAUUAAAAGGUGCAGACGUCAAGGUCCGCACCUGAAUCAAAUGACGCACCUGAAGAAUGAACACGAUGAGAAGUCUUGACAAGAAGACUUAAAACAUUGAACCCUCGCCGAAAGGUAGGAUUGGUAGUUAUCCAUAUUUAUCCUUUCUGCAUUCCCUUUUCCAUUUAAUUAUUUACUUUCCUUAAAUAGAUUAUUAGUUAAUCAUGCUAUCUUGAAAAGAAAAUAAAAAUGUUAAAAAAUACUAAGCCCCAUGUGAGUAUACGAGUGGCAUAAAACCCAUAAGUACCUUCACUGUGGUGGCAUAAAAAUAAAAUAAAUAUUUCUUUUCUACUUUAUAAAAUAAAAAUAUAAAAACAGGGAGUAAUAUUUAUUGAGGAAGCUCAACGUGAUGAAGGCUAGAUAUUUAUGCUAACACUUAAUUAGUUCCACAAGCUUUGUUGUCUAUUUGAGCUCCACAGAAUUUAAGAAUCAAGAAGACUAGCAGACGGAGGACAUUCUAAUCGCUGUCAGAAUGCUGCUGACUUUCAAAUACACCUCUGCCUCCUGCUAGCUACAUCAAGAGAAAUUACGUCAAAAUUCAGCUUGGGGGAGAGCACCCCUAUUUAUCUCGCUAAGUAUUUCUACCUAUCUUUAUACUUAUAUUAUAUUAGAAUAUUAAAAUACAUAAACUAUGAAAAACCAAAUAAAGAUUUUAUGCUUAUAUAUAUAUAUCUUUUCUUAGUUUGCUAAAUAAAUCAAUAAAUAAAUAAAUAAAUAAAUAAAUAAAGUUUGCUAUGAAUCUUAAUAAUAAAACUCUAGCAUGGAUAUGAUGAAUAGUUGCUCUGCCUAAUUUGCAAAUUUGAAGUUCUCUCUCAAGUUUAGACAUAACUGUUAUAAUUUAAAGCUUGCUCUAGAUCUAAACUUGUGGGAUGAAAACUUGAUCUGAAAUCUAAGUUGUUAACGGAUAUGAUAUGGGAAGGUUGAGCUGCUGUUUAUCUAUUCCUAGAGAUGCUAGAAUUCUGGAGAAUUUUAUCUUUGAAAAAUCUUUAAAAUAUUGCAUGAUGAGUUCCUGUAUGAUGAAAGUUUAAAUUCCUACCACAGCCAUAUAUACAUGCUUGCUAGACUUUGAGCCACACAUUUACUUACUGCUUAUGAGCAUUGAGUGUGGUCAAGCUGUGUAGACCCUUAGGAGCUUGUCAUGUGGUUAAAUCAAGAUUCACUUGCACGUUCACUCAUAUAUAUGCUACUUCUACUCCGGAAGUACCAUCCACAUAUAUCCAUCCAUUUCCAUCUCUAGAAUCACCUAAAAAUAUUCUACUCCUAAUUCGGGAGAGAAUAGCCAAAAACAUCUGUGUUUUUUCCUUGUGAAAUAAAUGCUCAAGUUAUCUCGCUACUACCACUUGCUAUAUUAUCUUAAGAGAUGAGUGCUCUGAAAAAAAAGAAGAAAAAAAAGAGAAAAGAAAAAAAAAUAAACGAGGAAAUAAAAAGGGGCAAGUGCCCGGAACCUCGAAAGAAAAGGAAAAGAGUGAGACGAGAGGUAAAAAUGGACAAGUGUCCGACAGUAGAAUUAGGGGUACAGGAUACCCAUCUGAGAGAAAAGAAAAAGAAGAGCAUCUCAUUCUCCUCAUAAAGUUUCAAAAAGCAAGGAAGGUAUGUAUCCCCUCAAAAGACCAAAAGUAGAAUUAGACUUUCACCAUUGCUAUCACCAUCAUCACCAUACACUAUGCAUUCGCCACACAUGCACAUCUUGAUUUGGCUUAUUGAUUUGUUUCUUUGGAUCUAUGGUUUGACUAUACAAUAAAUGUCUUGUAAGUAUGUAUAUUUUAUCUCCCACCUAUGAGCUCCAGAUAUUAAAGCCUUAUUAGAGUAGGGUGAGAGAGAAGACAAUGUCACUAUCCCUUAUACCACAAAUACAGAGAAGGCAUAUACCAUCACUGCCUUGGUAAGGAUCCAGAAAUACCACAAAAGAGAGAUUUAGAGAGUCAUACAAGGAAUCUCUGAGUUUUAUUUGAAAAUAUGCAAAAACUCCAGAGCUAUAGCUGAUCAAGAAUAAGAGACAUGGCACUUGGCUAGACUGUUCUAUCUUUUAACUACUCAAGACAGAAGUGACGGUUACAAGUCCCAUGGUGAAAGGUAAAGUAGGUAAGUUUUAGUUCUUGACAGUUUACUCUAACUCAGAGAUGAGAUCUUAUUUAAAAGCAUGUGUACCGUCAAAUUUCUAAGAUAUUGCAACAACUUCUGAUCCAUUGCUGAGUCUAUCCUUGCUCAGGGACGAGCAAGAGGUAAGCUUGGGGGAGUUUGUUGACGGUCCUUAAGUAUCAAAUUUAAUUAUCAAAUAAACAAAGAAAAGGAUCCAAAUGAAAUCAACAUCUAGACUUAGGGUUUUAUCUGACAUAAUUCCACGAGUUUUGGUGUUUGUCUAUUUCUGCAGGGGGGUAUCAGGAAAUAAGGAAGAAAGGCCCACACGUCGGGAUUACAUAGAGAUAUUAACGUGCCGCGCAAUUAUCUUACAUCUAGAAGACUCCAGAAGCCACGGGAAGGAAGCGGAGGCCGAGAGGGGCCAGAGGCAGGGCGCCCGCCCUGUUUCCUUGGGCGCCCGCCCACCUCCUGUGGCCAAUCACGCUCAAUCUCGCGGAUUAUGCUCCACCGACCUAAAGGAUCAAGAAUAACCGUUCAAUCAAUGUCGGUUUGAUCCGACGGCCCAGGUUCACUUGAGGGGACUAUAAAACCAGACCCCCUGGCCCCUGGAUGAGGCACCCCUUGAUCAUUAUUCAUUAUUCAUAGACAGAGCAAAAGCUAGGGUUUAGAGAUGAGAGCUCUCCUCUCUUCUCUAAACUAGAGUAGAUCUAGAUAGUAGCGAGAUGGAGAGCGAAGGAGGAUUAGAUGAGAGGCCGGCCUGUCGGUUCUUCCUCUGGUUGUACUUCGCCAUGAUCAAGCUCUAAUCAAGCUUGCUCAUGGGAUGACUCUGGUAAUCUACGUCUAAUUCAUUAUGCAAUUACUAAUUAUGUAUGUUCUGGUUCACAACUCUUUUGAGUACUUCUAAUCUAUAGGACCCUAUAAGUUAGAGUUCUAGUAUAGGUGUAAGCGUGGUGCUUAGACCUAGAUUACUUGUGGAUAUCCCCUGUCUAGCUGGAUCGUGUGGUAGGCCACGUAGGUGACAGUUACGUUGGUCCUCUGUAGUCCACCUCUCGUUAGCAGGACGGGUAGGGUUUAUCGGCCUAUGGAUAAGCAUCCUUUGUGGUGUAAUCUUAUCACGUGGUUCGUCCCAGACAUAGACAUACCCCUUUGAAGUAGAGAAACCAUAGUUAUUCUCUCUAUUCUGCUACCAUCGCCCAUAUACUAGAUUGCUCUACUCUCUAUUCCCAUAUUAUCACCUAUUGUUAUCUUACCUUUAAUAUUGUUCUUAUUCAAUUCUACUAUCUUUCCUAUUUACACCUAUCUAUCUAUCUUGGUUAAGUUAGAGCGUAGUUGGUUCUCCCGUUUCCCUGUGGAUACGAUAAAACCUUUAACCGGGUAAAAGCUUCAACGGUAUCCGUGCGCUUGCGGAUUAUCUGUGUGCGUAUAAAUACCAUAGUACACUCUAGUGCCAUGCUGGGGAUGACAACCUAGUAUUCAAGUGGUGUUAGCAAGUGUCAACAGUCGUCAGAGAGACUGCGGGAUCGAGCCCGCUCCGCCUCGAGGUCUUCGAGGGCCUUCUUCUUUACAUCCUCGGCGGCACCCCUGGCGACCUCACUGUCCACGUACACCACUUUCAUCUUCUGGAAGGAGUCGCGGAGGGAGUCCAAGUCGGUCUUGAGAAGGCCCUUCUCCUUGUCCAGGUCUGCAAUGACGCUCUUGUAGGACAGGGCCUCCUCCCGGGCUCUGGACGCGGCCUCCUCGACCGUAAGAGCCCGCUCCCGCAGCAUCGUCGUCUCCUCCUCUGCCCUCCUUGAGGCCUCUCGAGCCUCGACCAAGGCUGCCUCCCUCGCUUUCUUCUCCUCCCCGAGCGCUAUGAGGUCUUUGUAGGCCUGAAGGAGCUUCUCCUGUGACUCGAGGAGUUGAUCCUUAAGGAGGGGGAGCUGCUCCCAGCCGCAUCUCGUGGCGUGAAUGAAACUGGACUUGAUGCGGAAGGUCUCUUUCAUAUCCUGCGAACCAAGGGUCGAGCGGUUAGAGCACAAAAACCGAAAGACUCCAUGAGGGUUGAAGAUCGAAAAACACUUACGAAAUAAGCCGGCCCGAGCCCGUUGUUGAUAACGUCUGCGAGGAGCCCCACCACGUGCUUCAUCCAAAGGCGGAGCUCCUCGACGUGUUCCCACUUCUCCGCCUCCUUCCGAUCGUCCAGGAAGAUGUUAGGCUCGGACGGGUCGUGGGAGGCCCGGAUGCGGAUCCGAUCGGGGCACCAGUGCUCCAUCUCCCGGUUGGCCCGCGCCUUUACGCCACGGAUGAGGUCCUCGACGGUCUCAAUGGAACCCCCAUGGCGCAGGAACAGGUCGACGAGGCAUGGGAACCGCCCGUCGUCGUCCACCGUCUUCCAGGUACCGUCCUUGGUUCCCGACGUUCCGAUCUCAUCCUCCUCAGAAGGAAAAUGGUCCUCCCACGCCCGACGCUCCCGGAGGAACCCUGGGGCGAUCCCGUCCAUGCCGUAAAUCGUUCUCUUGAUCUCGGACUCGGGGUCAGUGGGGGUGCGCAUCAUACAGGCAAGCGCCACCACUCCAUCCGCUCGCCCCGGCUCUGCCCGGAUCGCGGCAGGUGCCCCCGGGAGGAGCCACGCUGGGGUCGGGGGGCCAUACACCGGCAGAUCCUCUUCCUGCUCGCCGGGUCCUUGCGGCUCCGGCGGUACUGGCUGGGCCGGACCUUGGGGCGGGGGCUCGAGCGGUCUCUCCUCUUGGCCCCCCUGUUGUUGCUGUUGUUGUUGCUGCUACUGUUGCUGUUGUUGCGCCUCGUGCUCCUACGGCUCUCGCCCGCGGCCCUGCUCCUACGGCUGCCGCGCCGCCUCACGCUCCCGCUCUUCAUCUUCCUCCCUCUUCUUCUUCUGCUCCUCGAGGGCGCGGAGGCCGGCGGGCCAGGGAGUCGGCCCCGCGACGUGAGAGGUCGACGCUUCCUCCUCCAUAGGGCGGGCGCCUCCAGGCAUUUCGUUACCAUCAGACGUAUCACUGAUGGUGAUGGGUUCCCCCUCGACCCCCAAUCGAGGAGGCUCGGGGGCUCCCUCCGGCACUUGCGUCUGGGGCGCCUCACCACACGCCGGCAACGACGGGGUAGGCUCGGAACGAGGCGGAGCACUCUCAGCGCCUCCUGGAGGUUGGAAGUCGGAGGAGCCUACAAAAUAAAGAAUAAAGGCCGGUGACUACGAUGGUUAGCGCAAGAGCAUCACAGAUCCCAAAGGUAAGGCACAAACCUGGCUCCUUGGAGGCGGCACCCGCUUUGAGCCUCUUCACCAUGGACGGCUGGGCCUGCUCGAGGGUCCACUUUAGCCUGAGAAAAGAAAGAAAUGAGCGCGAAAAAGAUCAGCAUAUGACGAAAGGCGGAAGAGGAGGAAGACAAAAGCCACAACAUCGAAAAGGCUUACCCCACAGGGAGAACAGCUCGCCUCCCGCCGCCCCGACCGGUGGGCCUCGAGCCACCCCACGUCAAGGCUCCAGACCCUUCGAGGGCAGGCGCUGGCCCAGGCGCGUCAGUUCCCGCCUGGCGGGCGCCGGGACUGGCGCUCCUGCGACCGGCCUCUCCUUUGUCGGAGGCCGCGGUGCGACCACGAGUCAGUGGCCCUGUCGACUGGGACCUAGCGUGGCCACCCGUCUUGGGCACGAGAGGAGGGCGCGGGGCGACCUGACCAGCCGCGGGCGUAGGAGGGGUGUCGGCGCGCGGACGGUGGGAUCCGCCUGGACCCCCCAUCGGAACUUCCGUCCGAGGAGCGUCGACAUCACCUCGAGGUGGACCCUCGAGGAUUCGGUCAAGGCGUGACGCCAUCCUCUCGGAAUCGUCGCUGUCGUCGUCGUCAUCAUCAUCGUCGUUGGCGGAUUCUUCCUCAGGCUCCCCCCUCUGCCUGGAUUUGGCUCGACACGCCUCUAACGCUUGACGGUCGAGGUUCUUCUUCUUCUCCCCCUUCUUGGCAGAGUCCUUGGCGGACUUUAGCUUUUUAGCGGAUUAGCGCCGUUUGUCGCGAUCGACCUGGUCCUCCUUUACCGGAGGCCUCGAGGACCGGACGUCAAUCCGUCCCUGUCGAAAUAAAGGCAGACUUAGAAAAUAAAAAGAGAGGGGAAGAAAAGAAACCCAUAAUCGAGGCUGCGCGCAUGGAGAAAACAUACCAGAUCGAUCGAGCCAGCAUCUGGCCUCAUGGGGAAGCCGUUAACGUGCUCCGGCUGAAAAUCAUCGGCAAUUGCAGCCCUGACUUGGGCCGCGACUUCGUGAUCCGCCGGAGCCUCGUUGGACAUCCGGCAUGCCUCGAGGUCCCGAGAUGAGAUGCCAGGGCCCAUCUCAUCCAUCCUCAACGGCCGAGACAUCAAAGGGAGAACUCUCCGGUGAUGGACGGCCGAGAGGACGAGGGCGGCGGUCAAGCCUUCGGAGCGCAGCUUCUUCAUGGCGUCGAGGAGGGGGUCGAGCCGAGAUUGAUGAGCUUGGACGACGCCGUAUGUCCAGUCCGCUGGACGCUCCAUGAUCAGACGGCCCAAGUAGGAAGGCAGGAGGUUGUCGUCGUUCCGCAGGUAAAACCACUGGGAGUCCCAGCCAGGGUGGUUGGUCGAUAACCCUACCGGGAUGUACUCCCGUGGCCUGUCCGUCUUCCCCGUCUUCUGCACAAGGUUGAGGCAUCCCGCCCGCACGGGCUACCUUACGCCCGUGGUUUCGGUGGGGGCAUGGAAAAGCUCGCCCCUGUAGAGGUGGAGCCACAGCUCCCAGUGCGGCAUCAUCCCCAAGUAGCCCUCACACACGGCGGCGAAGACCGCCGCGACGGUGAUGGCGUUCGGGGAGAAGUGCUGGAGCUCCACCCCAUAGUGGAAGCAGAGGGCUCGCAUGAAGCGGGUAGGGGGCGCGCCCAGGCUGUGGCGGUGGAACUUGGCGAACGACACCACGUAGCCCUCGGGCGGCUGGGGCUCCCUGUGAUUCACCGGCGGCGCGAUCCACUCUGGCGACGAUAACGAGGUACGGCGGCGCAGCAGUCCCUCUUUCUCGAGCUCUAACAACCGGCGCUCCGUCAUCGACGACGGGCGCCAGUCGUCGGCGGCGACGAGUCUUACAGGCAUCACGACCGGAGGGACGGUGGACCCGCUACUGCUCGAGGAGUCGUGUGCGCGUGAGACGGCGAGAGAGCUAGGGCGGCAAGAAGGCUAAGGCAAGAGUGAAGAUGGGAGGCGGAAGAAAGAACGGCGGCGGUGCCACGGCGUAUUUAUAAGCCAAGAUCCGCCAACGGACAGAUCCGAGAAAUGAGGUAACGUCCCCCCAUAAAUGCGCUACCUAACAGUCUUUCCCCCUUCACAGGCCGGGCGCUCCGAAUUCCACACCGAUACAAUGUCAUAACGUCACCCGCCUAAAAAGGUGCACCCAACGGGCAAAAAGGCGAACCGCCACGGCCACUUCCUUCCCUUGUAAGCCAAGGGGCGUACCCGCGAAAGCCUCGAGAGGUCGCAGGCUGGCCCACCGAAAGGGUUCGACAGCCGAUCUCGAGCACCAGAGUCAGGGAUCUCCAGCGAGCGGUCGAAGAUCGAGGCCCGCCUCGAAGACUUGCUGGCGAUGUCCAAGGUAGAGUCGAGACAGUCGAGAGGAAUCCCCCCGACGGGAGGCAUCGAGCCGCUGGACUCUAUCGAAUGAGACCGGUAUCCCCGACCACGUCAACCCGGCUUUAUGAGAACGCCUCCGGGCUACAGCUGACCCCCUCAAAAAGGGCACAGGUUCUCACUUGGACUACCCGCUAGGAACUCAAUCUGGGGUGGAAGACGCUCGCUCUAUCGAGAGUACGUCGAAACCUCCUUGUAAGGCAAAGCCGAUCAGAACCUUCCACCACUGGUGUCGAUAGUGUUUCUGCGAAUUUGGCAAAAUAACCCUCGAAGGAGUUAAAAACUCCCUCGAGGGCUCGGGGGCUACCCCCGCGGGGUCGCUCGCGCGCCCCCACGGAAGUCCGACCGUAAAAGCAAAAGUCUCCACUCGAGCGCCAGCGCUCGAAUGGAGACUCGGGGGCUACUGUCGAGGGUAUCAACAAGGGGUAUCCUCACCAAAGCAUAAAACAAGGUUAUCCGUACGUAGGACGAGGCCCUCGAUUCGACGCUCCAUCCGUACGUAUGCGCAGCCAUCGACGGCCACAGCCUCGAAGACGGAAAUAGCGUCGAGCGAAUUAAUCAGGCGUCGAGCUCUGGUUACCAUCGAAUACGGAGCAGGCUCACACGAACCGGAAGGCGUCGAGCGCAAGGACGCCGCCCGCCGCCUGACGCGCGCACGCGAGCCGGGGCAUUAAAUGCGCCUGAUGCUUCCCCACCUAACACACGGGUCACAGGAGGCGUGAUAGGGAACAGGCAUCCGUCCCAUCGAUCUUUUUGCAGCCUUCCCCACCAAACAGCCCAGGGCGUGUCAGGACGUGGGAAACAGAGAUGGCACAUCUAACCAAGGUCAGCGCUCCGACAUCAGGACGAUGUACGGUGUCCGACCCUCGACUUAAUGUGGUUCCUUCCUGGGGACGGGUCGGACGUCGACUGGCCACGCCGCAACCACUCCGCUAGUUUUGCCGCCAAACCGUACGAGCGUGCGACCGUUGAACCAGUACAAGACGGCACGCAGAGCAGAAUGCAGGGGCACGUGUAAUCAUCACCAGGCUAUUAAGACGGGACGGCUCGAGGCCAUGCCGGUACGGAAGCCUCGAGUAGGUCAGCGCUCCAUACUGCUAUCGACUCCUAUUCUGACGCCUAUACAUGUACCCUGGGUCUCUCCUUGGAACUAUAAAAGGAGGGACUCAGGAAUAGAACACACGGGACAUCACCACGCAAUACUACACACAUACGCAGUAGAACACACAUACCACACCACGCCUGUAUUCACCCCUAUACAAGCACUUAGGUGCAAGAUAAUACAAAUCUCUCUCCCCCGCUGGACGUAGGGCCUUCUCUUGCCCGAACCAGGAUAAAUCUCUGUGUCUUCUUGCAUCACCAUCUGGAAAAGGGAGCACGCAUACAAAUUUACUCGUUGGUGUGACCCCCCGUGGGGAAAACGCCGACAAAUGGAUUUCCAAUAUCGUUCCAGUUUACAAGAAAAAUGGGAAGCUUUGUGUCUCAUUGAUUUCAUGAAUCUUAACAAGGCUACGCCGAUGGACGGUUAUCCUAUGCCAGUUGCUGAUUUGCUAGUUGAUGCUGCAGCUGGACAUCGGAUCAUUAGCUUUAUGGAUGGCAAUGCAGUAUAUAAUCAAAUAUUCAUGGCUGAAGAAGAUAUUUCAAAAACCACAUUUAGAUGUCCUGGUCAUGUUGGGUUGUUCGAAUGGAUAGUCAUGACCUUUGGUUUGAAAAAUGUUGGUGCUACUUAUCAGAGGGCUAUGAAUUUUAUCUUUCAUGAGUUCAUCGGCAAGCUGGUGGAAAUUUACAUUGAUGAUGUGGUGGUUAAGUCUGAGGAUUUCACAAAACAUCUUACCGAUCUGCGAAAGGUGUUGGAGUGCACAAGAAAACAUGGUUUGAAGAUGAAUCCUAAUAAUUGUGCGUUUGGUGUAUCGGCAGGUCAAUUUCUUGGUUUCAUGGUGCAUCAGAGGGGAAUUGAAAUUAGUAGCAGAUCUAUUGAUGUCAUUAACAAAAUAGUUGCUCCCACCAACAAGACUGAACUCCAAUCUCUGAUCGGCAAGGUAAAUUUGAUCAGGCGAUUUAUAUCUAACUUGUCUGGUAAAAUUCGUGCUUUUAGUCCUUUACUUAAGUUGAAAGCCAAUCAAAAGUUUGUAUGGGGAAGAGAGCAACAGUUAGCGUUGGACGAAAUCAAGAAUUAUUUGACAAAUCCUCGAGUUCUAAUUCCACCUCAACAUGGAAAACCCUUCAAUUGUAUUUGUCCACCGAUGAUAUGGUCAUCGGUUCGGCUUUAAUUCAAGAAUUUGAAGGGAAGGAGUGUGUGAUUUAUUAUUUAAGCAGAAGACUGGUUGAUGCUGAGACCAGGUAUUCGGCAAUUGAAAAAUUGUGUUUAUGCUUAUACUUUUCAUGUAUUAAGUUGAGACAUUAUCUGCUAUCGGCCGAAUGCACUGUUAUAUGCAAAGAUGAUGUAGUCCGAUACAUGCUAUCUAUACCGAUUAUGAGUGGUAGAAUCGGCAAAUGGAUUUUGGCGCUGUCGGAAUUUGAUCUGCGUUAUGAAUCGGCUAAGGCAGUUAAGGGGCACAUUAUGGCCGAUUUUGUGACUCAGCAUUGCGGUGUAAUGGGGACUUUGGAGAUUGUUCCUUGGACGCUCUUCUUUGAUGGAUUCACGUGUGACCGGGGGGCAUGAAUCGGUAUAGUGCUAAUUUCUCCUCAAGGAAAGAAGUAUGAGUUCUCUUUGCCGAUUGUUGCUACGUCAACAAAUAAUCAGGCUGAAUACCAAGCUCUGAUCAAAGGGCUAGAAUUAUCAAAAGAAGUUCAUGCAGAUGCUGUUGAGAUCUUCGGCGAUUCUAUGCUUGUUAUAAAUCAAGUGGCUGGGACUUAUGAAUGCCGAAGUGAGGUCUUGAUAACCUAUUAUGAAAAGAGUAUGCAACUAUUGAAGGAAUUCAAGGAUUUCCGAUUAGAGCAUGUUCCUCGAUUACAUAAUGAAGAGGCUAAUCGGUUGGCUCAGCAUGCCUCGGGAUAUCAACCCAUCUUGGAUAUAUUAUCGGCAAUCAGUGCCGAUGAUUGGAGAAAAGAAAUCAUUGAUUACUUAAAGGAUCCAUCUAAAAAGGUUGAGAGGCGUGUUAGGUUUCAAGCUACCAAAUAUGUACUCCUUGAGGAUGAGUUAUAUUAUCAGACAACAGAUGGAGUUCUACUCAAGUGCCGAGGCGAUGACGUGGCUAAAAGUUUGAUGGGUGAGAUCCAUGAAGGAGUAUGUGGAGCGCAUCAGUCGGCUUUUAAGAUGAAAUGGAUGAUUAGGAGAAACGGGUAUUAUUGGCCGACUAUACUCGAGAAUUGCUUUAAAUAUUUUAAAGGAUGUCAAGGAUGUCAGAAAUUUGGCAAUAUUCAAACGGCACCCGCAUCGGCCAUGAAUCCUAUUAUUAAGCCUUGGCCAUUCCGGGGAUGGGCUAUUCAUCUAAUCAGCCAGAUUUAUCCACCAUCAAGCAAGGGGCAUAAGUUCAUCUUAGUUUCUACUGAUUAUUUUACUAAGUGGGUUGAAGCUAUUCCUUUGAAGAAAGUAACAUCAGCCAACAUGAUUGAUUUUGUGAAAGAACACAUUGUCUACCGAUUUGGUAUUCCUCAAAUGAUUACUACCGAUCAGGGUACUAUGUCACAUCGGGAGAGUUUGAUGAAUUUGCAGUAGGUAUGGGGAUUAAAGUGUUGAAUUCUUCUCCUUAUUAUGCUCAAGCCAAUGGGCAGGCCGAAGCAUCUAACAAAGGAAUUAUUAAGCUCAUCAAACGAAAGAUUGAAGAAAAUCCUAGGAGGUGGCAUACAUUGUUGAAUGAAGCUUUAUGGUCAUAUCGGAUGGCAUCGACCAAAGUUUCACCUUAUCAGUUAGUGUAUGGACACGAUGCAGUGCUAUCAUGGGAAAUUAAGGCUGGAUCUAGGCGAAUAUCUUUUCAAGAUCAAUUAGCUGCCGAUGACUGUGCUACUUUGAUGAAAGAUGAGUUAGACGGUUUGGCAGAGCAUCGGCUGGGAGCUUUGAUAAGUAUAGAAGAAAAUAAAAAGAGAGUUGCUAGAUGGUAUGAUAAAAAGGUAAAAGCUAAGGAGUUUGCCGAUGGAGAUUUGGUAUCGAAUUUGAUUUUACCGGUUGGGACUAAAAGUUCAAAAUUUGAAAAAUGGUCUCCUAAUUGUGAGGGUCCUUAUCAGAUAAAUCGGUCUGCUCCUGGUAAUGUUUAUAUUUUAGAGACUCUCGAAGGAGUUGAAUUUCCUAGAACAUUGAAUGGAAAAUAUUUAAAGAGAUAUUACCCAAGCAUCUGGGUCGAUGCAUAAAACUUUAAGUGUCGAUAACACUCCUAUCGGCUGGAUAAAAUGUAUUUGGGGCUGUGCAUAAUGUUUCAAAAGGGGCCGAUAACAGUCCUAUCGGCUAGACCAGAGUGAUCACAAGUUCAGUAGAGCCUGAAUAGUGGAUAUGGCCCGCAGACGGAUCUGGUCGGCUUCUUCUAUCUCUCGGAUGUCUUCAUCGGCAGAACCCUCCACUGGUUUCAACUUCUUUUUCAUCUGUAGUGCCUUGCGAGCUUGGAUAUUUCGCUCUUGCUGCAUAGUCUUGAGCAUCUUAGGCAGUUGGCUUUCUUCUUGUUGAGCUUGGGUCAGGGCUUCUUCCACUUGUUUGAGCUCAGCCAGCAAAGCCUCCUUUUUUGCCGAUAGGGUGGAGAUCUUUUGCUUCAAAUCAUCUUCUAAGGACUGCAAGAUGACGAUGCUUUUAUGCUUCUCAUCGGCAAGGCGUUUCACUUGCAUUACUUCCUCUAAGAGCUGGGCAUGGGUGGCCCUGUCGGCAAGACGCUGGGUAGCCUUUUGAUACUGAAGCUCAUGGCUUUCCAAGUGUGCAGCUUGGAAAAGAACCUCUUCGGCAUCGGCUGGAAUUUGACCACGAAUAGCCUUCAAUAGAGCUUUGGCUGGAUCAGAAUCAUCAACCAAUUGAGUAGUGUCCUGGUGUAGCAGGGCCAGUAGGUCUUCCAGUUUGGCUCUGAUUUCUGCCGAUGAGAUCCCUAUUGCUUGGGAGGAGCUUGCUUCCUUGCCCUCAUCAUCGGAAAUCUAGAUGGUGAAGGAGAAUAAGCUAUCCAGGGAGUCUUGUUCUUGAAAGAAAAUAAGAUGAGUUAUUUGAUGAUUAAAUAUUAAUGAUAUAAAGGAUGGAAAUCAAAUAACUUACUUGCUUCAGAGCUAUCUCACGCCUCUGGCUGGUGGAUGCCGCUGGUAUCACAGGUUGACCGACUGGAGUUGCCAAUCGAACAAUAUCAACUGAGAAAUAAUAAGGAUAAUUAUAAUUUGAAAAAAAUAAAUCCAUCGGUGAUAGUUUUAUGAGCAAUACUUUACCUUGAGGGGGUGCGGUGCUUGUCUGUUCUGAAGAGACUACCGAUGAUAUGAUUGGAUCCGCUGGAUCGGCAGUCUGCUCAAGCACAUCGGCUGAUGUUUCUUGUGGCUGAGGUGAUGGUUGAGGAGGAGAUGGUGCUUGCUGUGUCUAGAUUUCUGGUGAAGAGGGGGACGAUUCCACAUGAAUCGGCGACACUGGACGAGGAGAAGAAGGUGGCGCUGUCUUUUGGCGUUUUGGUUGCGACUUAGUGCUCUUGGGGCCUUUUCUCUUGACUUGGCUAGACUAGGGGGCAUCGGCACUUGUCUUGGUACUUCUGGUCUUUGCCGAUUUACCAGUUUGCCGUUACAAUAAGCAAGGUUUCAUGAGUCUAAAUAUGAGAAAAUGUUGAUAAAAAUCUUGUUAAAACGUAAAAGUUACCGAUGAGGUUCCCAUUGCAGCCGAUGUAUCCUGAAAAAAUUGUGUAAGUAUAGAAUGGAAUAGGUAUAAAUUGAAGGGGUCAAAAGAUCUACCUUGAAAGCUUGUGCCAGUGUAGCAGCAGCAACCGUUGGGGACGUCUUUGGCCGCCUGGUGGUUAUCUUCUUAAAACGCACAUUCCGGUGCAUUAGAGCUGCCAGGCUUGGUGCGUUGUUGCCAAUCAAAGAAAUCAGGCCUGAUGGAAGGAGCUCGAUCGGCUUUCCACUCCUGCUGACUAUUGGUGGUGUGUUGUCAACCUGUUCAGAAAAGAAGAAGUGAGUUACCGAUGAUAAUAAAAGCAACAAAAGAGCUAAGGUAUCAGUUGAAGACUUACAAUGUUAUCGGGGACCUUGUACUUGGGGUCGAUCAUGCCGUGAUAUGUCAGAGCCGAUGUGCAGAACAGAUGCUCUUUCCACUCUUCCCACCACUGUUUGUAUGCUUGAGUGAUGAAGAGGGCCGGGAUCCAAGCCGAUAGAUCGAUGUCUGACGUAUCGGCAUUUGGUGGAAGCUGGGCUAUCCUGAUCCAUUCAAGACCGCUGGUUAUCGUUUCCCUUGGUUUCACCACAUCGGCAUAACUCAGACCAAUCGGCAGCUGUCCAAAAGCCAGUUGAUGAGCUAGUGCCGAUGGAUUGUAGAACUCAUAGGUAGGGUUGGAAGUUUUCCCACUGCCGAAGAUAUUCACUGGUAUAGCUCUCGGAGUGAUAAUUACCAUCAUCAGAUCAUGUUCCUUGUAGAGGGCAUCAUCAAAAGGGUGGAAAGUGAGCAGGAAUCUGGUUUCUGGAUCCUCAUAAGGCAUCCAUGCCCGUUGAUCUUUGACCAGACCCUCAUAGAGAGUUUGGAAGAAUCGGCUGACCUGGUCUUCGUUGCAACCAGUGCCAGGUAAGACUAUGGCAGCUUCACCAUAGUUCAGAGGUGAGCGAGUUGCUGAUUCUUCAUCAGCUAGUUCAUGAUCUUCGGCUAUGUCUCUGGGAAAGCGUUGUGCAAAGAGGUCAAAUCCAAGGCGCUUAUGCAUGUGAACACUGAGCCACAUAUUGAUGAACCACCAAGGUCCUCCUAAGUUGCCGAUGUGUUGGCCUAGCAAAAGCUUCUCGGCUACUUGGUGAAGAAGAUGAUAAACAGAGCCUAACAAGUAUCGGCCAACGGGAAAACGACCAGCGUUCGCUAGUUUUUCUGCUGCCGAUAGAUAAACAGAAGUUGGUCCUGCCGAUCAGCCGCAAAACACAAAUUUAUCUAGCCACAUGUUCAAAAAGAUGGCGUGUUCCCUUUGCCCAACUGGUCCUGUUUUUCGGUACUUCUAAAUGUACCCUGACCAGCCGUCGAUGCUACGAGUUUCUACUUUGCGCUCAGGCUUACUAUCAAACAGGUGGCUAUCAUCGGUAGUUGCUAUUUCUAGACCAGUAAGCAUAAGCACAUCGGCCAAGGUAGGGGAUGCAGGGCCAUGGCCAAAUAUGAAAGCAUUAAGGGUAUCUGACAAGAAGUAUGAAGCAACUAUCAACAGUGAUUCAUUCCUCUCCAUAUCGGCAAUGGAUAGCCUAAUGCACUGAUCUAGUCUGCGCUCACCCCAUUGGACUUCGUUCGAGUUGCCGAUUCUCAAGAACCAGUCUUUCCACCCCUUAGUAGAACUGGGCCAGGAAUGAAAAGUGUCUUUUCACAGAUCAAAAGAAAAGUUUUUAGCUCUAAAGGGGAUCCUAGUUGUCUCUGCAUUUAUCAAAUCGGUAGGAUCUGGGUUUCCCAAUGGACCAAGACACUGAAAGUGGGGUUGAUCGGUAGGAAUCACAAUCUUAUCGGCCAAUUCCUAAAAGGUUUGAAGGUUGGAAGAACGGAAAAGAAACAAAGAAGAGAAAAAUGUACUCAGUAAAUAGGUUCGUAGAGGAAUAGGAGUGCAACAAGAGUAUGGUAAAAAGAAGAAAGGGGGUGUUGAGUUGACCUUAGGGACGACGAAGUUGAUGGCCAUUUCUUCUUGAGAAGAGGAAAGAAUCAAAGACCCGGAAGAUUGUUGGAGGCGAUCCUUGCCGGAGUUCUUGAAGUUCUAGAACAGUGCCACCGCCAGGAAGGUGGGUUUGAGGCUGUAGAAUGACAGGAUGGAAGAAGAGUACCGGAGAAGGAAGUAUUUAUAGGAAAAAGAGGGCAGGGGCAAAUCUGACUUAUCUCUUCGUUGCAUCCGAGAAAUCUGAGGGUGUUUAGGUGGAUAUGGUAACUGUUUGCACGGUAAUCAAGGGAUUGCGUAGAUGAUUUGACAGCAAGCGGUCAUGAUUUUGGAGAUAUCUUACUGUGCAAGAUCUCCUGGUCGGUUCAUCGAUAGUCUCCUCUAACGAAAAUGUUGCCAAUGAACGUAUUCUGAGGAGAUUCGGUUCGAGAAGUUGAGAGAUUCGAGGUAUGUGCUGGAAGACCGGGCUGAGGUUGUUUGGAUUUGGUGAUUAAUUACUGACCGGAAGGAGUAAUUGCGGAAAGGCAUCAUUACUAAGGAGAAUUUCGAAGCAUUAAUGAUUUUAUACUCCAAAAUUGGGGGGGUAUGUGUUGACACCGUUUUUGGACAUGUAUCUUUGGACGCGUAUCUAGAGUUAAUGAGGUGUAGAUCGGCAGGCAGGAAAGUGGUGGUUAGUCUACAGAAGAGUUGCCGAUGAGGGUUGGUGCCGAUGGGAAAACGACAGGAUAUGGCUAAGUCUAGGAGUGGUGAUGGAUUCGUGCCGAUGACUGGUGUUGAUGGUUGCCGAUGGCUAUGAGAGGUGGCUUGCCGAUGGUCAUGGAGAAAGGUGUAGGGGUUGUCGAUCGACUCAUGGCGGUGUACCGAUCGGUUGUGGCGGAUGAUUUAAUGUUUUUUAUAGUUAUUAGAGUUUAUUUUGUAUACGGAUUCCGUUCAAUUUGGAAUUCGAGUCCUAGUCGCGUCUGGUUGUAACUCUUUAGAACAUGGUAUAAAUGUAGACCCCAUGGCAAUGUAAUGAAUAUACACAAUCAAUCAAACAUAAGUUUUUACAUCUAUUCCAGCAUCUACUUUUCGACAAUUUCGUCAUAUUUUCUUUUUAUCUACGAGUUCUCAGGGAUUUAUCGAGUCAAUCUCGACAAGUUCUCGAGUUCCGCGUGGACACCUCUUGGCCGUGACAUCCGGGCGCAUCGCUGUUGUCAGGACCAAAGUGUUCGACUUACCACCUUUGUCGAUUGUAAGGUCAAAUCGGCUGGCACGCCUUAACGUUUGAAUCGGGCAUUAGCCCUUUGUGUUUGCAGAUCAGCUUUUGCACCAACAAUCUGAAUAGAUCAUUCUAAUCCAUGCUAGUGUCAUAGACUGGAGUACUCUAGAGAUAUCCUUUAUCAUUCUAUCUUUGAUUAUCAUUCAUAUUCAUUAUAUAUAUAUUUAUCAUGUGACUUACCUCUGUAUUAAGUUAGAUAGAUAAUAUGUGGUUGCCCUCGAGAGAAUACAUGCAAGUGAUAUCUAUCUCCUCUCCUUUCCUUCCCAUGAGUAGAAUUAUAAAUACGAUACCUGGAACUUUCCUAGAUGAAAUGCUACAAUGGUUAUAUCUAUGCGCUUGCGGAUACCUUAUUCUUUAUUCAUCAUUCUAAGAGAGCACUGCAUAUUUACUACCACCAGUGUAUUUCUUGUGUCAUGCUGGGGAUAACAACCUGGCCACUAAGGAUAGAGUCUUUACUCCACUCGCAUUUCUGGAACCAUGCUAGGAUAGGGUUUAAACUCUACUUGUAGUAAGCGACAUAAGAAAUACCAACACCCUCAAAAUUUGGAGGCCCAGAACAGGGGCACACUUUGCACCUGCUGAUAUAUGGGGCUCCUAUGCGGCUGUUGCACAUGAACUCAAUGAACUAUUUAGACCCACCAAAAGGAAUUUUGUUCCUUUCAAGCUCUGUAUGCUAUUGGUAGUCUUAGUCUGAUAUUCUCAAGUUAUUUAGCUAUGCCUGCUCUGUGAAAUUCAGUUCUAGUGGCUGUAAUGGGAGAGAAACCCAUAGAAUUAGCUGAAGAUCUAAUUGCUGCACUAAAGGAUUUUAUUGCUUAUGGGUUCUCUAGCCUGGACUUAUAUAAGUAUUUAAUUGUACUGGAUGAAAGAAAUUGGCCUCAGGGUAACAAAUGAGUUCUUGGACAUUUACAAGCUUAGAUAUGAAUGUAAAGGGCAGGCAAGUGGAUUGUUGGGGGCAAAUUAACUUGUAAACCCUAAACUUCUUUGAGAGACCAAAUUUAGACAAAAUUCUAACCUUGGGUUAAUCCCAACAACAUUCAAGAUAUCAACUUGAGAUUCAAUCGGAGUAUCAGACCAGACUAUAGUUAGAACAUGGGAUUGGCACCAAUUGGUUCAACAAAGGAGGAAAAAAUGAUGGGUGUUGUAUCAUUGCAACAACAAUGACCUAUCAUGACAAAUAUGUGUGGAUGGACAUAAAUAUGAACGUAAGGAGCUCACUGUAUGAUACAUACCUGCAUCAUCCUCCUCCCCUACCAAAACCGACGUACUCUCCAUGCCUAGCUCCCCUGCAAUGCAGUCUCCAUGCUCUCCUCCACCACCGAAGCCACCCCCACAGUGUACGUGCACGCAAUCUUCACCUCUAUUGCCACCACCGCCGCCUCCUAUUCAAAGCAAUCCCCUUGUGCCCCGCUGUUUAGCCGUGCAAUCCCCAUGCGCCUAUCGUUGCCGUCGUCUAGGCCUUAACCUGACCCAACCUGAAUUUUAACCGGGCCUGAUCCAACCUUGAAUUUUAACCAUGCCCGUACUUCAAAAAGAAACAAACAGUCAAAACAAUCUUAACCGGCUGAAAGGGUCAACACUUAACCUAACUGCUUUAUUAAUGGAGAGUAAGAAAUCGAUGGAUGUUUGUUGUACAUUGACUAUAUAAUGCUCUCUGUUUUCCUUCAAUGUUGUCUCACUUUAUAUUAUAAUAAACAAAUAAAAUAAAAAUCUAAAAUAAAUUUUAUAAAAAUAAACAAAUGCUCAUAAUUAAGUAUGCUUAUUUCAGUCAAAAAUUAAGUAUUCUUACUGAAAAUGAUGUUGGUGGGGUUCACGACAUCCUGAUUCAUGGCCACCUCACCGAUGAGCACCGCGGUGCUAGUGCACGCCAUGUCGGAUGGCGAGAGGCGCUUGUCCUAGUCGUAGGCAAUGAUCCUUGAGUGGUCGUCCUGCCACACGGUAGCACACGGUGUGGUCCAAGCAUGAUUGAUUAUGGUGGUGCAUAUAGGGUCAAACAUGGGUAUUAUAGCUAGAAAAACAAAAAAAUAUGGUGGUGCAUAACUGGGAGCAAGCAGGAAUCCACUAGAGAGAGAAGGAAGAAGUAUCAGCCCAUGCAUGGCAGCCUACUGCAGUUCAUCACAGGUCCUCUGCUACCUAUUUUUGCCCCACACGUGCUCCCCUACACGAGCAAGCUUUCUCGCUCGCUCAUGUGCUCGCAUCAGCCACCGAGCCAUGUCAAUUCAAGCUUCACCGUCAUCGAAUCGACCAUGCUGAAAACCCCCAUAAUUGAUGAAAUCCUAGUACUAACCUCUAUAUGUAAAUCCAAUUUUAAGGACAAAACCAGAUAUACACCAUAUGUCAGUCUUAGAAGUCAAAUCUCACAUAUAGCUACAAAUAAGGGUAAUAUCAAAAGACAAUGCGUAAAUAUAUAACGUACUUAGUAUAAAAGAGAUAACCUUUAUUAGCAAACAGCGGAUAGACAACUCCGAACUUCGGGUAUUAACUUCUCUCUACAGGAUCCAACUGACUGGUUGAUCACAAGCCUAACACCACCUGAAGUGUGGGGAAAUAGCAAGAGUGAGUCCAUGUCGAACUCCACAAGUAUAGCAACUAGAUUGUAUAGCUCCAACAAUCUCAUGAUCAAUGUGACAUAAAUAAUGUAGAGCAUUAAACAAUAAAUAAUGAGUAUUUUAACACAACAAGAGUCAUCACCGUUGAUGCAAGAAUCCCCAAGGCCGCUACUGACCGUGAACUCGGCUAGUAUACCAGUUUUUAACACUCUGCAGAGGUUGUACAUCUUUAUCCAUGAGUCAUGAUUUACCCUUUCGCCUGAGGUGAUCAACCUCUUAACCCACUUCCAAGGAAGGUCGGCAGGGAUCACUAUGAGGCCUUUCAAAAGUUUGUCUAACAUGUUAGGGCCGCAAGGUUUCCUUCGCGAGCAGAUAUAGAUACCCCCUUCCAAAUGGCACAAUGACGCGCAGCCUAUACACAUAGGGACAGGGGCUCGCACUAUACCCGUGUCGGUUCAGCCCCUCUAGCGCCCUUUCGGGUAACCUCUAACAAGCUAGAAAAAGUCUUCAUACUGAGCUAAAGCCAGAGCCAUUAUAGCCCUCAUGGUUGCACUGUUGUCCCGGUUAUCACUUACAGAUAAAUCAUCAAGUGGCUAAAAAAUUAUUUUUAUCAUUUAUUACUUAACAUUAAUCUAGUCACAGGAUCAUGGUCACAGAAAUAAAAUCCAAAUGCUAUACUUGCCUUAAUCCAGUUGCUCUUGCUAGUCCUGCUGGUUGUCAAGGUACUGAUCUUAACAUCCGAAGUAGCACUCUUGAUCACCCACGAAUUGCUCACCGUCUAGCUCGAUCAUCGAUCAUCAACACACAAACAAUCGAGGCCAAACACACACGAAGCAAACAAGAGAGCUAAAUUAGAACAGUACACCAAUUCAAUAAAAAGGUUCCAAAACUAAUCUAUAUGUAUUGCUACGAACACAAAGACGUGAAAAGUACUCUAAUUUGAUCUACGGUCAUGAAAACGCAAGAAACAUCGAGAUCGAAGUUACGAUGUAAAAGGAACAAUUGCCAAAAAAAAAUUAUAUCGUAAAAAGACAACUAUGAGCUUGAUUUAAACUGAUUAAGAAAAACAAUGUGAGUAACAUUAAUUAAAUGAAAUAAAACAUAUUUACACUUAAUAUUGAGUUGACGCUAAUCAUAUAUUUUUAUAAAGGUUAUACACCUAAUUCACUAAAUAUGGUAUUAAGCUUUAUCUUUGCUAAUUGCAAAAGAAAUAAACAUGUGAGAGCAUCUAAUCCAAUUCAAAUUUUGUAGUCCGAAUAUUGUACAUGAAGAAUGCUUGACUAAAUAAUUUAUAAGGUUCACAUAGGAUUAUGUUAGUAACUUAUCAUAUAUGAAAAAAAACACCCAAGUUGAUUUUUACCUCCACUCUCACAUCAGGUUCUUGAUCUCCUCCAGACACGUGCGAAGCAACAGUGCUGAAGUGCACCACAACCACGCUAGGAGCUGACAACGGCUGAUCUGAUUAGCGACGUGCAGGACGUGGCAGAUCGGACUGCACUUCGAUGGAACAGCUGCAGCAGAAGCUUUUGUAGAUCGAAACACGCCGAGCUUGCCUGCUUCACGCGAAAUCCGCCUUGGACCCAGAUAUCGAGUCGCCGAGUGCUCGACACGGAAAAAGAAACUUCACGCCGCACAACAGCGGUAUCUGUAGACGCGAUUCGUUGAUCCUGUUCUACUCGAACUCGGAAUUCUGCCUCCCACGCUUAGGUGCACACAUCCUGGUCGCCGAUUCAGAGAACAAAUGGCUCCUAAGUUCGGUAACGGCGGCGGCGGCGGCGGACAAGAAUAAAACCCUAGUCUUUUUUUAAUCUCCCUCUUUAGGAUUUAUAAGAAUUAUUUUACAUAGAUAUUGAGCAUUAAAAAAAUAUGUUUUAUUAUUUUCGAAUUUAAUUAAUUUCAUGGAUAAAAUAAAUUCCAGAAGUCUAGAAUUAUUAUUUAAACUGUGAAAAAUAUUCUGGAAGCUCUGAAAAUUCGGAGAAAAUUCUCAAAGAUAUUAUGGAACAUGAGGAACUCAAAUAAAAUAUUUGGAGCUCAUGAUAAGAUAAUUUGGAGCAUUUAAAAAUUAGAUUAUGCUCCACGGAAAAGGCCAGAAAAAUUUCCGAGAAGUUUAUAGAGAUUGUUUGACGGAUGAGGAACUGAAAGGAGUGACUUAGGUUUGAAAGAAAAGAUUCUCUUGAGCUGAGGGACAAGGAAUUUGAUUGUAGAAAAAAAAUAUAAAUAUGUGCCGAAGAAGAAAGAUCGAUCUAAUAAACGUAUUUUAAAUAUUUUUCUCACUAUCAACACGCAAAGGAGAAACAAUCAAACAUUACACCAAACCUUAUGCACCAGCAUGUAUGCACAACAAUAUUGCUAAACCUUAUGAUAAAUUUUAAUUUAAUGAAAACUAUUAUUUUUCUAUAUUUUUAUGAGCACAAAAAUUCAUAGUUAAAUCAUUUUAGCUCUAAUUCCCAGAAAUCAAUUUUUAGGGUGUUACACUAUACUAAGUGUGUGUAGACUUAAUGAACUUGGUACAUGCCAAGUGAUGGAGCAAGUGGUGAUCACGGUGGUGAUGGUGAUGACAACAAGAUGAUCAAGUGCUCAACUUGGAAAAGAAGAAAGAGAAAAACAAAACCCUAUGGAGAUCAAGGCAAAGGUAUUGCUUAGGAUUUUUGGCUUUGGUGAUUAAGAUACCAUAGAGGGUGUGAUCACAUUUAGGAUAGAUAGCCAUACUAUUAAGAGGGGCGAUCUCGUGGUCAAAACGGUUAUCUAUGUGCCACUAGGUGAUUGGAUUCCUUGCAUAUGCAUUAGCACCUAGUGAUCUAAUGAGUUAACCCUUGAAAAAUGUUUGUGAAAAUUGCUAACACACAUGCACAAGUGUUGUGACACUUUGGUGUUGGCAUAUGGAAGCAAGGAAAUAAGUUGGCAUAUGUAAGCACAUAACAAGAAUAAAAAAGCUCACUCCUUGUUAUUAGAAGAAAACAAGGAAAAGUUUGAGAAUGAGACUCUCAAAAGAGAGGUGGAUGAGCUCACUCACGCCCUAGGCAAAGCCUAUGGUGGUGAGGCCCGCUUGCUAAAGUGCUUGGGUAGCCAAAGGUUUUCUCUCAACAAAAAGAGGGAUUAGGCUAUACUCCCAAGAAAGGAAAGGCGGCCUUUGCAACUCACAAAACUAGUUUUGUGAAGAGCAAUGGUCGGUAUUGCAACAAAUGCAAGCAAGUUGGGCACCUAGAGCUUAAUUGCAAUAAAAUGAACAAGAACAAGAAAAAUGCUAAUGUAUCUUACAUUCCAUUUGAUUCUUGUUAUGUGCUUACCAAGGGUGAGAAGGGUGUGCAUGCUAAGUUUGAUGGUACACCAAUUGUGGGUCCAAAGAAGAAGGCCAUUUAGGUACCAAAGAGUUUAGUCACUAACCUCCAAGGACCCAAAUAAUUAUGGGUACCUAAGAAACAUUGAUUUCUUUUGUAGGUAAAUUAUAAAGCCGGAGGAAGACAUUAGGUGCUUGACAGUGGGUGCACAGAACACAUGACCGGUGAUGCAAGAAUGUUCAAUUCAAUCAAUCCAAAUGAUGACAAUGGUGUUGAUAGUAUCACAUUUGGUGAUAAUGGUAAAGGCAAGGUCAAAGGGCUCGGCAAAAUUGCUAUAUCCAAUGACUUGAGCAUUUCCAAUGUGCUACUAGUAGAGAUCUUGAACUUCAAUUUGCUAUCCGUAGCUCAACUUUGUGAUCUUGGUUUCAAAUGCAUAUUUGGAGUUGAUGAUGUAGAGAUCAUAAGUGUAGAUGGCUCAAACUUGAUAUUCAAAGGCUUUAGAUAUGAGAAUCUAUACUUGGUUGAUUUCAAUGCUAGUGAAGCUCAAUUAUGAACAUGCUUGCUCACUAAAUCUAGUAUGGGUUGGUUAUGGCAUAGAAGGCUUGGUCAUGUUGGAAUGAAACAAUUAAACAAGUUAGUCAAGCAUGAUCUUAUUAGAUGCUUAAAAGAUGUCACAAUUGAGAAAGACAAGCUUUGUAGUGCAUGUCAAGCCGGAAAGCAAGUUGGCAACACUUAUCCCAAGAAGAGCAUCAUGAGUACAUGCAAGGCAUUUGAGUUGUUGCACAUGGAUCGAUUUGGUCCAACUACAUACACAAGCAUUGGUGGAAAUAAAUAUGAAUUUGUGAUAAGGAUGAUUUCACAAGAUACACAUGGGUAUUCUUUCUUAGUGACAAGAGUGAUGCUUUUGCAACCUUCAAAACAUUUGUCAAGAGAAUACACAAUGAGUUUGAAACAACCAUUAAGAAAGUGAGAAGUGACAAUGGGAGUGAAUUCAAGAAUAUAAGAGUUGAUGAGCUUUGUGAUGAAUUUGGCAUUAGGCAUCAAUUCUCGGCCAAGUACACUACACAAUCAAAUGGUCAUAUUGAGAGAAAGAAUAGAACCUUGAUUGACAUGGCAAGAUCAAUGUUGAGUGAGUAUAAUGUGAGUCAUUCCUUUUGGGCCAAAGCAAUCAACACGGCUUGCUACUAUAGCAACCGACUCUAUUGUCACCCAAUGAUGGAGAAGACUCCAUAUGAGCUCUUGAAUGGAAGAAAGCCCAACAUUGCGUACUUUUAGGUUUUUGUUGCAAAUGGUACAUAUUGAAGAAAGGCACUAGAUUGAGCAAAUUUGAAAAGAAAUGUGAUCAAAGGUUUCUUGCUUGAUUACUCUACUGCUAGCAAAGCUUAUAGAGUUUUGAAUUUGGCUAGUGGUACUCUUGAGGAAGUGCAUGAUGUUGAGUUUGAUGAAACCAAUGGUUCUCAAGAGGAAGAUGAGAAUAUAGAUGAUGUGAGAGGCACUCAAUUGGCCGAUGCAAUGAAGAAUAUGGAUAUUGGUGAUUUAAGGCGUAGAGAGGUGAUUGAUGUUGAAGAUGACAAAGAUCAAGUGCUUCCUACCUCUAAUAUGCAAGCUAGUGGUUCUCAUGAUCAAAAUCAAGCUAGUGUAAGUUGUACUCAAGUGCAAGAUCAACAAGCUAGUACAUCAUCUCAUGAUCAACCAAGUGCAAGCAAUCAAGUGCAAAUACUCCAACCAACAAACAUUGCAAGAGAUCAUCCAUUGGAUCAUAUCAUUGGUGACAUUCAAAGAGGAGUGCAAACUAGAUCAAGACUAGCAUCAUUUUUUGAGCAUUUCUCCUUUGUGUCUCACAUUGAGCCAAAGAAGAUUGAUGAAGCAUUGAGAGAUGUUGAUUGGGUUAAUGCUAUGCAUGACGAGCUCAACAACUUCAAGAGAAAUCAAGUAUGGGAAUUAGUUGAGAGGCCUAGUGAUCACAAUGUCAUUGGUACUAGAUGGGUCUUUCGCAACAAGCAAGAUCAAGAUGCGAUAGUUGUAAGGAACAAAGCAAGAUUGGUAGCACAAGGUUAUACUCAAGUUGAAGGUCUUGACUUUGGUGAAACAUAUGCCCCGGUUGCAAGAUUGGAAGCAAUUAAGAUCUUGUUGGCCUAUGCUUGUGCACAUAAUAUCAAGUUAUAUCAAAUGGAUGUGAAGAGUGCAUUUCUCAAUGGCUAUAUCAAUGAAGAAGUUUAUGUUGAGCAACCUCCCGGAUUUGAAGAUGACAAGAAACCCAACCAUGUUUACAAGCUAAGAAAGGCAUUGUAUGGUUUGAAGCAAGCACCAAGAGCAUGGUAUGAGAGAUUGAGAAACUUCUUACUCUCUAAAGGUUUCAAGAUGGGCAAGGUUGACACCACUCUCUUCACCAAGAAGAUUGGCAAAGACUUGUUUGUGUUGCAAAUAUAUGUUGAUGUUAUCAUAUUUGGAUCAACCAACCAAGAAUUUUGUGAGGAGUUUGGGGAACGUGAUGGCUAAUGAGUUUGAGAUGUCAAUGAUUGGAGAACUUAGCUACUUCCUUGGUCUUGAAAUCAAGCAAAUUGAAGUAUGGCACAUUUGUAUGUCAAGGCAAGUACAUAAAAGACAUGCUCAAGAAGUUUGGUAUGGAUGAUGCAAAAUCAAUUAGCACUCCAAUGGGAAUAAAUGGAAGCCUAGAUAGUGAUACAAGUGGAAAUAUGGUGGAUCAAAAGUUGUAUCGGUCUAUGAUUGGAAGCUUACUCUAUGUGACCGCAUCAAGACCGGAUGUCAUGUUUAAUGUAUGCAUGUGUGCAAGAUAUCAAUCCUCACCAAGAGAAAGUCAUUUGAAAGCAACAAAGAGAAUAUUGAGGUACUUGAAGCAUACACAAAAUGUUGGUUUGUGGUAUCUCAAAGGUGCAAAGUUUGAACUUGUUGGAUAUUCUGAUUUGGACUAUGUGGGAUGCAAAGUUGGAAGAAGAAGCACAUCGGGCACAUGUCAACUAUUAAGAAGAUCACUUGUCUCAUGGUCAUCUAAGAAACAAAAUAGUGUUGCACUAUCAACCGCCGAAGCGGAGUACAUUGCAAUCGGUAGUUGUUGUGCACAAAUCUUAUGAAUGAAGGCAACUUUGAAGGACGUUGGAAUCAACUUCAAGCAAGUGCCAUUGCUAUGUGACAAUAAAAGUGCAGUGAAGCUCACCAACAAUCCAGUUCAACACUCAAGAACAAAGCACAUACAUGUCUGCCAUCACUUCAUAAGAGAUCAUCAACAAAAAGGGGACAUUUGCAUUGAGAGUAUAGGCACCGAUGAUCAACUUACCGAUAUAUUCACCAAGCCACUUGAUGAGAAGAGGUUUUGCAAGCUAAGGAAUGAAUUGAACAUACUUGACUUCUCAAAUGUGUUGAUGCACCCCCACUAUGUGACAUGCCUCUCCUUCGACCAAAGCAAGGUAAAAUUGAUUGACAUGACAUUCAUUCUUUGCUAAGGACUUGUUCAGUGCAUCUAGUCAUUCCUUACAUGUAUUAGGAUCAUUCAUGAAAAUCAAAUGAAUUUGAUGCUUGUAUGGUACCACUAUUGCUUCUAUGCUUGACUUGAUCUAGUGGUAGCAUAUGACAUGUUUUGUGGGCUUGCAAUCCUAGUGUUUGAUCUAGAGUAUGAGCUAUAAGUGUUUAACUCAACAUGGUACAAGAUAACCCUUAUUUGGAGGUGUGAAAAAGCUUGUCCUUGGAUCAAACCGAGUUAAAUGUCUUAGGCAAGUAAUCUAGAUUGGACCAAUUUGGGAAAAUUAUCUCACUUCACAUGGUUUCACACUAAACUAUCUAAAAUUUGAGCUCACCUUUUGUGGUCAUUGAUGGGGAGAGAUUAGAUUUUCCCAAAUAUUUGCUAAAAAGGGAAAAAUAAGAUAGGGGAGUAACAUGAUAAAAAGAAGGGGAUCAAUUAAAAUUUUUAAGCACACAAGUAGGGCGAGCAAGCUCAUAAACUUGUAUGUUGCAUUUGAAUGUGCAUCACAUAUGUUUGCUUGCAUUAGCAUUGGCUUGAGAAGCUUUCUUCCAAUACCUUGCUUGUGUGGUGUAUGCUAGUUGUAGGUUUGAUUAUUGAAAUGAAGAACUAGCAUGCAUAGGUAGUAUAACUAGACUUUUAGUUAUUUCACAAGUGGUACCAGAUGCUUGUUUAUAAUGUUGAUCUCACGGGGUGUUCUAGUUUUGUAAAUGUCUAGUUACUAAUGGUGUUAAGGAUGGUGUACAUUGGCAACUCUGAUUGGUAUCACGCUUCAAAGGUCCAUUCUUUACACCUUAGCAUCAUUUGGUAGAAAUUGACUCCUACAUUUCCUAUUCAAGCAUAUGUGCAAGCUUUCAUAUCCAAACUCUUAGCACAUAUUUAGGGGGGAGCAAUUGCUACCAAUUUGGGUUUAUGAAACUUGUCCAUAACCUUUGCACAUGGUAAAAUGCUUGGGCAAGCAACAUGAAUCUAUGAAAAAUAUAUUGCAAAUCUUUGUAAAAAGGGUUGUCAUCAAUUACCAAAAAGGGGGAGAUUGAAAGCCCUAGUUUAGUUUUGGAUAAUUGAUGAAACCCUAGUACUAACCUCUAUACUAAGUGUGUGUAGACUUAAUGAGUUUGGUACAUGCCAAGUGAUGGAGAAAGUGAUGAUCAUGGUGAUGAUGGUGAUGAAAACAAGAUGAUCAAGUGCUGUUGACACCGUUUUUGGACACGUAUCAGGAAAGAUUAAUGAAGCUUGGAUCGGCAGAUUGAAAAGUGAUGACUGGUCGACAAGGAAGUUGCUGAUGGCUUAUAAUACCGAUGAUAAAGCAGCAGGAUAAGAUUAAGUCCGGGAACGGUGGUUGAUCGGUGCUAAUGGUUGAUAUGAUGACUGUCGAUGCCGAUGAAGGACGAUAUGCCGACGAUGGUGAAGGAAGAAGUGGGAAUCGUCAGAGAGAUGAUGGUGGUGUGCCGAUCACCCAGGAUAGAUAAAGUUAUUAUUUUCUAUAAUUGUUACAGUUUGUUUUGUGUACGAGUUCUGUUUAGUUUAGAAUUAGAAUCCUAGUCGUACCUGGUUGUAACUGUUUAGGACAGGGUAUAAAUAUAAGCCUAGUAGCGAUGUAUGAAACAAUCCAAUCAACCAUACACAAUGUUUUUACAUCUAUUUUCACAUCUACUUUCGACGAUUUCGUCAACUCGCAUAUUUUCUUUUUACUUACGAGUUCUUAGGAAUCCAUCGAGUCAAACUCGACGAAUUCUUGAGUUCCGCGUGAAUACCUCUUGGCCGUGGCAUCCAGGCGCAUCGCUGUUGUCGGGACCAAAGUAUUCGAAUUAUCACCUUUGUUGGUUGUAAGAUCAAAUCGGCUGGCACGCCUUAACAUUGAAUCGGGUAUUAGCCCUUUGUGUUUGCAGAUUCACUUUUGCAUCAACACAUCUUUUGGCACACCCAGUGGGACAAAGCUAUCAACAAGAUCAACAUGUCUAACACUGAGUUCUACACGGAGAACAUCAUUGUUGUGAUGAAGGAUGAUCUCAGGGAUGAGCAGAAGCAAGCUAUGGCAAAAGCUAUGGAGGAGUACAAGCAGCUCUAUUUAAAAUCCUUCAGUGUCAAUAGGAGCGGUGACGUGAUCCAGAAGCAAGAACUGUCGAUGCCUCGGCAGAUCACUUUUAAUGCCAAUCCUAGUAAAUUGUAAGAUAUGGUUGAUAAUGCUAUUAAUCGUGCUUUGAUCAGUCAAUCCAGUAUGUUGUCUAAUACUGUUUCCAACGCUGUGGCUAGAACUUUCAAAGAAGGACAAGCACCACCAUUAUAUGUUCGCCCAGCCUAUCACCAGCCUGGGUUGUCAUCGGUUACAGCUCCAUUGGCUCCUCUGGCCGUUGCGGGUACAGAAGUUACUUCUCCUCCAAGCACAUUAGGGAUGACUAAUGGGCAAUCUACACCGAUGAGGACCAAUCCAGCGACCUCAAAAGGAUGGGUUCAACUCAACACAGAUCUAUCGGUAUCGGCAAUGUCAGGAUCUGUAUUUCAAAAUUGUCAAGUUCCUCCCAACUGGUGGGGAUAUGGUAUGCCUCCAGACUUUUUUUGCAAAUAGUUCUGGAACAUCUCAAAGUGGCUGACUUGGCAAGAAAAGCUCCUACGACAUCGGCACCUCCGGUCUCGCCGAUGACUCAAAACCCUCAGUACUCAACUACUACUACUGCAAGGCCUAUUACAGGGAACUUUCAGAUGCCAACAUUCCAAAUACCUAAUGCAUCAGUGGAUCCACUGCCGACGCACCAGAGGUUUAUGACUCAGACAGGAUAUGUCAAUCCAAUGAUGACUCCCAAUUAUCAGCCAUCGGCAGGGCCUGCGCCGAUGAAUGCCAACAAUGAGUGGACAGGGCAGUUUGUCUUUCCACAAAUGACGCAACAGAAUCAUCAGGCUGCAGGAUUCUAGUAGGGACCGAUGCAGGUUGGUUUUCAGAAUCAAGGACUAGCCAAUCAGCUGAUGAAUCUUGCUCAGCAGAUUGGUGGCCAAUAGGCUAUGGCCAAUGCUAUGUUCCCUGGAGAUCGUGCACCUCAGAGACACGUGGAAGCUUAUCAGCAGUGCCAGAACCUCAACCCGCACAUUGGCAGGAUAUCAAUGCUUAUUGGGCCGAUAAGAUAGCUGAAGUAAUGAGAGAUCAGUUUGGGAUAAAACCCAAGGCCAAUACUUAUUCUUAUCGGACACCGUAUCCUCCUGCAUACGAUUUGAUUCCACUGCCAAAUCGGUACAAAGUGCCAGAUUUUACUAAAUUCUCUGGUCAAGAUGACACGUCAACUAUGGAACGUGUCAACAGGUUCAUCAUCCAGUGUGGAGAAGCUGCUAACAGAGAUGAAUUAAGAGUUUGUUUAUUUUCAACAUCUUUGUCGAGAUCGGCAUUUACUUGGUUUAUUUCUCUACCUCCAAACUCAGUAAUUACUUGGGCCAUUCAAGAGAAGUAGUUCCACAAGUAUUUCUUCUCUGGGGUUCAUGAGAACAAAAUUACUGAUUUAGUAAGGCUGAGGCAACGCAAUGAUGAGUCAGUUGAAAGCUUUGUGCAGAGGUUGCUGGAUGUCAAGAGCAAAUGCUUCAGUCUGGUUCUAGAUGAUCGGCAGCUAGCCAAUUUGGCUUUCUAGGGAUUAUUGCCACACAUUAAAGACAAAUAUGCUUCUCAAGAGUUUGAGAGUUUGAGUCAUUUGGUGUAGAGGAUUUCUAACCAAGAUAUCGAGACUUUUGAACCUAGGAGAGCAUGGAAUAUGAAAGUAUUGUUUGUUGACGAGGCAAUGAGUUCUGAUUCACAUGAAGAACCAGUCAUCAGCUUGGUAGAGUGGGUGAAAAACAAAACGCUGAUGUCUUGUCCUUUUGGCCAGAAAGAACCAGAGAAAUUUGCUUUUGAUAUCACUAAAGCCGAUAGGAUAUUUGAUUUCUUGCUUCAGGAGGGGCAAAUUAAAUUGUCACCUAAUCAUGUGAUUCCAUCGGCAGAAGAGUUGAAGAAGAUCAAGUAUUGCAAGUGGCAUAAUGCAACAUCUCACAGCACAAAUGAGUGCAAGGUGUUUAGGCAACAAUUGCAAUCGGCUAUAGAAUCUGGGAGGAUUAAGUUUGAUAAUUCCACGGCUCAGAAGCCGAUGAAGUUUGAUCAACACCCUUUUCCUGCAAACAUGCUAGCUGAGAACCAAGGGUAAAACUAAAGUCUUAACAUCAGAGGUAGCUGACAAGAGCGCAUCAGUGGAUCCCCAGCAUCAGAUCACUACCGAUGACGCCAAGGGCAAAGGCUUGAUCCAGGAGGGCAGCAGCUCUGGAAGGCCUCCUCGAUCUGGUAUUAUGAUCACCCAUAGGUGGCAUCGGGAGACAUGGCAACAACGAGAAGAUCGGUAUCGCCGUCAGCAAGAGGAUUGAUGCCGAGAAGAAGAAAGACGCCGACAAGAGUGGAAUCGGCAUAAAGAUCACUGGAAUUGUCUGUUCUUUAUUCACUAUUGGGAGCAAAAUAUCAAGUUGCCGACUGUCAGACACUACCCUGAGUGCAAUGGUUAUAUUCGGUAUAAUCGGUCAGACCGACGAUUCCAGAACAAUGAUCGACGCUUUAAUGAGCUGAUCAGGGGGACGAUGUCAGUUCACGAUCGGCUAGGGGGCAGGCUCAGCAUGCUUGAUAGGCUUGGUGAACGUGUUGGGUGUUGGGCAUUCUUAACGUCACUACCAAAAGUAGACUUAGUUUUCUAAUUCUGAUAACAGCGCCAAAAAUGCCAAACCUAUCCCUCAUGCCACUUAAGCCAAGUUGUCAUCCCCAGCAUGACAUGAAAGACGCGGUAUUGAAAUAUGCAAUUGCUCUUCUAAAUAAAUAAUGAAUGAGAUCUGCAAGCGCACAGAUUAAUACUGAUGCAGCAUUUUAACCGGAAAGCAUUUCAGGUAUCGUUAUUUAUAUUUUUACCACUAGGAAGGGAUUGCUAAACAUCAAUGUUGAUUAUGGAAUGGAAUAUGGAAUUGAGUAUCUAUCAUUGCAUGUAUAAUUGAGAGCAUUUAUCUAUCUCUUUCAUACAGGGAUAAGAGUCACAUAAAAGAUACAUAAAGUAUGAAUGGUGACAAAGAUAAUUAAUCUGAUCAGCAUAACUUAGCCACAUAUAAUAAUGAUAAGCACCUCAAUAGAUAUUCUAGCAAGUCAUUAGCAUGGAAUUAGGAUGAUCUACAAGAAUAUUUCCUAAGUUAUUCUUAACUAUAAAGUCUAGCGUAUCAUAGUUAGUGCAAUUAUACUUGGCAAUCAUUGCGAGACAGGACUACGCCCAUGCAUAGUGAUAUUAUCAAGGAAUAUUAGAAACAUAGCAAUCACUCCCCUGUAAUAAUGUUGCUCUGCUAGCCCUAUACACGAGAGGGGGACUAUAUAAGAAUCAAUGGAGCUGUCACUACCACGAACUACCCCACGAUCCGGCAUAUAGGGUACAGUCGCAGAUAAAUGCGGUAUAGGCACCACACCUACACAAUACUUAUCAUUUACCCACUGUACACAUGUAUAAACACUAUACGAUCCUAAACAUAUACAUAGUUCCAAUCUAACUAAGCCAAGUAUAUAACUAUGAUAAACUAAGAACAAUAUAAUUGCAAAUAUAAACAAGUAGAGCAAAGUCAUAAUCAAUAUAUUGAAGUAGAACAAAGUCAUAUUCAUAAUAUUGAAGAACAAAGAUAAACAAUUGAAGAACAGUAGAGGAAUUACCAAGAAUCCUCUUGACAGAUCCGGAAUCCAAUCGAAGAUUGACUCCUUCUAGUUCUAAUCCUAUGAAGCUAUGCUAAACUAGAGAUCUAAUUGAUGUUGUGGCUCUAGGGCUUGAUCAGAGACUUCUUCUCCCAAGAUGGAUAAUGAAUUAGGGUUCAGAGGUCCUCUCCUCCAGGGGCCAGGGGGUCUGCUUAUAUAGUCCUUCCAAGUGAAUGUGGGCCGUCAGAUCAAACCGACAUUAAUCGCACGGUUUUCCUUGAUCCUUUAGUUCGGUGGAGCAUGAUCCGCGAGAUUGGUUGUGAUUGGCCCCGAGGCCAGGGCAGGCGCCCAAGGGGGGAGGGCGGGCGCCCUGCCCCCGAGCCCGUCCGGUCUCCCGUUCGUUCUCGUGGCUUCUGGACUCUUCUAGAUGUAGGAUAAUUGCACGACACGCUAAUAUCUCUAUGUAAACCCGACGUAUGGGCCUUUCUUCCAUAAUUCCUGAUAACCCCCUGCAGAAAUAGACAAACACCAAAACUCGUGGAAUUCUGUCAGAUAAAACCCUAAGUCUGGGUGUCGGUUGCAUUUGGAUCCUUUUCUUUGUUUAUUUGCUGAUUAUAUUUGAUACUUCAGGACCGUCAACAUUGGGCAUUUUCUAAGGAACCAAGAGGAGCUUGAAGAGAUGGCAAAUGCAUGGGUGCCUGAUGAAUUUAUUUUCUGCAGGGAUUCUAACACCCAUCGGGUGGAAUCAAGGGAGAUACGCUAUCAACCAGCGCGGCAGAUACAGCUUCCCCAGUGGUGUCCAGAAGGAUUGAUAAGGACGCAGAAAAGGAGGAUGCAGCGUGAAAGGCAGGAAUAAUUGAAUAAGGAAGAAAAUUCUUCUAAGUCUGAAGAUCGGCAGCAGUCAAACCCCAGGGGAAAAGGGCCAUCGGCAGAUGUUAACAUGGUGUUUAUGUUGCCGAUGGAGUUUCUUGCACCUUUUAGUGAUGAUGAGGAGGUUAACUUCCCUGACCAGAUAGCUCAGUUGGCUCUUGAUCCGAUGACAGCUAUCUUUGAAAAGCCUUCCGAUGAUGAAAGACUGCAUCUUAAAGCUCUGUUUGUCAAGGGCUGGGUUGAUGGGCAGCCAAUGUCCAAGAUACUCAUUGACGGGGGAGCUGCUAUCAACAUUAUUCCAUAUGCAGUAUAUCGGAAACUUGGCAAAGGAGAUCAGGAUUUGACCAAGACCGAUAUGAUGUUGAAAGAUUUUGAAGGGAAUGUAUCCCCAGUUAAGGGAGCCAUAUGUGUUGAACUAACCAUCGGCAGCAAAACCGUACCGACAACUUUCUUUGUCAUCGGUGGAAAAGGUGCAUACAAUUUACUGUUGGGGAGAGAUUGGAUUCAUGCCAAUUGUUGUAUUCCUUCUACAAUGCACCAAUGUCUUGUUCAGUGGGUAGGUGACAAAAUUGAGAUUGUCCCUGGAGAUUCUUCGUAUGUCAUUGCCUCGGCAGAAUCAGAUACUUAUGAGAGGACUAGAUGCAUUUCAGGGGAAGUUUGGGAUAAAGAUUUUCUCAAGGUUGCCGAUUAUGAAAUUCCACCGAUCCAAGCAGUCGGUUCUGACGAAGAGUUUUAAUGGAUAGGUUCGCCGAUGAUGGAAAGUUAGGACAGGGGUUUACAUUGGCUGAUGAUCUAGUAGAAGUAGAUAUAGGUAAUGGUGAUAGACCAAGACCUACUUUUAUUAGUGCUAAGUUAGAUUUUGAGUGUAAGCAACAAUUAACCUAUCUGUUAAAGGAAUAUAAAGAUUGCUUUGCUUGGGAUUAUACCGAGAUGCCUGGUUUAGACCGAUCAAUUGUUGAACAUCAGUUGCCCAUUAAGUCUGGGUUUCGGCUGCAUCAACAGCCAGCGCGCCGAUGCAAUCCUAAUAUUCUUCCUGAUAUUAAGGCCGAGAUAACCAAACUUAUUGAAGCUAAGUUUAUUUGGCAAUGUCGGUAUGCCGAAUGGAUUUCUAAUGUUGUCCCUGUUUAUAAGAAGAAUGGGAAACUUCGUAUUUGCAUUGACUUUAGGAAUCUCAAUAAAGCUACGUUGAUGGAUGGUUAUCCAAUGCCAGUUGCUGAUUUAUUGGUUGAUGCUGCGGCUGGAUAUCAGAUUAUUAGCUUUAUGGAUGGCAAUGUUGGGUACAAUCAAAUAUUCAUGGUUGAAGAAGAUAUUCCCAAGACUGCAUUUAGAUGUCCUGGUCAUGUUGGAUUGUUUGAAUGGAUAGUUAUGACUUUUGGUUUGAAAAAUGUUGGUGCUACUUAUCAGAGGGCCAUGAAUUUUAUCUUCCACGAGUUCAUCGGCAAGUUGGUGGAAAUCUAUAUUGAUGAUGUGGUGGUUAAGUCUAGAGAUUUCAUAAAACAUCUAGCCGAUCUACGAAAAGUGUUGGAGUGCACGAGGAAACAUGGUUUAAAAAUGAAUCCUAAUAAAUGUGCAUUUGGUGUAUCGGUGGGACAAUUUCUUGGUUUUAUGGUGCAUCAAAGAGGGAUUGAAAUUAGUAGGAGAUCUAUUGAUGCCAUCAACAAAAUAGUUGCUCCCACCAAUAAAACUGAACUUCAAUCAUUGAUCGGCAAAAUUAAUUUUAUCAGACGAUUUAUAUCUAAUUUGUCGGGUAAGAUUCGUGCUUUCAGUCCUUUGCUUAAGUUAAAAGCCGAUCAAGAAUUUGUAUGGGAAAAGAAGCAACAAUUAGCCUUGGAUGAAACCAAGAAUUAUUUGACAAAUCCUCCGGUUUUGAUUCCACCUCAACAAGGAAAGCCUUUCAGAUUAUAUUUAUCUACCGAUGAGAUGGUCAUCGGUUCAGCUCUAAUUCAAGAAUUUGAAGAGAAGGAGCGAGUGAUUUAUUAUUUAAGUAGAAGAUUGGUGGAUGCUGAGACGAGGUAUUUGGCAAUUGAAAAGUUAUGCUUAUGUUUAUACUUUUAUUGUGUCAAGUUGAGGCAUUACUUGCUGUCAGCCGAAUGCACUGUUAUGUGCAAAGAUUAUGUAGUUCGGUACAUGUUAUCAGUGCCGAUUAUGAGUGGUAGAAUCGGCAAGUGGAUAUUAGCAUUAUCGGAAUUCGACUUACGUUAUGAAUUGGCUAAAGCGGUUAAAGGGCAAAUCAUGGCCGAUUUUGUAACUCAACAUUGUGGUGUAGUGGAUGCAUUGGAAAUUGUUCCUUGGACACUCUUCUUUGAUGGAUCUACAUGUGAUCGAGGGGUAGGAAUCGGUAUAGUGCUAACUUCUCCUCGGGGAAAGAAGUAUGAGUUUUCUUUGCCGAUUGUUGCCACAUCAACGAACAAUCAAGCUGAGUACCAAGCCUUGAUCAAAGGGUUGGAAUUAUUAAAGGAGGUUCAUGUCGAUGCUGUUGAAAUUUUCGAUGAUUCUAUGCUUGCUAUAAACCAGCUGGCUGGGAGUUAUGAAUGCCGAAGCAAGGUUUUGAUAGCAUAUUAUGAAAGGUGAAGGAAUUCAAGAAUUUCCGAUUAGAGCAUAUUCCUCGGUUACAUAACGAAGAAGCCAACCGACUAGCUCAACAUGCCUCGGGGUAUCAGCCUAUGUUGGAAGUAUUAUCGGCAGUCAGUGUCGAUGAUUGGAGAAGAGAAAUUAUUGAUUAUUUAAAAGAUCCGUCCAAGAAAGUUGAGAGGCGUGUCUGGUUUCAACCUACAAAGUAUGUACUCCUCGAAGAAGAGUUAUAUUACUGAACGAUCGAUGGAGUCUUGCUUAAGUGUUUGGGUGAUGAUGAAUCUAGAAGCUUGAUGGGUGAAAUUCAUGAAGGAGUGUGUGGAGCACAUCAAUCGGCUUUCAAGAUGAAGUGGAUGAUUAGAAAGAACAGAUAUUAUUGGCCGACUAUACUUGAGAAUUGUUUCAAGUAUUUCAAAGGGUGUCAAGGGUGUCAAAAGUUUGGCAAUAUUCAAAGAGCACCCGCAUCGGCUAUGAAUCCUAUUAUUAAACCUUGGUUCUGGGGUUGGGCUAUUGAUCUCAUCAGCCAGAUUUAUCCACCAUCAAGCAAAGGGCAUAAGUUUAUCUUAGUUGCCACUGAUUAUUUCACAAAGUGGGUUGAGACUAUUCCUUUGAAGAAAGUAACAUCGGCCAUCAUGAUUGAUUUUGUAAAAGAGCACAUUGUUUACCGAUUUGGUAUUCCCCAAACAAUUACUACUGAUCAGGGUACUAUGUUUACAUCAGGGGAGUUUGAUGAGUUUGCAAUUAGUAUGGGGAUUAAGGUGUUGAAUUCUUCUCCUUAUUAUGCUCAAGCUAAUGGGCAGGCCGAAGCUUCUAACAAAGAAAUUAUUAAGCUCAUUAAGCGGAAAAUUGAGGAAAAUCCUAGGAGAUGGCAUAUAUUGUUACAUGAAGCUUUGUGGUCGUAUCGAAUGGCUUGUCAUGGUUCCAAAGUGUCACCCUAUCAAUUGGUAUAUGGACAUGAUGCGGUAUUGCCAUGGGAAAUUAAAACUGGUUCUAGGCGGAUCUUUUCUCAGGAUCAACUAACUACCGAUGACUAUGCUACUUUGAUGAAAGAUGAGCUGGAUGAUUUAGCAGGGCAUUGGUUAAGAGCUUUAAUUAGCAUAGAAGAAAAUAAAAAGAGAGUUGCUAAAUGGUAUGAUAAGAGAGUAAAGGCCAAGGAGUUUGCCGAUGAAGAUUUGGUGUGGAAGCUGAUUCUACUGAUUGGGACUAAAAGUUCAAAGUUUGGAAAAUGGUCUCCUAAUUGGGAGGGUCCUUAUCGGAUAAAUCGAUCUGCUCAUGGCAAUGCUUAUAUUUUAGAAACUCUCGAAGGAGUUGAAUUCCCUAGAGCUUUAAAUGGGAAAUAUUUAAAGAAAUACUACCCGAGUAUCUGGAUUGGUGCAUGAAAGUUUAAAUGCCAAUAACAGUCCUAUCGGCUGGACGAAAUGUUAAGUGUAUCUGGAGCUAGGCAUGGAGUUUUAGUGCCGAUAACAAUCCUAUCGGCUGGAUCAAAAUGAUUGAAGUUUGAAAACAGAACUAAACAAGUUGCUGAUGAAAAUUCACAGGUUCAGCAAAGCCUGGUUGGUCGAUAUUGCGCGCAGACGAAUCUGGUUGGCCUCUUCUAUUUCUCGAGUGUCUUCAUCGGCAGAGCCCUCCACUAGUUUCAACUUCUUCUUCAUGUGCAACGCUUUUCGGGCUUGGACAUCUCUCUCUUGUUGAAGAGUUUUGAGCGCAUCGGACAGCUGGCUUUCUUCUUGCUGAGCUUGAGUCAGGGCCUCUUCCACUUGCUUGAGUUCAGCUAGCAGGGCUUCUCUUUUUGCCGAUAGAUCGGAGAUCUUUUGUUUCAACUCAUCCCCUGAGGACUGCAGAAUGUCGAUGCUCUUGUGUUUUUCAUCGGCAGCAUGCUUUACUCGCAGCAUCUCCUCUGUGAGCCAAGCAUGAGCAACUCUAUCGGCAAGGCGCUGGGUAGCCUUCUGAUACUGGAUUUGACGACUUUCUAGGUGGGCAGCUUGGAAGAGGAUUUCUUCUGCAUCGGUUGGAAUUUGGUCACGAAGGGUCUUGAAUAUGACCUUGGCCGGAUCGAAAUCAUCCACUAGCUGGGCCGUGUCUUGAUGUAACAGAGCUAAUAAGUCUUCCAACUUGGCCUUAAUCUCUGUCGAUGAGAUUCCAACUACCUCAGAGGAGCUUGCUUCUUCGCUUUCAUCAUCGGAGAUGUCGAUAGCAAAGGAGAAUAGGCUGUCUGGGGAGUCUUGCUCCUAGAAAAGGAAGAAGUUACUCAAGAUUAAGUGUUGAUAAUGCGAAGUCUGGGAAAUUGAAUAACUUACUUGCUUCAGGGCGAUUUCCUGUCUCUGACGAGGAGAUGCAGCUGGUACUAUAGUUUGAUCGGCUAGGGUUGCCGAUGGAAAUACUUCAGUUGAAAAGUUACAAGGAUGAUUAUAGCUUAUAAAUAAAUUCAUCAGUAAUGAUUCUGUGAUCGGUACUUUACCUUGAGGAUUUAUGGUGAUUGUUUGUUCUGGAGGGACGACCGAUGAUGUGCCCAGAUCAACCGGAUCAGCAAUCUGUUCAGAUACAUCGGCUGGUGCUUCUUGCGGCUGGGGUACUAAUCGAGGGGGAGAAGGUACUUCUUGCGUCUGGGGUUCCGAUGGAGAAGGAGAGGAUGCUAUCUGGAUCGGGGACACUGGACGAGGUGGAGAGGAUGAUGUUGCCUUCUGACGCUUUGGCUGGGUCUUGGUGCUUUUCGGACCCUUUCUCUUGACUAGAGUUUGACUGGGCUGGGGGGCAUCAGCACCUGAUAUUUAGGUGCUCUUGCUCUUUGCCGAUUUGCCGGUCUACUGUUGCAACAACCAAAAUUUCAUGAGUUGAAAUAUAAAAGGGUACUGGUGGAGUUUUGCUAAAGGAUAAAAGUUACCGAUGAAGUUCCAGUUGCAGCCGAUGUACCCUGAAAUGAUAAUGUGAGUACAGGAUGAAAUCGGUAUAAACAAAGAAAAUUAAGAGUUUACCUUAAAAACCUGUGCCAGAGUGGCAGCAGCGACCGAUGGAGAUGUUUUCGAACGUUUGGUGGUCGUCUUUUUGAAGCGCAUGUUGCGAUGCAUCAGAGCCGCUAGACUUGGCGCGUUGCGGCCGAUCAAAGAAAUUGGGCCUGAUUGAAGAAGUUUGAUCGGCCUCCCACUUCUGCUAAUUGUCGGCGCUGGGUCAUCAACCUAUUGAAACAAGAAUAAGUAAGUUGCCGAUAAGGUUAAAGAUAACAAGGGAACUGAGGUAUCGGUAAAGGACUCACAAUAUUAUCGGGGACUUUGUAGUCAGAGUCAAUCAUACCGCGAUAUGUAUGAGCCGAUACCCUGAACAGAUGCUCCUUCCAUUCUUCCCACCAAUGUUUAUACAACUGAGUAAUGAAGAGAGCUGGAACAAAGGCCGAUAGAUCGAUGUCUAUCGUAUCGACAUUUGGCUGGAGUUGAGCUAUCCUAAUCCACUCAAGUCCACUGGUGAUUGUCUCUCUUGGUUUCACCACAUCGGCAUAACAGAGUCUAAUUGGCAGUUGACCAAAAGCCAGUUGGCGAGCCAGUGCCGAUGGGUUAUAAAACUCAUAGGUGGUGUUGAUAUUCUUCCCGCUGCCAAAGCUAUUCACUGGGAUUGCUCUCGGAGUGAUGAUUGCCAUCAUCAAAUCAUUAUCCUUGUUGAGAGCAUUGUCAAAAGGGUGGAAGGUGAGUGGGAACCUGGUUUUUGGAUCUUCAUAAGGCAUCCAUGCUCGCUGAUCUUUGGAAAGGCCAUCAUACAGGGUCUGGAAGAAUCGGCCAACCUGGUUUUUGUUGGAGGCGGUGCCAGGGAGAACUAUAACAGCUUCACCAUAAUUGAGGGGUGAGCGAGUUGCCGAUUCAUCAUCGGCCAGAUCAUAAUCUUCGGCGAUAUCUUUGGGGAAUUGCUGCGCAAAGAAAUCAAACCGAAGGCGUUUGUGCAUAUGAACAUUGAGCCACAUGUUGAUGAACCACCACGGACCUCCUAGAUUGCCGAUGGGUUCACCCAGCAGAAGUUUCUCGGUUACUUGAUGGAGGAGGUGAUAGACGGAGCCUAAUAGGUAUCGGCCAAGAGGGAAUCGGCCACCAUCGGCUAAUCUUUCUGUUGCCGAUAAGUAGAUGGAGGUUGUUCCUACCGAUCGGCCACAGAAGAUGAACUUGUCUAGCCACAUAUUCAGAAAAGUGGCAUGUUCUCGCUGACCAACUAGUCCUGUUCUUUGAUACUUCUAAAAGUACCCUGACCAACCGCCGAUGUUGCGGGUCUCUACUUUGCGUUCGGCUUUGCGGCCGAAUAGUUGGCCAUCAUCGCCAAUUGCAAUAUCCAAGCCGGUGAGCAUGAAUACAUCGGCAAGUGUGGGGGAAGCUGGGCCAUGGCCGAAAAUAAAGGCGUUGAACGUGUCCGACCAGAAAUAUGAAGCAGCUAUCAGCAUUGAUUCAUUUCUUUCCAUAUCGGCAAUGGAUAGCCUGAUGCACUGGUCUAUUUUGCGUUCACCCCAGUAAACUUCAUUUGUGUUGCUAACCCUUAGAAACCAAUCCUUCCAUCCUUUGGUGGGGUUUGGCCAGGAUCGGAAGGUAUCCUUCCAUAGAUCUAAAGAAAAGUUUUUGACCCUAAAAGGAAUCCUAUUGGUUUCUGCAUUAAUCAAAUCGGUAGGAUCUGAGUCACCUAGCGGACCAAGGCAUUGGAGAUGGGGUUGUUCGGUGGGAAUAACAAUUUUCUCGCUCAGUUCCUAAAAUUCAAGGAUUGAAAGAACAGAGAGAAAGAAAGAAGAAGAAAAAUACUAAGUUAGUAGAGUUGCAAAAAGUAAGGGGUUGCAGUAAAGAAAGAAAAGGAUGGGAAUAGAUUAACCUCAGGGACAACGAAGUUGACGGCCAUUUCUUCCAGAGGAAGAGAAGAUCGAAGACUUGAAAGAUCAUUGGGGGAGAUUUUACUGGGGUUCUUGAGCUCUUCGUCAAUACCGCCGCCAGAGAGAUGAGUUUGGGGAGAUGAAGGAUGGCAAGAUGGAGAAAGAGUGGCGAGGAAGGAAGUAUUUAUAGGAUAAAGUGAGCAGGGGUAUUUCUGACUUAUAUCUUUGCCGUAUCCGUGAGAUUCGAGGGUGUUUAAGUGGAUAUGGUAACUGUUCGCACGAUAAUCAAGGGAUUGUGCAGGUGAUUUGACAGCAAGUAAUCAUGAUUUUAAGAGAUAUUUCACUGUGCAAGAUCUCAUGGUCAGUUUAUCGGCAGUCAAUUCUAACAGAACAGUUGCCGAUGAGCGGAUGUUUCGGAGAUUUCGUUCGGGUGGUUGAGAAAUUCGAGGUGCAUGCUGGAAAUCUGGGUUAAGGUUGUUUGGAUUUGGUAAUUAAUUGUUGUCAGAAGGAAAUAAUUGUGAAAAGGGCAUCAUUAUUAGGAGAGAAUUUCGGGGCAUUAAUGAUUUUAUACUCCAAAAUUGGGGGGCAUGUGUUGACACCAUUUUUGGACACGUAUCAGGAAAGAUUAAUGAAGCUUGGAUCGGCAGAUUGAAAAGUGAUGACUGGUCGACAAGGAAGUUGUCGAUGGCUUAUGAUACCGAUGAUAAAGCAACAGGAUAUGAUUAAGUCCGGGAACGGUGGUUGAUCGGUGCCGAUGGUUGAUAUGAUGACUGUCGAUGCCGAUGAAGGACGAUAUGCCGAUGAUGGUGAAGGAAGACGUGGGAAUCAUUAGAGAGAUGAUGGUGGUGUGCCGAUCACCCAGGAUAGAUAAAGUUAUUAUUUUCUAUAAUUGUUAGAGUUUGUUUUGCGUACGAGUUCUGUUUAGUUUGGAAUUAGAAUCCUAGUCGUACCUGGUUGUAACUGUUUAGGACAGGGUAUAAAUAUAAGCCUAGUAGCGAUGUAAGAAACAAUCCAAUCAACCAUACACAAAGUUUUUACAUCUAGUUUCGCAUCUACUUUCGACGAUUUCGUCAACUCGCAUAUUUUCUUUUUACUUACAAGUUCUUAGGAAUCUAUCGAGUCAAACUCGACGAAUUCUCGAGUUCCGCGUGAAUACCUCUUGGCCGUGGCAUCCAGGCGCAUAGCUGUUGUCGGGACCAAAGUAUUCGAGUUAUCACCUUUGUCGGUUGUAAGGUCAAAUCGGCUAGCACGCCUUAACAUUGAAUCGGGUAUUACCCCUUUGUGUUUGCAGAUUCACUUUUGCAUCAACAAGUGCUCAACUUGGAAAAGAAGAAAGAGAAAAACAAAACCCUAUGGAGAUCAAGGCAAAGGUAUUGCUUAGGGUUUUUAGCUUUGGUGAUCAAAACACCAUAGAGGGUGUGAUCACAUUUAGGAUAGAUAGCCAUACUAUUAAGAGGGGCGAUCUCAUGGUGAAAAUGGUUAUCUAUGUGCCACUAGGUGAUUGGAUUCCUUGCAUAUGCAUUAGGACCUAGUGAUCUAAUGAGUUAACCCUUGAAAAAUGUUUAUGAAAAUUGCUAACACAUAUGCACAAGUGUUGUGACACUUUGGUGUUGGCACAUGGAAGCAAGGGAAGAAGUUGGAGAUCGUUUCGUUGAAAAACAACUUUCCAGGAACAGUGCACCCUGAGCGUCUGGUGUAGCGCGUCCGAUGAGGACGUUGUUGCUGGAUGUUUCUGAGUAAGCGUCUGGUAUGCACCGGACGCGUUCGGUGCUGGACCUGACGCAUCUGGUGUGAGCGUCCGGUGCUAACUCAGUUUGCAAGGCUCUCUGCACAUGCGUUCGGUGCUACAUCGGACGUGUCCGAUGUGUGCGUUCGGUGUUGGUGUCACUUUGAGGAGCUCACUACGCACGCGUCUGGUAUGGACUGGACGCGUCCGGUGUGCCCAAGUAGCGAGUCUGGUGCUAUGGUCUCAGGGGAAUACUUGUUGGCGACAACGGAUAGUUUUCAAACGGUCAAGAGCACCGGACGCUGGUCUGGCCAACACCGAACGCGUUCGGUGUGAACUAGGACGCGUCCGGUGUGAGCGCAGACAGUGGAAUUGUGGCUAAUGGCUCUUCGAAGCUUAGGGCUUCUAUAAAUAUGUGUUAGCUGGUUCUUGCUCACCCUCUUGACUCUCUAACUUGUUGAUACAUCUUGCGAGCAUACUCCCACACAUCCCACUCACCUUGUUCAAGUUUUGUUCAUCCAAAGUUCGAUUGGGAGAGAUCCUAGUUGCAUUUACUUAGAGUUUGAGCAUUAGUGGCACUAGUGAUCGUUGAGCAGCAGGUUUGCUUGCUCUUGGUGGUUGCCGCCACCUAGACGGCUUGGAGCUGCGGAGGAGCUUUGGCGCGAGUCGGUGAUUGUUCGUGGCCAUCUCUCGGUGAGUGUGAGGGUCUUGUACCUUCCCCGACGGAGAGCCAAAAGGUAACUCUAGUAAAUUGCUCGUGUCAUUGAGUUACCUCACUUGUGAGUCAGUUCUUGCGGUGUCCUAGUGAGGACUAGGUUCGUGCUACACCUCUUAGCCACUGAACCACCAAGUGUUGGUCGACACAACAGGGACGUAGCGUGCCGGUAAGCACGUGAACCUCGGGAGAAAAUCGUGUGUCUCCAUUGUGAUUGUUCUUUGGAUUUCUCCCGGUGAUUGGACUUCAUAUUAUUGUGAUUGGUUCAUCCCCUACACAGCGGUAUAAAUAUCUCUUCCUCUCCAUUUAUUUACCGCAAAGUAGUGUAACUUGUUUAGUUGCUAGUCUUGCCUUGUGUAGCCUAGUUCGCUAGUGUAGCUUUUAGUGACAUAGCUCUUGUGUGCCUAGUGAUCAUAUCAACUAGAAUUGUUGGUUAGGUGGCUUGCAAACACUUCAUUAGAGCUAGAGGAAAAGGCUUUGCUUUGUUAUUUACUAACCUCUUGCUAUAGUGAGUUUGUAUAUUUUUUAAAUAGGCUAUUCACUCCCCCUCUAGCCAUAUUAGGACCUUUCACCUGCUGUUGUCGAUUCGAGCUCUAUGAGUCGGGCUCUAGGUCGAGGUCGACGAUGACUCGAAGAGGAAGAGAAGGUUGGGGGACUUGUAUAUGUUCAAUGAAUAACAUUUAUACUUGGUGAGUGCUCGUGCAUUUCUAUAGAUUUUAAAAUCCAUAGAAUUAUAGAGCGCAACCUCAGAUAGGCUGAACCUAUCUCUUAGCUUGGGGGAAGAAUUCGCAUUUUGUUGAACAUCACUUGCAACUGGAAUACUAUGGUUCACAACUGAUAAGUACUUGUGAUAAAUCAUCCACUUUAUUUGACAGAAGCUACAUCUCACCACCUAACAAGAGUGAUCAUCAAAAGGGAGAGUUCUCUGCCGAGCGGAGAGAGUUCGUUCUUUGCUGUGUGGGCAAUUUAUACAAGGAACCCUAAGUAAGCCCAAUGGCAUCACCCUCGGUAGUUCCAAUCCGCAGUCACAUCCUCGGCACUCGGCAGUUUCCAAUGCACUAAGGAAGUUGGAACGAAUAUACCAAGUAGAUUAGAGUGGGGAUAAGUGGUUAUGAUAGGAGUUAUGAAUAAUGACACACACACAAUGGAGAAUUCCAUGAUAAAAGAGUAGUUUAGCUAGAUUGAGAGGACAAUGCGAGAGUUCAAGGUUCUUAAAUACUUUUCUAUUACUUUGGUUCUAUAUCAUAUAACUAAUAUAUGGGCAGAUAUAGGAUAUAGCAAUCACACAACAACACUUCAGGACAUCAGAACACUAGCCACAUAAAGAGAUGAGAAAGGAGGCUAGGGUCCGACUACGGUCCUACAAACACUUAUCCGAACAAGGUGGAAUACAUCAACUGUUAGGUCUGUCACUACCCUGGGGCUACCACAACAAUCCAUAGGAUUGGGUGCAAUCUCAAGUAACCCAUAGCCUAGACACCAUGUCUACACUAUUGAUUACUACUCUAAUCAUAUAUAAUAACUAGAGCACCCGAUGCGAGCGAAGAUCCAACGCAAGGUAUAACAACUAUACUAACUAAUCACAUGAAUGGCAUAAAAGUAAAUACAGAAGAUAAAUAUAUUAAAGUAUGUCUUACAAAAGAAAGAUACAGAGAUAUGCCAGACCUCUAAAGAAUUCUCUAGAACCUAAGCAUAGAUCGACUCCCACUAACUCUCAACUACAACUAAUCUGCUAUAUCGGAAAGUCUAUCCCAAAUUCUUCUAGUGUACUUUGGGAUGCCUUGCUUUAGGUGGUACAGGGCUACUUAAAUAUGCUGAUGGGACGAACAUGAGCCCUCAGAUCAAACUGACUUUGAGGUAUGGUGGAGAUGCAUCCUAGGAAGCGGUGGAGGAAGAUUCCAGAAGCCGGAGGCAAAUGGACUCUAUGGCAAGUUGGCUGUCAUGGGAGUAGGGCCAGUCAGCCCUGCACCAAGGCCUUUCAGGCCCAUCUUUGGUGGUUCGUCUUCUAGUACCUUCUAGAGCCUUCCCACGUAUAUUUUGCAGAAUAAUUUGCUUGUUUCAUUUAAUGAAUAAGUCCUCCUUGAUAGUCUUCUAGAAUAAUCCCAUGAAAAACAAAGAUUCACCAAAACUCAUGAAAUUUAUUAGUUUAAACCCUAAACCUUUGUUGGUGAUCUCAAUUGUGCCCUUAUGCAUAUUUAUUUGACUAUAAAAUGUUGACAUUAACUACCUUCAACAACCCUCUCCAUCCAUUGCUACUUCAAAGAUGGUAGUUUCUAUAGUGUCAUCUCUUGCAAACUAGCAGUGGCCUACUGCAAGUGCAGCAGCCCAACCAUUGCUUCAGCUGCUACUUCCUCUACACGUAGUAGAGAAAUUAUGUGCCACAAGUACCAUGUUGAACACCGGUGUCACAGGAGUCACGAGAGUGUUUCUCAAUAUGAAACACACACCGGACACUAGCCAAAACAGCAUCGGACGCUGGGUCAGCGUCAGGUGCUUGUUAAUAAGUUGGCGUAGCAGCAAAGUUUACACCUGCACAUCUGAUGCGGUCUUAGGGUCAAGUACUAGACGUGGCAGGUGUCUCUGUUCAUUAGCAGGUCACGAGCGAGGAGUUUGUGCAAUGUGUGCACUGGAUGCUGGCCACGUCUACUGGCACCCCAUCUAAUGCGUCUGUUGGACGUUUUCAUGGUCUAGGAGUUCUUUGAGUUGCAUCAAACACUAGGGGCUCAACGUCUGAUGGUUUCCCUCUGAGCGUCUAAUGCCUGUUUAACUACAGUGCUGACUGACUUUGUGACCAUUGGAGAUCGAUGUGUGAGAUUUAAACAAGGACAUGUGGCGUGCAUUUGAGAACUCGACGUGGUAGUACUGGACACUAGGGCAACAUCGGAUGCAUAUGCAUCAGAGCCUCUGGUGCCCCUGACACUGGCUAGAUGAGAGCCUAACGACUCUAUUCUUUUGGGACCUUUAUAAAUACGUGGUGGCCAGCUCUUGGGUCUCUCUUGGUACUUUGAAAUAGUUGACAUCCUUGUGAGCCUAAGCAAAUACCUUCCACUCAUCUUCUUUAUAGAUUCUUGAUCUUGGUGAGAUUGGGAGUGUUUCUAAGUGCAUUUUGCUUGAGUGAUUGUAUCUAGUAGCACUUAGGGAUUGUUUGAGCUGCGGAUUUCUUAUUACUCUUGGUGGUUGCCGCCACCUAGAUGGCUUAGAGCUGUGGCGGAGCAUUGGCAUGAGUUAGUGAUUGUUUGUGGUCAUCUCCUGGUGAUUGUGAGGGGUUCUUGUGCCUUCUCUUAUGGAGCACCAAAGACAAAUCUAGUGGAUUGCUCGUGUUAUUAAGCUACAUUACUUGUGGGGUAGGUUCUUGCGGUGUCCUACAUGAGUAUGAGGUUCGUGCAAUACCUAUUAGCUGCCGAACCCCUAGAUGUUGGUCAAUACAAUUGGGGCUAGUGUGUCGACAAGCACGUAAACCUCAGAAGAAAAAUUGUGUGUCUCAAUUGUGAUUGGUGGACAUUAUCCUGAUAAUUGAUUAGUUCAUAUGUUGGUGAUUGGCUCAUCCCCUACAUGGUGGUAUAAAGAUCACAUCCUCUCUAUUUUUAUUCCUGCAAAGUAGUGUAAUUAGCUUUAGUUGCUAACUUUGCCUUGUGUAGCUUAGUUCACUAGUGUAGCUUGUAAUGACAUAGCUCUUGUGUGCCUAGUGAUCUUACUAACUAUAAUUGUUGGGGUAGAUGGCUUGCAAACUCUCAAUUAGAAUUAGAGCAAAAAGCUUCGCUUUGUUAUUUACUAACUCUUUGCUCUAGUGAGUUUGUAGAAAUUUUAUUAGGCUAUUGACCCCAAGCCAUAUUAGGACCUUUCAACGUCCUAAACUUAAAUAAAUUGAUUUGGAAAACAAGGGCCCCACUGAAGAUAAAGAUUUUUAUAUGUACCUUCGAAGGAGAGUUAUCUUAACAAAAGGCAAUUUAGCAUAAUGUAAUUGGUAAGACAGUAAGAAGCUUUUGUCAUAAGAAUGAGACAAUUAAGCACCUUUUCUUCAAAUACUGAUUUAUAUGAGUAAUUUGUGGUUGCAUACAAGUUGCAUCAAAUCUCUCCUAGCCUCAUAGUAUUCCUCAUCUCUUUGAGAGUUGGCUUCAAGGUUUACAGAAGCUAGGAUCUCAAACGUAUAAUAAUGUUGGCUGCAACAAGUACUUGUUGGUCGAAGGUUAUGCAGAAAUGAUUUAGUUUUUGAGAUUCGGUAAUCCAUUGGCUACACACAUGAGUUUUAUCCUCCAAAAGCCCUACGUGUUUAAGGCAUAUCAAGUGGCUAUGGCGUUUUUCUUCCAAGCACAUGGGUGGCAAUCUAGGCUUAGAAUUGAUAACCAUUAGAGUGUCAGGUUUUCUUCACUUUGGCUUUGUGUUUAGGUAGAAGACGGAAGUGAAUUUACUUUUAUUGUAUCUUCUUGAUGUAAUGACGGUGAAUUAAUAAAAUCCAAAUUAAUAAAAUCCUUGCUUUAUCAAAAAAGAUCGCUUAGACCAAAGAUUGCUCAGACAAGACAUGCAUUACUCGUCUACCCACGUCACAGAUAAUAAGUAUUUUUGAUUGCGUGGUUUUGUUAAGGAUCAUUUCCUGAUUUUAAUGUUUACGAAAACAAAUGUAAACAAAAAUUAAGUACGCACAAGUACACAACACUAUCUUGUAUGCGUAUAGUGUCCAGAGUUAUUACAGUGAAACGAAUGCUGUGAAGAUUGUAUCGCUCUGACAACUAAACAAUCAAACAGACAAAUCUGUAAGCACAUACACAUGUAAUUGUGAUAUCAACCACUAGCUACCAGCAGCACUCUUUGCUCUUAGUCUCCUCGGCUCAGUAUGGCAUGGGCGAGUUGAGGCCCUCCUGGAUGGCCAUGGGGUGCGGCGGAUUGUGCCGCUUGGACAUAGACGUCAUGGCCAGUGUCUUCCUGAAGGAGGCACGCCGCUCAAGACGCUUGACAGUGAAGCGUGUGUAGGCAACACGGAUGUAUGGUGCAGCAGCCUCCUUGAGCUUUAGCACGAUGAAGAAGGUGAGGCGGUAGGCGAAGAGGAGAACGAAGAUCAUGGCGAGGUCCAACCACUUGGAGUGGUUCAAGCUCAGCCCCAUCAUCUCGGUGAUGAUGUAUUCUCCUGUAAUUUUCGGCUGCCCUGGCACCAUUGGCUCGAACUCCAGCCCAAGCAUGUCGUUCUUGUACCCGCCCUGGAUGUGACAGCAGCCCUUAACAUUGGUGUCGGAGUUUCUAUUUCUGGAUCGAAGGACUUGUAACAAAAUUAGAAGCGAUGACAUACCUUCAAACCCCAUGACCCAUAGACAAUGUAGGACACUGGGUACUUCCAAAAGAUCUUUGGAAGUUCCGGAAGCAGUCGGAAGAAUCCAGACGUCAACAUCAUGAUCCCCUGUGAAAUCAUGGAAAACCUGCAUGAGCAAAAGGUAGUGAUGAAGGACAAGUCAACAAGAAGAUAGACUUACAAUGACACCGGCACCAAGGAUGAGGCCCAUGAGGAAGUUUGGCACGAGGGCGGAGAUGAUCAUCAUGAGGCUCUCAAUAACGGAGACACCACCAUAGAGGUUGAGGGCGAAGAAGGCGAAGUAGCUGAAGCCUGCCCGGUACUUGACCAUCCAAUAUGUGAUGGAAGCGCUGGCCCAGGACACGGUGAGCAAAAAUGGCAUGGAGGAGAGGAAAUUGGAGAUGAUGUAGGCGGCGACACCAUAGUGGCCAUUCUGGCGCUCGAGGGUGAACACUUUCAUCUCCUCGAUGAAGGAUGGGAAGCCACCGAUGGACAUGAAGGUCAUGAAGCCAGACACAAAGCCUCCACACGAGGCGCGUGCCUGUAUGGCCGAGUAGCUGGUGCCCACAUCGUAGUAGAUAGUUCCCAGGCAGAUGGCCAUGACAAUGUAAAUGAUGAUGCGCAGCCAGUAGUAGUUCAAGUCGCGGGACAUGUUGGUAAAAGACCGGCUUGUCAGCGUGCGGAGCUGCUUGAACCAGCUCGCCUGGCUGCCACGGAUCACCUCCACCAUCACACCCUCCUGCAUGCAUUAUAUUCAUCAAAUCCACAGCAACAAAUACAUUCAAAAUACUGAAGUAAUAAUUCAAAUGUUGACAAAAUUUUGAAUGCAAAUUGAUGCUUACAAUCUUGGUUAUCUCGUGUAUUGUGCUCCUAACCAUCAUGGCAUAAUCUGAGAUCCUGUACUUGUCCACCAGCCGUUCCCUGAUCUCUGAGGUUGAGUACUUCAACAGGGGAUCAAGAUCUGCCUCCUUCAACAAAAUUUGAUCAAAGACUCAUCAGAAACCAUAUGUAUCUAAAAGUAAAAGGCUCAAAUCACAGGGCACGUACUUGUCGCAGCUUCAUGGAUCCUUUCAUAGUGGCAGCAACGUCAUCAAAGUCUGAGUUGACACACCGGAGGAAAUGGUCGGAUGGGUUCCUCCUGCUGGGACACGGGAACCCUGUUUCCGCAAAGAACUGCAUGCGUGAACAGAGCAGCAUUUCUUAAAUUCAAAGUGCAAUAAUCGAAAUGCAUCUGUAGUUUUUUUUAGUAUGAAAUGCAUUUGUAGUUGAUCAGUUUCCAGUAAAGCAAAACAAACCUGUGUUGCUAGCUUGGCGUCACCGAAGUAGACACAUUCCCCACUGGAGAGGAGGCAAAGGUCAUCGAAGAGUGCAAAUACCUCGCUACUGGGCUGGUGCACGGAGGAGAUGAUGGUGCGGCCGCCAUCAAUGGCGAGCUGCCGCAGCGUCUGGACAACAGAAAAGGCAGCGGCACUGUCAAGGCCACUUGUGGGCUCGUCGAGGAAAAGGAGACGUGGGCGAGUAAGGAUCUCCAGUGCGAUGCUCAGGCGUUUCUUCUCGCCACCACUGAUGCCGCGGAGGUGCCAGGUUCCGAUGUGACGGUCAGCACACUCCUGGAGGCCCAUCUCGUCCAGUGUGUCAUCCACGAUGCGGCGCACCUCUGACUUGUGCAUGCUCGAUGGCAGCCGGAGGAGGGCCGAGUAGGUCACCGUCUCGCGCACAGUCAGUGUACCCAGCAGCACGUUCUCUUGGGUCACAUAUGCCUGUCAUGUUGUGUCCACAGAGAUGUUGACAUCAGAUAGCAUACAGUUGACCUUUUCAAGGUCAUUUUGCUAGCUGAUGAUAUUAAAGACAUUAGUAGAGUAAAAGUUUUAGAAUUUCCUAUUUGAGUGAAAGUUUGUUCCAAUUUAAAUGAACUGCAGAGUUUCCACACCUCUUUCCUCACUGCACAAAAUUCAGGUUGGUGAACACUAGGUACAUGAUGUUCUCUGAUUGCUAUAAACACUUUACAUAAGUAUAGCUCUAAAUUACACAAAAUUCAUAUAUGUGCAGGCUAAAUAAAUUGGCAAGGUCAAGAAGCAAGAUAUAUACUAGAUAGUAUUAGAGAAUUUACUAAAAGGGAUCUAAUAAAAAAUUUGCAGUUAGUGUAUGACUUCCUUGUCCUAGUUUCAAAAUCAUUGUGUGCAGUGAAAAAUGUUUCUUUGCUUUUCAAAAGAAUCUAUCAUGUAGAUUCUGUUAAUUUUUUAUUAGUAAUCAUCGCAAAAAAAUAAUAAUUGAAUAAUAAGUAUUUACGCAGAUCAUCUCAACCUUGGCACUGAUAAUUUGUAGUGGACUAUACUAUUUUAGUGGAUACCCAUGCAUCAUAGUAGUUUCUCUUCCUCUAGGUACACAUUGAUAUUUGAAUUGAGAUUUCAUGUGGGGUGAUGCUUAAUGAUACUAGCACAUGAUUUACAUGUUUAGAUCAACAGUUCUAAGAAAUUUUCAAGACUAUUUGAUUAGUGCUUUGAGCAUAGGAGCAAGCCAGCAUACUGUGGUUUUUCUUUGUUGUGAAGAUGAAAGAUUCCCUCAUGUAUCUUCAAAAUUCAACCGUGUACGUGUCAAAGUUAGAGACUAGUCGAUUCAACAAUUAAUUAUUAAGUUUUUGUUAACUGUUGACAAUAACAUGUUCUCAGAAAUUCUGUUUCCAUAAUGGUUUUGACAAACUUGGGUGAUGGCUAUACAGUAUGUCAUCCAUUCAAAUAUCUGAAAGGGAUGUACAACUGCAUCAUUAAUGAAUGCUAUAUUUGGAAUUAGUUGGGCACUCAAUUCGGGUGCCACUCUGGUAGUUCAUUUUCAGACGGCGGUGCAGGUUGGGCAGUGACACGAGACCACCUUGGGACUAGGGCUCAUGCGAAAGAGGAUCGAAUAUGUUGUUGAAGGAAUUGUGCUGAAUUUCUUUUUUACUCCAAUUAUUAGCAAAUUCAGAUGUUCUGAACAGGGGGGAGGUUAUACAAGCACCAUUGCGGUCAUGGCAUAUAUACAAUUAAAACCUAUAAUAAUGUCAUGACCCCCCCCCCCCCCCCAAAAAAAAAAAAAAGAUGACUAGUUUGGAGAUUAUACCUACGUAGCACAAGUUUAGAAAACGAAAUAAUUCUGCUGUGGAACUACCAGCAAACUGACUAGGAAAAGACACAGGCAUCAAUGAGUCCUAAAUAUAGCUUGGUUUCUUAUACAUGUCACCCAUCGAAAUAACUCCUACUACUAAAAGGGGUUGGAUAAUUAAGCAAACAUUCCGAAACACUUGGAAUACUAUGUUUCGGCCAUAAAACCUCAACCGUUGGAUCCUGAACUCCACCUUCAGAUUGGCAGCACGUAUCCUUAGCCUGGCCUGCCAGCUACACCUAGCAAUGUUUCUCUAAGAUAUUAUUUGUAAUUAACCCAACUACAUCCAUUUUCCUCUGAAUACAUACGCACCACGUUUGCAUAGAAAAACGUUUGAAGCUUGAAUUCAAAUCAGAUCGAUAUAUGCAUGCAUAUCAAUCAGUCGACGAACGAAACUGGGAAGAAAAAAUCAUGCACAUAUGUAUAUCAAGUAAUUAGGUGAUAUUUAUUUGGGGGCGGCAUGACAGACGGUCAUGAUGAGAUUGCAAAGUUUGGUAUGAAACACGUGAUAGGUUAAUAAUUCAUCUGCAUGGUAUGCUCACCACGAUGCCAUAAUCCAGCCGCCUCUUUUUGCCGUUGAGCAGAACCUUCCCAGUGAGGACCACGUUCCUUGCCAGCCUCCCUGCAAAUUGCUCACACAAAAUCAAUCCAUUUCUCAUGCACAUCAUCCAUGCCUUGAUGAACGAAUUGAAUCAAGAUUUGGUACUACUAGUUGAAAGCUUUCAUGUUUUAAUUAUUAUUAAGCCUCUGAAAUGCUCAAGUAAAUGAUUUUGAUUACGAGCCAUUGGGAUGAUGCAUGACACUAUGACAGUACUAGUUAAGGAGGAGUAGUUUUUGUAAUUAGAGGUUGGUCCAAACUAAAUAGCUAGUCCACGGUGGCAUGCCGUAUAGGAGAGGGAGGAGUACGGAGGUGGGCAUUGAAUCCUCCGCGUGGGCAGGAAGCAGGACAUGCACGCGACGCGAGGAAGACGAAGAAAGGCCAGGACGCGUACCGGAGAGGGAGUCGAGGAGUGUGGACUUGCCGGAGCCGGAAGGCCCCAUGAUGGCGACGACGCGGCCGGGCACGGCGUAGCCGUAGAGCCCCUGCACCAGCUUCUUUGUCGCCCUGCCGCCGCCGCCCGGCAGCACCGCCGUGAGGUUCUCCCACGUCAGGCUGGCGCCGCCGGACUCGGCGUACCGCGCUGCCGGCGACACCGCGCCGCGCCACGCCUCCCCGUUGCCGCCGUCCAUCUCGACCGAUCUCUGGGGCGCCUGUCCGCUCCGCUGCGUACCCCGCACCACUCACUUCUCCUAGCUAUGCGCCUGCUGUGCUGCUAGGCUCUGGCGGGAUGCAGCAGCUCUGGCGCGUCCCCUUGGACCUGGCUGGAGUGGCCAGACGAGCGAGGCAGUUCGCGUCGCUUGGCUAGCCGCGACACGCAUCCCCGCCUUAUUUAAUGGAUGGAGGAAGGAUUCCUACUGUGCAAGUGCGUUUCACGCAUCUGCCGUUUUCCUCUCCGCUUUCUCUCUGUCUAUGGGAGAGGAGGGCUCGCAGCUGCAGCUGCAGCUCCAGCUUGUUUCAAUCCACGGUUGGGGAGUUGGCGAGGCUCGAGGGCACUACUGUGUGCAGUGCGCUGGCUGGUAGUAGAUCACGCAUUGAUGGCGGUGGGGGUUGCGAAGCAGGUGGCCGCAGUAACUGCGCGCAAUUACGUUAGGUGGUUACGCUUAUUUGUGCUGUGGAGCAUCAUCAUCACCAAUGCUUCGCUGGUCGUCCUCAGUGCUCAAGUGGCGAUCACUGCAGACUAACCUUAACACACGUUACUGCAGCAGCGCAAGAAGCCUAAUCUAGUGAGUGUCCAUUGACAAUCGGAAAUCGAAAUAUCUCACUGUCUCGCUCAUUAGUCAAUACUUCAACAAGGAGCGAGGACACUCCCAAUACUAAAAACUACGUAUAAUUUCUAUACCUAUUAAUUUCUAUAGUAUUAUAUAUAGAAAUUAUGAUCCUAAUAGAUAGUUUUCAUAGAAUAUUUUUUUAUCCAAUCAUAUUCAUUUUUUCUCCAUUCCCAACCAUUCAUAUCACUUUAUAUCUUGGAUCUCGUGUAGACAUGGUUUCUAACUUAGACCCGGUUUUAAUGAUUUUUCUCUCUUUUCAAUAAUUAUAUUGUCACAUCAGCAAAAUGCUUAGGUGACAUUAUCUAAUGUAUGUUUAAACUAUGAUAAUUUUUAUAUUGUGAGUGUAUUUAUGAUAGUUUCUAUCUCUAUUAAUUAUCCUGCCAACUAAAUAAAUCGCUGAUGUGGCAGUAUAUUUAAUAUAGAGAGAAGAGGAAACCAAGAAACCGUUUUGUUGAUAGGAAAUGAAGUUUCUCAGGUACCGAUGCGUGAGGAAACGACGCAAACCGCGUUGGGAAGAAACUGAUCGUUUCCUUCCUUACGCCUUGUUUAGUUCCAAAAUUUUUUGUAAAAUAGGAAUAAUACCGCUUUCGUUUGUAUUUGAUAAAUAUUAUCUAAUCAUAUACUAACUAGACUUAAAAGAUUCGUAUCGUUAAUUUCGACCAAACUGUGCAAUUAGUUUGAGUCUGUCUAGUUGACACUCAUGUGUUUUGAAGGCAACCAGCACGCAGGUGUUUUGUGCCAAUAAAACACAUAAAUUUCAGGAACCCAAAAAUCAUAUGUUUUUUUACAACCUAACACAUAAUUUUGUCCAGCCUAGACAACACAAGAUUCCCAGCAGAGAAAGAAAAAAUCAUGUGUUUUUCCUAAAGUACCACAUGGAUUCUGUUGUAUCUGCAAUCUAUUGUAAUUGUCUUCUGUUUUUUCCUAAAAUUUCAAUUCUGUUAUACCCUAUCAUUCUCUACCACUACAGGAACAAAAGGGAUGAAUCCUCAACACCGUCAAAUGAGAAAUAGCAAACAAAAUUGAAACUUAUAGGUGACGAGAAUAUAUAUUGCACAUGUUAAAUAUCAUAAUUGCAGUAAUUCAAAUCUGCAAUUGUCUACUAAUAAAUGUGCAAUCUAGAAAUAGAUACUAACUAGUAUGAUUCAAAGUUUCAGCCAAUCUAGAAAUAGAUAAUAAAUGUGCAGGUUGUUGUGUGCUAGCACAAAUUACAAAAAGAUGUCAAUUGAUUGAAUGUUUCCUUUUUUCACUUUGAAUCUGAGGAGGAACAGACAGCGGAACUUACAGGGCCAAGGAACUUGAUAAAUUACUUGUGCAACUUUGAUCUACAAUAAUGCUCCUCGAAGUUGACAUCUUUCCCUUCUCCCACAUCCAAUCUGUUCAAAGAAUUACAAAAUGUGUGUAUCACUAGAAGAAUGACUGUUUACUCAUGUUCAAAGAAGUACAUAAUGUGUGUACCACUAGAACAAUGGCUGCUUACACUGACAGUGCAGCCAGCAGUGGUAGUAGAAGUGAAGGUUAGGCCAUACCAAUGUCGAGGGUUAGUCUGACAAUAAAAAAUGGAACACAAUUCAGUUUUUGAUUGCUCACUAGUAUAAUAUAACCAGCAUUAUAUUCUUGGUACAAAUCAUAGUUAACAAAUUUAAGGAUAUGUCAUAGCACAGCACAAGCACAAAAAAUAAGAUUACAAGAGACAAUUUUUUCUAUGGAAGAACAAUUUACAAAAACAGUUUCUUCAUGCUAGCACAAUUAUGAGGACCAACAAAGUCACAAAAAACAAGGGACAAUUUUUUACUAAGGAAGGAUAAAUUAUAUUUUUUUCUUCAUCCUAAAACAAUCACAGAGAGAGGGGGAAGGACCCGCACAAACACAAAAUACAAGGGACAAUAUUUUUUCUACAGGAAGACAAUUUACAAAUUUUGUUUAUUCAUCCUAAAACAAUCACAGAGAGAGGGGGAAGGACCCGCACAAACACAAAAUACAAGGGACAACAUUUUUUCUAUAGAAAGACAAUUUACAAUUUUUGUUUAUUGAUCCUAACACAAUCACUUAAAGAGGGGGGAGGACCAGCACAAUCACAAAAGACAAGGGACAAUUUUUUUCUAAGGAAGGACAAUUUACAAAAAAUAUUUUUUCUAGGUCAUGGAUGAAACUUUCUGUGCAAGAUAAUGUUGUAACCUUACUAUGUCCAUGGACAUUAGAAAUCCUAGUCAAGUGUAGGUAAGAACAAAAUACCUAUUGGGGUGGCUAGAAACUGAAUCACCUAUGCACUACCUAAUGGUAUGAAGGCGGCUCAGGACACGGUCUCUGGGAGCUUCCUCCAUUGCUAUUCCUCUGCUUAUGUCCUCAAGCCUGCACAACAAAACAGAAAUAGAAGAACAGUUUCAACCCUCCUCCUUUACCAGGGCUUGGGACCUGCUACGAUAGGACACUAUAGUUGGCCCAUCGUAGGCGGAGUUAAAAACUUUUAACAAUAUAUAUAUAUAUAGACACACACACACACACAUGUUUUUAGCACAUAUCACAAUAAAUGGAUCAUAAGAACAGAUCACAAUAAACACAAUCACACAUAUAGUGUAUAUGUGGUUUGUGAAUAAAUAAACUCAAAUUAGAAAAUCAGUAGCAGCACUAAGCUCCAAGUUCAUAUAGACAGGACUAGUAUUCUACAAUAUAGCAAGUGUUAGCCUAGCACAAAAGACAAUGCAAAUUUUUUUUACAAUAUAGACAGGACUAGUAUUCUACAAUCACAAACCAAAAGACAAUUUCCUUUCUAUGAAAAGACAAUAUACAAAAAAUUUUAUCCAAUACCAACACAAUCACAGACAUAGGGGUAGAGGAGCAUAACAAGCACUGACAUACAGCAACAAUACCUACCAUAUUCAUGCCAUAGACAUUGAUCCAAUUGAUUUAAUAAGACUAUUUUCAUAGUCAAACCAUGAGACUCAAGGAGCAUUAAUUUUAGACCACCUGUAAUUUUUAGUCAUUCAGAUGAAAUAAAAUUUCUAACACUAGCAACUUAAUAAUCAGAAUAGAGGUACACAAUUUAUUGUUAAGUUUUUGACAACCUAGUUUAAUUCAAAAGCAGAAUCACACCUAAAACUAAAACCAGAAUGUUCACCAUUCACACAAUCACACCUAAAACUAAACACAACGAAGAGACUCGCUCGUCAAUCAGGCCAAUGGCAUUGCUCCAACUCUAGCAUUACCACCACACUAAUGACACCUAAUCACUACCACAAUGGACAAAUCCACAUGAUUACGCCAACACUGAAAAUGACCAACAAGUUUCAUAAGUCCUUCGAAGAUUGAUAGACCAAGCAAUCCUUUCUAAGUCAAGAAUGUUGAGAGCCAACCCUGUACAAUAAAUGACACAAGUUUAAGGAUUGUUUAUUCUAAGUCAAGAAUGUUGCUAAUAGUUCACAAACAAAAACAAGGAUUAACAAACUAGGACACAACCACCAAAGGAUGACAAACAUGACAAACUAGCUCUACCAUUAGACAUGGAUUUCCUGAGUAACGAGAAUUCCCUAAGUACUAAUGCAAAAAUAAUAGGGACAAUGAUAAGCUACAAAUAGUACAAAUCUCAUCUAUACAAGCUUUGGAGUUGCUUAUUUCACAAGCCAAUUUCCUCAUAAACAUGUAAUCCAAAAUUGCUAGUAUUUGCUGCAAACAAAUUCAGGAAUCAAAAUUACAGGAAACACAAUAAAUAUGCUGUCACAUCAGCAAAAUACCAUAAAUAAUGUCUAAAGUUAUUUAUUACCUCGAACAAUGUGGACUUAGAGUCUAAGACUUGGAGUCUUAUUUUUUCUACCUAUUUCUUCAAUAAAUAUGCUGUCACAUCAGCAAAAUACCAUAAAUAACAUGUAAUUAAGUGUCUUGGACUCUGUGAUAGAGUCUGCAUUGUGAGUGCCCUAAGGCCAGUCUCAAUGCAUAGUUUCAUGACACAGUUACUAAGACUAUAAACUAGGUAACCGAGCCACAUGAGUUUCAUGGGGAUGAAACUCCUCUCUCGUCUGAUGAAACUUCUUCAUUUAAUGACCCUGACAAGUCAGCAAUUUUGCUUAUGUGGCACCCUAUUUAAUGUGCAUGACACUUUCAUGAAACAUGCAUUGAGACUGGCCAAAGGCACUCACAAUGCAAGACCCAAGACAAUUAAUUACAUAUUAUUUAUGAUAUUUUGCUGAUGUGGCAGUAUAUUUAUUGAAGAAAGAGGUAGAAAAAAUAUGACUCCAAGUCUUAUUUAGACUCUAAGUCUACAUUGUUCGAGGUAAUAUAAGAAUAUAUGCAGGUGUCUUCAAUUUGCAUGUGUUGAUAAAAUAAAACUAAUUACUGAAAAUGGAUGUUUUAUGUGCACAAUAUCAAACGUUCGCAGGGUUUUAAUAUUUUGUUGCACAGUUGCACCGCACAACUGUACCGAAAGUGACACGAACAUAGUCUUUGAUAGGUUGAUGCAUUAUCAAACUGUCAUCAAUAAAAGCGUUGCUCCUCUAUCUGUAUGGUCCUAGCUAGUACUGAACCAUAUCGUUGUUACCUAAUAAAUUGUGAAUUGUACUGCCUCAUGUGUAAUACAGAUGUGCGUACUCACAAUUUUUCUUUUUCGUAAAGUUUCAGCCAUACUUCUUACUAUCAGGCUGUCUCCAAUAGGAAACUCAUUUGGGAACCCAAAUCUAAAAUAGGUCUCCAACACAAUACCUAUAGCCUCCAACAGAGUACCCAUACAGAAGACUCAUUUUGGAUAUCAGGAGAGGCAUAACCUAAAUUUGGGUAUUCUCUCUCCUCAAGACUCAUUUGCAGAGGGUGUUGUCUUUUAGGUCUUGUUGUUGGAGAAGACUAAAAAUAGGUAUGGAACCUUUUACCUGUAGCGCUACCAAAGGAUAAAUGGGUCUUGUAUUUUGGGUGACGAUUGUUGGAGAUAGUCUCAGUGCUUAUAGUAACUUGGUAUUUGCUGAAAUGUUAGGAUCUGUUUGUUUGAGUUUCUAUUGGUUUCAGCAUGGAUUUAAAAUAAGUUGAAAUAGAUAUUUUUAAAAGAAAUACCUUUUUGAGAAGUAAAUUUCAAAGCUGGCUACUCACUACGGUAGACAACCUAUUUGCCUAGUGUCAAAUAGUUGAUCGAGUGUUUUUUUAUACUCGGCAAAAAAGUUCUUUACCGAAAAAAACACUUAGCAAAGGGGCGUCUUUGCCAGGCGUUUUUUACACUCGGCAAAAACUAUUUUUAUCGAGUGUAAAAAAACACUCGGCAAAGGAAAUUACAAAUCAAUUUUUGAAGCCCUAAACCAAUUCAAAUCAAAAAAAAUGUCAACUACAAAGUUGUUUAUCUUUUCAAGAUCUACAACCUUUAUUUUGGUCAUUUCUUCAUUUGACAAAGUAAAAAUAAAUUUAUUCAUAAAUUUUACAUGUCUCUCUUAUAGUUUAUGAAACUACAAAAAAGAGAUAUAUAAGAUUUGUAAAAAAAAUUAGAAUCACCAUGUCGGAUGAACAAAUGAUCAAACAACCAAAAUAAACUCUAUCGAUCUUAAGAAGUUAUUAAUUUUUGUAUUUGGAAACAUUUUCAAUUGAGUUCAUCUUGUCAUGCAAAACUGCGUCUUUAUUUACAACUUUAAAAAUUUUGAAUUUUUCAAACAACCUAGGAUGGAAAAACUUAGUAAAUAAACUUUUUAGAUCUCAAAAAGUUAUAAAACUUUAUAAUUGAUAAUUUUUGAUUUGAAAUCAUCUUGUCAUGCAAAAACUAUGUUUAAAUUUCUAAAAAUUGAAAUUUAAAUUUUGUAAGCGACCUCGGAUGGAGAAACUCUCUUAAUAAAAAUUGUAGAUCUAAAAAAGUUAUAAAACUUUAUAGUUGACAACUUUUUGAUUUGAAAUUGUUUAGAGCCUCAAAGAAUUAAUUUACACAUGAUUUAGAAUUAUAUAUGAGGAACCGAAAUGCAAUAUAGACACAAGUGAUAGUGUGGUGUAGUGGUUAGAGAGGGAGACACGUGACAUAGAGGUCACAGAUUUGAAUCCCACGAGUCGUAAAGCUACAAAAUUUGUAAAAAAAGAUACUGCAACUUCGACGAAGACGAGCGGGCACUGGCUGUUUGGGGCCUUCCCCGAAAAUAAAAUUCCCACUCGGCAAAGACCGGCCUGCAUAGUGACUUGCUUGAAAAGCAAGUGGCUUUAAAAAAUGUGAAAGAAAAACAAGGUUGAAUUUCAAAGCCAUAACCUAUUUGCUUAACGGAUAAACCAUGCGAUCUGUUGUGAUGAGUGAAAAGUAUUGUUAAAUGGUUGACAGAUUCGACAGAUAGAGCCUAUUUGGGAGCGCUCCGGUUCACACAAGCCGUUUUUCUCUCUCACUAACAGCACUGCAGCACCAAGAGCUAUAGAUUUCCAGACGGCCCAUGGGCUGGCGGCACGGCACGCAGCAUGGCCUUUUGGCAUGGCCCAUGGGCCGGACGGCACGGCACGGCAGGAACCGUGCCCGUGCCGGCACGACACGAAGGCCAGUGCAGUGCAUGGGCCACCGGCCUGGCCCAUGACACGGCACGGCCAGAGGGCCGGCACGGUGGACGGCACGGCCGGCCAGCCCCCCAUCCCACCCUCGCCUCGCCAUAUAAAAGCCUCCACCAACCCUAACCGUCUAACCCUAAUUCAUUCCCCCCACCCCCGCAGCCGCAGUUCUCGCCUCUCCCUGACUCGCUCGCUCAGUCAGAUCUGAUCAAAUCCGCCGCCGGCCCACCGCCGUUUGCCUUGAGCUCGCCGGCCAGUCGGACUUGCUCUGGUGACAUUGACACCUCGCCGGCCACUCGUUCUCGCUCUCCUACCUCCUUUCCCUUUUCGGCGGUCCGGCCUUCCCUCCUCCUCCAGUCCUCCUCAUCUGGUGUACCAUGUGCAUUUGAGUCAUUGAGUUUUCAUUUCUUCCACCGCCACCACUACUCGUUGGUCUAACAGUGCUUGUCUCGUCAUUCUCUGCUUGGAUGCUGACUCCUUGGCUUCUCCUCCGGCACUGGGCUUUGGUGGCAUAGGUGAGUCAAAACCCUAACCCUAGCAUGUUCUUGUUCUUCAUCUUCUUUGCAUCUUCUUUAUUUCAUUUGAUCUAAUGAUCUUCUUCUUCUUGCCUUCAUGUUCUUGUUCUUCACAGGUUGGUGCCUGAUGCUUUGUCCUCCUCCUAUGGAGGCGCGAUAGCAAGGCCAUCCGGCUUGAAGCGCCCCUGUCCACCGUUGAGGGACGGUGCUGGAGCUGCGGCUAGGGGCCGAAACUGGCCUCCCCACCCUCCUAUGGCUGCGGUGACUGUGCCAGUGGUUGCGGAUGAGUACAACCACUGUGCCGAUGGCGAGCACCCCGAGGAGGCCGUGGAGGAGUUGGAGAUCGAGAACGACGACUACACCAUUGAAGACACAGCUGCGCUAUUCGGCAUUGAUUUGGGUGACGGCCAGCACCCGAUUGAUGUUGACGCCGACAAUGGUGAUGGUGGGGUGGAGGUGGACGGCUCCGGGAACACUAAUGCUACCUCAUCUAGUAAUGGUAAGCUCACUGCUGCUUGUUGGGAGGAUUUUGUCCCGAUCCUUGAUGAGAAUGAUGUUAGAACUCAUGCCAUCUGUAAGAGGUGUGGUAAGUGGUUUGCUGCUAGAGCUUCGAUUGGCACUGGUUCCUUGAAUAGGCACAUGGCAGCAUGUAGAAAGAAGCAAGAUAAUGAUCGUAGCGUUUAGUCCAGGCUUUCUAUGAGUGCUAAUGGGUUGCAUAACUGGGUUUAUGAUGUUGCUCGUGCUCGUAAUGAACUAUGCCGGUUGAUUGCUAGGCUGGAUCUUCCAUUAGUCGUUGGUGAAACACAAGCCUAGGAAGAUUACAUUAAGAAUGCUCAUAAUCCUACUUUUGAGAAGGUUUCUAGGUAGACCACUACUAGGGACAUGCAUAAGUUGUUUGCUGAAGAGCGUGCUUUGCUUAUGCAUUAUUUGUUGUCUGCUUGUUCAUCUGUUUCUUUAACAUCUGAUAUCUAGUCUAGUAAUGCUAAGGAAGAUUAUAUCUCUGUUGUUGCUCAUUAUGUUGGUCCUGAUUGGGAGUUGCAAAAAAGGUUAUUGGGUUUAGGCUGAUUGAGUCAUCACAUACUGGUGAAAAUAUUGCUGAGAAAAUUGCUAGUGUGGUUGAGGAGUUUGGUUUGAUUGAUAAGGUCUUUGGUGUGAGUCUUGAUAAUGCUUCUUCUAAUUCUAAGGGUUUUGAUAUCUUGCAACCUAUGUUGUCUGGUUACCUGGGCUCUUAUCCUGCACCUACUAAGGAUGAUCCUCACAAAGUCAAGUAUUUGCUUGUGCAUCAGCGUUGUGCAUGCCAUAUUAUUAAUCUGAUUGUUAAGUCUGGCUUAAAGAGGUUUAGUCCUUAUCUUGAUGCUUUUAGGACAACAAUCAACUAUUUGAAUUCCUCUAAUCAAAGGAUUGUAUUGUUUAAGAACUAUUGCAUUGCUAAGGGUGUUAGACCUAGAAAGUUUGGAUUGGAUAUGGAUGUUAGAUGGAAUUCCACCUAUUUGAUGCUUAAACAUUUGCUGCCAUAUAAAGAUGUGUUUUUUGUGUGGAUUGAGUCAAACUAUGGUGAGCAACUGUUGACUCCCCAGCACUGGUAUGCUGUUGACUAGAUUAUGAAAUUUUUGGAGAUGUUUUAUCAUGCAACUGUUGCUUUGUCUGGUGUUUACUAUCCCACUACUCCACUUAUGAUGCAUCAUAUCCUUGACUUUGCUGAGCAUUUGCAUAAAGCUAAAAGUGAUCCUGGAUUUAGAAGUAUUGCAGCUCCUAUGAAACUUAAGUUCCUUAAGUAUUGGGGGGACAUUCCAUUGUUGUAUUCUUAUGCAUUCAUUCUGGAUCCUAGAGCUAAGAUGAAAGGCUUUUUUAAUAUGCUUGAGUUACUUACUAAACAGACUGGUACCUAUUAUUGUGUUUACUAUGGUGAUGUGAAAGAUAAGAUGACCAGAUUGUUUAGCAAGUAUGAGGAGAGAUAUGGUGCACCUCGGUCUCUAAGGCCUCCUAUGCCUAGUGCUCCUUCAGGUAAAAGGAAGCAAGUAUGGGGAAAGAUCUAUGGUGGUCCUCGUGCUUCCUCUGGUUGUUCCCCCAGUUCAUCUUCUACAUCUGGUGUCAAUGAGCUGAUAGCUUACUUGGGCAGUGACACUGUCACUAAUUGGGGGGAGUCUUUUGACAUACUAUUGUGGUGGCGUGACCACAACCUAACCUAUCCCAUCUUAUCGAUAAUGGCUCGCGAUAUCUUGUCUGUUCUUGUAUCUACUAUGUCUUCAAAGUCGUGUUUCAGCUGUACAGCAAGGAUACUCGAAGACUGGUGGCGGCGCUUGUUGCCUGAGCAUGUGGAGAUGCUCACCUGCAUCAAGGAUUAGGAUCAAGAAGCAAGAAAAGAACAGCAUGCACCUGAGGAUGUCGACCUGGAGGAGUUGUUUGAGAGCAUGCACCUAGAUGAAGGUGAAGGCAGCGGAAGCGGCACUAGCAGCGGCGGUACUAUUGGUGCUGGUGCUGGUGCUGGAUAGAAGAAAUCUGCAGAAGGAGAGGUAGUCAUCACUGUCUCACUAAACCUAUACAUCAUGAAUCAUCAAGUCCCAUCACUGUUCACUGAAACUUGUUCUAUUUUUGUAGGUACUUUUGGACUUUUGGUUGUGGUUGUCAAGAAGUGAGUCACCAUGAAGCAUGAACCUUGCAAAUUGCCACUUGCCACUAUUGGGCUUUUGUAAUAGGAUAGAAGGACAUUUGCAUUGCAGCAGCUUCCUCACUUCCUGUUGUGAAGUGUGAACUCACUCAUUUGCCACCGAUGUUGCCAUGUUGGCUAUAUUGUAAUUGUAAUAGGAUAGAACUGUCUAAACUAAGAACUAUGACUAAGACUGAGCCGGUUGUACUCUUUUCUAGGGUUUCUCACAAGGGUGAGUUUUACCUAGAAAGGUUUUUAAUGAGGAAACAUUGCACAACAGCUCCUUUUGAAGUUUGAUAAUCUGUUAUUUGUUGUUCAAUCACUUGUUCUUUAGUUCUUUACUUUCUAAGUUUCUAUAUAUUUAUGUGAUGUUUAUGCAUCUAUGAGACUAUGAAUGACUUAUGAAUGUGAUCUGAUCUGUCAUCUGUGAAGUUAAAAUGUCAUCUAUGAGACAUUGAGACUAUGAAGUGAAAAUGAAGAGGUGAGUAGAUCUAAGCCUUUGAAAGCUGGCAAUUUAGAGUAUACUCUACUGAUGGGCCGUGGGCCAGCACGACACGGUGAAAAUGGUCGUGGCCCAUGGGCGGCACGAUACAGAAAUCCAGCCCAUGUGCCAUGCUGUGGGCCGAUGUCCUGGACCAUGGCACGGUUAGGCACGGCACGGCCAGCACGGCCGACACGCUGUAGUGUCGUGUCGGCACGGCACGACGUGCCUACGUGUCGUGCCGGCAUGACACGAUGGCCAUGUAUACCAAGACCUAGAAAAUCAAGCUUUUUCGGCUUUGGCUCCCGUGUGCUACAGUUACAGUCUCGAAGCCGGAGCCAGCCAGAGCCCUCCCGAUUGGACUCUUAAUCUUAAGCGAACAAGAUCGACAAAAACUCAAACAAACAAUUGCAUGACCUAAACUGAUUUUAUAUUCAUGAGAAACAUCAUGCAUAUGUCCAUACCAUGCAGUGUCAAUGGGAUCGUGAACGUUGGACCAUGCGGCUUGAGCUACUAGACUAUCCUGUGCUCUCUGCUUCGCUAAAAAAAUCUUUGAACAAUAAAGAUUAGACCAAGAGGGACCCCAUUAGAGUUAGCAUGACUACUUAGAAUGCCUCAAGUCACCGUAACUAGGGAUGAAAACAUGAUAGAUAUUUUCAUCAAUUUCGAAAGGUUUGGACCCUACUGGGAUAAUCCAUAUAUAUGACCUUUGAAUUUAAUAUCCAUACCAUACUGUUGACAACUAAAUUUUUCCAUUUUCUGAGGUUGUCAAAAUGUGGAACAGACUUCACCAUUGCGUUCCUCUCAUCAAGACAAUCAAAAAUUAUAUAUGGAACGUCUAAUUAGGAGUUCGGAUGAAGAAGUUAUUCUCUCGAGAAGAUGCUCCGCUAUCGAGAGUUCUGACCCAAGUCGGGAGUUCUGACAUACGUCAGAAGUUCUAACUCAUGUCGGUGUCCCGGCUGACUCGAGAGAGGUGUUUUGACACCACCCUACGAAUCCCCUUAGUAGCAUCUAGUGUCUUGAUUUACAGCACUGCGUCCCAAAGUGAUCUCCUCAGGGGGUGUCUAUGCUCGGUGCAGCAAUACUCUAGAGUGGCUUGCAAAUCCGGGUAGUAGCGGUUCAACACCAGCACCAGUAGUUCAUGGAAGAAAGCCUUGGGGUCUGACUCUGGAAACCAGAUGACUGAAGUCUAACCCAUCCGUGUAUUAGCUAGUUGAGCAGGCUGUUGACGGUCCUUAAGUACCAAAUAUAAUCAUCAAAUAAAUAAAAAAAAGGAUCCAAAUGCAACCAACACCUAGACUUAGGGUUUUAUCUGACAGAAUUCCACGAGUUUUGGUGUUUGUCUAUUUCUGUAGGGGGUUAUCAGGAAAUAUGGAGGAAAGGCCCACACGUCGGGUUUACCUAGAGAUAUUAAUGUGCCGCGCAAUUUUCUAUCAUCUAGAAGACUCCAGAAGCCACAGGAACGAACGGGAAGCCGAGCGGGCUCGGGGGCAGGGCGCCCGCCCUCCCCCCUUGGGCGCCUGCCCUGUCUCACAGUCCAAUCAGGACUCUCUUCAGGGAUUACGCUCCACCGACCUAAAGGACCAAGAAUAACCGUUCAAUCAAUGUCGGUUUGAUCCGACGACCCAGAUUCACUUGAGGGGACUAUAUAAGCAGACCCCCUGGCCCCUGGAGGAGGCACCCCUUGAUCAUUAUUCAUUAUUCAUAGACAGAGCAAAAGCUAGGGUUUAGAGAUGAGAGCUCUCCUCUCUUCUCUAAACUAGAGUAGAUCUAGAUAGUAGCGAGAUGGAGAGCGAAGGAGGAUUAGAGGAGAGGCCGGCCUGUCGGUUCUUCCUCCAGUUGUACUUCACCAUGAUCAAGCUCUAAUCAAGCUUGCUCAUGGGAUGACUCUGGUAAUCUACUUCUAAUUCAUUAUGCAAUUACUAAUCAUGUAUGUUCUAGUUCACAACUCUUUUGAGUACUUCUAAUCUAUAGGACCCUAUAGGUUAGAGUUGUAGUAUAGGUGUAAGUGUGGUGCUUAGACCUAGAUUACUUGUGGAUAUCCCCUGUCUAGCUGGAUCGUGUGGUAGGCCGCGUAGGUGACAGUUACGUUGGUCCCCUGUAGUCCACCUCAUGUUAGCAGACUUGUAGGGUUUAUCGGCCUAUGGAUAAGCAUCCAUUGUGGUGUAUUCUUAUCACGUGGUUCGUCCCAGACAUAGCCAUACCCCUAUGAAGUAGAGAAACCAUAGUUAUUGUCUCUAUUUUGCUACCAUCGCCCAUAUAUUAGAUUGCUCUACUCUCUAUUCCCAUAUUAUCACUUAUUGUUAUCUUACCUUUAAUAUUGUUCUUAUUUAAUUCUACCAUCUUUUCUAUUUACACUUAUCUAUCUAUCUUGGUUAAGUUAGAGCGUAGUUGGUUCUCCCAUUUCCCUGUGGAUACGAUAAAACCUUUAACCGAGUAAAAGCUACAACGGUAUCCGUACGCUUGCGGAUUAUCUGUGUGCGUAUAAAUACUAUAGUACACUCUAGUGCCAUGCUGGGGAUGACAACCUAGUAUUCAAGUGGUGUUAGCAAGUGUCAACAAGCAUUUUUGGCGCCGUUGCCGGGGAAACGGUUGCUGAGUUGACUACGAACUAGCUUAAUCAUUUUCUAAAAAAAAUAAAAAUAAAUAUAUAUAUAUAUAUACUUUUCCUUUUAUCUUUUGCCUUAUCUCUACAAUUCUUUCUUCUUAUUUAAUCCUUGAUCUAUGGUCUAUCAUGAAUUCAAACAUGUCUAUCUAUGAAUUUAAUAGACCUAUGGGCACACAUCUCGAACCACCAAAAUCUUCAAAGCCUAUCAUGACAUCUAGCUUUGAGAUAAGCUCGGAAUACAUAGAAUUUCUUCAAAAACAACCUUUCUCAGGAGAAGGUGAGGAAAACCUAUACACACACCUAAGAGAGUUUUAUCGAGUCUGUGACCUCCUUCGCAUUGAAGGCAUGUCUGAUGAGACCCUUAAAUAGAAGCUCUUUCCGUUCUCUUUAACGGGAAAAGCUAGACAUUGGUAUAAACUCAACAUAGGAAGUGCUCAUGGAGAUUGGAAGGAGCUAUACAAUAGUUUUCUCUCUAAAUAUUUUCCGAUCUCCAAAGUGGCAGAUCUUUGGCUCAAGAUUCUUUCUUUUAGACAAUUAGAAGAAGAAUCUCUUGGCGAAUCAUGGGACCGCUUUAUUGACCUUACUCUCACUGGCCCAAAGCUCUCUAUUCCAGAACAAGUUCUUCUAUUUCACUUUUUAAGGGCCUUAGUAGGAAAAAUAAGCAAACCCUUCAUGCGGCCUCUGGAGGAUCUUUCCACCACCUAUCCACUAGUGAAGCUUGGAAUUUGAUUGAUUUAAUGAGCGGAAAGUCUCCUAGCUUUUAUAUCCCUGAGAAAGAGAAAGAACCAGUUCCUAGACAAGAAGAAGAAGUUUUGAUAGCUAGAUCACAACCACUUCAAUCCCAAACUUUAGCUAUCGAUCCUAAACCAUCAAUACCCCAAAUUUCUCCAAGGGAGGAAGGAAUUCCGACCUUAAAUCUUUCAGAUGCUGAUGGUUUAGACUUCAGGUUCCAUAAGAGACCUUCAAGCAGGGAUAAUCCAAGUCCUUGCAAUAAUGGUUCUCUUAGAGAAUGUCCUGGUUCCUGUUAUGAAGAAGUCGAGGAUGACAUAUCAAGUGAAGGAGAGCUAAGCCAUAUAGAAAAUUCUAUCAGCUCCCCUUUCCUGAUCACAAGUUCCAAAUGGCUAGAAUGUGUAGAAUGGAUGGAUAAGGAAGAAGCUUAAAUGGAUUCUGACUUUGGCUCAAUUUCAAAUGGUGAGUUCUUGACUCCCUUUGAAGAUGGGAUUCAUCCAACUAUAGAAGAGGACAUAAGUGAGACCAAUCUAGGAGAAACUCCGAACAUUCAAAUUGGAGACGAAGAUAACAUUAAUGAGCAUGGAAUUUAUUUCAUAUCCACUUCAUUUACUCCAUGCUCAUAUGCAACAUCUUCCCAAUCUAUUGGUCUCUCGAACAUCACCACAUUUGAGAUCUCCAACCCCCUCUUCCUUUCUAUUUAUAAAAACUUUAAAAUGGCGGUUGUCGACGCAUAUGUCUAUAAUAAAUAUUGUAGAUCUCGUUGAGUUGAUCUUGAUAUAGGUCAGCGUUGGAAGGGAAACCACUUCGCCGACAUAAAUUGAUGGUUUCCCAAGGACAAGCUUAGUGUCAUGAAAUAAGCAUUGAUCAGAUUGUAACAUGAGCUUUUAAUUAUUUGCAACAUUACCUUGUGUAUUGAGCAUAUAAGGAUAAUUGUAAAAAUAUUCCUUCGGGUAUUCUUGUCACUAACCUUUGUAGGAUUGGAGCAAGAAGAUCGGAUGAAUGACAAGCACAAGGUAUGUCCAACCAAUCAUCAUACAACAUUGAAUUUAAUCCAAACUUGAAUUUUGCAAAAUUCAAGCUUGGGGGAGUACUUUACAUAAAAACAUCCUUUGCCAUGUUGCUAUGCUGGUUGUCCCUACCUUUGAGACAUGCUCAAUUUGUUAAUACUAAUCACACUACUUCAUCUCCACUUGAGUAGAUCUCUAUAAAUGCUGUCAUGCUACCUUUGUCUAUUUACUAGCAAGUGUUGGUUUGGAAGUACUCGACAUACUUCCAUUGGCUUUAAAUUAAGCAUGGUGCUUAGGUUAAAUAGCCUUCCUUGAUCUGAUUAGAAAUGGAGUCUAGUUUGGUUACUGAACUAAAAACUGCUUGAGUAGAUAUUGGUAUAUUUUGUCGGACUAACCCCUGCAGGAAAACUUUCAAUAUCAACCUGGGAAGUCCUGAGAUAAACUCACAUUGGAGACAAGGAGAGAGACACAUGGAGUUUAACAAUUUACACAAGGAAGACGUAGCUCAUAAGAGAUGAUCCAUGGAGGGUACCACAAACAUGAUGCACAACCGCUAAGAAAGGAAAGCUUCCACAAGGUGAUAUUGUAUCGUCACUCUUCAAGUAAGGUAACAUCUUAAGGUACUUGACUAUCACUUUUAUAAGCUUUUCCUUGGUUCUGGCGUUCACAUAAAUAAAGAGACAAACAUGUAUGAUUUAUAACUCCAAAUUAACCAAAACAACUGAUUUAGCAUGUUUAGUCCUUUAAUCUUUGUUCCUAGUACUACCUCCAUGAACCCACACUCCUAACCAUAUGAGCUAAAAUGUUACACAUUCAAUCUUUGAGAGAUAUAAAGAAAAAGACAUAUACAUAGAUAGAUUAUCUCUCCAUAAGGUUGAGCGAUCUGAUCUGACAAAUGUUUUAAAUACUACACUCAUGACCUUAUUAUCCAUCAAAUUUGUCUUGCUCACUAUGCUUAAGGUUAGAGAAGAGCAAAUACACUUUUGGUUCUGUUGGUGUUUUCCACCAAAAGGACCCAUGCACUUGAUCUCUGCCUUGUCUCUAUGAGCAGGUACACUUCAAGCAAAACAUGGUGGAGUUUUUCAACUCCCAGAAUCUACCAAGUGAAGGACUUGGAUCUACGAGCACAAACACACUGAGCAAGAUACUGCCAAUGCCGCACUUCGAACUGCUGGGCAAACAAAGAACAUGGGUGACACGUAUCAUGAGGUACAUACGUCAAGGUCCACACCUGAAUCAAAUGGCGCACCUAAAGAAUGAACACGGUGAGAUGUCUUGUUCAGAAGACUUAAAACAUUGAACCCUCACCGAAAGGUAAAAUCGAUAGUUAUCCAUAUUUAUCCUUUCUGCAUUCCCUUUUCCCUUUAAUUACCUACUUUCCUUAAUUGGCUUGUUAGUUAAUCAUGCUAUCUUGAAAAGAAAUUAAAAAUGUUAAAAAUAGUAUGCCCACGUGUACUAUGCUCGUGGCAUAAAACCCAUAAGUACAUUCACUGUGGUGGCGUAAAAAUAUUCCUAUCCUAUAAAAAUGAAAAUAUAAAAAUAAAUUUAUGAUCCUACCAAAGAGAGUAAUAUUUAUUAGAGGAAGCUCAACAUGAUAAAGGCAAAGAGAUUUUUAUGCUAACACUUAACCAGUUCCACAAAGCUUUGUUGUCUAUUUGAGCUCCACAGAAUUCAAGGAUCAAAGAAGAUUAGCAAACGGAGGACAUCCUAAUCGUUGUCAGGGUGCUGCCGACAUUCAAAUACACCUCCGCCACCUGCUAGCUACAUCAGAAGAAAUUACGUCAAAAUCCAGCUUGGGGGAGAGCACCCCCAUUUAUCCAGCUAAGUGUUUCUACUCAUGUUUAUACUUUACUCAAAUAAUAAAAAGAUGCAUAAUCAUAAAAACCCAAAUAAAGAUUUUGUGCUUAUAUAUAUAUAUAUAUAUAUAUAUAUAUAUCUUUGCUUAGUUUGCUAAAUAAAUAAAUAAAUAAAGUUUGCUAUGAACCCUUAUGAUAAGCUCUCACGUGGAAAUAUAUGAUGAAUAGUUGCUCUACCAUGACUAGUCCUCAAAACUAAAUUCUCUCUCAAGUUUAGGCAUGACUGUUAUGAAUUAAGAUUUGCUCUAAACCUGAACUUGUGGGAGGAGUACCUGAUCAAAAGUCUAAGUCGUUAACACAUAUGAUAUGGGAAGGUUGAGCUGCUGUUUAUCUGUUCCUAGAGAUGCUAGAAUUUUGGAGAAUUUUAUCUUUGAAAAUCUUUAAAAUGUUGCAUGAUGAGUUCCUGUAUGAUGAGAGUUUAAAAUCCUACCACAGCCAUAUAUACAUGCUUGUUAGACUAUGAACCAUACAUUUACUUUUUACUGCUUAUGAACAUUGAGUGUGGUCAAGCUGUGUAGACCCUUAGGAGCUUGUCAUGCGGUUAAAAUCAAGAUUCACUUGCACGUUCACUCAUACAUGCUGCUUCUACUCCGGAAGUACGCAUCAACAUACAUCCACUCCUUUCCAUCUCCAGAUUCACCCAAAAUUAUUCUACUCCUAUCUGGGAGAGAAUAGCCAAAAACAUUAUCCUAUCCCUGUUAUUCCCCGUGAAAUAAAUGCUCGAGAUAUUUUGGUUACUACCACUUGCUACAUUAUUUCAGGAGGGUGAGUGCUCUAAAAAAAGGAGAAGAAAAAAAAGAAAAGAAAAGAAAAAAGUGAAUACGAGGAAAUAAAAAGGGGCAAGUGCCCGGAACCUCGAAAGAAAAGAAAAAGUGAGACGAGAGGUAAAAAUGGACAAGUGUCCGAUAGUAGAAUUAGGGGUACAAGAUACCCACCUGAAAAAAAGAAAAAUAUAUAUAGAGCAUCUCAUUCUCCUCAAAAAGCUUCAAAGUGCAAGCAACGUAUGUAUCUCCUAAAAAGAGCAAAAGUAGAAUUAGACUUUCACUAUUGUCAUCACCAUUAUCGCCAUUCAUUUGCCACACAUGCACAUCUUGAUUUGACUUAUUGACUAGUUCUUCUGGAUCCAUGGUUUGACUAUGCAAUAAAUGUGUUGUAAGUAUGUAUACUCUAUCUCCCACCUAUGAGCUCUAGAUAUCAAAACCUUAUUAGAGUAGGGUGAGAGAGAAGGCAAUGUCACUAUGCCUCAUACCAAAAACACCACAUACUUUGAGAGAAGGCAUAUACCAUCACUGCCUUGGUAAGGAUCUAGAAAUACCACAAAAGAGAGAUCUGAGAGAGUCAUACAAAGGAAUCUCUGAGUUUUAUUUGAAAAUCUGCAAAAACUCUAGAGCUAUAGUUGAUCAAAGAACAAGAGACAUGGUGCUUGACAUGACCGUUCUAUCUUUUAACUGCUCAAGACACAAGUGACGGUUGCAAGCCCCAUGGUGGAAGGUAAUAUGAGUAAGUUUAAAUCUUAACAGUUUACCUUAACCUAGAGAUGAGAUCUUGUUUGAACGCAUGUGUACCUUUAAGGCAUAAAACCACUGCAGAAACUCUUGAGUCCAUCCUUGCUCAGGGACGAACAAGAGGUAAGCUUGGGGGAGUUGUUGACAGUCCUUAAGUACCAAAUAUAAUCAUCAAAUAAAUAAAGAAAAGGAUCCAAAUGCAACCAACACCCAGACUUAGGGUUUUAUCUGACAGAAUUCUAUGAGUUUUGGUGUUUGUCUAUUUCUGCAGGGGGUUAUCAGGAAAUAUGGAGGAAAGGCCCACACGUCAGGUUUACAUAGAGAUAUUAACGUGCCGCGCAAUUUUCUAUCAUCUAGAAGACUCCAGAAGCCACAGGAACGAACGGGAAGCCGAGCGGGCUCGGGGGCAGGGCGCCCGCCCUACCCCCUUGGGCGCUCGCCCUGUCCCAGAGUCCAAUCAGGACCAAGAAUAACCGUUCAAUCAAUGUCGGUUUGAUCCGACGGCCCAGAUUCACUUGAGAGGACUAUAUAAGCAGACCCCCUGGCCCCUGGAGGAGGCACCCCUUGAUCAUUAUUCAUUAUUCAUAGAUAGAGCAAAAGCUAGGGUUUAGAGAUGAGAGCUCUCCUCUCUUCUCUAAACUAGAGUAGAUCUAGAUAGUAGCGAGAUGGAGAGUGAAGGAGCAUUAGAGGAGAGGCCGGCCUGUCGGUUCUUCCUCCGGUUGUACGUCGCCAUGAUCAAGCUCUAAUCAAGCUUGCUCAUGGGAUGACUCUGGUAAUCUACUUCUAAUUCAUUAUGCAAUUACUAAUCAUGUAUGUUCUAGUUCAUAACUCUUUUGAGUACUUCUAAUCUAUAGGACCCUAUUGGUUAGAGUUGUAGUAUAGGUGUAAGCGUGGUGCUUAGACCUAGAUUACUUGUGGAUAUCCCUGUCUAGCUGGAUCGUGUGGUAGGCCACGUAGGUGACAGUUACGUUGGUCCCCUGUAGUCCACCUCUUGUUAGCAGGACGGGUAGGGUUUAUCGGCCUAUGGAUAAGCAUCCUUUGUGGUGUAUUCUUAUCACGUGGUUCGUCCCAGACAUAGACAUACCCCUUUGAAGUAGAGAAACCAUAGUUAUUCUCUCUAUUCUGCUACCAUCGCCCAUAUAUUAGAUUGCUCUACUCUCUAUUCCCAUAUUAUCACUUAUUGUUAUCUUACCUUUAAUAUUGUUCUUAUUCAAUUCUACCAUCUUUCCUAUUUACACUUAUCUAUCUAUCUUGGUUAAGUUAGAGCGUAGUUGGUUCUCUCAUUUCCCUGUGGAUACGAUAAAACCUUUAACCGAGUAAAAGCUACAACAAUAUCCGUGCGCUUGCGGAUUAUCUGUGUGCGUAUAAAUACCAUAGUACACUCUAGUGCCAUGCUGGGGAUGACAACCUAGUAUUCAAGUGGUGUUAGCAAGUGUCAACACAGGCUGUGGUGGGGGUGGAUCCUACAUUUCCUCAUCCUCAGGCACAUCCUCCUCGUGAGCUUCGACCCAUGAUUCCUCAUUUGCCAGUUCAGGAACACCCUCCAUAUGCUGCCCCCUUGGGUUGAACAGGGCAUGGUACUCCUCAGCAGUUAUGCGUGCAGCACUACGGGUACGGGGCAGCAUCUAUAAAAAGUUUUUAGACAUAGAUCAGAUAGAUCAAGUAAUUUCACAAUAGAAUAAGAUUGCGAAGCAAUAGAAUAAAACUUUUAACAAAUAAAAGGCCAUAGUGGGAAGCACAAAGUAAGUAAAGUAAAGGACCUAAAUUUUCGACCAUUACUAACUAGGUUUGCGUCCUACAGUCAACAAAGCUUUGAUACCAAUUUGUCACACCCAUAUUUCAAGAACAAAAUAGGAUGUAUAAAAGACUCAUGUGCGCUCUAGAAACAGUCGCACACAUAAGUAGACAAAUCUCAAAAGUAUCAUUGCAGUGUUUAUUACAUAGUAGAAUAAUAAUGAUCACAUAGUCUUAUACAAUAAUGAUAAAUAAGGAUAAAUAACUCUCUCAACGGAAGCAUCACAUAGGGACAAACGUUGACUGGUUGACUUCAAACCUAAUACUCAUAUCGAUAGUCCUCAAUCCAAUCAUCAUCAUUUGCAUAACCUGAGGUGUUGGGAAAUUGCAAGAGUAAGCACAUAUCGUACUCAACAAGUAUAACCAGGGGUUCAUCAGGCUCAAAUAGCUGACACUGGUUUAACUGCAUUUAGCUUUUAAUUGUAGAUAGCAUGUUCAUAAUUAAAUGGCAAUUAUCAAGGUAGCAUAAAUAAAUCCCAUAACCACAUGAUCAAAUGUAAGCAUAAUUAAUUCAUAUCAUAAACGAUAAACAAAUGAACAUAAUAACAUAACAAGCUCAUCAUCUUAAAGUAGAUGUCCCCAAGGCCGCUCUUGACCGUGAGCUCGCCUAGUAUACUAGUUUUAACACUCUGCAAGAGGUUGUACAUCUUUACCUAUGAGUUAUGUUUUACCCUUUCGCCCGAGGUAGCUAAUCUCUUAACCCCUUCUUAGGGAGGUCGGCAGGGAUCACUAUAAAGCCUUUGAAAAAUUCAUCUAACAUGUUAGGGCCGCAAGGUUUCCCGGGCGCGCAGAUAUGAAGCCCCCCUUCCAAUGGCACAAUGACUCGCAGCCUAUAUACAUAAAGACAGAGGCCACACUAUACCCAAAACGGCAAGCCCCUCUAGCGCCUUUUCGGGUAACCGCUAACAAGCUAGAAAAGGUCUUCAUAUUGUGCUAAAGCCAGAGCCAUUAUAGCCCUCAUGGUUGCACUAUUAUCCCGGGUGAUCACGUACAGACAAGAUCUCAUACAGCUAUUUGUCAUCUUUUUAUGUUCAUUGUGUAGCUAUUAAUCAUCUUACGAGAUCAAGGAUUAUUUCAAGCACUAGCAAAACUACACCAAAUGCAUAUCAAGUAGGUAACAAGGAAUCCAGGUAACAAUCAUCUAUGAUUUUAGUAAGGUUGACAAGGUGGACACAUGCAUAUAUAUAUAUAUAUAUAAGUGUGUAGAUAACUUGGAUAGUCCCAAGUUAUACCUGUCUUGAUCAAAGCUCUCCUGAGCAUGCUGCUGGUCGUCAAAAGCUUGGUCUUGCACACCAAUGUACAACUCACCCUCUAUUCGCAAACAUCAAUCAACAACACGCAUUCCAAUGGAGACAAUCAUACACAAAACAAACAAGCUAUAAUUAGAACAUUACACCGACAAUGAUAAAUCAAAUAUAAAAGUUUAUAAAAAUAUUCUAUGCAACGCUAUGAUCAAACAAACAUAAACAUCACGAAAAUCAGAAUUACAACAUAUAAGUUAUGAAUUUUCUAAGAUUUCAUAUAGAAAAAUAAUUAAUUAAAUGCUACUACUAAAUUAAAAAGAUUCAAACCAGAGAAACAGUACCACUAACAUGUAGAGCUCAUAAUUAUGAAUCUAACGGAAUUUGAAUGGGCCAAAAUGGAGUUAAAAUGAGUAUUUGAUAAGCAAAACAAUUCCAGUGGCAAUUCUGUAAAUAUCUGAAAACGCAUUUGAGCACAACUGGCCAGGAAUACGCUUUCGAAGUUGGAAAGCGUAAUCUUUCUCAGAGCGCCAUGGACCGCGGGUUAGUACUCAAAUUUUAUAGGGACUCUUUAGUAAGAUAAGCAUCAAAGGGGUAUCUUCUUUUGUGAGCCGUUGGUUCACGAUCCGACGGCCGAGAUCCGUUCUAGGGAAGAAAGAGGGGAACGCCAGCGGCGGGCUGGCCGGAACAGGACCUCCCCGUGGCGGCACCAUUGGAGAGCUCACCGGAGCCAACUGAUCUCGCGUUUCUGGGCGCUAGGGAACAAAAGGAAAGCACCGGGCAGAGGAGGAGCUUUCCCUGAGGUCACCUACACGCUUGAUUCGGCCUGAGAGAGAGAGUAGGGAGAGCUCGCCGCGGUGGAGAGAGAGAGAGCUUGGUCUCGGUGAGAUCUAAACCUCAGCUGAAAAGGACGGCUAGGGUUCGGUUUUGCGACGAAAACUGAAAGCAACAUGUAGGGGUGCUGCUGGGAGCUUUAUAGGGCUCGGGUAUUCUCUUAGACGUGUAAAUCUCGAAGAAUCCGAGGUGGGAUUGUUCCCUGGCUGAGUCCAGCUCGGUGACGGCGCGAGGAAGAUGAAUAGGGCGCUGCCACAUGGGCCCGAGCUGCCGGUGAGAAAGGAAGGUGGGACCCGGUCAUCAAUCAAACAAAGAGAGAGAGGAGGGCCAGGCGCACGCGUGGACUAGGCCGCGCAAUGGGCCGAGGCGAGGGGGAGAAGCCAGGGUGUUGACGGUCCUUAAGUACCAAAUACAAUCAUCAAAUAAAUAAAGAAAAGGAUCCAAAUGCAACCAACACCCAGACUUAGGGUUUUAUUUGACAGAAUUCCACGAGUUUUGGUGUUUGUCUAUUUCUGCAUGGGGUUAUCAAGAAAUAUGGAGGAAAGGCCCACACAUCGGGUUUACAUAGAGAUAUUAACGUGUGUGCCAAUUUUCUAUCAUCUAGAAGUGUCUAGAAGCCACAGAAACGAACGGGAGGCCGAGCGGGCCUAGGGACAGGGCGCCCCCCCUCCCCCCUUGGGCACCCGCCUAGGUGUCUCGGCCAAUCAGACCCCGCCUCGCGGAUCAUGCUCAACUGACCUAAAGGAUUAACGAAAAUCGUGCGAUUAAGGUCAGUUUGAUCCGAUGGCCCACGUUCAUUUGGAAGGGCUAUAUAAGCAAGCCCCCUGGCCCCUGGAGGAGACGACAUCUGCAUCCCCUAUUCAAUAUUCAUAGACAGAGCAAAAGCUAGGAUUUAGAGAUGAGAGCUCUCCUCUCAUCUCUAAACUAGAGUAGUUCUAGAUAGUAGCGAGAUGGAGAGCGAGGGAGGACUGGAGGAGAGGCCGGCCUGUCGGUUCUUCCUCCGGUUGUACUUCGCCAUAAUCAAGCUCUAAUCAAGCUUGCUCAUGGGAUGACUCUGGUAAUCUACUUCUAUUUUAUUAUGCAAUUACUAUCCAUGUAUGUUCUAGUUCAUAACUCUUUUGAGUACUUUAAUCUAUAGGACGCUAUAGGUGAGAGUUGUAGUAUAGGUGUAAGCGUGGUGCUUAGGCCUAGAUUACUUGUGGAUAUCCCGUGUUAGCCGGAUCGUGUGGUAGGCCGCGUAGGUGACAGCUACGUUGUCCUCUGUAGUCCACCUCCUGUUAGCAGCACUGGUAGGAGUCCUUGACCUUAGGUAUAUGCAUCCUCUAUGUUAUUUUAUACUUACGGUAUGCCACAGACAGACAUACCCCUUUGAAGUAGAGGUACCCUAGUUAUCCUCUCUAUUCUCCUAUUAUCGCCCAUAUAUUAGAUUGCUCUACUCUAUAUUUCACCAUUAUCAUUUUACCUUUAAUAUUGUUCUUAUUCAAUUCUAUCACAUUUCCUAUUUACACCCACCUGUCUGUCUUGGUUAAGUUAGAGCAUAGAUCAGUUCUCCCGUUUCCCUGUGGAUACAAUAAAAACCUUUAACCGGGUAAAAGCUACAACGAUAUCUGUGCGCUUGCGGAUUUAUCUUUGUGUGUAUAAAUACCAUGGUACACUCUAGUGCCAUGCUGGGGAUGACAACCUAGUAUUCAAGUGGUGUUAGCAAGUGUCAACAAGCUUUUUGGCGCCGUUGCCGGGGAGACGGUUGCUGAGUUGACUACGAACUAGCUUAAUCAUUUUUCUAAAAUUAAUAAAAAUAAAGAAAAUAUAAUAUAUUUUUCCUUCUAUCCUUUGCCUCAUCUAUACUAUUCUUUCUUCUUAUCUAAUCCUUGAUCUCUGGUCUAUCAUGAAUGCAAACAUGUCUAUCUAUCAGUUUCAUAGACCUAUGGGCACACAUCUCAAACCACCAAAAUCUUCAAAGCCUAUCAUGACAUCUAGUUUUGAGAUAAGCUCGGAAUACAUAGAAUUUCUUCAAAAACAUCCUUUCUCAGGAAAAGGUGAGGAAAACCCAUACACACACCUCGAAGAAUUUGGACGAAUCUGUGACCUCCUUCGCAUAGAAGGCAUGUCCGAUGAUACCCUUAAAUGGAAGCUCUUUCUGUUCUCUUUAACGGGAAAAGCUAGACAUUGGUAUAAACUCAACGUAGGAAGUACUCAUGGAAAUCGGAAGGAGCUAUACAAUAGUUUUCUCUUUAAAUAUUUUCCGAUCUCCAAAGUGGUGGAACUUCAGAUUGAGAUUCUUUCUUUAAGACAACUAGAAGAAGAAUCUCUUGGCCAAUCAUGGGACCGCUUUAUUGACCUUACUCUCACUGGCCCAAAUCUUUCUAUUCUAGAAGAAGUUCUUGUAAUUCACUUUUUAUGGGCCUUAGUAUGGAAAAUAAGCAAACCCUUAAUGCGGACUCUGGAGGAUCCUUCCACCGCCUGUCCACUAGUGAAGCUUAGAAUUUGAUUGAUUUAAUGAGCGAAAAGUCUCCUAGCAUUAUAUCCCUAAGAAAGAGAAACAAUCAGUUCCUAGACAAGAAGAGAAAGUUUCGAUAGCCAAAUUACAACCACUUCAAUCCCAAACUUUAGCUAUCGAUCCUAAACCAUCAGUACCCCAAAAUUCUCCAAGGGAGGAAGGAAUUUCGACCUUAAAUCUUUCAGAUGCUGAUGGUUUAGACUUCUGGUCCCAUAAGAGACCUUCAAGCAGGGAUAAUUCAAAUCCUUGCAAUAAUGGUUCUCUUAGAGUAUGUCCUGGUUCCUGUUAUGAAGAAGUUGAGGAUGACAUAUCAAGUGAAGGAGAGCUAAACCAUAUAGAAGAUUCUAUCUGCUCCCCUUCCAUGUUCACAAAUUCUAAAUCUAUCCUUGACCUUAGAGAACCCUCUUAUCCCUCUCCUUUUCAGUCUCAUGAUGAUCCUAGCAAUCCAUCAAGACGAUCAAACCAUAGGAGUCUUAAAGACCAUGAGGAUGACAUGUCAAGUAAUGUCAUAGAAGGAGAGCUAAGCCAUAUAGAAAAUUCUAACACCUCCCCUUUCCUGAUCACAAGUUCUAAAUGGCUAGAAUGUGUAGAAUGGAUGGACAACGAAGAAGCCUUAAUGGAUUCUGACUUUGGCUCAAUUUCAAAUGGAGAGUUCUUGACUCCCUUUGAAGUUGAGAUUCAUCCAACUACAGAAGAGGACAUAGGCGAGACCAAUCCAGGAGAAACUCCAAACAUUCAGAUUGGAGAUGAAGAUAACAUUAAUGAGCAUGGAAUUUAUUUCAUAGCUACUUUGUUUACUCCAUGCUCAUAUGCAACAUCUUCCCAAUCUAUUGGUCUCUCCAACAUCACCACAUUUGAGAUCUCCAACCCCCUCUUCCUUUCUAUUUAUAAAAACUUUAAAUGGGCGGUUGUCGAUGCAUAUGUCUAUAAUAAAUAUUGCAGAUCUCGUUGAGUUGAUCUUGAUAUAGGUCUGCAUUGGAGGGGAAACCACUUCGCUGACAUAAAUUGAUGGUUUCCCAAGGACAAGCUUAGUGUCCUAAAAUAAGCACUAAUCAGAUCAUAACAUGAGCUUUUAAUUAUUUACAACAUUACCUUGUGUAUUGAGCAUAUAAGUAUAAUUGUAAAAAUAUUCCUUCAGGUUUUCUUGUCACUAACAUUUCCAGGAUUGGAGCAAGAAGAUUGGAUGAAUGACAAGCACAAGGUAUGUCCAACCAAUUAUCAUACAACAUUGAAUUAAAUUCAUCCAAACUUGAAUUUUGCAAAAUUCAAGCUUGGGGGAGUACUUUACAUAAAAACAUCCUUUGCCAUGUUGCUAUGUUGGUUGUCUCUACCUUUGAGACAUGCUCAAUUUGUUAAAUACUAAUCACACUACUUCAUCUCCACUUGAAUAGAUCUCUAUAAAUGCUCUCAUGCUACCUUUAUUUGCUUUAGUAUAUGUCUAGGUUUGGAGUAGUUUCAUUUAUCUCUUAAAUAAGCAUGGUGCUUGGUUUAGGAAUGAUGAUCUUACUUCCAAGGGAUUUUAAAUUAAGCAUGGUGCUUAGGUUAAAAUGACCUCCUAAAUCAAAUUAGAUAUGGUGUCUAGGUUGAUUUUUGAGCCGAUAGUAUGCUAUAGUAGAUAUUGGAUAUUUUGUUGGACUAACCCCUGUAGGAAAACUUUCAAUAUCGACCUGGGAAGUCCUGAGAUAAACUCACAUUGGAGACAAAGAGAGAGACACAUGAAGUUUAACAAUUUACACAAGGAAGACAUAGCUCAUAAGAGAUGAUCCAUGGAGGGUGCCACAAACACGAUGCACAACCGCUAAGAAAGGAAAGCUUCCACAAGGUGAUACUGUACCAUCACUCUUCAAGUAAGAUAAUAUCUUAAGGUACUUGACUAUCACUUUUAUAAGCUUCUCCUUGGUUAUGGCGUUCACAUGAAUAAAAGAGACAAACAUGUAUGAUUUACAACUCUAGAUUAACCAACCCAAUCAAUUCAACAUGUUUAGUCCUUCCACCUUUGUGAUCCCACACUCGUAAUCAUAUGAGCUAAAAUGUUGCACGCUUAAUCUUUGGAAGAUAUAUAAAAAACAUAAAUAUAGAUAGAUUAUCUUUCCAUUAGGAUGAGCGAUCUGAUCUAACAAAUGUUUUACAUGCUACACUCAAGAUCUAAUCUACUUUGUCUUGCUCACUAUGCUUAAGGUUAGAGAAGAACAAAUACACUUUUGGUUCUGUUGGUGUUUUCCACCAACAGGGCCUAUGCACUUGAUCUCUUCCUUGUCUCUAUGAGUAGGUACACUCUGAGCAAAACAUGGAGGAGUUUUACAACUCCCAAACUCCACCAAGUGAGGGACCUAGAUCUACGAGCACAAACACAGUGAGUAGGAUGCUGCCAACGCCGCACUUCGAACUGCUGGGCAAACGAAGAACAUGGGUGACACCGUAUCAAGAGGUGCAGAUGUCAAGGUCCACACCUGAAUCAAAUGACGCACCUAAAGAAUGAACACGGUGAGAAUUCUUUUUUAGAAGACUUAAAACAUUGAACCCUUGCCGAAAGGUAAAAUCGGUAGUUAUCCGUAUUUAUCCUUUCUGCAUUCCCUUUUUCCUUAAAUUAUUUACUUUCCUUAAAUAGCUUGUUAGUUAAUCGUACUAUCUUGAAAAGAAAUUUAAAAUGUUAAAAACAGUAAGCCCCAUGUGAGUAUGCUCGUGGCAUAAAACCCAUAAGUACAUUCACUGUGGUGGCGUAAAAAUAAAAAUAUUCCUGUCCUAUAAAAAUUUAAAUAUAAAAAUAAAAUUAUGAUCCUACCAAAGAGAGUAAUAAUUAUUAGAGGAAGCUCAACAUGAUAACGGCUAAGAGAUUUUAUGCUAACACUUAACCAGUUCCACAAAGCUUUGUUGUCUAUUUGAGCUCUACAGAAUUCAAGGAUCAAAGAAGACUAGUAGACGGAGGACAUCCUAAUCGCUGUCAGGGUGCUGCCGACAUUCAAAUACACCUCCGCCACCUGCUAGCAACAUCAGAAGAAAUUAUGUCAAAAUCUAGCUUGGGGGAGAGCACCCCCAUUUAUCCAGCUAAGUGUUUCUACUUGCGUUUAUACUUUACUCAAAUAAUAAAAAGAUGCAUAAUCAUAAAAACCCAAAUAAUGAUUUUGUGCUUAUAUAUAUAUCUUUGCUUAGUUUGCUAAAUAAAUAAAUAAAGUUUGCUAUGAACCCUCAUGAUAAGCUCUCACAUGGAAAUGAUGAAUAGUUGCUCUGCCAUGACUAGUUCUCAAAAUUGAAAUCUUUUUCAAGUUUAGACAUAACUGUUGUAAUUUAAAGAUUGCUCUAAACUUGAACUUGUGGGAAGAGAACUUGAUCUAAAGUCUAAGUCGUUAAUGGAUACGAUAUGGGAAGGUUGAGCUGUUGUUUAGCUGUUCCUAGAGAUGCUAGAAUUCUGGAGAAUUUUAUCUUUGAAAAUAUUUAAAAUGUUGCAUGACGAGUUCCUGUAUGAUGAGAGUUUAAAAUCCUACCACAACCAUAUAUACAUGCUUAUUAGACUAUGAACCAUACAUUUACUUUUUACUGCUUGUGAGCAUUGAGUGUGGUCAAGCUAUGUAGACCCUUCGGAGCUUGUCAUGCGGUUAAAAUCAAGAUUCACUGGCACGUUCACUCAUACAAGCUGCUUUUACUCCGAAAGUACGCAUCCACAUACAUCCACUCAUUUCCAUCUCCAGAUUCACCCAAAAUUAUUCUACUCCUAUCCUAGACAGAAUAGCCAAAAACAUUAUCCCAUUCCUGUUUUCCCCUGUGAAAUAAAUGCUCGAGGUAUUUUGGUUACUACCACUUGCUACAUUAUUCUAGGAGAGUGAGUGCUCAAAAAAAGAGAAGAAAAAGGAAAAAUACGAGGAAAUAAAAAGGGGCAAGUGCCCAGAACCUCGAAGAAAAGAAAAAGUGAGACGAGAGGUAAAAAUGGGCAAGUGUCCGACAGUAGAAUUAGGGGUACAAGAUACCCACCUGAGAGGAAAGAAAAAGAAAAUAUAGAGCAUCUCAUUCUCCUCAAAAAGCUUCAAAGUGCAAGAAAGGUAUGUAUCCCCUUAAAAGAGCAAAAGUAGAAUUAGAUUUUCACCAUUGUUAUCACCAUCAUCACCAUACACCAUUCACUCGCCACACAUGCACAUCUUGAUUUGACUUAUUGACUUGUUCUUCUGGAUCCAUGGUUUGACUAUGCAAUAAAUGUGUUGUAAGAAUGUAUACUCUAUCUCCCACCUAUGAGCUCCAGAUAUCAAAACCUUAUUAGAGUAGGGUGAGAGAGAAGGCAAUGUCACUAUGCCUCAUACCAAAAACACCACAUACUUUGAGAGAAGGCAUAUACCAUUACUGCCUUGGUAAGGAUCCAGAAAUACCACAAAAGAGAGAUUUGAGAGAGUCAGACAAGGAAUCUCUGAGUUUUAUUUGAAAAUCUGCAAAACCUCCAGAGCUAUAGCUGAUCAAGAACAAGAGACAUGACGCUUGACUAGACUUUUCUAUCUUUUAACUGCUCAAGACACAAGUGACGGUUGCAAGCCCCAUGGUGAAAGGUAAAAUGAGUAAGUUUUAAGUCUUAACAGUUUACUCUAACUCAGAGAUGAGAUCUUGCUUGAACGCAUGUGUACCGUAAACUUUUAAAGGCAUUACAACAACUUCUGAUCCAUCAGUGAGUCUAUCGUUAGCUCAGGGACGAGCAAGAGGUAAGCUUGGGGGAGUUUGUUGACGGUCCUUAAAUACCAAAUAUAAUCAUCAAAUAAAUAAAGAAAAGGAUCCAAAUGCAACCAACACCCAGACUUAGGGUUUUAUUUGACAGAAUUCCAUGAGUUUUGGUGUUUGUCUAUUUCUGUAGGGGGUUAUCUGGAAAUAUGGAGGAAAGACCCACACAUCGGGUUCACAUAGAGAUAUUAACGUAUGCGCCAAUUUUCUAUCAUCUAGAAGAGUCCAGAAGCCACGGGAAUGAACGGGAGGCCGAGUGGGCCUAGGGACAGGGCGCCCGCCCUCCCCCCUUGGGCGCCCGCCCAGGUGUCUCGGCCAAUCAGGCCCCGCCUCAAGGAUCAUGCUCCAACAAUCUAAAGGAUUAAAGAAAACCAUGCGAUUAAGGUCAGUUUGAUCCGACGGUCCACGUUCAUUUGGAAGGGCUAUAUAAGCAAGCCUCCUGGCCCUUGGAGGAGACGACCUCUGCAUCCCCUAUUCAUUAUUCAUAGACAGAGCUAAAGCUUGGGUUUGGAGAUAAGAGCUCUCCUCUCGUCUCUAAACUAGAGUAGAUCUAAAUAGUAGCGAGAUAGAGAGCGAGGGAGGAUUAGAGGAGAGGUCGGCCUGUCGAUUCUUCCUCCGGUUGUACUUCGCCAUGAUCAAGCUCUAAUCAAGCUUGCUCAUGGGAUGACUCUGGUAAUCUACUUCUAUUUCAUUAUGCAAUUACAUUCUAUGUAUGUUCUGGUUCAUAACUCUUUUGAGUACUUUAAUCUAUAGGACGCUAUAGGUGAGAGUUGUAGUAUAGUUGUAAGCGUGGUGCUUAGGCCUAGAUUACUUGUGGAUAUCCCCUGUUAGCCGGAUCGUGUGGUAGGCUGCGUAGGUGACAGCUACGUGAUCCUCUGUAGUCCACCUCCCAUUAGCAGGACUGGUAGGAGUCCUCGACCUUAGGUAUAAGCAUCCUCUGUGUUGUUUUAUACUUAUGGUACGCCACAGAUAGACAUACCCCUUUGAAGUAGAGAAACCCUAGUUAUCCUCUCUAUUCUCCUAUUAUCGCCCAUAUAUUAGAUUGCUCUACUCUAUAUUUCCCCAUUAUCAUUUUACCUUUAAUAUUGUUCUUAUUCAAUUCUAUCACAUUUCCUAUUUACACCCACCUGUCUGUCUUGGUUAAGUUAGAGCAUAGAUCAGUUCUCCCAUUUCCCUGUGGAUACGAUAAAACCUUUAACCGGGUAAAAGCUACAACGGUAUCUGUGCGCUUGCGGAUUUAUCUGUGUGCGUAUAAAUACCAUAGUACACUCUAGUGCCAUGUUGAGGAUGAUAACCUAGUAUUCAAGUGGUGUUAGCAAGUGUCAACACAUGGGGGCUUGGUCGGGCCGAGUGCUGGGCCUUGGCCACUGGCCACUACGAUAGUAAUCCCCUUUUGUUUUUUGUCUUUCUUUUCUUUUCCAAAUCUUUUUCUAAUUGAAUUUUGAACACAAAUUAUAUCAAACACACAACAAAAUUAAUAAAUACUCUAGCAUGUAUGCACAAGCAUGUUCCUAACCUUAUGAUAGAUUUUAUUUUUGACAAAAAUUAUUUAGGUGCUAAAUUAAAUGCUCACAAAAAUACUUAAAUAAAUCCAAUUAAAUCCUAUUAAUUGAAAAUCUGAUUUUUGGGUGUUACACUCUAGUAUCUUGAGAUGUUCAUAGACAUCUUGUCCCCUCUGUUGCAUUCAUUCUUUUGCCAUCUUUUGCUCUUUAAUCUGUUGACUCUUUUCACUCCAGUCAUUAUCAUGCCUGCAAUAGAUUAGUGGACAACACAUACCCAAAGGGAUAUACAAGUAAUGACAAGGGCAUUGUUGUAACACAACUAAGGUUUCUAUGCUACAAAAAGGGAUUUACUUGAGCAUACUUAGCAUAGCGCAUUUAUUAUUCACAAUUACUUCUUUCUAAAAGUUUGAAUUCCCAUCUUAUGUUUUGAUUCUCAAAUAUAGGCAUCAUGAAUCAGCUCAAACUUAUAUAAAUAAAGUAAUAGUGGAUUUAGAAAUUGCAAACCAACGUGUGGAGCGAUGGGAGCAUGAGAUGUGGAAGAACUUGGUUGGAUCAUCCAGAGAAGUUUGACCUCUCCUCCUCAUGUCUCAGCUUCUUGACUGCAAAAGUGAGAGUGCUUUGAUUGUGGAACAUGUUUUGUGGCACCCUUCUUUCUUCUUGGCGAGAGUGAGUUGUAUCUUCCUGGUGCAAAAUUAUUGUACCUCUUCAUCGCUAGUGUGAGUUCAUCUCAGGACUUUUCCAAUUUGAAUUUGGAAGUUUUCCUCCAGGGGUUAGUCUAACAAAAUAUUCCAAUAUCUACUACAGCAUACUAUCGCCUCAAAAAUCAAUCUAGACACCACGUCUAAUUUGAUUUAGGAAGGCAUUUUAACCUAAGCACCACACUUAAUUCAAAAAGCCUUUGAAAGUAAAAAUCAACACACCUCUUAGUUCAAGAAUCAACCUAAACACCUCCUCUAAUUAUGACUUAAGAAAACAGUUUAAACUAAGCACCAUGCCUAAUUCAAAAGGUGUAUGAAAAUACUCCAAACCUUAAGAAUACUAUAGCAAACAAAGGUAACAUGAAAGCAUUAUAGAGAUUUACUCAAACAGUGAUGAAAAAGCAAAUUGAGCAUAUCUUAAAAGUAGGGACAACCAAGAUAGUAUAGCAACAUUACAAGACAUGUAUUAAUGAGAGCAUAUCCCCCAAGCUUGACUUUUCAAAAAUCAAGAUUGGAUGAAAGUAAUUCAAUGUUGCAUAGUGAUUGGUUGGACAUACCUUGCAUUUGUUACUCCUUUGACCUUAUUGCUCUAGUCCUGGAGGGUUAGUGACAAGAAUACUCGAAGGAAUAUUUUCAUAAUUAUAAUUCUAUGCCCAAUUAACAAGGGUAGCACAGUAGAAGAACACUCAUGUCAUGGUCUAGACAGUGCUUGUUUUAGGACACUAAGGUUGUCCUUAGGAAACCUUGAAGAUGUUGUUUGGCGAAGUGGUUUCCCUUCCAACACCACUCUAAGUGUAUAUUCACCACAACGAGAUCUACAAUAUUUAUGGUAAACAUAUGUGUCUUUAACCACCCUCUUAAUGAUUUUAUUAAAAGGUAGAAUGAGGGGGUUGAGGAUCUCAUGUGUGAUAAUAUUAGAGACUAAUUGAUCCAGGAGAUUUCUCAUAUGAGCAUGGGUCUGAUAGGGUGUUUAAUUCACAUGCUCGACAAUAUGAUCUCCCCUUUUUAAACUCCAAGGGUGUCUCUUCAUGGUUGUAUAUAGGCAAUAAGUUUGUCUCUAUUAUUUCAUGCCUAUGACAUUUAUUAGAUAUUUAUUUUCUAGAAUUUCCCAUGAAUUGAUGUCCCUAAGGUUGGUCUCCUCUAAAGCUUUCUUCUAAACUUGGAUGAGUUUUGUUUAUUAAAGAAAUUGAUUUAAGCUUAACAUUUGAAUUUAGACCAAGUUUAGAUGCUAGUGCUAAAACUUCAUCUUUUUCCAUCCAUUCUUUGACAAUAGCAUAUGUAUUUCUAAUAUGUUCUACAUGUUCCUGCUAUUGUUGUUGCUCUUCUUCGGUAUUCCUAUAAUUUUCAUGACUCCUAUUCUUAGGAUGUCUUGAUGGAUUUCUAGGGUCAUUAUGAAGUCUAGUAGAAGGAGCAUAAAAAGAUUUAUUGGGGUCAAGGAUGGGUCAAAGACAUAUAAGAUGGGCAUAGACAGGGAGAAGAUAGAAUUUAUUUCUAAGUGGCUUGGCUCUCCUUCUAUGGCAUCACUUGGCAUGCCAUCCUUGAAUUUUUCCCAAUGUCUUUUUCAGAAGGAAAGGAAGUUGAUGAUGCUUUUUCUAAGAUACCCUUGUAAGAAGAUUUGGCAUGCAUUGAUUUAGGAGCAUCUUAGCUAAUGGAAAGUCUAAAUCAUUAAAGUGGAUUUUUAAAGGUUUAGGAUUGAUAGCUAAAUCUUAAGAAUGAUAUGAUUGUGUUUUAGCUACCAAGACUUCCGUUUUUAGUUUGGAUAAUAAAUCCUUUUCUUCUUUUGGGGAGUUCAGAAAUAGCCAGAGCAACUCUUUUGAGCAUAAUCUCUUGCCUUUUAAAAGAUAAGAAAGAACUCUCGAGAAGAUAAAUCAAGGGAUUCCUUGUAACUCUUGGUAUGACCUAAAUGUUGAAUAAACAUGGGACCUAACAAACCAUGGUUAGGAUUAAUGAUCCCAUAAUAUAUUUGACAAGGGUUUAUUAUAUUAUGUAGACAUGGGCAUAGCUUAUAGAUAUUAUGAUAAGGUUUAUGCUUUAAGCUUUUGCACAUGCCAUAAAGAUAAAUAGCAAUAGAAUUAAAAGCAUCCAUAAGGAUGAACACAAAAAUAAUGAAGAGACUAGGAUAAAAACAGGAAAAGAUAAAAGUAUAAUACAAGAUUAAGCUAAACUAAGUCAAAAUCAGCAAACCAUUCCCCGGCAACAGCGCCAAAAAUACUAGUUGGUAUAAAUUAACUGCACUCCAUUUAAAUAGAUCUAAGUAGGAUUAUUCGCAAGCACACAGAUAUCAUACCAGCGUCACAUUUUACCCAGAGGUUUUAAAUAUCAAAUCUACAGGGAACAGUUGUGAUGAUGACAUAGUAUAUAUACUUAACCCUACAAUUAGGCUAGAUCAUAUCAAGAAAAAGGAAAUACUAAUGCACUCUGGUUCUGACUCCGGUAAACUUUGUAUAAUAUUGUCUUAUUGGGCAAGUAACCCGAAUACGGGGAGGAUCAGAGUAUCCCCCUAUCAGGCACCUAUAAGCCUAUCAAUCCUAUCAACGGGAAGUGGACUACAGAGGAAUCAACGUAGUUAUAAAGUCUCCUACACAAACUACCACUUUUCGGCUGAUCAGGGGACAUUCAUAAGUAAACCUUGCCUAGGCACCACGCCUACACUAUGAAAUACUACUGCAACCAAGUUACGAUCAAGAUAAAAGCACUCAAUAAGAGUUGUGAACCAAAGAACAAAUAAGAACAAGAUGCUUACUUAAACUAGUAGGCUAAGUACAAAAGUACCUCAGAACACAACUCUAGGUGAGGGGAACUGGAUCUAGAAGAAUACAGCCAUGAAGAAGCACCGAUAGCCCAGAACUCCUCCAGAAUCUCUACUCCUCUACUUAAUCUCUCUAAUCUCUAAACAAGACUAGAUCUAGAAGAACUAGUCUCUCCUAAUUGCUACAUCUAGAUCAACUAGAUCUAGAUGAACUAGAACUAGAUCAACUAGAGGGACCCUAACCAUAAUUAUGGGGAGAAUAUGAAGCACCGGGGUGUAGAAUGCCUCUUGGGUGGAGCCUUGGGCGUCAUUAUACAGGCUGAGGUGGAGUAGGGGGCAAGGAACCACCAUGUCAGCGAUCCGCUCUUCAUCUUGUUUGCACCGUCGGAUCAAACCGACUUAAAAUCGAUGGAGGGAUUCUUUGCUUGGCUUCCAAGAAGUCGUAGGAGGAAGACUCUUGAAGGCGGCGGCUAACGGGCGAAUUAGGGCGCCGACCGGCCCUAGGGUGGGGCCGGCCGGCCCACCUUUCCUCCUCCAUGGCUCUUGUUCCUUCGGGUGUCAUCUAGACCCUUCCUGAGUCUUCUCGUGAUAUUUUUCGACGCGGAUGAGUUUCGUGGUAAAUAUGCACUAGAAUCCCUCUUUCAGCUCUCUAUGAAAUAAACCCUAGAAAAUAUAGAAUAUGCAAAACUUGUGGAAAUGGUCAGAUAAAACCCUAGACUAAUGUGUUUUCAUAUGUUCCCUUGUGUCUAAAGUUCUAAUAAAUAUUGACGUUAUCGACUAUCAACAAUGCACCAUCUAAGUGUCCCUGGAUUCUCGCGACAGGACGUUUUGCUGUUUCCGCCUAAAGAGGAUCAUGUCACAAUGGCUCUCUCCUAAAAAGGCGCACCCAAUGGGCAGGAAGGUGGAUCACCACUAUGACUCCAUCUGUAGGAAGGUAAGCCAGGCUUCGGCCCAUGACAGAACCUUAAGAGAACGGGCACUAGCCCUCGGACAGGGUUCGACAGUCACUCCCGAGUACCCAAGUUAAGGACACCCAGGAGGGGGCCAACAUGAGGCAAGGCUCGAGAUCGAAUCAUCGAGACCCCACUAGGAGUUUCCAAGGCUAAGACAAGCAACAAGGCGAGGAAUCCCCAUGGAGGGAGGCAUCAAGCCGCCAGACCCUAUCGAAUGGAACUGGUAUCUACGCCUGCGCAAGUCUGGCAUCAAUGAGAAUGCCUCAGGGCUGACAACCAACCCCCAUCGAACGGGGCAUGGGUUCUCACUUGGAUUUCCUGAUAUCAGCUCACUGAGGACACUGACGCUCACCCAAUCGAGGGUAGCAUCACACUUGUCACCUCACGCCUGAUCGAAAGGGUCCGUGGGAUGAAAGUUGGGAUGAGUAAGGCCAUGAGUGUAUGAGGCUCAGGGCUCUACCGGAGCUGACACCCCUCGAUGAAAGAGGGUCGAGAAUAACCAAAUUCGAUUGCAUAAAAACUCAUCAGGUAAUGUACGACGAUGCUCUACUUACGACAUCUGGCCCACACGGUAGUAUAGAAAAAUCCUAGAACUUACAAACAUUCCUAGAAGAUACUAAUACCGCCCUCAAAGAAAUCUACUGACUCCUCCGAGGCCUCGGGGGCUACCCUCGCAGGGGACGCUCUUGUGUCCCCCACAGAAACUCGAUACCGGCAAACCCUCGUCUACAGCAAUGAACCCCUACUCGACCACCAGUGCUCGAGUAGGGGCUCGGGGGCUACUAUCGAGGAUAUUAGUAAGGGGGUACCCAAGUAGAUAUCCCCAAAAAGAAACAAAGGCCCCACCAGCUCUGACAGAGGGGAAAACCCCAGCGUACGGCUGCCAAGGGCUAGCCCAAAAGCAGGCCUCGAUGCAUCAACAAGGCGUAUGCCAACCAUGACUACAACUUGACGUACCAUGAAUGCUUACCGCAUACCCACUGACAUGAGCCUCAGCGAUGGAAAAUGGCUCAAGUGAACACCUAAACCUCAAAACAGUGCAUCCCUCAAUUGUGGGAUCAAGGUCGGCCAAAUCGCGCUGCCUCGAGUGCGGGACGUGCCUCCUCUACCAGUUGUUGGUAUGGGCUCCAGAGCAUUUAAUGUGACUAACAAGCCCUCACCUAACACCAUGGCGGCAAUAGUUGUGAUGAUGGGUCAUACUCCCGUCAUGUCCCAUUUUUUACCAGCUUUAUCGUGGAAUCUAGAGAAAGGUACGCACCAGCACAGUCACUACCAGUGUAACAUCUUGUCGGGAGACCCCUUGAGGCGUAAUGGUCAGCACUUCCAUGCACAGGUGCCGCCCGACCCGCCUGACCCUCGAGACUACCGGCUCCUUUCUAGAGAAGGUUAGCCAGGGAAGGUCAGCGCUCCAAUGACUCCUGACAUGAUGGCUGCAAGGACGUACACACGUGCACACAUACUAGCCAAUUACCAGACAAAAUACAAAGGUUCAUAUCAGGGAACACAUGCACCAUCCUCACCAAUUACAACGUAACAAGACCCUUCGAGCCACGCCGGUAUGGAGGCCUCGAGUUUACCUGCACCCAUACCCCUAUCGAAGCCUACUCUAGCCCCAAUACCAUGUAACCUUGUGCCUCUCCUUAGUCUAUAAAAGGGGGCACCAAGUCUAGAACUAGGAAGAGGGAGAUAGGCACGUAGAACACCACAUUCGUGUACGUAGCAUUGCCAACACCCUAGUCCCAUACCAUCAAGGCUUAGAGUCUUAUAUCCAUCCACACUUGUAUUCACCCCUGUACAAGCACUUAGGUGCAAGAUAAUACAAGCUCUUCCUUGCGCUGGAUGUAGGGCCUUCUCUUGCCCAAACUAGGAUAAAACUUUGUGUCCAUCUUGCAUCACCAUCCGGAAAACCAAGCAUGCAUAGAAAUUCACUCGUUGGUAUUACCCCUGGGGUUAAAACACCGACACUUAGAUUGGUGUUGGAAGGGAAACCACUUCACCAAACCACCUUGAAGGUUUACCAAGGACAAGCUUAGUGUCCUAAGCACAAUUUAGACCAUAAUAUGAGUGUUCCACUUUCUACUGAGCUACCCUUGUUAAUUGAGCAUAGAAUUAUAAUUGUGAAAAUAUUCCUUCAGGUAUUCUUGUCACUAACCUUCUAGGUUUGGAGCAAAAUAUUGAAGUAGUAACAAAUGCAAGGUAUGUCCAACCAAUCAUUAUGCAACAUUGAAUUACUUUCAUCUAAACUUGAUUUUUGCAAAAGUCAAGCUUGGGGGAUAUGCUUCCAUAGAUAUAUCUCUUGCCAUGUUGCUAUACUGUCUUGGUGGCCUCUACAUUUAAGAUAUGCUCGAUUUGCUAAACAAUAGUCAUGCUCUAUCAUCAUUGUUGAGUAAAUCUCCAUAAUGCUCUCAUGUCACCUUUGUUUGCUAUAGUACAUGUUUAGGUUUGGAGUAGUUUUAUACAUAUCUUAAAUUAAGCAUGGUGCCUAGUUUAGGAGUGGUGAUCUUACUCUCAAAGGCUUCUAAUUGUGCAUGAUUAAAAUGUCUUCUUGAAUCAAAUUAGACGUGGUAUCUAGGUUGAUUUUUGAACAUAUCAUAUUUUGUAGUAGAUAUUGGGUAUUUUGUUGGACUAACCCCUACAGAAAAACUUUUAAUACCAAAUUGGGAAAGUCCUAAGAUGAACUCACUCUAGAGAUGAAGAGAGACACAAUAAUUUUGCACAAAGAAGACAUAACUCACUCCAUGGAGUUGCAUUCUCUUGUCAACCACUAAUUAUCAGGAAUCAAGAAAAGAUUGACAUGAGAAGAGCAAGCAACGUUUUGCACUCUCACCUUUGAGGUCAAGAAGCUAAGACAUGAUGAGGAAGGAAGGACAACUCCUCAAAAUGAUCCAACCAAGUUCUUCCACAUCUCAUGCUCCCAUUGCUCCACACACUAGUUUGCAAUCUCUAAAUUCACUAUUGCUUUAUUUCUAUAACUUUGAAUUGAUACAUAAUACCUAUAUUUGAGAAUCAAAACAUAAGAUAGGUAAAUAAAAUCAAUCAUUUGGAAAGAAGUAAUUGUGAAUAAUAAAUGUGCUUUGCUAAGAAGUGUCAACAAGCAUUUCUAGCAUAGAAAGUGACCCUUAGCUACGUUAACAAUGCCUUUGUCAUUACAUUUAUAUUUCUUUGGGUAUGUGUUGUCCACUAAUGAUUUGUAGGAAUAAAAUAAUAAGAAGAGCUAAAGGUCCAAGCACAAAUUAGACAGAGAACAAACAAUGACAUAAGGUAAGAAAGGAGUGCAACAGAGAAGAUAGUUGCUGCAUGAACAAGACACAUGACUAGCCAAGCAAGGAAAGCAUCGACAAGAUGUUAUGGCUUCAACAUGCUUCAAUACUGAAGGUAACAUCUCUAGGUAAAUGAUCAUUACUUCCAUAAUAACCUCCUUGAUUUUGGCAUGCACAUAAGUAGAGAGCCAAACAUGCUUUGAGUUACUACCUCAUUUGAUCUAAUCUAAUUAACUCAACAUCUUUAGUUCUUUAUGAUUGUUUCUAGUGUCACUUUCUUUAUCCUUUAAUUCAAUGAGCUAAAAUGUUGCACAUCCUAUCUUUGGAAGAUAGUCAUAAUCAUGAAGUUAUAUGCAUAGGUAGACUAUCCUUCCUUAAGGUUGAUUAAUCUGAUAUGCUAUUUUAAUGCCACAGGCUUGUUCAUUGUUUGAUGCUAUUACCUAUGUUUAGAUAGAGCAAAACACAUAAAUAUUAAUUUUAUCUCAUUCAAUGUGCCUAAGGCUAGAGUAUAAUGAACAAACCGUUUGGUUCUGUUGGUGUUUUCCCACCACUGAGCCCAUGCACUUGACCUUUGCCAUGUCUGUAUGAGUAGGACACACCUUGACAUACACAUUGAGCGAAGAUGCUGCCAGCUCCCACUAGUAUUUGACUCCAAACUACUAGAAGAGAAAUGAACAUGGGUGACACCAUCUCAAGUGGUGCAACUAUCAUGGACUCCACCUUUGGGACUAGAUAAAGCACCUAAGGAAUUAACAUGGUAAGAGGUCCUGUUCGGAGGACCUAAACCACCGAACACCAUACCAAGAGGUAACUUGGUAGUUAUCAACAUUUCCCUUUUUAGCACUGCAUCUAGAAAAUGAUAAGCCCCAUGUGGAUAAUUUUGUGGUGUGGCAGCCCACAUAGAUAUCCACGGUGGUGGCAUAAAAAUAAGUUUUCAUCUUACUACAUUUUCUGCAUACCAUAAAAUAUAUAAAAAUAUAUCUUAUGAUCCGGCUAAAUGAUUAAUAUAUUAAGAAGGUUCUAGACAACCAAGGCUUAGGUGUUUUACCACUAACACUUAAUCAAUUGCACAAGCUUUGUUGUCUAUUUGAGCUUCAUAGAAUUUAAAGGAUCAAGAGGAGCUAACAAGCAAAAGGACGUCUGUUGACACCGUUUUUGGACACGUAUCUUUUGAUGCGUACCUGGGGUUAGUAAAGUAUAGAUCGGCAGAUGAAGCAACGGUAACUAGUCUAAAGGGAAGUUGCCGAUGAAGGUGGUUGCCGAUGGGGAAACAACUGAAUGUGACUAAGUCCAGAGGUGGUGACGUGUUCAUGCCGAUGACCAGUAUCAAUGUUUGCCGAUGGCCACAACAGGAGGUCUGCCGAUGGCUCUGAAGAAAAGCGUGGAGGUUGACGAUUGAUCUGUGGCGGUGCCCCGGUCGGCUACAAGGGGGUAGUUUUAUGCUUUCCUUAGUUAUUAGAAUUCGUUUUGUGUACGGGUUCCGUUUAAUUUGGAACUUGAGUCCUAGUCGUGUCUGGUUGUAGCUCUUUGGACAGGGUAUAAAUGUAGACCCUAGGGCAAUGUAAUGAGGGAUCUAUCAAUCAAUCAAACACAAGUUUUUACUCAUAUUCCAGCAUCUACUUUUUCGACGACUUUGUCAUAUUUUCUUUUUACUACGAGUUCUUAGGAAUUCGUCGAGCCAAGCUCGGCGUGUUCUCAAGUUCUGUGUGAUCACCUCUUGGCCGUGACAUCCGGGCACAUCGCUGUUGUCGGGACCAAAUUGUUCGAGUUACCACCUUUGUCGAUUGUAAGGUCAAAUCGGCUGGCACGCCUUAACAUUUGAAUCGGGUAUUAGCCCUUUGUGUUUGCAGAUCACUUUUGCACCAACACAUCUUUUGGCAUGCCUGGUGGGACAGAUUCAAGAUCAAGAUCAGCAUGUCGAACACCGAUUUCGACUUGGAUAACGUUAUCCCCGUGACGGAAGCCAAUCUCAGAGAUGAGCAGAAGCAAGCCAUGGCAAAAGCCAUAGAGGAAUACAAGCAGCAAUGCUUGAAAUCCUUCAGUAUUAACAGGAGUGGCGAGGUGAUCCAAAAGGAAGCAUUGCCGGCACCUCGGCAGAUUACUUUUGAAGCCAAUCCUGGUAAACUUCAAGACAUGGUUGACAGUGCUAUUAACCGUGCCUUGAUCAAUCAAGCUAGUGUGCUGUCCAACACGGUUUUCAAUGCGGUGGCCAGAACUUUCAAGGAAGGGCAAUUGCCACCAAAUUAUGAGGGUCCUGCCUAUCAUCAGCCAGGGUCAUCAUUGGUCACAACUCCAUCGGCUACGACAGCCGUUGCGGGUAUAGAAGCUACUUCCCCUCCAAGCACAUUAGGGCUCACUAAUGCGCAAUCUACGCCGAUGACGACCAGUCCGUCAGCAUCAGACAGGCAAAUCAAGCUUGCCACAGAUCUAUUGGCAUCGGUGAUGUCGGGAUCUGUUCGUCCUAAUUCGUGGGGUUAUGGUAUGGCCCCAGAGAUGAUGGCAAAGACUCCUGGAACAUCACAAGUGGCUGACGUGACAGGCAAGGCUCCCAUGGCAUUGGCACCUCCAAAUCUGCCGAUGAAUCAGAGUCCCCAGUACACUACAACUACUACCGCAAGGCCCUAUACUGGGAAUUCUCAAGCUCCAACGUUUCAGAUGCCUAAUGCAUCGGCAGAUCUAAUGCCGACGCAGCAGAGGUUUAUGACACAGCUAGGGUAUCUCAAUUCAAUGAUGAUGCCCAAUUACCAGUCGUCAGCAGGGCCUAUGCCGAUGAAUGCUAACAGUGGAUGGACAGGGCAGCUAGUCUUUCCACAGAUGCCUCAGCAGAAUCAUCAGGCUGUAGGGUUUCAACAAGGACAAAUCCAACCUGGGUUUCAGAAUCAAGGGUUGGUCAACCAGCCGAUGAAUCUUGGUUAGCAGAUUGGUGGUCAGAUGGUUAAUCUAAUGUUUCAUGCAAAUCGUACACCUUAGAGACACGUGGAAGCAUAUCAGCAGGUGCCAGAUCCACAACCGCCUCAUUGGCAAGACGCCGAUGCUUAUUGGGCUGAUAAGAUAGCUGAAGUAAUGAGAGAUCAAUUUGGGAUAAAACCCAAAGUCAAUACUUACUCUUAUCGGACACCAUAUCCUCCCGCAUAUGACCUGAUUCCACUUCCAAAUCGGUACAAGGUACCCGAAUUUACUAAGUUUUCUGGACAGGAUGACACAUCAACCAUGAAGCACGUCAACAGGUUCAUCAUCCAAUGUGGGGAGGCUGCCAACAGAGACGAGUUAAGGGUUCGUUUGUUCUCGUCAUCUUUGUCUGGAUCGGCUUUUACUUGGUUUAUAUCGUUACCUCCCAACUCAGUGAUUACUUGGGCCGAUCUGGAGAAGCAAUUCCACAAAUACUUCUUUUCUGGAGUCGAUGAGAAGAAGAUCACCGAUUUGGUCAGAUUGAAACAACACAAUGAUGAAUCGGUUGAAAGCUUUGUGCAGAGGUUGCGAGAAGUUAAGAAUAAAUGCUAUAGUCUGAUCUUGGAUGAUCGGCAGCUAGCCAAUUUGGCUUUCCAGGGAUUGUUGUCGCACAUCAGGGACAAGUAUGCUUCUCAAGAGUUUGAAAGUCUAAGUCAUUUGGUAUAGAGGAUUUCUGACCAAGAUAUUAAACCUUUUGAGCCCAAGAGAGCAUGGAAUAAAAAGGUGUCAUUUGUUGAUGAGGCGGCAAGCUCAGACUCUGAUGAAGAACCAGUCAUCGGCUUGGCAGAAUGGGUAAAAAAAAGAAGCCGAUAUCUUGCCAUUUUGGGCAUAAAGAGCCAGAAAAGUUUGCAUUUAAUAUCACCAAAGUCGAUAGGAUAUUUGACUUUCUACUUCAGGAAGGGCAGAUUAAGUUGUCGCCCAAUCAUGUGAUUCCAUCGGCUGAAGAGUUGAAGAAAAUGAAGUACUGCAAGUGGCACAAUGCAACAUCCCAUAGUACAAAAGAGUGCAAAGUUUUCAGGCAACAGCUGCAGUCAGCUAUAGAAUCUGGGAGGAUCAAAUUUGAUAAUUCUAAAGCUCAGAAGCCAAUGAAGAUCGAUCAACAUCCUUUCCCAACCAAUAUGUUGGAUGCUAAGGGAAAAACCAAGGUCUUGACGUCAGAAGCUGCUGAGAAAAGUGCAUCGGUGGAUCCUCAGCAUCAGGUUACUACUGCCGAUGCCAAAGGAAAGAGUUUGAUCCAGGAAGGAACUAGCUCAGGAAGGCCUCCCCGAUCUGGCAUUGUGAUAACUCAUAGAAGGCAUCGGGAAACUUAGCAGCAACGUGAAGAUAGGUAUCGGCGCCAACAGGAGGAUUAUCGUUGGGAAGAAGAGAGACGCCGACAAGAGUGGAAUCGGCAUAAAGAUCACGGGAACUGUCCAUUCUUUAUCCAUUGUUGGGAGCAAAACAUUAAAUUGCCCACUGUUAGGGAUGAUCGUUAUGAUAGACCUAAUCGGCAGUAUCAAAAUGAUGAUCGACGAUUUAACGGGCCGAUUAGGGGGAGAGCGUCAGUUCAUGAUCGGCUGGGGGGCAGGCUCAGUGUGCAUGAUAGACUUGGUGACCGUGUCGGAUAUUUUCCUAGAAACCAAGAGAAGCUUGAAGAAAUGGCCAAUGCACGGGUUCUCGAUGAGUUUAUAUUUUGUAGGGACGCUAACACCUAUCAAGUGGAGUCAAGGGAAGCUCGUCGCCCAUCGACAAGGCAGCCACAACUUCCUCCGUGGUGUCCAGAGGGAUUGACCAGGACACAGAAAAGGAGGCUGCAGCGCGAAAGACGAGAAGACUUGAACAUGGGAGAGAAUUCUGGCAAGUCUGAAGAUCAGCAGCAGCCGGAUCCUAAAGGAAAAGGGCCAUCGGCAGAUGUCAACAUGGUAUUUAUGUUGCCGAUGGAGUUCCUUGCGCCGUCCAGUGAUGAUGAGGAGCUGGAUUUUUCUAACCAGAUAGCUCAGUUGGCUCUGGAUCCAAUGACAGCUAUCUUUGAAAAGCCUGCCGACAAUGAAAGGCAGCAUCUUAAGGCUCUAUUCGUCAAAGGACGAGUUGAUGGGCAGCCGAUGACCAAGAUAUUAGUCGAUGGUGGGGCUGCUAUCAAUAUUAUGCCGUAUGCAGUCUAUCGGAAGCUUGGAAAGGGAGAUCAAGAUUUGACCAAGACCGAUAUGAUGCUGAAGGAUUUUGAAGGAAAUGUGUCUCCAGUUAAGGGGGCAAUAUGCGUCGAGUUGACCAUCGGCAGCAAGACUUUGCCGACAACUUUCUUCGUGAUCAGUGGAAAGGGUGCUUAUAAUUUGCUGCUAGGGAGAGAUUGGAUCCAUGCCAAUUGUUGCAUCCCAUCAACAAUGCACCAAUGCUUGGUUCAGUGGGUAGGUGACAAGAUUGAGAUUGUCCCGGGAGAUUCUUCUUACGUUAUCGCAUCGGCAGAGGCAGAUACUUAUGAGAGGACCAGGUGCAUCUCAGGAGAAAUUUGGGAGAAAGACUUCCUCAAGGUUGUCGACUAUGAAAUUCCACUGAUCCAAGCAGUCGGUUCUGAUGAGGAGUUUUAAUGGAUAGGUUCGCCGAUGAUGGAAAGUUAGGUCAGGGGUUUACAUCGGCUGAUGAUUUAGUAGAGAUAGAUAUAGGUAGUGGUGAUAAGGCAAGGCCUACCUUUAUUAGUGCUAAGUUAAAUUCUGAGUGUAAGCAGCAGUUAACCGAUUUGUUAAAGGAAUAUAAAGAUUGCUUUGCUUGGGAUUAUACUGAGAUGCCUGGUUUAGACCGAUGGAUUGUUGAACAUCGGUUACCAAUCAUGUCUGGAUUUCGGCCACAUUAGCAACCAGCUCGCCGAUGUAAUCCUAAUAUUCUUCCUGAUAUUAAGGCUGAAAUAACUAAACUUAUUGAAGCUAAGUUUAUUCGGCAGUGUCGAUAUGCCGAAUAGAUUUCCAAUGUUGUCCCAGUUUACAAGAAAAAUGGGAAGCUUCGAGUCUGCAUUGAUUUUAGGAAUCUUAACAAAGCUACGCCGAUGGAUGGUUACCCGAUGCCAGUUGUCGAUUUACUAGUUGAUGCUGUGGCUGGGCAUCGGAUCAUAAGCUUUAUGGAUGGCAAUGCAGGAUAUAAUUAGAUAUUCAUGGCUGAGGAAGAUAUUCUAAAGACUGCAUUUAGAUGCCCUGGUCAUGUUGGGUUGUUUGAGUGGAUAGUGAUGACCUUUGGUUUGAAAAAUGCUGGUGCUACCUAUCAAAGGGCUAUGAAUUUUAUCUUCCAUGAAUUCAUCGGCAAGUUGGUCGAAAUUUACAUUGAUGAUGUGGUGGUUAAGUCUGGGGAUUUCACAAAGCAUCUUGCCGAUCUACGAAAAGUGUUGGAGUGCACAAGGAAACAUGGUUUAAAGAUGAACCCUAACAAGUGUGCAUUUGGCGUAUCGGCAGGGCAGUUUCUUGGUUUCAUGGUGCAUCAAAGGGGAAUUGAAAUUAGCAGGAGAUCUAUCGAUGCUAUUAACAAAAUAGUUGCUCCUGCCAACAAGACUGAGCUCUAAUCUCUGAUCGGCAAAAUAAAUUUUAUCAAGCGGUUUAUUUCCAAUUUAUAUAGUAUUCGUGCUUUUAGUCCUUUGCUUAAAUUGAAAGCCGAUCAAGAAUUUGUAUGGGGAGAAGAGCAACAGUUGGCUUUAGAUGAAAUCAAGAGUUAUUUGACAAAUCCCCCAGUUUUGAUUCCGCCUCAACAAGGAGAGCCCUUCAAAUUAUAUUUGUCUACCGAUGGGAUGGUCAUCGGUUCGGCUUUGAUUCAGGAAUUUGAAGGGAGGGAGCGUGUGAUUUACUAUUUAAGUACAAGAUUUGUCGAUGCUGAGACCAGGUAUUCGGCUAUUGAAAAAUUAUGUUUAUGGCUAUAUUUCUCGUGCAUUAAGUUGAGGCACUAUUUGCUAUCGGCCGAAUGCACUGUUGUAUGCAAAGAUGCUGUGGUCCGAUAUAUGCUAUCUAUGCCGAUUAUGAGUGGCAGGAUCCGUAAGUGGAUUUUGGCACUGUCAGAAUUCGAUCUGCGUUAUGAAUCAGCUAAAGCGGUUAAAGGACAGAUUAUGGCCGAUUUUGUGACUCAACUUCGCGGUGCAGUGGAAACUUUCGAAAUUGUGCCUUGGACGGUCUUCUUUGAUGGAUCCACGUGUGACCGGGGGGCAGGAAUCGGCAUAGUAUUAAUUUCCCCUAAGGGAAGGAAGUAUGAGUUCUCUUUGCCGAUUGUUGCCACGUCAACGAAUAAUCAAGCCGAAUAUCAAGCAUUAAUCAAAGGGUUGGAGUUGUUAAAAGAAGUUCAUGCUGAUGCUGUCGAAAUCUUCGGGGAUUCUAUGCUGGCUAUAAAUCAAUUGGCUGAAAGUUAUAAAUGCCGAAGUGAAGUUCUGAUAACUUAUUAUGAAAAGAGUAUGCAACUAUUAAGGAAAUUCAAAGAUUUCUGAUUAGAGCAUGUUCCUCGAUUGCAUAAUGAGGAGGCUAAUCGGUUGGCUCAGUAUACCUCGGGAUAUCAGCCCAUAUUGAAUACAGUAUCGGCAAUUAGUGCCGAUGAUUGGAGAAAAGAAAUUAUUGAUUAUUUGAAGAAUCCAUCCAAGAAGGUCGAGAGGCGUGUCCGUUUUCAAGCUACCAAGUAUGUACUUCUCGAAGAUGAGCUUUAUUACCGAACAAUAGAUGGGAUUCUUCUCAGAUGCUUAGGCGAUGAUGAAGCUAAAAGUUUGAUGGGUGAAAUCCAUGAAGGGGUGUGUGGAGCACAUCAGUCUGCUUUUAAGAUGAAAUGGAUGAUUAGGAGGAACGGGUAUUAUUGGCCAACCAUACUUGAAGAUUGUUUUAAAUAUUUCAAGGGGUGUCAAGGAUGUUAGAAAUUUGGUAAUGUUCAAAGGGCACCCGCAUCGGCCAUGAAUCCCAUUAUUAAACCUUGGUCGUUCCGGGGAUGGGCUAUUGAUCUAAUCGACCAGAUUUACCCACCAUCAAGCAAAGGGCAUAGGUUCAUCAUGGUUGCCACUAAUUAUUUCACCAAGUGGGUUGAAGCUAUUCCUUUGAAGAAAGUCACAUCGGCCAAUAUGAUUGAUUUUGUAAAAGAGCAUAUUAUUUACCGAUUUGGUAUUCCUCAAACGAUUACUACCGAUCAGGGUACUAUGUUUACAUCAGGAGAGUUUGAUGAGUUUGCAAUCGGUAUGAGAAUUAAAGUGUUGAAUUCUUAUCCUUAUUAUGCUCAAGCCAAUGGGCAGGCCGAAGCAUCUAACAAAGGAAUUAUUAAACUCAUCAAACAAAAGAUUGAAGAAAAUCCUAGGAGGUGGCAUACGUUGCUGAAUGAAGCUUUAUGGUCAUAUCGGAUGGCUUGUCAUGGGUCGACCAAAGUUUCGCCUUAUCAGUUGGUGUAUAGACACGAUGCUGUGUUGCCAUGGGAGAUUAAAACCGAAUCUAGGCAACUAUCUUUUCAAGAUCAGCUGACUGCCGAUGACUAUGCUACUUUGAUGAAAGACGAGUUGGAUGAUUUAGCAGGGCAUCGGCUGAAGGCUUUGAUGAGUAUAGAAGAAAAUGAAAAGAGAGUUGCCAGAUGGUAUGAUAAGAAGGUAAAGACUAAGGAGUUUGCUGAUGGAGACUUAGUAUGGAAACUAAUCUUACCGAUCGGGACUAAAAGUUCAAAAUUUGGGAAGUGGUCUCCCAAUUGGGAGGGUCCCUAUCGGAUAAAUCAAUCUGCUCCUGGCAAUGCCUAUAUUUUAGAAACUCUCGAAGGAGUUGAAUUUCCCAGGGCAUUGAAUGGCAAAUACUUAAAGAAAUAUUAUCCUAGCAUAUGGAUUGAUGCAUAAAAAGUUUAUGUCCCAAUAACACUCCUAUCGGCUGGAUCGAAAUGUGUCUGGAACUUAACCCGAUGUUUUAAAAGAUGUCGAUAACAGUCCUAUCGACUAGACCAAAAUAAUCAGGAGUUUUUAAAAGAGAAGAGCAAAACAUGCCGCCGAUGAAGAGUUCAUAUGUUUAGCAGAGCUUGGAUCACCGAUAUAGCGCGCAGACGAAUCUGAUCGACUUCUUCUAUCUCCUUCAUGUCUUCAUCGGCAGAGCCCUCCACUGGCUUCAGCUUCUUCUUCAUCUGCAGUGCCUUACGAGCUUGGGCGUUUCGCUCUUGUUCAAGGGUUUUGAUCGUCUCGGGUAGCUGACUUUCCUCCUGUUGAGCUUGGGACAGAGCCUCUUCUAUUUGUUUAAGCUCCGCCAACAGGGUUUCCCUUCUUGCCGAUAGGUCGGAGAUCUUUUGUUUCAACACAUCUCCUGAGGAUUUUAGAAUGCCGAUGCUCUUGUGUUUUUCAUUGGCAAGGUGCUUUACUUUCAUCACCUCCUCUGAGAGUUGGGCAUGAGUGGCUCUAUCGGCAAGGCGCUGGGUGGCCUUUUGGUAUUGGAGCUGUCGACUCUCCAAAUGUGCAGCUUUGAAGAGGAUCUCCUCAGCAUCGGCAGGAAUUUGGCCUCUGAGAGCUUUGAACAGAGCCUUGGCUGGAUCGGAGUCAUCAACCAGUUGGGUCGUAUCCUGAUGAAGCAGGGCCAGCAAAUCUUCCAGUUUUGCUCUAAUCUCUGCCGAUGAAAUACCGAUUGCUUGAGAAGAGCUUGCUUCCUCGCCUUCAUCAUCGGAAAUUUCGAUGGCAAAGGAAAACAGGCUGUCGGGGGAAUCUUGUUCCUGAAAAAGAAAAGGAGAUAGGUUAUUUGAUGGUGAAGUAUUAGUAAAAUAAAAGAUGAUAAUCAAAUAACUUACUUGUUUCAAAACUAUCUCUCGCCUUUGGCUAGUCGAGGUCGAUGGUAAUACAGGUUGAUCGGCCGGAGUUGCCAAUGGGGCAAUGUCAGCUGAAAAAUAGGCAAGGUUAAUUAUAAGGCGGACAAUAGGUCCAUCGGCAAUAAUUUCAUAGAUAGUACUCUACCUUGAGGAGAUGCUAUGCUUGUCUGAAUCGAAGAGACUACCGAUGCUAUGAUCGAACCUGCUGGAUCGGCAGUCUGUUCAUGUACAUCGGUUAGUGUCCCUUCUGGCUGAGGUUCUUCUGGCUGAGGUUCUUCCGGCUGAGGUUCUUCUUGUGGCUGAGGUGGAGAUGGUAUUUGUUGUGUCUGAGCUUCUGGCGAAGAAGGGGAUGAUUUCACUUGAAUCGGUGACCCUGGGGGAGGAGGAGGCAUUGCUGUUCUCUGACGCUUCGCUUGUGACUUGUACUCUUGGGACCCUUUCUCUUUCCUUGACUGGACUGGGGGGCAUCGGCGGUCGUUUUGGUACUUCUGGUCUUUGCCGAUUUGCCAGUUUGCUUAUAUAACGAUAAAAUUUUUGUAAGUACAAGUGUAACAGAGUAUUGAUGAGGUUUUGGUUGAAAUAGUAAAAAGUUACCGAUGAAGUUCCCAUGCCAGCCGAUGUGUCCUGAAAAUUGUGUAAAUGUAAGAAUGGAAUCUGUAUAAGUUGAAGAAUUCAAGGAUUUACCUUGAAAGCUUGUGCCAAAGCAGUGGUAGCUACCGAUGGGGAUGUUUUCGCUCGCCUGGUGGUGAUUUUCUUGAAACGCACGCCCCGAUGCAUUAAAGCCGCCAAGCUCGGAGCGUUGUUGCCGAUCAAAGAGAUUGGGCCCGAUGGAAGGAGUUCAAUUGGCCUGCCGUUUCUGCUAAUUGAUGGUGGUGUAUCAUCGACCUAUAUAAAACAAAGAAAAUAAGUUGCCGAUAGAAAACUAAAGUGAAAGGAUUGAAACAUCGGUUAGAAUACUUACAGUAUUAUCGGGGACUUUGUAUUUGGGGUCAAUCAUGCCAUGGUAUAUGAGGGCCAAUCUGCAGAACAAAUGCUCUUUCCACUCCUCCCACCACUGUUUGUAUGCCUGAGUAAUGAAGAGAGCUGGGAUCCAAGCCGAUAGAUCGACAUCUGUAUCGGCGUUCGGCAGAAGUUGAGCUAUUCUGAUCCACUCAAGAUUGCCGGUGAUGGUCUCCCUCGGCUUUACCACAUCGGCGUAGCAAAGUGCAAUCGGCAGCUGUCCAAAGGCUAGCUGACGAGCUAGUGCUGAUGGAUUGUAGAACUCAUAAGUCAGAUUGGAAGCUUUCCCACUACCAAAGAAAUUCACUGGUAUGGCCCUUGGGGUGAUAAUUGCCAUCAUCACAUCACGGUCCUUGUUGAGAGUAUCAUUGAAGGGAUGGAAAGUUAGGGGAAAUCUGGUGUCUGGAUCUUCAUAUGGCAUCCAUGCCCGCUGUUCUCUAGUCAGACCUUCAUAGAGAGUCUGAAAGAAUCGGCUAACCUGGUCUUCAUUACCACCAGUGCCAGGUAGGACUAUGGCAGCUUCGCCAAAGUUCAAGGGGGAACGAGUUGCCGAUUCUUCUUCAUCCAAUUCAUAAUCCUAGGCUAUGUCCCUGGGGAAGCGCUGUGCAAAGAGGUCGAAUUCAAGGCGUUUGUGCAUGUGGAGACUAAGCCACAUGUUGAUAAACCACCAAGGACCUCCUAAGUUGCCGAUGGAUUGACCUAGCAGAGGUUUCUUGGCUACCUGGUGGAGGAGGUGAUAAGCAGAGCCGAGCAAGUAUCAGCCAAGAGGAAAUCGACAACCAUUGGCAAAUCUUUCUGUUGCCGAUAAGUAAACAGAGGUUGGCCCUGCCGGUCGGCCACAGAAUACAAAUUUUAUCCAGCCACAUAUUCAGGAAAGUGGUCUGUUCCUUUCCACUAACAGGUCCUAUUUUUCUGUACUUCUAAAUGUACCCAGACCAACCGCCGAUAGCAUGAGUUUCUACCUUAGAACUGGGUUAGGUGUCAAAUAGAUGGCUGUUAUCGGCAGUGGAUAUGUCUAAGCCGGUGAGCAUGAGUACAUCGGCAAGUGUAGGAGAAGCAGGGCCAUGGCCAAACACAAAAGCAUUGAGCGUGUCUGACCAAAAGUACGAAGCAGCAAUUAACAGUGACUCAUUCCUCUCCAUAUCGGCAAGAGACAAUCUAAUGCACUGGUCUAACUUCCGCUCGCCCCAUUGAACCUCAUUUGAAUGGCUGACUCUUAGGAACCAAUCCUUCCAUCCCUUGGUAGGACUUGGCCAGGAACGGAAGGCAUCUUUCCACAGAUCUAGGGAGAAGUUUUCGGCUCUAAAGGGGAUUCUGUUUGUCUCUGCGUUUAUUAGAUCGGUGGGAUCUGGAUUUCUUAGCGGGCCAAGACAUUGGAGGUGAGGUUGAUCGAUAGGAAUUACGAUCUUAUCGGCCAAAUCCUAAAAGUUUUUGAGGAUAAAAGAAAGGACAAAAAGAAAAAGGAGUAUUCAGUAAAAGGAAUUGCGGAUGAAUAGGAAUACAGCAAGAGUGUGGAAAAAGAAGGGUGGUAAACUUACCUCAGGAACGACGAAGUUGAUGGCCAUUUCCUCGCAAGGAAGAAGAUCGAAGACUUGGGGGAUUGGUGAAGAAGGUCUUUGUUGAAGUUCUUGGAAUCCUCGGGUGGUGCCGCCGCCAGGAAACUCGAUUUUGGGCUGUGGAAUGAUAAGAUAGAGGAGGAGUACCGGAGAUGGAAGUAUUUAUAGGACAAAUCGGGCAGGGGCAAAUCUGACUUAGCUCUUUGCCGCAUCCGUGAAAUCUGAGGGUGUUCAGGUGGAUAUGGUAACUGUUCGCACGGUAAUCAAGGGAUUGCGCAGGUGAUUUGACAGCAAGCGGUCAUGAUUUUGAAGAUAUUCCACUAUACAAGAUCUUCUGGUCGGUCCAUCGGCAGUUCCCUCUAACAGUAAUAUUGCCGAUGGGCGCAUAAAGUGGAGAGAUUCGGUUCGGGAGGUUGAGGAAUUCGAGGAAUCUGCAGGAGAAUCGGGCCAAGGUUGUUCGGAUUUAACGUCCGAUUACCAAAUUGGGAGAAUUAAUUGCGGAAAGGCAUCAUUACUGCAGAGAAUUUUGGAGCAUUAAUGAUUUUAUACUCCGAAAUUGGGGGGCAUGUGUUGACACCGUUUUUGGACACGUAUCUUUUGACGCGUACCUGGGGUUAGUAAAGUAUAAAUCGGCAGAUGAAGCAACGGUAACUAGUCUAAAGGAAAGUUGCCGAUGAAGGUGGUUGCCGAUGGGGAAACAACUGAAUGUGACUAAGUCCAGAGGUGGUGACGUGUUCAUGCCGAUGACCAGUAUCAAUGUAAGCCAAUGGCCACAAUAGGAGGUCUACCGAUAGCUCUGAAGAAAAGCGUGGAGGUUGCCGAUUGAUAUGUGGCGGUGCCCCGGUCGGCUACAAGGGGGUAGUUUUAUGCUUUCCUUAGUUAUUAGAAUUCGUUUUGUGUACGGGUUCCGUUUAAUUUGGAAUUUGAGUCCUAGUCGUGUCUGGUUGUAGCUCUUUGGACAGGGUAUAAAUGUAGACCCAAGCGCAAUGUAAUGAGGGAUCUAUCAAUCAAUCAAACACAAGUUUUUACUCAUAUUCCAGCAUCUACUUUUUCGACGACUUUGUCAUAUUUUCUUUUUACUACGAGUUCUUAGGAAUUCGUCGAGCCAAGCUCGGCGUGUUCUCAAGUUCCGUGUGAUCACCUCUUGGCCGUGACAUCCAGGCGCAUCGCUGUUGUCGGGACCAAAGUGUUCGAGUUACCACCUUUGUCGAUUGUAAGGUCAAAUCGGCUGGCACGCCUUAACGUUUGAAUCGGGUAUUAGCCCUUUGUGUUUGCAGAUCACUUUUGAACCAACAACGUCCUAUCACUUAUCGGAGUAUUGUCUUCAAUAGUCAGAUUGCUGUCUCAACAGCAACCAUCCCUAACACUCUAGGAGGACCAGUACGCCUUCACUGCCAUCCAACAACACCAAUAGACUACGUCAACAUCUAGCUUGGGGAAGAGCACCCCCGUAUAUCCUGCUAAGUAUCUCUAACUUAUCUAUUUAUUUAUUAAGUGUGCUAUGUUAAUAUGAAACAAAUAAAAAGAUGCAUAACCAUAGAAAACCUAGAUAAAGACUUCCCUAUUUAUUUAUAUCUAUAUUUUUGUUUGAUAUUAAGUUUGCUAAAUAAAAAUUUGAGAGUAUUUGAAGAAAUUUCCUGCUAAAAGAAAACUCCAUAGAAUAAACUCUCUUAUGGAAAUGAUGAAUAGUUGCUCUGUCGUAAUCCCUUUCAAGUACCAAGUUUUCAACCUCAAACUCUCCUAAGUUUUGGACAUAACUAUUUUGAUUUGAGGUCUGCUCUGAACCUGAAACUUAUGGGUAGCGAAUGCUUGAUCUAAGUCUAGGUAGUUGACGGAUAUGAUAUGAGAAGGUUUUGAGCUAUUGUCCAUCUUGUUCCUAGAGAUACUAGAGUUCUUGAGAAUUUAUCAUUAAAAAUCUUAAAUUUUAGCAUGAUGAGUUCCUGUAUGACUAGAGUUAAAUUCCUACCACAACCAAAUAUACAUGCUUACUUAGGAGAGCCAUCCACUUUAAUAUACUGCUUGUAGGAAUUGCGUGUAGUUAAGCUGUGUUGACCCUUAGGAAUUAGUCAUGCAGUUAAAGUCAAUAUUAUGUGCUCUCCACCCAUUGAUCUAUGCUGCUUCUGUCCUCAGAAGUACGCCCUCAUUUACUCUGUGCUACUUCUUUUCCUAGAAGUACCACCCACAUAUAUACACAUUAUACGCGCCUAUGAUGCUCCCACCCUAGAAGUAUGCAUUCCUUUAUUCACUUCAUUCACUAAAAAAUGUUCUACUCCUACACUGGGAGUGAACACCAAAAAUAUAUGUCCCCAUCCUAUCCUUUUCCUGUCAUCCAAUAAAGCUCCAAUUACACCAGUUAACACUCCCUAUUAAUAUAUUUCUAGUAAGAGGCUUGGUUUCUCUGAAAAAUAGAGAGAAAGGAAAGAAAGAAAAAGGACAAAUGUCCAAAGAAAGAAAAAAAAUAAGAGAUCAAGCCAAGUUCCUCCAAGGUCUUUAAUUUCCAAUUAAGGGAGGUAUGUUAUCACCAGGGAGCAAAUGUAGAAUUAGAUCACCACCAUCAUCAUUGCCCCUCUUAAUCAUUAUCAUCACUCAUUUCACUCAUUGCAUUCCCCUCAUCCACAUGCACAUAUGAUUUGAUUGUAUGACUAGUUUCUUUGGAUCCAUAGUUUAACUAUACAACAUAUAUCUACAAGUAUGUUUGAGCUGUCUCCCCACCUAUGAGCUCCACAUAAGCCUAUUAGAUGUAGGGUGAGAGAGCAUAAUGACACUAUGCCUUAAUUCCACAAAUACCACAUAUUCUGAGAGUAGAGAGAAGGCAUCCAUCAUUCAUGCAUUGGUAAGGAUCCAAAAAUACCACAAAUGAGAGACUUGAAAGAGUCAUACAAGGAAACUCUGAGUUAUAUUUGAAAAUCUUGCAAAAACUCUGGAAUAAUAGUUUAUCAAAGAGCAAGAAAUAUAGUGGAGGACUUGACUGCUGUGUCUUUCAACUGCUCAAGACCCAAGUGAUAAUUACAAGCCCCAUGGUGGAAGGAAGUAUGAGUAAGUUUCAAGUUAGAACAGUUCACUCUAAUCUAGAGGAGAGUUCUUAUUUGAAUGCAUGUAUAUUUUUUAGGUGUGAAAGCCUUGUAGCAACUCCUGAUCCGUCACUGAGUUUAUCUUUGCUCAGAGAUGAGCAAAGGGUAAGCUUAGGGGAGUUGUUGACAGUAGAUAACUCCUAAUUUUAACCGUCAACUAGACAUGAAACUGGAUCUAUUAGCAAACACCUAGUAGAUAUAGGGUUAUCACUAACAUAAUUCCAUGAGUUUUGGUGAAUGUCUAUUUCUGCAGGGUGUCAGCUGAAAAUAACCAAAGAUGAUCCACAUGUUAGGUUUACAUAGAGAGAAUACCACGAACAUCUACUUUUCUGUAAUCUAGAAGGUUCCAGAAGGCUCUAGACCAAACCGAGGCCCGAACCAACUUGGGAGCCGGGCGGCCGUCCGAGGUCAGAGCCCGCUUACUUCAACCAAUCAGGGUGAACCUCAAGGAUCCUACCUCCACUGACUUUGAGGAUUAAUCUUAAGUGCACGGUUAAGUCAGUUUGAUCCAAGGGCUGAGGUGCUUCCUAGGGGGCUAUAAAUAAGACCCUGACCCCCCUGGGGAGUAGCUAAUUCUGAAGCCUUCAUUCAUAUUUUCUAGAGAGAAUUAGUCAGAGAGAGGUCCCUCGAAUGGAUCUGUCUCUUUAGGGUUUUAGCAACAAGAGAGGUUGAGAGAGUAUAGGGUGGAGAUAGAUGUGGAGGAAGCCCAGCCUGUCGGUGUCUUCUUCCUUAUAUCUGUGGGAUCAAGUCUCCUAACCUGAGUCUUGGUUCUAGAAUCAUUCACCAAUUGCUCCACACACUGUUUGCAAUCUCUAAAUUAACUAUUUCUUUAUUUCUAUAAGUUUGAAUUGAUUCAUAAUGCCUAUAUUUGAGAAUCAAAACAUAAUAUGGGAAAAUAAAAUAAAUCCUUUAGAAAGAAGUAAUUGUGAAUAAUAAAUAUGCUAUGCUAAGAAGUGUCAACAAUCAUUUCUAGCAUAGAAAGUGACCCUUAGCUGCGUUACAACAAUGCCCUUGUCAUUACUUCUAUAUUCCUUUGGGUAUGUGUUGUCCACUAAUGAUUUGCAGGAACAAAAUAAUAAAAAGAGCUAAAGGUCCAAGCACAAAUUAGACAGAGAACAAACAAUGACAUAAGGUAAGAAAGGAGUGCAACAGAGAAGAUAGUUGGUGCAUGAACAAGACACGUGACUAGCCAAGCAAGGAAAGCUUCCACAAGAUGUUAUAGCUUCAUCAUGCUUCAAUACUAAAGGUAACAUCUCUAGGUAAGUGAUCAUUACUUCCAUAAUAACCUCCUUGAUUUUGGCAUGCACAUAAGUAGAGAGCCAAACAUGCUUUGAGUUACAACCUCAUUUGAUCCAAUCUAAUUAACUCAACAUGUUCAGUUCUUUAUGCUUGUUUCUAGUGUCACUUUCUUGGUCUUACAGCAUUUAAUUCAAUGAGCUGAAAUGUUGCACAUCCUAUCUUUGGAAGAUAGUCAUAAUCAUGAAGUUAUAUGCAUAGGUAGACUAUCCUUCCUUAAGGUUGAUUAAUCUGAUAUGCUAUUUUAAUGCCACAUGCUUGCUUAUUGUUUGAUGCUAUCACCUAUGUUUAGAUAGAGCAAAACACAUAAAUAGUAAUUUUAUCUCGUUCAAUGUGCCAAAGGCUAGAGUAUAAUGAACAAACCAUUUGGGUCUAUUGGUGUUUUCCCACCACAGAGCCCAUGCACUUGAUCUCUGCCUUGUCUGUAUGAGCAUGACACACCUUGACAUGCACAUUGAGUGAAGAUGCUGCAGCUCCCACAAGUACUUGACUCCAAACUACUAGAAGAGCAAUGAACAUGGGUGACACCAUCUCAAGUGGUGCAACUAUCAUGGACUCCACCUUUGGGACCAGAUAAAGCACCUAAAGAAUUAACAUGGUAAAAGGUCCUGUUCGGAGGACCUAAAACACCGAACACCAUUCCAAGAGGUAACUUGGUUAUCAACAUUUCCCUUUUUAGCACUACAUCUAGAAAAUGCUAAGCCCCAUGUGGAUAAUUUUGUGGUGCGGCAGCCCACACAAAUAUCCACGGUGGUGGCAUAAAAAUAAGUUUUCAUCUUACUACAUUUUCUGCAUACCAUAAAAUAUAUAAAAAUAUACCUUAUGAUCCUGCUAAAUGAUAAGUAUAUUAAGAAGGUUCUAGACAACCAAGGCUUAGGGGUUUUACAACUAACACUUAAUCAGUUCCACAAGAUUUGUUGUCUAUUUGAGCUUCACAGAAUUUAAAGGAUCAAGAAGAGGUAACAGGCAGAAGGACGUCCUAUCCCUUGUCGAAGUACUGUCUUCAAUAGUUAGAUUGCUAUCUCAAUAGCAACCAUCCCUAUAACACUCUAGGAGGACCAGUACGCCUUCACUGCCAUCCAGCAACACCAACAGACUACAUCAACAUCCAGCUUGGAGGAGAGCACCCCGUAUAUCUAGCUAAGUAUCUUUCACUUAUCUAUUUAUUUAUUAAGUGUGCUAUGUUAAUACUAGUAUAGUGCCCGUGGCACGCCACAGUUUCAUUCUAGGGUGUAAUUAGAAAGAACAAAACAACGAUAUUUUUUAAUAGUUUAAGUCACAUUCAAUUUUGGAAAAAUGCUAAUGUAUAACAAGACACAAUAAAAUCAUAUCUCGUAUAUUUCAAUUAAUUUAUUUGUUGAAGUAGAACUUGGAGUUCUCCAGGGAUAUUAUUUGUACAUUCAUUUGUGCUGCUCUUCAAAAUAUUCACUAUGAAUUCAGUCCUUAGUGAACAUGACCUCUGUGAAUGAUAGAUAAUUAGUUAAUUUUCUAUAUAGGCUACAAGAUAUACAUAUGAAUUAUAUAAUCUUACAGUGUCGAUAAACAUCAGUCUUUCACCGUUCCAUGACUUUAUGAAGUUGUAUACAAGAAAGCCUGCCAAUUUCCUGUAGAAGAAGAGAGAACGUGUUUGUUUGUUGUAGAUAAAAUCAAAUGACUAUUUGAUAAGAAAGAUAAUAAAUUAAAAUAAGUUUUUACCAGUCCUUGCUUCUUGGAUGAUUUUUUUUGAAUUCACGAUGCCAGAGAAAAAUAUUGUCGUUCCAUAUAGGAUUUGCUAAUUUCAUGGCGAGAUUGAAAUGAUUCAAAAUAAUAUUUAGUAUAGUUGUAUAUGGCUUGCUUGGAUCAUCACUCAUGUGCCAUAGAUUUGGAGAAUGCGGAUCAAUAAUGUACAAAAAUUUGUUACUUAUGUCUAUUAUGAAUAAAGUAUAGUGCCUAUCACGCCAAUAUGGCAAUAGAUCCUGUAAACAAAUACCAAGGCUAUAAGUGCUAAAUAAAAAUGUAAAUUUUUAAAUGAAUUUACAGAAUAAUAUCUUACAGUGUUGCAAUUUUGAAUUUUGUAGUCCAUAUGAGGCCAACAUUCAAACAAUUUUGCUAGUUCAUUAUAUUCUAUCUUGUCACAACACCGUGGAUCUCGCCCAAACUGAGUUAUAGACUGUUGAUUUUCCAAAAUUUAUUAGAAUUUAAUUAAUUAUUACAAUUAUAUAUACACAUGAAGGGAAUAAUUAUAUCAACUUACAGCAAACUUGAGGUCCAUGAAGUGGUAUUUGUCUUUCUUCAAUAACAAAGAUUUGUUGCAGGCAGCCAUCCUAACAGCCACGUUGAAGCAAUCAUGGAUCCAUCUCUGUGUUCUCAUAUAAAAUAUGUCUAAUUUUUUCAAGAUUUAAAGAAAUGGGAUAUGGUUGUGUGCUUUGGACCCAUGCUUUGCUAAAAUAAGAAAAACAAGGAUAAUGAACAAAUUAAUUAUUGUAGUUGUUCUAAUAAGAGUGGUGAAAAAUCCUUAUAUUGGAACAAAACAAUUUAUUUAGAAUGACUUACUCUAAAGAUUCAGCGUCGGUGAAAUACAGGAUGUGAUUGUGAAUUGCAGUCAAUAGGUCUUGCUUGUUUGUCCAUGUUAUUGUACGUGAUAGUAAAAUAGCUAUGUCAUCCAUAUCAUCUAGAUUAUGGCUAGUCUCGUUAUCUUGCACAUCAUCUUGAAACCCUCUCGCUAUGUUUAAUGGGGAGUUAUACAAUAUUAUUUUUUAAAUAUAAUAUGUAUUCAAAUCUAUCAAUCAUUAAGGCAUACCAUACUGUUGAGAUCUUGCUAGUUUGUCAUAUUUUUUCCGAAUGAAUCCAAAAUAUGUAUCUCACCUUCCGAAGCAUUUACAACCGCGAGGUACCAGUGAUACUCCUUAAUAUUAAUUAGAAGGAAGACAUGUACUAAUAAAGUUUUAUCUCAUUUUUUUGUACAUGCUCCAAUCAACAAAAAAAUAGCAUCUAUCAGAUAUUGGAGUCAAGCUUACGAUAUCAGCGUUUGAAUAAUUGUUGACCCAUGUUUGAACCUUGUCAUCUUUACUAUAGUUCAAUUCCAUCGCCUCAGUCUCUCCAUCACACCGUAGCAAUUGAGAAAUAAAAGUAUUCUCCAUGUAAACAUCCCCACCUUCUCUAUGAAGUAAGUGUUCUUCAUGCCACAUCAAUUGGAUAUACAUACUUAUGACCUGGAAUUUUUAAAUUGUCAAAUAAAAAGUUAUCAUAUUUUCCAACAUCAAUUACUUGCAAAAGCAUGUUAAACAUGCUUACAGCACUCUAUGUGUUAAUGUGUCAUCUCCUGUAUCAUAAAAGUAGAGCUGCAUGUGCCGCGGUCCUUUGGAACCAGGCACCAAAUGGUCGAGUCGAUGGUACAAUGAACCUUGCACCCGGAAUGUAUAGAUACCCGUGCCUGCUGCGGUGGCAACUCGCCGAUCCAAGGUAACACCAAGGGUCGUGAACGAAAAAUGAGACUUGAAGUACCGUAUGUGUUUUCUGAAAUAUUUUGCAUCAUUAUCUACAUGACUGGUAAAUAACAUUUUUAAUUCAGCCGACACUUCAGGAAUAUGCACAUGAACCUUUCCAUUUCUGCAACAAAAUCUGGAUGGUUCAUAUUCGAACCGUAUGGCCCCACAAUGCCUACAAUUAGGUACUUUUUCAAAACAUGGUGGUGAUUUGGUAAAUUCUGGUAGACGUAGUCGUAAGGGUCAUCCGCGUCAUUAUCAGAAGUGCCAUUGGCAUAUAUACGGUAUGACUCGAACCCUUCUUCUGCAUGAAAGGUAUGGAAUUUCUUUAAAUACACAUAGUAAAAUUUACUAAAAUUUUAAGACAUGAUGAUUCAUAGUUUACGAAAGAGGUACCUUCCCCACGAAAUUGCCUAGUUUCAUCGUCCUCAAUCUCAUCUUCCAUGUCUUCCAGGUGAUCUGUUACAUGGUGCAUGGCAGGAUGGCAUCAGCAUUGGUAAAAAAAGUAAUUGAUAUAUGAAUUAUAAAUAAACCCACCUUCUUCUUCAUCAUAUUCUUGUAAAUCAGGGUGUGCAGGUUGGAACAAGCUAGUAUAAUAUUCAUGUUCCCGCUCGAUGGAUCCAUUUAAUGUCUAGAGAGGCGGUGAUAUAUCUGCUUAAAAAAAGUUGGGCUGUCACUAUGCCUCUGUGGGAUUUUAAAAAUAUGGCACAAGGGCAAAAAGCUAUGAGGCAACCUGUCCAUUGUGCAUUGCAGUUUGGAGUACGGUGCAUGGCCUCAUAUGUACUCAUUCUCUUUUCCCUUGUGUAGUCUCUUUUUUUCUCCAAUAAUGUCUGCUUUUUUGAGGCUUCCAUAUUGUUGUAUUUCUCUCUUCUCAAUAGCUUGUUGGCAAUUGAACUGAAAACUGAUGAACAAUUUGUUGUUAUGGUGGCAUAUAAAAAUUAGUUAGUGUAAAAAAUUCAAUAAAAGGCACACACACCUAGAUCCUUCACUAUGUGUAUAAAUUUCACUAAAUGACACACACCUGGAUCCUGAACUGUUUGAGAAGAUUGCUGAAAUGCAUUAUCUCCAAACACCUGAUGCCUCACUCUGACAUAGUUAUUGUUUCGACGCAACCAUAUUGGAGAAUGACAUGGGCUUUGGUUUUCUUUGUCUUGAACCGAUGGUGGCCCAGUAAAGAUUUCAGAAUCCAAGGUCUGUGAUGGUGAUGGUUGACCUACUCCGGCCAAGGUUCCUGUCAUGUCUAUGUCAACAAUGUUCAUGUUGGGGGUUACAAUGCAUCCCUCGCACAAUGGCUGCAGGACGGCCGAGGAAGGUGUCCCAUAAGUUGAAUGCGUUCCUACAACAUAGUUUGUUUAUAAUACAUGAACAAAAAUAAACAUAAUUCUUAUACCACACAAGAAUAGCGAAGAUCAUGCACCUGGUUGAUCCCGUACAUUUGAAAGUGCACUUGUUUCAGCCUUUCGGCGAGCACGGUACUCACGCUGCCUCUUAUUCCUCUCUUCCCGUUCCUCGUCCGUUUCUUGAGCCUUUUUCUAGCACGGUAGUCAUGUUGUUUCCUAUUCAUUUCCUCUCUCUUGAGUUGUUCUUCGCUGCAAGCUGUGGACAUAGAGGUUUCUUAUUUAUUAUUUUUGGUGUUGUAUAUAUUCUCAUUGCAAUAUGUGUAUAUGCUUAUACCUAGAGUAUUUAUGUUUGUUACAUCGCUGAGCGAAAUCCGUCCCUCUCUCGACGUUCCCAUUUUUUUGUGUAGGACUGGUAAAUACUAAUCUGAAAAUCAUAUUAUAUGUUACUCGGUCAGAGAAUAAAGUGAGGACUGAGUAAUGACAACAAAGCAUCACUGGAAAAAUAAACAUGACGAGAUCCUAUUUUUUAUCUACCCUAAAAAUGCAAUAUCUUUUAUUAUUAUUAUAUAUAACUAGGAUCGUAUGUAUUUUUUUAAUUUCAGUUCUACACCAAAUUUAGUCAUUCAGUUUUUUAUUUUUUUUAUUUAUUCAUUAUGUAUAUUCUCGGUUAUCACUGUACACAUGAGCAUGGACCAGACGAUGUCUAUGACCAAGAAAGGAAUCGUACCAUAGAUAUAAGGCAAAAGUGAUCAAGUUCCAAUGGCAAAUGUCUUAAACGAUGACAGAACCUGAAGGCAUUCAGAGUUGGCAACGAUUAAGUCUCAGAUUACUUUAUAGCACAUCACACGAGAUCUAUCUUGCAAUCCAAAAGAAAAAUUUGUUGUGUGCAUGAAACCUAGGCAAUUAUUUCUCCUACACCUCUGCCUCAUCCACUGAACAUAUUCAACCUACAGUUAAAAAUUCAUCCCACAUCAUGCGGUUGAAGGCAGCUGCAUGGCAUAGUACCUGGUAUGUCGAGAUUUACCAAAAGAAGAGCAGUUGAGUUUGGGGGCACGCGUUGGGGCGUUGGAACCGUCGCUUGGCCUCAUCAUUGAAUCCUUUGAAGGUCCGACCCAACGCUCCAGAUUUCACGGUGAGCAGCAAGAGUCCAUCGGUCAGGUCCGCCCCAGCGCUCAAGAUUUCACGGCGAGCAGCAGGAGUCCAGAGUCGCGAGACGCUAUGGACGUGAUUAGCUGCGGCGACAGGUGUUUUUGUUUUUGUUGGGGGCGAGCGGUAGAGGCUGAGGAAGUUGACACAAUCAAUCUUAGCCCUUGGAUUUGAGUGAGUAAAGAGAGAAUACUCAGAUUAAAUCUAGACAGUCUAUUUUGAAGACGUAUUUCUGGAUAUUUUUUUUGGAUGGACGAAGAGAUGGCUCCUUAGGGGAAGACAUUUUUUGGUGUGGAGGUAGGAAAGAAAAACUUGGUGCAUUAUUAGGAUAGAUUAUUAGGGUAGAUGAAACAAAUAAAAAGAUGCAUAACUAUAGAAAACCGAAAUAAAGAAUUCCCUAUUUAUUUAUAUCAAUAUUUCUGUUUGAUAUUAAGUUUGCUAAAUAAAAUUUAGGAGAGUAUUUGAAGAAAUUGCUUGCUAAAAUAAAACUCCACAGAAUAAACUCUCUUAUGGAAAUAAUAGUUGCUCUGCCGUAAUCCCUUUCAAGUACCUAGUUUUCAACCUCGAACUCUCCUGAGUUUUGGACAUAACUGUUUUGAUUUGAGGUCUGCUCUAAACCUGAAACUUAUGGGUAGCGAAUACUUGAUCUAAGUCUAGGUAGUUGACAGAUAUGAUAUGAGAAGGUUUUGAGCUGUUGUCCAUUUUGUUCCUAGAGAUACUAGAGUUCUUGAGAAUUUAUCUUUAAAAAUCUUAAAUUGUUGCAUGAUGAGUUCCUGUGUGACUAGAGUUUAAAUUCCUACUACAACCAAAUAUACAUGCUUACUAGAUUAGGAAAGUCAUCCACUUUAAUAUACUGCUUGUAGGCAUUGCGUGUAGUUAAGCUGUGUUGACCCUUAAGAAUUAGUCAUGCAGUUAAAGUCAAUAUUAUGUGGUGAGGUCGUUGUCCUGCAAAACACGUGCAACAACACUAGGGACAGAUGUUAAGUCAUUAGCUGAAAGCAAUGUGUCCUUGCACACAAGUACAAAUAGUACUUGAUCUGGGUUUUUCCUCACAUCUCUCAGUUCUGAUUUGGUGGCUAUCAUCACGAAGUUCUCUCCCUCUCUUUUUCUGUCAUCUCUCAUGUUUGGCUUGUGGCUCUCACUCACUGAUUUGUGGAGGGCACUCAAAUUAUUUUUCUCUCCUUCUUUUGCACUCUCAUUCCUCACUUCGGAGCUCUUUUGCAAGUGCUCAGCUAGGAUUUGCUGCGGUGUCAUGGGUUUAAGAAUCAACUCCUUGUUCUUCCACUUGAUGGUGUAUUGAUUGGUUCUACCACAAUGUAGAGACGAUCGAUCAUAUUGCCAUAGUCUUCCCAACAGCAUGUGACACACUGUCAUAGGCGCCACAUCACACUCAACAGUGUCAAUAUAUUCACCAAUCUUGAAUGGAACUUUCACUCUUUGUGCAAUCUUAAUAGAACCUGAAUUAUUAAGCCAUUGCACAUGAUAUGGAUGGGGAUGUUUCAGCAGCUUCAACCCAAGCUUUUCAACCAUUUCUUUGCUUGCAAGAUUGUGGCAACUGCCACCAUCAAUGAUCACUUUGACAACAUUAUCUUGCACUUUAGCUCUAGUCUGAAAAAGAUUGUGCUGCUGUCCAUUUUCAGCAUCACUCAUUUGUACACUCAAAAUCUGAGUUACAACAAGAGCAGCACCAGAUUCAAAUUCACAGAUGUCCUUCUCAAGAUUACUCUCACUUCCACUAUCUUCUUGUUCUUCCUCACUAGCAGAUUCAUACUCCCCUUGAUCAUUCACAAUGAUGGUUCUAGCGUUUGGACACUCUCUUGCAACAUGACCACGACCACCACACUUGAAGCACUGAAUUCCACUACUCUUGCUGGAAGAACCCACUGAGUUUGCUGAUUUGAAUUUCUCAUUUUGAGCAGCCAACUCUUUGCUACUAGAAGAACCAAGGUUGCUAGAUCGUGCACCACCGUUUGAGCUGGAAAAUGUACCUUUACUUCCACUUCCUUUGGGUGCAAAUUUACUUCCACUUGCUGCACUCUUUGUGCUGAAAGAUACUCCUCUAGUGGACUUCAUAUCCUGCUGCAAUUGCCGCUUAGCUUUGCUAGCUUGAUGCACCAAUUCAACAAGAUUACGAUAUUGCUGAAAUUCAACAAUGCGCUGAAUAUUCCGAUGCAGCCCUGACAUAAAUCUUGCAAUUGUUUGCUCUUCAUCUUCAAUUACAUUGGCUCUAAUCAUCGCCUUCUCCAUCUCUUUAUAAUACUCAUCAACACUGAGGCUUCCUUGCUUCAGAUUCUGUAGCUUGUCAAAUAAAUCACGGCGAUAAUGUUUGGGGACAAAUCUUGCUCUCAAUUCUCUCUUCAUUUCAGCCCAUGAACGAACAUCACCUUGACCAGCUUCUUCUCUUUCAUUCAACAUUUGCUCCCACCAGAUUAGAGCAUACCCAUCGAACUCAAGAGCAGCCAUGGCAACCUUCUUUCUCUCAGAAUAAUUAUGCACACGAAAAACUUUAUCCACCUUCAACUCCCAUGUAAGAUAUGCUUCAGGAUCAGAUCCUCCUUCAAACUGGGGCAUGGUGAAUUUUAACUUGCCAAACCUCUCUUCAUUGUGCUGAUUACGACUACGAUUUCUUCGGUGACGACGAUCAUCAUAAUGGGGCUGUUCAUCCUCUUCUUCUUCAUCCUCUUCCUCAGUUUCACUUUCUUCCAAUCCAAUACCUCUGCCAUGUCCAUGAUCAGCACCUCUACCACCAUGAUCACGUCGUAGAAAAGGAGGUCUUCUUGCAUUGGCAGCAGCUCGCUCUCUACGCCGUUCCCUUGCACGACGAGCAGCUUCUCCUUCGCUUUCUUCAACUUCAUCUUCACGGUGACUGCCAUUUGCAUUAUCAUGAGGAUGAAUUUGCAACUGGUUCAUGAGUGCUUGAACAUUGUUUGUUAGCGUCUCCAUGCCUUGUUUCAUCUCAUUGAAUUGUGCCAUGGUGACACAAUCAUCAAUCUCCGUAUGCUCUGACAUCUUGCUGUAAAAAAUUAGUGAAGGCAAAGCAACAAUAUAUGUAGAAUAGGGAAUUAUAUGUGGAAUCUCACAAUCUCACCUCUCUUACCAACCGAAGCUCAUGUGAGUUCCCCGCAGAUUACAACGGCCAAUGCGAGGUGGUAACCGAGAAUGAUGGUUGGGAGAAUCCAAGAUCAGUAUUUUCCUAUGACGGUGGGUUAUUUGUGGAGCUUGGUGGGGAUAUAUUUCACAAGGAAUGCAGUCUGAAUUCUUGAUAUUGUAAAGUUAAACCACAAUCCAAACUAGAAGUUCAAUGCCUAGUGCUGACCACAAGAUAUGAGUGAUGUAAAUAGAUCAAACACACGCGCAAAGAUAAUUCAGAUUUGAUGCAAACAAGGAGUAUGCCUAGGAUGCAAGUGUUGCAAUCAAACCCAAGCAAAAUUUUGCACCAAAGAUGGAUAAUGACUGAUUGUGUGACUUGAUAUAAAAUUCAGAACUUGAGCACAUAAACAGAGUGAAUUUUCUACUCUUUCUUCACAACUUUUCUUCCUCAACUCUCUUUUUUUUUCACUUUCCUUUUUUUUAUACCUUUUUUUUAUAACUAAGAACAAGAGCAGAUAUAACACUUGCACACACUUUUUUUUGAAACAAGACACAACCGUCAGCGUUCUAACUUGAUAGGCUCAAAGUUUACGCGAAGGAUGAUACCGGUUUCAGAUUUUCUUUAGGGAUUUGUAAAUAUAAAAGAGGCACAAAGGACACACAAAGGAUAUGAUGAUCAGCAACUAAACAAAACUCUAAUGGACUGAAACUUAACCAAACUCACAAGAAAAACAGAUUGAAACAAAGGGCUAAUGCAAUUUUUUUAUGGCUUUUUGGUGGAUAGGAUGAACAAGAUAUAUAUAUAUAGCUAAGGGUAAAAAUCCUACCGUGGAAACUUGAGCUUUGAUACCAGAUGGUGAGGUCGUUGUCCCGAUCUUUACGGCGUAGGAUAACUAGCUGAAGAUCAGCCGAUAACUUGCUGCAAGCAGCAAGGAUAACUAGUGCAACCUGACGACACGCACAAGGAGCCAACCACUGUCUCUAUACGGCAGCCUGAACCAAGGAUUCGCCCAACCACACUCUCAAAGAACCAACCUACGUAACCUGAACUCGAGGAUCAGGAGCACGGAUUGGAUGCCGAUGACGCGGCCGCUUCUGUAAUCUCCGCGAAGGAAAACACAAGAGCAAAGGGGUAGAGAUCUCUCUCUGAAUUUGUUAGCACACAGCUGAACAAAGUGGUUUGUAUUCUCAAUAUCAUAAGUCUUGGAUUACAAUGAGUCUUAGGGGGUAUUUAUACUAGCAACAGCCCUGCUAGAUAGGUAUGAAAACGAAAUAGAGUUUCUGAGGGAAGGCAAUGUGAAAGGUCCCCUCGAAAUAGAUUUCCGAAGUGGCUUCGCGUGACUGUUGGCCUCCAGAGCAGUUUCCAAUAAACUGACGAUAACUUUUUAUUGGGAAGUCCAAAUGAUGAACCGUUUCUUGGGUGUGAAACUAGACUCCAAGAGCUUUCCAGCAACGUAUGCCAUGCACCAUGAAACUCUGUAGAUUGGUACAGUUUUACUUGGCAAGUUGUACCAACAUUCUGUCACGACAGACUGUUGACCUUCUGAGCAGUCUGUACUAAUUCUAGUCUGCAGGCAGUAUGGAGUAUCCAAACUGGUCUCUACUAGAUUCAUUGGAAAGUAGACUCGAAGAGCUUUCCAACAAGUGCUCAUGGGCCUUCAUAGCAUCUCGAAAGUGAAAGUUAUGAUCUUUUCUUUCAACUGGUCCGUUCUGCACCGUACUGGUCCGAUCUGCCCUUCUUUCAACUGGUCCGUUCUGCACCGUGUUGUUCCAAUCCUUGCGAUCCAGGUCACCUCCCUCCUCAUGUGUAUACCUAAGCACAACCAAAGUAGAACACUUAGGUAGUAUAAUAUUCUCAUUAACAUUAAUAAAACUCUCACAAAGUAGCGCGUUCACCUCUUGUUGUAGCUUCUUGGCUCGGCUACGUGUAAUUGCUCUAUCAAUGGCUUGGGCUGGUGCCGGCGUAGUCGGUGUAGAGGUUGGCAUGGAAUUAGAGAGAGCAUGCUUGGUUGGGAUGUCCUCAUCAUUAUGUGCUCUCCAUCCAUUGAUCUAUCCUGCUUUUGUCCUCAGAAGUACGCCCCAAUUUACUCUGUGCUACUUCUGUUCCAAGAAGUACCACCCAUAUAUAUACACAUUACACGCACAUAUGAUGCUCCCACCUUAGAAGUACGCAUUCCUUUAUUCACAUUCACUAAAAAAUGUUCUACUCCUACACUAGGAGUGAACACCAAAAAUAUAUGUCCUCAUCCUAUCCUUUUUCUGUCAUCCAAUAAAGCUCCAAUUACACCAGUUAACACUCCCUAUUAAUAUAUUUCUAGUAAGAGGCUUGGUUGCUCUCAAAAAAAGAGAGAAAGGAAAGAAAGAAAGAGGACAAAUGUUCCAAGAAGGAAAAAAAAUAAGAGAGCAAGCCAAGUUCCUCCAAGGUCUUUAAUUUCCAAAUAAGGGAGGUAUGUUAUCACCAAGGAGCAAAUGUAGAAUUAGAUCUCCACCAUCAUCAUUGCCCCUCAUAAUCAUUAUCAUCACUCAUUUCACUCAUUGCAUUCCCCUCAUUCACACGCACAUAUGAUUUGAUUGUAUGACUAGUUUCUUUGGAUCCAUGGUUUAACUAUACACAUAUGUCUGCAAGUAUGUUUGAGCUAUCUCCCCACCUAUGAGCUCCACAUAAGCCUAUUAGAUGUAGGAUGAGAGAGAGGGCAUAAUGCCACUAUGCCUUAAUUCCACAAAUACCACAUAUUCUGAGAGUAGAGAGAAGGCAUCCAUCAUUCAUGCAUUGGUAAGGAUCGAAAAAUACCACAAACGAGAGACUUGAAAGGUUCAUACAAGGAAACUCUGAGUUAUAUUUGAAAAUCUUACAAAAACUCUAGAAUAAUAAUUUAUCAAAGAGCUAGAAAUAUGUGCAGGACUUAACUGUUAUGUCUUUCAACUACUCAAGACCCAAGUGAUAAUUACAAGCCCUGUGGUGGAAGGUAAUAUGAGUAAGUUUUGAGUAAGAAUAGUUCACUCUAAUCUAGAGGAGAGUUCUUAUUUGAAUGCAAGUGUAUUUUUGAGGCGUGAAAGCAUUGUAUCAACCCCUGAUCCAUCACUGAGUUUAUCUUUGCUUAGAGACGAGCAAAGGGUAAGCAUGGGGGAGUUGUUGGCGAUAGAUAACUCCUAAUUUUAACCGUCAUCUAGACAUGAAAAUGAAUCUAUUAGCAAACACCUAGUAGAUAUAGGGUUAUCACUAAUACAAUUCCACGAGUUUUGGUGAAUGUCUAUUUUUGCAGGGUGUCAGCUGAAAAUAACCAAAGAUGAUCCACAUGUCAGGUUUACAUAGAGAGAAUACCGCGAACAUCUACUUUUAUAUAAACUAGAAGGUUCCAGAAAGCUCUAGACCAAACUGGAGCCUGGCGGCUGCACGAGGUGGGAGCCCGCUUACUUCAACCAAUCAGGGUGAACCUCACGGAUCUUGCCUCCACUGACUUUGAGGAUUAAUGUUAAGUGCACGUUUAAGUCGGUUUGAUCCAAGGGCUAUGGUACUUCCUAGGGGGCUAUAAAUAAGACCCUAACCCCCCUAGGGAGUAGCUAAUUCUGAAGCCUUAAUUCAUAUUUUCUAGAGAAAAAUAGUCAGAGAGAGGUCCCUUGAAUGGAUCUUUCUCUUUAGUGUUUUAGCAAAAAGACAGGUUGAGAGUGUAUAGGGUGGAGAUAAAUGUGGAGGAAGCCCAACCUGUUGGGGUCUUCUUCCUUAUAUCUAUGGGAUCAAGUCUCCUAACCCGAGGCUUGGUUCUAGAAUCAUUCACCAAUUCGAGUUCUAAUACUAGUAAGUUAUUGUUCUUACUGUUCUUUGGUUUACGAGUUUACAUUAUUCGCUUUGUAUUGGGAAUAGAGUAACCGUUCAUAGCGUAAGCAUAGUGCUUGGGCUAGGAACACUCGUAGAUACUCCCUAUGUGGCCGGAUUUGUGGUAGCAUCGGGGCAAGUGACAAUCCCCUUGGUGUCUCUAUAAUCCACAUCCCAUUAGUAGGUAAGGUACGAUAUAUGGUGCUAGGGUCAAGCACUCUCUAAGGUGUCUCUUUUCUCUCUGUACUCCCCUUAAAAAAAUUGUUGACGGUUGAUAACGUCAACUUUUAUUAGAACUUUAAACCUGAAGGAGAACAUGAAAACACACUAGUCUAGGGUUUAAACUGACAAUUUCCAUGAGUUUUGCAUAUUUAUAUUUUCUAGGGUCUAUUUCCAGAAAAGCUAAAAAGAGGGUUCAAGUGUAUAUUUACCAUAAAACUUAUCCUCCAUGAAAAAGAUCACGAACGGGACAUGGGAAGACUCUCGAAGACACCGGAAGAAACCGGGGGCCAGAGGCCACCAGGUGGGGCCGGCCGGCCCCACCAUGGCGCCGGCCGGUGCCCCCCUAUUAGGGUUUUGGCCCCCUUCUAGAAUGUUCCUCCACCGCCUCCGAGGAGUCAUCAUGGCCCUUGGUUAAGUCAGUUUGAUCCUACGGCGCACGUCAAUCCCACCAGGCUAUAAAUAAAGGGGCAGACCCCUCUCCGUGAAGGCAUCAAGUCAUUUGGAGAUCAAUCCAUCAAGAGCCUUCUCUAGUUCAUCAGAGCCUCUCUAGUUCAUAGUUUUAGCCUAGUUAGAUUAGAAGUAGAAAAGUUCUAGUUCUUCAGCGGGAUCCGGAGCCCCUAGCGUCUGUCUGGAGCGUGGAGUUCGGUAUAGCUCUAGUACCUUUCUCUUAUUGUAUUCAAUAUUAUGAUUCAGGCAACAUUGUUCUUAAUCUCUUAUAUAUUCUUAAUUGCAAUAGUCAUUGUCUACUUUAGUUAUAUGUCUAGGAUAGUUGGUUUGAUCUUAUUGAAUUCAUGUAAUUGCUCAUAUAGGGUUUACUCAAUCAAUUGGUGGGUAGAUGGUAAACAAUAUGUAGACGUGGUGUCUAGAUAUCUUGUUUAUCUGCGAGGGCACUCUGAUGUGUCGGGUCGUGUGGUAGUCCGCACAGGUGACAACUACGUUGGUUCCUCUCUAGUCCACCCCCCAUACGUAGGACAAGCUUGGGCGCAGUCGCGAAGGAGGUGACGGUUGCAUCUUAAUAUCCUCAUUAGUUCAUGCCUAUUUACAUGUGAUUAUGAUAUAGGGUUGACUUAACAAUGAUUUCUAGAUGUAAUUGCACUAAUUAGAGUUAUUCAUUGAUGUAGUUAUAGAAUUACCUUAGUAUUUCUUCCUGAGUUUAUCCAAUGGCUAGCUAUUACUAUGACUACAAGAGCUCUGAUAUUUAUAUAUUUAUGAUGACUGAUCAUUAUUUAUCUUAUAUCUUUAAUCAAGUGACUUAUCCCUGUUAUGAGUAGGAUUCUAGUUAUGGUUUAUUGUUCACACCAAUAGUAUAAGUUAUAGUUAUGUCCUACAUAUAGACCUUCCCUAUGGAUAUGAUAUUUAAAACCCCCCAGGUAAAAUGUGACAUUGGUACAAUAUCUGUGCACUUGCGGAUAAUCUUACUUAAAUCUUACUUAAAGGAGUGCAGUUAAUUUAUACCAACAACAAUAACCACACACUUAACAAAGGUUAGAACAAGACUGACAAAGGAGUUCUCUCUAUAUCGCUCAUAUCUCACUAUCUUGUUGUUGACGGUUCUUAAGUAUCAAUUUUAAUUAUCAAAUAAACAAGAGAAAGGACCAUUAUGCAAACAACACCUAGAAUUAGGGUUUGAUCUGACAGAAUUCCACGAGUUUUGUUGUUUAUCUGUUUCUGUAGGGGGUUAUCAGGAAAUAAGGAACAAAGGCUCACAUGUCGGGAUUACAUAGAGAUAUUAACGCACCGCACAAUUUUCUACCAUCUAGAACACUCCAGAAGCCACGAGAACGAACGGGAAGGCGAUCGGGACCGGGGGCAGGGCGCCCGCCCACCCCCCUAGGGCGCCCGCCGAGGAGUUCUGCCCAAUCACGUCCAAACUCGCAUAUCACGCUCCACCGACCUAAAGGAUCAAGGAUAACCGUUCAAUCAAUGUCGGUUUGAUCCGACGGCCCACGUUCACUUGAGGGGACUAUAUAAGCAGACCCCCUGGCCCCUGGAGGAGACACAAGUUCAUCAUAGAGUUGAGAGGUGCCCUCGAAGGAUAACCUCUACUCUAAAUAGACUUUGGGCUUAGCAUCCAAUGUAAGUAGAAUUAGUUCUUCUAGUUUCUACUAGAUUGAGAGAGAUAGAGUGGAGGUGUGGAUCGGAGGAAGCUCGGCCUGUCGGUGUCUACUCCGAGGUUGUACCUGCGGGAUCAAGUCUUCUAACCCGAGGCUUGCUCCUAGGAUUCUUCAGUAUUCAGUAUUUUGACUUCUAAAUUCUAGUAAGUUCUUGCUUUAUUGUUCUUUGGUUUAUGAGUUUACUUUAACCUCUUCGCGUAGAGUUUAGAGUAAUCAUCUCUAGCGUAGACGUGGUGUUUGGGCUAGAAUACUCAUAGAUAUCCCCUGACUAGUUGAACCGUGGUAGUAGCGAGAAACGUGACAUUUCCGAGUUACCUUUGCAGACCAUAUCUCGUUAGCAGGAAGGAUAGGGUUUAUAGGUGCGGGUCGAACAUCCUCUGUGGUGUCUAGAUUCCGUAAGCUUCUCCAAUAUAAUAGUAGAUUAUCCUUACCAAGGUUAGAACGAGACUACAGUUGCAGUCUUCUCUAUAUAUCACUCACAUCAAGAAACAUUCUUUGUAGCCUAAAGGUUAGUAGUAAUAGACUGGGUUAGUCAAAUGCACUCUUUCUCCUAGUGGUAAAAAUAUAAAUACGAUACUCUGGAUAACAUCCCGGAUGAAGUGCUCACCGAUAUCCGUGCGCUUACGGAUCAAUUCCUUAUUGCGUUCCCAAAUAUCAACACUUGUCUUGCAAGCCUAGGGGUUAAGUAUAGAUUUAUGUUAGUCCGAUGCACUCUUUCUCUCAGUGGUAAAAAUAUAAAUAACGAUACUCUGCAAUAUCUCUCGGGUGAAGUGCACACCGAUAUCCGUGUGCUUGCGGAUUUCUCUGUGUGCAUAACUAAUAUCAACAGUUGCCACCAUCUAGAUGGCUUGGAGCAGCGAGGAGCAUUGGCAUGAGUUGGUGAUUGCUCGUGGCCAUCUCUCAGUGAUUGUGAGGGGUUUUAUACCUUCCUCGAUAGAGAGCUCUUGUAUGCCUAGUGAUCAUAUGAACUAGAAUUGUUGGAUAAGUGCCUUGCAAACACCCCAUUAGAGCUAGAGCAAAAAGUUUCGCUUUGUUAUUUAUUAACCUCUUGCUCUAGUGAGUUUAUAGAAUUUUUAAAUUGGCUAUUCACCCCCCUAUAGCCAUAUUAGGACCAUUUCGUGAAGGCUUAACAAUCUCAAUGCUCAAAUUAUGGCUCAAAUAGUGUUCAACCAUGUUGGGGACAAACCACCAUUCUUUAAUGGCACAAGUUCCUUUAACUAUUGGAAGAGAAAAAUGAAAAUAUACCUUAGAUCAGUCAAUGAUAGAGUGUGGAAAGUCACGAAGAAUGAUUUUGUGAUUCUUGAUCCCACCAACCCUACCAACAAUGAGAGAGCCAACAAAUAAUGCAAUACUAUGGCUCUCAACACAAUAUACAAUGGCAUUGAUUCAAAGGUGUUUGAGCAAGUCAAAGAUCUUGAAAAGGCUAGUGAAGUGUGGACAAUGCUAGAAGAGACAUUUGAAGGCACUACAACGGUAAAAAGUGCCAAGUUGUACAUGCUCAAGGACAAGUUAUCCAACUUCAAGAUAAAGGAUAAUGAGUCCAUAUCAGAGAUGUUCUAUAGGCUCCAAGUCAUUAUCAAUUAUCUUAAGGGCCUUGGUGAGAAAGUAAAGGAUGAGGACUUCAUUCACAAGUUCUUUGAUGUGCUUGCCCAAGAGAUUCAAAGACAUUGAGAACAAUCAUCUUUAUAGGUGGAUUGAAGAAUGUAUCUCCCAAUGAGGUACUUGGAGAUAUCAUGACCGAGGAUCAAUACAAUGACAAUGAUGAUGAUGAGGCCAUGAAGAAGGAUGAUGAUGAUAAGAAGAAGAAGAGUGUAGCAUUCAAAGCUAGCUCUUCAUCCAAGAGCAAGAAGAAGGACAAGGCCAAGAAGGAAGAAUCAAGUGAUAAGGAGUGCUCCAAAGAUGAUAGUGAUGAUGAAGCACUAGCACUCUUUGUCUGCAAAUUUGGCAAGAUGAUGAAGAAGAAGAGAUAUCACACAAAAAAGAGAAUAGAUCACUUUAAGAACAAGGAGUAUGUGAGGCUAUGCUACAAGUGCAAGAGUGCCAAUCAUAUUGUGGAAGAUUGUCCUUACAAUUGUGACAAUGAUGAGCAUGACAAGAAGAAUAAGAAGGAGAAGAAAGCAAAGAAAGAAAGAGAAGAAGAUGGUCUUCAAGAAGAAGAAGAAGGGUGGAUCCUAUGUUGUGACAUGGGAUAGUGAUGCUUCUUCGGAUGAUGAUUCAAGUGAUGAUGACAAGGCAUCCAAGAAGAAGGCGCUUGCUAGUAUUGCUAUCAACAACAAGCCAUCACUCUUCGACACUCCUUCAUGCUUCAUGGCUAAGAGCCACAAGGUACAAUAUGAUGAGAGUGAAAGUGACAAUGAACAUGAUAGUGAUAGUGAUAGUGAUAAUGAAAAUGAAUUAUCUAAUGAACAACUCAUGGACAUGCUAGAACAAGCCAAUUCACUUAUUCAUUCUAAGAACAAGAAGUGCAAAGAAUUGGCCAAGAAGUUAAAAGCUCUUGAGCAAUCCUUUGAUGAGCUUAAUGCUAAUUAUGAGAGGCUAGUGGAUGCCCAUGAGAAACUUGGCAAGGCUCACACCAAGCUUAAAAAAGCUCACUCCUUGUUAUUAGAAGAGAACAAGGAAAAGUUUGAGAAUGAGACUCUCAAAAGAGAUGUGGAUGAGCUCACUCACGCCCUAGGCAAGGCCUAUGGUGGUGAGGCCCGCUUGCUAAAGUGCUUGGGCGGCCAAAGUUUUUUUUCUCAACAAAGAGGGAUUAGGCUAUACCCCCAAGAAAGGCAAGACGACCUUUAUAACUCACAAGCCUAGCUUUGUAAAGAGCAAUGGUCGGUUUUGCAAUAGAUGCAAUCAAGUUGGGCACCAAGAGCUUAAUUGCAAUAAAAUGAACAAGAACAAGAAAAAUGCUAAUGUACCUUACAUUCCUUUUAAUUCUUAUUAUGUGCUUACUAAGGGUGAGAAGGGUGUGCAUGCUAAGUUUGUUGGUACAACAGUUGGGGUACAAAGAAGAAGGCCAUUUGGGUACCAAAAAGCUUAGUCACUAAACUCCAAGUACCCAAACAAGUAUGGGUACCUAAGAAAUAUUGAUUUGAUUUGUAGGUAAACUAUAAAGCCGGAGGAAGGCAUUGGGUGCUUGAUAGUGGGUUCACACAACACAUGACCGGUGAUGCAAGAAUGUUCAAUUCAAUCAAUACAAAUGAUAACAAUGGUGUUAAUAGUAUCACAUUUGGUGACAAUGGAAAAGGCAAGGUCAAAGGGCUCGGUAAAAUUGCUAUAUCUAAUGACUUGAGAAUUUCCAAUGUGCUACUAGUAGAGAGCUUGAACUUUAAUUUGCUAUCCAUAGCUCAACUGUGUGAUCUUGGUUUCCAAUGCAUAUUUGGAGUUGAUGAUGUAGAGAUCAUAAGUGUAGAUGGUUGUAAUUUGAUAUCCAAGGGUUUUAGAUAUGAGAAUCUAUACUUGGUUGAUUUCAAUGAUAGUGAAGCUCAAUUAUCAACAUGCUUGCUCACUAAAUCUAGCAUGGGUUGGUUAUGGCAUAGAAGGCUUGGUCAUGUUGGAAUGAAACAAUUGAAUAAGUUAAUCAAGCAUGAUAUUGUUAGAGGCUGGAAAGAUGUCACAUUUGAGAAAGACAAGCUUUGUAGUGCAUGUCAAGCCAGAAAACAAGUUAGCAACACUCAUCCAAAGAAGAGCAUCAUGAGUACAUGCAAGGCAUUUGAGUUGUUGCACAUCGACUUAUUUGGACCAACCACAUACACAAGCAUUGGUGGAAAUAAAUAUGGAUUUGUGAUAGUGGAUGAUUUCACAAGAUACACAUGGGUAUUCUUUCUUAGUGGCAAGAGUGAUGCUUUCGCAAUCUUCAAAUCAUUUGUCAAGAGAAUACACAAUGAGUUUGAAACAACCAUCAAGAAAGUGAGAAUUAACAAUGGAAGUGAAUUUAAGAACACAAGAGUUGAUGGGCUUUGUGAUGAAUUUGGCAUUAGGCAUCAAUUCUUGGCCAAGUACACUCCAAAAUCAAAUGGUCUUGUUGAGAGGAAGCAUAGAACUUUGAUUGACAUGGCAAGAUCAAUGUUGAGUGAGUACAAUGUGAGUCAUUUCUUUUUGGCCGAAGCAAUCAACACAGCUUGCUACUUAUAGCAACCGACUCUAUUGUCACGCAAUGAUGGAGAAGACACCAUAUGAGCUCUUGAAUGGAAGAAAGCCCAACAUUGCAUACUUUUGGGUUUUUGGUUGCAAAUGCUACAUAUUGAAGAAAGGCACUAGAUUGAGCAAAUUUGAAAAGAAAUGUGAUGAAGGUUUCUUGCUUGGUUACUCCACUACUAGCAAAGCUUAUAGAGUUUGGAAUUUGGCUAGUGGUGCUCUUGAAGAGGUGCAUGACGUUGAGUUUGAUGAAACCAAUGGCUCUCAAGAAGAAGAUUAGAAUCUAGAUGAUGCGAGAGGCACUCAAUUGGCCGAUGCAAUGAAGAACAUAGACAUUGGUAAUUUAAGGCCUAGAGAGGUGAUUGAUGUUAAAGAUGAUAAAGAUCAAGUGCCUCCUACCUCUAAUGUGCAAGCUAGUGGUUCUCAUGAUCAAAAUCAAGCUAGUAAAAGUGGUAGUCAAGUGCAAGAUCAACAAGGUAGUACAUCAUCUCAUGAUCAACCAAAUGCAAGCAAUCAAGUGCAAAUACUUCAACCAACCAAUAUUGCAAGAGAUCAUCCAUUGGAUCAUAUCAUAGGUGACAUUCAAAGAGGAGUGCAAACUAGAUCAAGACUAGCAUCAUUUUGUGAGCAUUUCUCCUUUGUCUCACAUUGAGCCAAAGAAGAUACAUGAAGCUUUGAGAGAUGUUGAUUGGGUUACUGCUAUGCAUGAAGAGCUUAACAAUUUCAAGAGAAAUCAAGUAUGAGAAUUAGUUGAGAGGCUUAGUGAUCACAAUGUCAUUGGUACUAGAUGGGUCUUUUGCAACAAGCAAGAUCAAGAUGGGAUAGUCAUAAGAAACAAAGCAAGAUUGGUAGCACAAGGCUAUACUCAAGUUGAAGGUCUUGACUUUGGUGAAACAUAUGCCCCAAUUGCAAGAUUGGAAGCAAUUAGGAUCUUGUUGGCCUAUGCUUGUGCACAUAACAUCAAGUUAUAUCAAAUGGAUGUGAAAAGUGCAUUUCUUAAUGGCUAUAUCAAUGAAGAAGUUUAUGUUGAGCAACCUCCAGAUUUUGAAGAUGACAAGAAACCCAACCAUGUUUACAAGUAAAGAAAGGCAUUGUACGAUUUGAAGCAAGCACCAAGAGCAUGGUAUGAGAGAUUGAGAGACUUCUUACUCUCUAAAAGUUUCAAGAUGGGCAAGGUUGACACCACUCUCUUCACCAAGAAUAUUGGCAAGGACUUAUUUGUGUUGCAAAUAUAUGUUGAUGAUACCAUAUUUGGAUCAACCAACCAAGAAUUUUGUGAGGAGUUUGGAAACAUGAUGGCUAAUGAGUUUAAGAUGUCAAUGAUUGGAGAGCUUAAUUACUUCCUUAGUCUUCAAAUCAAGCAAUUGAAAAAUGACACGUUUGUGAGUCAAUAGAUAAAAGAUACGCUGAAGAAGUUUGCUAUGGAUGAUGCAAAAUCAAUUAGCAGUCCAAUGGGAACAAAUGGAAGCCUAGAUAGUGAUACAAGUGGAAAUAUGGUGGAUCAAAUGUUGUAUCAGUCUAUGAUUGGAAGCCUACUCUAUGUGACCGCAUCAAGACCGGAUGUCAUGUUUAAUGUAUGCAUGUGUGCAAUAUUCCAAGCCUCACCAAGAGAAAGUCAUUUAAAGGCAACAAAGAGAAUAUUGAGGUACUUGAAGAAUACACAAAAUGUUGGUUUGUGUCUGGGUGUUGGUUGCAUAUAGGUCCUUUUCUAUGAUUAGUUGACGGUUAAAUGUGAGCAUUAAGGACCGUCAACAAGCUCCCCCAAGCUUAACCUUUGCUCGUCCCUGAGCAAAGCUAAAAUCAGCAAGAAAACAGGGGUUACUUUUAUGCCUCUUACUACAGGGUUUUUAAGUUAUCACUAAGGUCUUAAGUGAAUGAAAAACAGAACGAUCAAGUCAAGCACUAUGUCUCAAGUUCUUCUGUCUUACCUUUGUUCUGGAGUUUUUUUGUAAGUUUCCAAAAUAAAACUGAGGCAUUUGCCUUCUUCUCGAAAGAUAUAUAAGUAGAGCUUUAAAAGUUUAGCAUACCUACUUUGCAUUUUGCUAUGUCAAUGCUCGGAGCAAGGGAGAGGAAUGUCAUACUCCUAGAUCAAGACCUUUGACCUUUUUGAAAAAUUUGUCAUCUCUUACUAGCAUAUUGCUGUUGACCGUCCUUAAAUACUAAAAUUAACCAUCAACUAAACAUGAAAAAGGAUCAAUAUGGACCAAACAUCUAGAAUUAGGGUUUUAUCUGACAGAAUUCCACGAGCUUUGGUGUUUAUCUAUUUCUACAGGGGGUUAUCAGAGAAUAUAGAGAGAAGGCCCACAUGUCAUGUUUACAACGAGAUAAUUACGUGCCGCGCAAUUUUCCUCAAUCUAGAAGAGUCCAGAAGCCACGGGAACGAACGAGAACACGAUCGGGCUCGGGGGCAGGGCGCCCGCCCAGGGUUAGAGUCAAAACAGAACUCUUUUCGGGGACCAAGCUCCACCGACCUAAAGGAUGAAUCUAAACCAUAUAAUCAAUGUCGGUUUGAUCCAACGGCCCAAAUUCACUUGAAAGGACUAUAUAACCAAGGCCUCUCCACCCCUGGAGGAGAGAGGAGAAGAGAAGAAAUCAUUAUCAAAGAUAGCCAUCAAAGUUAGGGUUUAGAGCUUCUCUCCCAUAGAGAAUUAGAAUUAGCUACUCCCUAAUCCUUCAAGUUUAGAGGUUUGAUUAGAUAGCAAUUAGAGAAGUAGAGCACUACGCUCUGGAUUCGGAUCUUCGGUAAUAAAGAUUGGUAUUAUUCAUAUCUUUCUCUAAUUCUUUGUUCUAAUUGCAUUAUGUCUCUAAUUAUUAUGUUCUUAGUUUGCUCUAGUUCUAUAUUUGAUAUAGUUAUGAUUGAUAAUGAGUUUAUGUAUAAGUUUGCAAAGCGCUUAGCUCUUGACGCGAGGGAGUUAAGUGGUAGAUCACAUGUAGGCAUGGUGCUUAGAUGUUGUUUACCUGCAAAUGUAUCCUAUUGGUCGGGUCGUGUGGUAGUUCGCGAUAGUGACAGCUUCGUUGAUUCUUAUAUAGUCACCCUCCGUUGAUAGGACAGGUAGAACUUGUAUUGCAGAGUAAGUCUUGCGAUGUUCUGAUUUACUUUAGCAAUGUUCCUUAUACAUGAAUGAAGAGUCUUUUAUGCUAUAUAUGAUUUUGUAGAUAACUAGAGUAGAUUAUGACUUAGUAGAUAGUAGAUAACUUAGAAUCCAUUCUCUAGCUAAUCCGACAUCACCUACAUAUAUGAGGAGUAGUCUAUUUUCUAAUCGCUGUGUUAUUUACCCAUGAACUUAUAAUUCAUUAUCAUUAUCUUUAUGGUUUACCCCCUGCUUAAGUAAGUGACUGUGUGACGAGUUUCUCAUUAGUAAUCAUGUUCUUGCAAGUUUAUCUCUAGUCUAUUCCUUGAUAGAUUUUGCCCUUAUUUUAAUUUCAUCCCUUUUGUUCCCUUAAGCAAAAUUAUAAAUAACGAUACCUGGAAUACUUAUCCUGGUGAAAUGCUACAAUGAGGUGUUUUAUCUGUGCGCUUGCGGAUAGAAUAGAUUAUUUUCUAGAGAGCCUUUACAUUUAUAAAUACCUUUGUACACUCUGGCACCAUGCUGGGGAUGACAACCUAGUAUUCAAGUGGUGUUAGCUAGUGUCAACAAUUGCUUAUUAGAGGGACCAUGGGCUAUAAUUUUUUUUCUUCUCUCUUUUUUUCAGUCUCUCUCUUUUUUUUCUUUUUUUUAAGUGGGCACCAAGUACCCCUAAUUCUACUAUCGGACACGUGUCCAUUUUUUCCACUCAGGUGGGUAUCUUUGUACCCCUAAUUCUACUUCGGACACUUGUCCAUUUUUACCGCUCGUCUCACUCUUUUUUUUCGAAUCAAAUUUUUGCAUAGUCCCAUGCCUCUAACGCAAUAAUACUUCAGAAGAGUGAAUCUUUUAUAUUUUAAAAACAAAAAGACCUUAAUCUUUGGAGCAUGAUAAUACUCUCAACCAAAACUACAAGAAUUAACAAUGGCUUGAACAAAGCAAGUGUCCACAGUUUUAAUAUUUAUAUCUUAUAAGACUCUAGGUAUUAUGUCAAACAGGAUCUCAUCAUUUUUUUCAAUUUUUUAGAUUUUCAAAAGAUAAAAUCUCCAGAACUCUAGCGAAACUUGGAACAAGUUAAAUAGUAGCUCAGACCUUCUCAUAUCAUGUUUCUCAAUUACCUAGACUUGGAUCAAACUUUCUUUUUAUUUUAUUUAAAACUUAGGAUUACACAUAACUAUUGUAUAUUACUCAAAAGAAAAACUUUGUUUGGUUUCAUGGUUAUGCAUUUUAUUUAUUUAUUUCCGAAUACUAGUAAAUAAAACUAAGAAAGAAAAGUAAUACUUAUCUAGAUACACAUGGGGGUGCCUCCCCCAAGCUGGAUGUUGACAUAGUCGUUCACUCUUGUGGCCUGCAUGUUCGGUCUCACUCUUCUUAAGCCUCAAAAUCCUGCACAACCCAAAUAGACAACAAAACUCGUGGAGCAUGUUAAGGGUUAGGUAAUUGUCUAGAACUUAUGAGAGCUUAAUGUGAGAAUUCUAUGAACUCAAUCUCAUCAAGUUCCUCUACCAGGUUGUUUUGUGGCUCGAGAUAGAUUUUCAAGCGUUGACCAUUUACCUUAAAAGUGUUACCUAUGUCGUCUUGGAUGGUAAUAGCUCCGUGAGUUGAAGUGUCAAUAACCUUGUAUGGUCCAUCCCACUUACUUCGUAGCUUACCAUGCCCAAAGAGCUUAACUCUUGAAUUGAAUAGUAGAACCUUAUCUCCAGGCUUAAACUCCUUGUGCUUGAUUCUCUUAUCAUGCCAUCGUUUUGUUCUCUCUUUAUAGAUCCUUGAAUUGUGGUAAGCUUUCUCUCUCCAUUCUUCUAGCUUAGAUAGUUGCAUCAGAUGAUUCUUGCUAGCAAGGUGGAGAUCCAUGUUCCAUUUCUUGAGUGCCCAAUGAGCCUUAAACUCUACUUCCACAGGCAAAUGACAAGUUUUUCCAUAUACAAGUUUAUAAGGUGACAUGCCUAUGGGUGUUUUGAAUGCAGUUCUAUAUGCCCAAAGUGCAUCAGGAAGUUUGUCCUUCCACCCCUUACCCAUCUCAUCUACGGUCUUUUGUAAAAUAUUUUUGAUUUGUUUGUUAGAUGUUUCGGCUUGACCGCUAGUCUGAGGAUGGUAUGAUGUUGCGACGUUGUGUCGAACUCCAUGAUCGGCUAGGUACUUCCGAAAGAUUUUGUCGAUGAAGUGGGAACCUCCAUCGCUUAUAACUAUCCGGGGUAUACCAAAGCGAGGAAAGAUUACUUCAUGGAACAUUCUCUUGGCAUGUUUUGAAUCAGCUGAUCGACAAGGUAGGGUUUCUACCCAUUUGGACACGUAGUCCACAGCUACUAAGAUAUACUCGCAAUUCCCGGACAUAGGGAAUGGCCCCAUGAAAUCAAUGCCCCAUACAUCGAAAAGUUCUACUUGAAGAUUAUUUGUAAGAGGCAAUUCAUUUGGUGAGUUGAUAUUCCCAUGUUUUUGACAUCGGUGGCAUCUCCUGACAAAGUCCUUUGUAUCUUCAUACACCGUUGGCCAGAAAAACCACUUUGCCAAAUUUUAGCAUGUGUCCGGAAUGCUCCAUAGUGUCCUCCAUAUGGCGAGGCAUGACAUCUUUCCAUAAUUUGAGUAGCUUCAGCCAUAGGAACACACCUUCUCAAGAGUCCAUCAGUGCAGACUCGGAAAAAUAUGGCUCAUCCCAAAGGUGGAAACGACUAUCGUGAAGCAACUUCCUUUUAUUUGUACCAGGUGGGACAUAGCCUUUUACUAUAAAGUUUACGAUGUCUGUGUACCAUGGAUCUGCAUGUGUUAUCUUAAGCAGGGUGUCAUCCCUUAGGUAGUCAUUUAUAGGAAGCUCAUCAUGUGUUUCCUUAUAUUGAAGCCUAGACAAGUGGUCGGCUAUGAAAUUCUCUACUCCCUUCCUAUCUCGGAUUUCUAUGUCAAAGUCUUGGAGUAGAAGAAUCCAUCGAAUUAGACGAGGCUUAGCAUCUUUCUUAGUGAGGAUGUACUUGAGAGCAGCAUGGUCUGAAUAGAUGAUUAUCUUUGCCCCCACUAAGUAAGAUCUAAACUUGUCUAUAGCAAAGACAACAGUCAAAAGCUCUUUUUCAGUUGUAGUGUAAUUGAGCUGUGGUCCAGACAAGGUUUUGCUAGUGUAGGAUAUGGCAUAAUGCUUUUUAUCCUUGGUUUGUCCUAAAACGGCACCAACCGCAAAAUUCGCUAAGAUGAGUGCUUUCUUAAGAGUGCAUCGCACAUGAUCUCAAAAGGAAGAUUCCAAUUAGGUGGUUGGAUAAUCGGGGCUGAGAUGAGUGCUUUCUUAAGAGUUUGAAAAGAUUCAUGACACUCAUCACUAAAGAUGAAAGGUGCAUCCUUAGCUAGGAGACUAGUUAGGGGUCUAGCAAUUUGAGAGAAGUUCUUGAUAAAGCGUCUAUAGAACCCUGCAUGUCCCUAAAAGCUACGGAUUCCUUUCACAUUCGUGGGAGGUGGAAGUUUUUCAAUAACUUCAAUCUUAGCUUUGUCCACCUCUAUACCACGUUCGGACACUUUAUGUCCUAGCACUAUUCCUUCCUGAACCAUAAAAUGGCAUUUCUCCUAGUUCAGGAUUAAGUGCUUUUCUUCACAUCGCUGCAAGACUCUAUCUAAAUUGUCCAAACAAUGAUCGAAGGUUUUGCCAUAGACGGUAAAAUCAUCCAUGAAAACCUCCAUGAUCUUCUCAAUCAUGUCCGAGAAAAUAGACAUCAUGCACCGUUGGAAAGAAGCUGGAGCAUUGCACAAUCUGAACGACAUUUGUCGGUAAGCAUUAGUUCCAUACGGGCAUGUAAAGGUAGUCUUUUCUUGGUCAUCUGGGUGGAUUGGGAUUUGGUGAUAUCCAGAAUAACCAUCAAGGAAACAAAAGAAAGAGUGGUUUGCCAGCCGUUCCAACAUUUCAUCAAUGAAGGGUAACGGAAAGUGAUCUUUCUUUGUAGCCUUGUUGAGUUUUCGAUAGUCAAUACACAUACGCCACCCAGUGACAAUUCGUUGAGGGAUGAGUUCAUUCUUCUCAUUCCUAACAACUGUCAUUCCUCCUUUCUUUGGCACUACUUGGACAGGGCUAACCCACUCACUAUGUGGCACAUGAUAAAUAAUCCCAGCAUGAUAGAGUUUGAGGACCUCUUUCUUAACAACCUCUCGCAUAGCAUUGUUAAGUCUCUAUUGUGGUUCCCUUGAAGGUGUAAAAUUGGGAUCAAUAGGGAUACGAUGAGUGCAGAGAAUGGGACUAAUGCCCGUGAGAUCUUCGAGAGAGUAUCCAAAUGCUGAUCUAUGCCUUUCAAGAACAGUGACAAGUUGUUGUGUUUCAUAAUCGGAAAGCUUAUCACUGAUAAUUACUGGAGUUUUUGGGUUGUCAUGCAAAAAGACAUAUCUAAGGCCAGAAGGAAGAGGUUUUAACUCUAUCGAAGGAGGUGAAGGUUGUUCAUUUUUGUCUAGCUCAAUGGGUUCUACCAACUCUUCUUCUUCUUGAACAAAGUGUUCAUGAUUAAAGAAUGGUUGGGCCAUCUCCUCUUGAGUUAGCAUUAAGAUCUCCUCAAUAGGAUCUGGUUUAAGUUUGGGUUCCACUAUCGUGUUAAUUGAUCUAGCAAGAGGAACAACAAUAGUGGAAUUCCCAACCUUGAAGUCUAAAUGGCCUCGUUUUGGUUGUUCUUGUAGAAGUUUCAUGAUUGGUCUGCCAAUCAAGAGAGGAAUCUCCGGUAUGUCAAAAAUGUGAAAAUCUAGACAUAUUCCAGAGUCCUUGAUUCUAACAGGAACUGCCCUUAAUACACCAUGGCUUUCUAGAAUUAAUCCAGAUGGACUUUGUAAAAGUUUUUGAGAUGGGGUUAUGGACUUGUUGGGAUAAAGAGUGUCAGCUAACUCCUUGGAAAUAACAUUUAUCCCAACAUAUGGAUUGUAAUGGACCUUCCUAGCGGACCCUCUAAUUUUGCACAGAAGAAUGGUUGAAGGACUGAUGAUCCGAGCUACCUCAGGAGACAGCUCUUUUUCUGUUAGCCAUUCGUAACUCAGAAUAGCCGAAAGGCUUUUGAUGUGUUCUAUGUCAAUAGAUUCUACUCUUAGAAUGGAUUGAGUGAUCCUUGCUAGAGGUCGUGUUUGGAUAGGAAAAUUCGAGGUGUUUCCAUAAUCUUCAAAAAGAUCUUCCUCGAAUUCAAAGGGAUGCUCUAAAGGUGGUGGUUCAUCAUCCCUUAGUUGGUUUUGCAUUCCUUUAUCAGGAGGUUUCUCUACAACCAAAUUAAUAGAUGGAUCAGGUGGAAUUUCUAACUCGGUUGUAAGUUCCUCAUCUUUUGGUUUAGGAUUAGGCUCGUCUUCUUUUUCUUCUUCAGGAAACUCAUCAUAAAUGCCUGUGUAAGGAGUAUUUUCAAGGAUUCUCUCUAGGAUAGCUCUCCCCUCAUCUGUGAGUUUGUGUGUGAAUGAGCCUCCUAAAGCAAUGUUAAGGUGAAGAGCAGCUUCCUUGUUUAGACCACGAUAAAAGUGGUAGUACAAUACAUGGUUAGGCAGGGAAUGGUUUGGACCGGAAUUGCUAAGGCUUGUGAACCUAGCCUAAGCUGCUCCUAAAGUUUCCUUCUCUCUUUGUUUGAAUGUAAGAAUUUCGAUUCUAAGGUCAGCGAUUCGAAAAAGUGGGAAGAAAGUGAGACAAAAAUUGUCGUGAAGUUCAUCCCAAUUUCCAUUAACGCCUCCUACAGAAUGAGCAUACCACUUUUUUGCUCUUCCCAAAAGGGAGAACGAAAAUAAUUUCCAUUUAAGGGUUUCUUGUGUCAUGCUGGAAAUAGAUCGGCAAGAGCACAACUGCUCGAAUUCUCUAAGGUGGGUGUAUGGAUCUUCAUCUACUUGCCUAGAGAAGGGUUGCUCCUGAAUCAUGGCUAUUAGAUCAGGGCCGAGGUCGUAGCCAUCUGUAAGAAUUGGAUGUGAUGGUGGUGGUGGCUCUAAUAACUCGCCCUUUGGAGCAAAGAAUUUAUAGAUAGGAGUGAAAUCCAUGUGGUAUGGUGAAAAUGGUAAGGUGAGUGUGAUAAAAAAAGAAAAAGAAAAAGGAUACACGGAUGACUUGGUUCGAAACUAGCACAGCUACCGUUCCCCGGCAACGGCGCCAGAAAGCUUGUUGGGUAUUUUAAACGCAAACAGAAAAAUCCGCAAGCGCACGGAUACCGAUGUAGCUUUCACCUGGGAGUAUUCCAGAGUAUCGAUUUUCCACAGGAAAUGUGAGUGUACUAAUUAAGAUUCAAGAUCGCCCAAGGAUAACUAUAUAAUUAUUUUUGGUGGGAAGAGAGGAAGUUUCCUGAGAGUUCUCUAGUUGAUCUAAGAAUCAAGAAUUACUUCAAAGAUUAUUUAUUUCAGGACAUCAGAACACUAACCACAGAAAGAGAUGAGAAGGGGGCUAGGAAGCUCUGACUACUAUCCUACAAACACCGAUCCGAACGAGGUGGAAUACGUCGACCGUUAGGGCUGUCACUACCCUAGGGCUACCACAACAAUCCGCAGGAUUGGGUGCAAUUCCAGGUAAUUGCAAGACUAAACACCACGUCUAAUCUAUUAAUUACUACUCUAGCGUUGCAAAGACUAGAGCACUUGAUGCAAGCGAGAAUCCAAUAAAUAACUUGAAUGUAAAUAAAAGUAAUUAAAGAACUCAGGAAUUAUGAAUUGAAGAACCUGGAGAACGAUGAAGAAUGAACCAGUUGCUGCAAAAGUACAAUGUUGAGGAAGAUCCGACAGAUCCGGCUCCUCCUCCGCUCUCCUCUUCUCUCUCCCUAUUUUUUAGAUUACAACUAGAACUAACUAGAACUAGAACUAGAGGAACUAGAACUAGAACUAGAUGAACUAGAGAGAUCCUCUCUACUUGGAUGAAGAAUUGAAACCCUAGCUUUGAUUCUGUAGAAGAGGUAUGCCUCCAGGGGGCCAGGGGGCCUUGCUUAUAUAGUCUUUUUAGAUGAAUAAGGGACGUCGGAUCAAACCGACAUUGAUUGAACGGUUAUCCUUGAUCCUUUAGGUCGGUGGAGCGUGAUCCGCGAGACGGGUCCGGAUUGGACACCAUAGGAGGGCGGGCGCCCUGGUCCUUAGGGCGGGCGCCCUAGGCCAGGCCCCGUUCUGCCUCCGCUUCGUUCCCGUAGCUUCUGGAGUCUUCUAGAUGAUAGAAAAUUACGCGAUACGUUAAUAUCUCUAUGUAAACCCGACGUGUGGGCCUUUCCUCCGUAUUUCCUGAUAACCCCCUGCAGAAAUAGACAAACACCAAAACUCAUGGAAUUCUGUCAAAUAAAACCCUAAGUCUGGGUGUUGGUUGCAUAUAGGUCCUUUUCCAUGAUUAGUUGACGGUUAAAUAUGAGCAUUAAGGACCGUCAACAGGAAGUCCUGAGAUAAACUCACAUUGGAGACAAAGAGAGAGACACAUGAAGUUUAACAAUUUACACAAGGAAGACGUAGCUCAUAAGAGAUGAUCCAUGGAGGGUGUCACGAACACGAUGCACAACCGCUAAGAAAUGAAAGCUUCCACAAGGUGAUACUGUAUCAUCACUCUUCAAGUAAGGUAACAUCUUAAGGUACUUGACUAUCACUUUUAUAAGCUUCUCCUUGGUUCUGGCGUUCACAUAAAUAAAGAGACAAACAUGUAUGAUUUAUAACUCCAAAUUAACCAACCCAAUUAAUUCAACAUGUUUAGUCCUUUAAUCUUUGUUCCUAGUACUACCUCCAUGAUCCCACACUCCUAAUCAUAUGAGCUAAAAUGUUGCACAUUCAAUCUUUGAGAAGAUAUAAAGAAAAAAACAUAUCCAUAGAUAGAUUAUCUUUCUAUAAGGUUGAGUGAUCUGAUCUGACAAAUGUUUUAAGUGCUACACUCAUGAACUUAUCACCCAUCAACUUUGUCUUGCUCCCUAUGCUUAAGGAUAGAGAAGAAUAAAUAUACUUUUGGUUCUGUUGCUGUUUUCCAGCUGUUUUCCACCAACAGGACCCAUGCACUUGAUCUCUGCCUUGUCUCUAUGAGCAGGACACAUUUUGAGAAACAUGGAGGAUCUUUCAAAUCUCAGACUCUACCAAGUGAAGGACCUGGGCAAACGAAGAACAUGGGUGACACCGUAUCAAGAGGUGCAGAUGUCAAGGUCCACACCUGAAUCAAAUGACGCACCUAAAGAAUGAACACGGUAAGAAGUCUUGUUCAGAAGACUUAAAACAUUGAACCCUCGCCGAAAGGUAAAAUCGGUAAUUAUCCAUAUUUAUCCUUUCUAUAUUCCCUUUUCCCUUUAAUUAUUUAUUUUCUUUAAAUGGCUUGUUAGUUAAUCAUGCUAUCUUGAAAAGAAAAUAAAAAUGUUAAAAACAUUAAGCACCAUGUGAGUAUGCUCGUGGCAUAAAACCCAUAAGUACAUUCACUAUGGUGGCAUAAAAAUAAAAUAAAUAUAUUCCUGUCCUAUAGAAAUAAAAAUAUAAAAAUAAAUUUAUGAUCCUACCAAAGAGAGUAAUAUUUAUUAGAGGAAGCUCAACAUGAUAAAGGCAAAGAUAUUUUUAUGCUAACACUUAACCAGUUCCACAAAGCUUUGUUGUCUAUUUGAGCUCCACAGAAUUUAAGGAUCAAAGAAGACUAGCAGACGGAGGACAUCCUAAUCGCUGUCAGAUUACUGCCGACAUUGAAAUACACCUCCGCCACCUGCUAGCUACAUCAGAAGAAAUUACGUCAAAAUCCAGCUUGGAGGAGAGCACCCCCAUUUUAUCCAGCUAAGUGUUUCUACACGCGUUUAUACUUUACUCAAAUAAUAAAAAGAUGCAUAAUCAUAAAAACCCAAAUAAAGAUUUUGUGCUUAUAUAUAUAUAUAUAUCUUUGCUUAGUUUGUUAAAUAAAUAAAUAAAUAAAGUUUGGUAUGAACCCUCAUGAUAAGCUCUCACAUGGAUAUGAUGAAUAGUUGCUCUGCCAUGACUAGUUCUCAAAAUUAAAAUCUCUCUCAAGUUUAGGCAUGACUGUUAUGAAUUAAGAUUUGCUCUAAAUCUGAACUUGUGGAAAGAGUACUUGAUCUAAAGUCUAAGUCGUUAACGGAUACGAUAUGGGAAGGUUGAGUUGUUAUUUAUCUGUUCCUAGAGAUGCUAGAAUUCUGGAGAAUUUUAUCUUUAAAAAUCUUUAAAAUGUUGUAUGAUGAGAGUUUAAAAUCCUACCACAGCUCUAUAUAUAUGCUUAUUAGACUAUGAACCAUACAUGUACUUUUUACUACUUAUGAGCAUUGAGUGUGGUCAAGCUGUGUAGACCCUUAGGAUCUUAUCAUGCGGUUAAAGUCAAGAUCCACUUGCAUGUUCACUCAUACAUGCUACUUCUACUCUGGAAGUACGUAUCCACAUACAUCCACUCAUUUCCAUCUCCAGAUUUACCUAAAAUUAUUCUACUCCUAUCCAGGAGAGAAUAGCCAAAAACAUUAUCCUAUCCCUGUUAUUCCCCAUGAAAUAAAUGCUCGAGAUAUUUUGGUUACUACCACUUGUUACAUUAUUCUAGAAGGGUGAGUGCUCUGAAAAAAAAUGAAUACGAGGAAAUAAAAAUGGGCAAGUGCCCGAAACCUCGAAGAAAAGAAAAAAAUGAGACGAGAGGUAAAAAUGGACAAGUGUCCAACAGUAGAAUUAGGGGUACAAGAUACCCACCUGAGAGAAAAGAAAAAAAUAUAGAGGAUCUCAUUUCCCUCAAAAAGCUUCAAAGUGUAAGAAAGGUAUGUAUCCCCUCAAAAGAGCCAAAGUAGAAUUAGACUUUCACCAUUGUUUUCACCAUUAUCACCAUCAUCACCAUACAUCAUUCAUUCGCCACACAUGCAUAUCUUGAUUUGACUUAUUGACUUGUUUCUCUAGAUCUAUGGUUUGACUAUGCAAUAAAUGUCUUGUAAGUAUGUAUUAGCUGUCUCCCACCUAUGAGCUCCAGAUAUCAAAACCUUAUUAGAGUAGGAUGAGAGAGAAGGCAAUAUCACUAUGCCUCAUACCAAAAAUACCACAUACUUCGAGAGAAGGUAUAUACCAUUACUGCCUUGGUAAGGAUCCAGAAAUACCACAAAAGAGAGAUCUGAGAGAGUCAUACAAAGGAAUCUCUGAAUUUUAUUUGAAAAUCUACAAAAACUCCAGAGCUAUAGUUGAUCAAGAACAAGAGAUAUGGCGCUUGACCUGACCAUUCUAUCUUUUAACUGCUCAAGAUACAAGUGACGGUUACAAGCCCCAUGGUGGAAGGUAAUAUGAGUAAGUUUAAAUCUUAACAGUUUACCCUAACCCAGAGAUGAGAUCUUGUUUGAACGCAUGUGUACCUUUAAGGCAUGAAACCACUGCAGAAACUAUUGAGUUCAUCCUUGCUCAGGGACGAGCAAGAGGUAAGCUUGGGGGAGUUGUUGAUGGUCCUUAAGUACUAAAUAUAAUCAUCAAAUAAAUAAAGAAAAUGAUCCAAAUGCAACAAACACCCAGACUUAGGGUUUUAUCUGACGUAAUUCUACGAGUUUUGGUGUUUGUCUAUUUCUGCAGGGGGUUAUCAGGAAAUAUGAAGGAAAGGCCCACAUGUCGGGUUUACAUAGAGAUAUUAAUGUGCCGCGCAAUUUUCUAUCAUCUAGAAGACUCCAGAAGCCACGGGAACGAACGGGAAGCGAGCGGGCUCAGGGACAGGACGCCCGCCCUACUCCUUAGGGCGUCCGCCCUACUUUUUCGGCCAAUCACGUUCUACUUCACGGAUCAUGCUCCACCGACCUAAAGGAUCAAGGAUAACCGUUCAAUCAAUGUCAGUUUGAUCCGACGACCCAGAUUCACUUGAGGGGACUAUAUAAGUAGGCCCCCUGGACCCUGGAGGAGACACCCCCUUGAUCCCUAUUCAUUAUUCAUAGACAGAGCAAAAGCUAGGGUUUGGAGAUGAGAGCUCUCCUCUCUUCUCUAAACUAGAGUACAUCUAGAUAGUAGCGAGAGGAGAGCAAGGGAGGAUUGGAGGAGAGGAGAGUAGGGCGGUUCAAUCAAUGUCGGUUCUUCCUCCGGUUGUACUUCGCCAUGAUCAAGCUCUAAUAAAGCUUGCUCAUGGGAUGACUCUGGUAAUCUACUUCUAUUUCAUUAUGCAAUUACUAUACAUGUAUGUUCUGGUUCACAACUCUUUUGAGUACAGGAUCGUGUGGUAGGCCGCGUAGGUGACAAUUACGUUGGUCCCCUGUAGUCCACCUCCCGUUAGCAGGAUUGGUAGGGUUUAUCGGCCUAUGGAUAAGCAUCCUUUGUGGUGUAUUAUUAUCACGUGGUUCGUCCCAGACAUAGACAUACCCCUUUGAAGUAGAGAAACCAUAGUUAUCUUCUCUAUUCUCCUACCAUCGCCCAUAUACUAGAUUGCUCUACUCUCUAUUCCCAUAUUAUCACCCAUUGUUAUCUUACCUUUAAUAUUGUUCUUAUUCAAUUUUACCAUCUUUUCUAUUUACACCUACCUAUCUAUCUAGGUUAAGUUAGAGCGUAGAUCAGUUCUCCUGUUUCCCUGUGGAUACGAUAAAAUCUUUAACCGGGUAAAAGCUACAACGGUAUCCGUGCGCUUGCGGAUUUAUCUGUGUGCGUAUAAAUACCAUAGUACACUCUAGUGCCAUGCUGAGGAUGACAACCUAGUAUUCAAGUGGUGUUAGCAAGUGUCAACAGCGGCCAUGGCGACGCCGGUCGCGCGGAUCUGGCUGGGGAGGAGGCGCGGAUGGGGAAGCCAGGAAGCGGACGGGAGUGAAGCAUCAGGCACGCAGGGAUGGGGAUGCGGGGAAGCGAAUGGGAGGCUCGCCCACGGCGGUCGCGGCAUGCUCGACGACCAUGGUGGUGCCGGCCGCGCAGAUCUGGCUAGGGAGGAGGUGCGGACGAGGAAGCCAGGAGCGGACAGGAGAUAAGCAUCGGACAUGCAAGGAUGGAGACAACGCGGGGAAGCCAAUGGGAGAAGAGCGGGCACAAAGAAAAAGGCAGACUAGAUACAGAGUACCGACUUAGGGCAGUCCCAAUGGUGUAUUGAUGAUGGUUUCUAUCCUUAUUAAUUAUCCUGCCAACUAAGCAAAUUGCUAAUGUGGCAGUAAAUUUAUUAAGGAGAGAGAAGAAAAAAAUGAAGAAACGGUUUCGUAAGGAGGAAACGGAGUCGUCGCAAAGACCGAUGCGUGAGGAAACCACCCGAUCAGCGUUGGGGAGAAACCGAUGGUUUCCUUCCGUCUCCGCUCAGAUCUCCUACUCCAAGCUGCACCCUUGCACGAGACCAUCCGUCACCGCUGCCGUGGCACUCGUGUGAUGUUGCUCGCUGCGCUCGUGCAUGGCCACACGACGCAGACUCCGGAGCUCGCAGUUGUGCCGUCCUGGCUUGCCACAGCCACAGAGGUCGCACACGGCCACCACACAGCUCGCACGGUCGUGAACCUUGCCCAUGGGGGACGCAGUUCGUGGUGCUGCUGCUCCAGCGUGGGCUCAAGAGAAGCGGUGACAUGAGUCUAUUCAACAAGCUAGCAUCUUCCAUGUGUUGUGCCAUGCCCCUCCAGCUCUAGUGCCUCUCCGCCCGAUGCAGCCAUGGAGCUUGCGAGGCUACCAGAGAGCACGCGCGCAGGCCGCUACAGAGCAAGUAGGAUAGUUCUAGAAAUAUAUGGUUCUUGAAGCGUAUUUGAUUUUCUUUCUUUGCCAACGCUGGCUCUGCUUGGAACAUGUAGAAAUAUGGCAGUGUGUGCUGUAGAGAUCAGUUGACACAUUUGAUCCAUCUCAUUUUAAUGAGUCAUUUAAUUUAUCUUUUGAAUAAAUAUUGCUAGAAACUAUGGGUUGGGAAGGAUAGUUUCCAUCAGCGGUCCCUAAACUUGUUCGGAUGUGUCAUCCCGGUCCUUAAACUCACAAAAUGACCGUUUAGGUACCUAAACUUAUUUGGUUGUGUCAUCCUGAUCCCUAAACUUAAAAAUCUCCCAUAUAGAUCCUCAAACUUGUUCAGUUGUGUCAUCCCGGUCCCUAAACUUGUUUUUAAGUCUUAUCUAGGUCAAAACAGGACGAAUCUAAAAACUCUAUAUUGAAAAAUAAUUCAUAACUUUUUCAUAUGAACUCAAAUGAAGAUAAACUUUAUAUCAAAAUUGUAGGCAGCAACAUGAUCUACAACUUUGCAGUUGAAAAGUUUUUAAAUUAAAAUCGUUUAGGUUCCCAAAAUAUUUUUAUAAGUUUAUAGAUUUUAAAAUUUAAAAUUAAAUUUUAUAACACUAGACGACUUCAAAUAAAAAACUUUUCAACUACAAAGUUGUAGAUUGUGUUGAGGACUAUAACUUUGGUAUAAAAUUUGUCUUCAUUUGAGUUCAUAUGAAAAAGUUAUGAAUUAUUUUUUGAUAUAGAGUUGUUAGAUCGCUUUGUUUUGACCCAGAUGAGAUUCAAAACCAAGCUUAGGGACCGAGAUGACACAAAUGAACAACUUUGAGGAUCUAAACAGAUGAUUUCUAUGUUUAGGGACUGAGAUGACACAAUUAAACAAGUUUAGGGACUAAGAUGACACAGAUGAACAAGUUUGAGGACCUAAACAAUCGAUUUGUGAGUUUAGGGAUCGGGAUGACACGACAGCACAAGUUUAAGGACUGGCAGUGGACUUUACUCUUAAUUAAAUGUAUAACUAGAAAUUAUCCAUUGGGACUUCUCUUAAGGCCGUAAAAGCCUCCUUAAAUUCCUUAAAUAUAAGGAGGUUCUUCCGUCUCCCAUAGCCCCUCCCCUUCGUCGAAUCAGAAACCCUACCUUCACUGCGCCACGGCCCCCGAGCCCGGAGCCCCGGAUGACCACAUCAGCUGCCGACGAUGGCAGUUCUUUGGCGCCUACCGUGACGGAGGGAGAAACCACAGCCGAGGCCGGGGCUGGGGCAGUUGUUGAAGAGUGCGCCGAGAGCAAGGAGACGAAGGUGGGGGCUGCGGCUGCAGUUGAGGAGCCAGAUGAGGAGGCGCGGGAGGAGGAUGCUGAUGCGGUGGUGGAGGAGGAGGAGGAAGAAGAAGAGGAGAAGGAAGAAGAGGAUGCGGGGGAGGUGGAAACUGCGGAUGGGAUAGAGGCGGAGUUGGUGGAGCCAUUGCCGGUGCUGAAGCCCGGGGAGGAGGACGAACCGGAAGAGCUAGAGGGGGAGAAGGAAGAGUUGAAUGAGGAAUCAGAGGAGACCGAGCCAGAGGAGCCCGAGGAAGAGUUGGACGAACCAGAAGAGCCCGAGGAAGAGUUGGACGAACCGGAAGAGCCCGAGGAGGCGGAAGAGUGUAAGGAUGGCAACGGUGUUGCGGAGGUCGAUGGGUCAGUGGCGAACGGUAUGUAGAGGCUAUGGCAACUUGCUAUGAGCAAUAACUUCAAUCUGUGACGAUGAUAUUCGUUUUUGUUCGUUUAGUAUGUUUGAGUGAUAGUUUUCAGGAGUGAUAAUUUUCAGAUUCUGAGUGCAGCAUCGUUUUUGUUCCUUUAGUCUUCUGAAUGCCUGGUGCUGCCUAAAAUCAUUCCCCUUCACAGUUUCUGAUGGCGUUUGCCAUGCUUAUACUGAAGUAGGUUGCUCAGCCAUACAGCCACACUCUUAGAUAAUUUUGCCGUCCCAUCUCGUCUCUGCAUACACUCCACACAAACCUAGCAAUUGGGCACCAAGAAAUAAGAUGGUCUGUGGUAUGAGGUUGUUCACAGAGUACACAUUUAAUACUCCCAUUCCAAUGCGAGAAUGCUUCUUGAACAAUAUCUCUGCCUAUUGAAUUCUAUCAUAAAUGGUCCUUAUUUUUAGGGGCAAAAUUGCCUUCCACAUUUCUACCAUCCUUGUAUUUAUGGUUCCUGGAAAAGUCAAUGCCUUGUAAUGUGAGGAUGUAGAAAACAAUCCAGAUUUUUCCAAUGCUCAGCUCAUUAUGUUUUCACCCUCACUCACUGUGUCCAUUAGCUCCCCAAAUUCUUGCCACUCUAAUUGUUCUGGUGCACUCGAAGUUCUUCUAAAACACAAACUUAGACCACUCACCCAAGUUUUUGAACAGUUUUUUGAUCCAAUGCAAACAUCUUCAAAAAUUGGGAACCAUGUCAGCCAUUCCUUCAAUAAAAACCUACAUCACCCAGAUACUUCUCCUUUCUGAUAUUUAUUACUGGGUACUUCAUAUUAAAUUUUCCCACUUUGGAAUGGAAAAUGACCACCACUCUCUCUUCUUCUAACACCGCAAUACAAAAAACUUUGCUCUUAAAUUAAUUUUCUGCCCAGACAUAUUCUUAAAGCAUAACCACAAGAACUUAGUAUUGAUAUUCUGGUCAUCCAAACCCCGGAAGACCACAGUAUCAUCAGUAUUCUGUAAAUGAUUUAAGCCUCCCUGUACCAAAUCAGACACCAGACUCUUUAUCUUUCGAGCAUCUUUAGAAUUCAGUAACAUAGUUUUUAUCACUAGAAAGUUUAAACAGCAAUGAAGAUAAAGAGUCCCCUUCCCUCAAUCCAUCCUUUGCAUGUCCUGAAAUACACUCCAGGUGUGCCAUUUGUGUUAAUUCUAUACCUCCUAAUAAUUUGCUUCACCCAGUCAACCAAAAUUUGGGAAAAAUUUCUCUGUAACACCCCUAACAUAAAGAUCCACUGUAUUUUUUCAUAGACCUUCUCAAAUUCCACUUUCAAGAUUAUCCCCUUCUUUUCUUUUCACUCUAAGCUCAUGUAGAACUUCAUAUAAGAGAAUAAACUCCCAUUGUGUGGAUUUUGGUAAACCACUUAUAAUCCACAUUGAAUAAGCAGAUAGGUUUUUACUGUCUAAUGUUAUUAGCUUCAGCUAACUUGGGGAUUAGAGUGAUCAAACCAUAGCUGAGCCUGCUAAGAUUGAGUUCAUCUCUAUUAAAAUUUAUCAAACAUUUCCUUGUCAGGCCCCUUAACUUGAUCCUAAAGACUGUUAAAAGUUAGUGUGUUUGUUUUAGUUUUCGUCUAUGUUAGAAUCACAUAUUUUAGUAUCAGGAAAAUUUAUAACACAGUGGCAACUAAAGUUUUUCAUCUCACCUAAAUAAGGUUACAACUGUUGAGCUAUUUAUAUUGAGAUCUCUUUAGCAAAGUAGCCUUUUAUUGAGUUUUUUUCCCUAUACUUAGAGGCCGUUUGGCGCAGCUCUUGUCUGCUCUGGCUCCGUUUACUGUAAAACACUGUGCAAGGUGGAGCUGGAGCUGGUGGAGCUAGAAAUCAUGGCUCCGCCAGCUCCUCUUUCUCAGUUCAUUUGUUGCCUCAGGAAUCAAAAUGGCUCUACUACAGUGGCUGGGAGGAGGAGCCAGAGCCUCCAAGAGCCAUGCCAAACAGGGCCUUAGUGCUAUGCCUGGUUGUAUUGAUAUUUUUUUGCCCUAUACUAAUAGUGAACCAUUCAAUAGUUGAGUUUUUCUUCUAUUUCAUGCAGAAACAAAUGAAAUGUCUAAACUGGAAUAUGGUAAAUCUGGCAACACAAAUAAGGAUGAAGAUGCUGAUCAAUUGAGCAGUGGGAGUGAUAGUGGUAAUGAUAUGCAGAACUCUGAACUUGCUGGAGGCCUUGAAAUAUUUGUUGACAACUUGCCUCAUGACUGUGUUAAGGAAGACAUUGCUAUGGCCUUUUCUCAAUCAGGGGAGGUCAAAUCUGUUAGGAUAAUUAAAAAUUCAUCAACUGGAAAGAUCAAUGACGUUGCAUUUGUUUGUUAUGCAAGCAUUGAAGCUGCAAAGAAGGUUCUCGCUGAAUUUAAGGAGGGAAUUGAGGUUUUGAAUUCGACAACCCUUUUACAGCCAUUUAAUGUGUCAAAUCUUAAUGCGUAAUAUAGUAUGGAUUGUGUGUUGUUUUCAUCAGGUAAAAGGAAAAAUGGUCAGGGUAUCUGCUUGUGAAGAUAAUAAUACCAUUUACCUGGGCAACAUUUGCAAGAGCUGGACCAGAGAUCAGGUACGGCAUGACACACUUCGAUUGAGAUCCUGAAAAUACCGCUGUUCAUUUUAUAAUCUGCAAAUUUUGAUAGGACAAUUAGACAGUUUAAUCCCUUCUAUUGGUUAUAGAUUGAACUAUAUCUUUGAAAUCAGAACAUUCAGUACCAAGUAUGUGGUUGGGCUGCCUCAGAGGAACCUUGAUUUAAGUAGAAGGUUUUUUUUUGGAGUCUUGAUUUGUAGGAAUACUACUGUCCAAAUUUAAAUUUAUCAAACUGUUCAGUUUUGUUAAAGGUACAAAAAUAGCUAUCUGUAUAGUAGUCUUAAUGGUCCAUUUUAUAUUUAAUUAACUAGAUUGUUGCAAGUGCUGAGUCAGACCACCAUGAUCUCAUGCUGUUUUUUAAUAAUAAUUUACCUUGCUUCUAGAUCUUUGCCCAUGCAUUGCAAUGGGAGUAUAAAAAAAAUCAAUGCAACAAGAGGAACACAGUGACAGUUGUGGUGCAAAUCAAACCUAAAGAAGAUUUUAUUUUCAUUAUGAAUCAUUGAUUUGGUGAACCAAAGAAUAUCAAUGUGAAAUUCGAAUAGCAUAGUAGGUUAUUACACAAAAUAAGACAUCUUUAUAUUUCACAAUUUUGAAACCCAAUAUUUACAUCAUUACAAACGAUAAAUGAUUUAGACUUCCCAAGGAUGGUUCUAGAUGAUGGGCCAAACAAGAGAUCUUAAUUGUUAGUGAGCAGACUAUUACAAGGAUUAAACAAAGGAGAUUAAGUAGCAUACCUGUGGUAGGAAGAAUGAUAGUAACCUUCUUAGAGAAGGAUUGUCUUUUUAGUGCUUCAACCUACAAAAUGGUUGAGAACUUGGAGUCAGUUUUUACUGCAUGGGAUAGGCACAUAAGUGACAGCUUGCAACACCGUUAUAAUGCUUGGAGUAGAACCAUUAAAAACCUUUCAGAUUUCCCAAGCCACUAAUAUUGCCAGCGAAUUGAACCCCUUUCUGUAGUCUUUUGUCACCUCUUUAACUGCCUUGCACCACCAGCUUGAGAAUUUGAGUUGAUGGUUGAGGUGCAACGGAGGCCAAGCCAAUUUUCUGUAAAAUAAUGUACCAGAUUUGCCAGGCAAAAACACAUGAAACCAAUAGGUGUUGUAUGGUCUCCUCUUGAUCACAGAAGGGGCAAGCAGCUGGUUGGGGGGAGUCCUCUUUUAGUGAGUUGGUCUGCCAUCCAACAACGAUUCUUUACUGCAAGCCAAAUGAGGAACUUGCAGCAAAGAGGAGCCCAUGAUUUCCAAGUUCGUUUCCAAGGAGCAAAGCAGAUGGAACCAAGGAAAAAGGCAUUGUAGUCCGACUUGCUAGAGUAAGAACCGGACCUAGUAAGCCUCCAAACAUGCUGGUGAUAUUCUGUUGCAGCGAGAAACCUUCCACCAAAUCCUACAAGGCAGCGUUUGGUUGGGAGUCAAGGUGGGGUGGGAUGGUCCCGUCUCUGGUUUUGGGGAUGGGACGGGGACGGGGACGGUAUGACUCCAAUUUCUGUCUGGUUGAAAAGAGAUGGGACCAGUCCAUUUUCUGUUUGGUCCAGAGACAUCAAAAGUGGGAUCACUCCAUGACAGGUGGGGCCCACUUGUCAGUUUUGUUUUUUUAUUUUUUUUCCUUCUCUUCUGCCUCUCCUUAUCCCUUCCGGUAUCUGUCUGAGUAGCACGCGAGUCGCGACCGCACCGGGUACCUUGCGACCGUGCCGCCGGGCCACCUCGCAACCUCGCCGAGGGAGCUCCUGCCUGCCCCACCGGAGCAAUCGUUGUUGGAGCUCGCAGCCGCACCUGCAGAGCCUGUGCCCACAUGCAGCGAGACCGGAGGCGGAUGUCGCCCCACCUGCAGAGCCUGCCGGAGCCAGGUACGUUGCUCGCCAUUGCCCCACCUGCAGAGCCUGCCCAGAGCCGAAGGCGCUGCUCGCCGUCGCGCCUGCCCGGCCAUGCUGGAGCCGGAGGUCGCCUGCGUGGAGCCCCGCCUUGAACCCGGACGCCUAGAACACGGCCUCCCCCGCGCCAGGAGCGCCGACCCUGCUCCUGUGCGUAGGCAGCGGCCUCUUCUUCCUCCCCUCAUGCGCGCAGCGAGCGCCAUCCCACCUCGGCUGCCCCCGCCCCCUUGAUUUGGAUGGGCAGGAGUCACAGGCAUAUGCUGCGAAUAUUCCUACGUGGGAUGUCCCUGUUCCUCCCUGACUCUGAACCAAAAAGAGGUCCAUCCCAUCCCACCAAAUCCCAGUUACAAAACAGUACCUAAGAGGAGAUAUUCUGUAAGAAUCUGGACAGUGAGAACCCCCUCUUAUGUCAGUUACCCAACAUCGGGCAACCAGGGCUUCAGUGACCGUGUGUUCUUUAAUGAUCCUCUUAGGAAUAGCCUGGAAAAGAUGAAGUGCCAAUUCAGCCAUGGUUCUUUUCCACCCAGCCACCUAUCUGUCCAGAACAAUGUAUUUUGCCCGUUGCCAACAAAAGUUUCAACCACCAUGCUGAAAAAGGCCCGAGCAAUUUCUGGCACUUAAUAGGUAGACCAGCCCAUGGCCGAGAGGAAUUGGUUUUCUCCAGCCAAAGCCAGCGGAUACGGAGGGACCAACCUAAGGUUUCAGAUUAUUGUUUAAGUUGCCAGUGGAAUGCUGAAAUAACAACCUUUGAGAAGUUGAAGGUUAAUUUUUUCAAUAAUACUACAAUAAUUAUUGGUACUCUUAUAUGUUAUUUAAAAUUCCCGAUACAUUGAUAAAUAUAGCCGUUGUUAAUAAAUUGGUAAGUAAAUUCGGAAGUGUGGAGUAACUUAAUUAAAUGCAACUUGUUUGAUUGCAUAAAUGCGAUCUAUUGUUGAAUCCAGAAAAAAGAUGAAAAUUGAGAUUUUAUACUGGGAUGCUAAGGCUCAUUUGCAUUGGACCAUUGAAAAAUAUCUUUUUAAAAACACAAUGUUGAUUCUACCCUGAAUUAUUUUUCUUUCAGAAAGUUGGUGCAGAAUUCUCCAAAUCAUCACUUGCUGUGGAACUUGUAUCAUUUACUUUAUAUUUGUUUAACUCUUUAGGUGCUGAACACCCUAAAAAGUAUUGGAAUUCAAGAGUGCAAGAUAACCUUUCCCACUUACAAGGGGGGAAGCAGAGGGUUUGCUUUUCUUAAGUUUGCCUCUCACUACUAUGCUAGAGAAGCAUUUUGUCGCUUAAUGAAAUCUGAUGCUGUUUUUGGUACUGAUAGAAGAGCUAAAGUAUCUUUUUCUGAAACCCCCACAAAAUCAUCCAAGAGUCUUUUGGAGGUAAGCAUUGAUUUCUAUUUCAUAUAUUCGAAAUUCAUUUGAGUGAGUACUAUCUGGAAUAUUUUAAUUUUUAAUUAUUUAUUAUGUCAUUUUUCCUUAUUAACAGCUAAUCCCUCUGUCCCAGAAUAUAACGACUUUUUGAGUUUGUUAACUAUCCUAUGUUUGACCAAGUUUACAGAAAAGUACAAUAGCAGUUACUAUUUCAAACGAGCAGCAUUAGGUCCAUUAUGAAAUAUAUUUUCAUAAUUCACUCUCUUGAAAUGAUGUUAAUAUCCUUCUCUAUAAAUUUGGUCAAACUUAGAAUAGUUUGACUUAGGACAAACUCUAAAAUCCUUACUAGGAUGGUACAACAUGUUUGGUGGAUUGCUUGCUUGCUGUAAAUGAGUUGUGUUAACUUAAGGAAUAAGCACAACGUAUUUUGACACAAAACAUCAUUAGUAGUUUGUUUAGUUUCUGGUUGAUACUUUCAAAAUUGUACUGGAAAAAACCCUGAAUCUCAAUCUAGUAACCUUCCUAUGAUCUGCGGAUAUGAAAGCUUAACUGAAAACUUCGCAGAGUGGCAGUAUUUCAGUAUUUCGCCUGUGAUAUGAACUUGUUUAUUUUGUUUGUGACCAAAACCUUGUAGGAUGCUGAUCUAGUGGCUUUAGAAAUUAGAGCUUCAGUAGUCCUACAUUUUUGUUCUGACUUAGGUUUUACUACAUUUCUACUAACUUUUUGUUCUGCUGUGUCAAGGGCGUCAAACCCUAUGGUAGCUGGACCUCGGCUACGUAGUUCGUAGCCACGAUCCGUCUUCUCCGGCGAGCUUUUGCCCCACAGCUGCAGGCUUAGGUUUUAGGGGAAGAGAGAGAGAGUUGGAGGAUAAUAAUCUUGAUUGAUCUCAAUGUUUCACGGGAUACAAGAUAAAUAGGCCAUUGGCCUAACAAACUAGGAAACUAAUAAUUUGGAAAUAAUUAAUUAAGAAACAAAUAAUUUGGAAAUAACUAGCCACUGUCCUCGGCUGGCUCCUCGUGCGCGCUGGGUGCGCCCGCGGCUGCUGCUGCGGCCCGUGCCGAGGCCCUCGUGAUGUCACGGGCCCGUCGCUGACGUGUAUACGUGCGGCCCCACAUGACAUCUCUCGAGUCCGGCGAUCCUCAUCGUUCCGCUCCACCUUCCCAACCGCUGCGCCAUCUCCACCACCAGCAUCCGCCGGCGCCCUACCACCACCACAUCCUAUGCCAUAAUCCCAGAUGGAUAUUCCUCAAUUUAUCCUCAAUUUGAUGGGAAAUCUGAUCCUCUCGCCUUCAUCAAAUAAUGCGAGACGUACUUCAACCAGGAGCGCAUCAUGGAGGAAGAAAAGGUGUGGCUGACAUCCCGUAAUUUGGCGGACGACGCCCAGCUGUGGUUCCUCCAAGUCCAGCGGGAUGAGGGCACACCAGCGUGGCACCACUUCACCAAGCUGCUACACCUGCGUUUCGGAUCGCUCCCUGCUGUGACCUCUGUCCUUGCUGAUGGGAUGCACCGGCUCCAAGAGGGCAUGGAUCACGUCGCCAUGAUGAUCAACCGCGUCUGUGCUCAUCUGGAGAAGUCUGGGCGUGAACGCCUUGCUGCGGUGUGGCUACAGGCGGCAGCGCGAGGCGCUCUGCUCGACUUGAAGCCCGACUACCCCCCUAGUCCAGGCGCCAAGGCAAAGCCUAGCGACUAGUCGCGACUAGGCGAGUCCUAAUCGUCGAUUUUCAAAACUAUGUGUACCACAGCCUUGCAUGCAUUCAUGUUGUAUUGGUAAUUAUAGCAUGUAGCAACAUAGUCAUUUUGGCAGUGGAGUUCUGAUCCACAGGGAACUCAAGAAAGGAAAGGAAAAACCACCCUCUUCAAUGCCCAUGUGCCAGGGCUGUCAAGCCUGUUUCUCCUAUAUUCCUCUAUUUUUGCAGAAUAUGUAGUUCCUUUGUGAUGCCCGCCUCCUAUUUUCUCCAUGUGAAUUGUGCAUCCUUGCAAUUGUGUGUACCUUACUGAAUGCUCCAAUCAAUAGUUCUUUCCCUCAAAGGCUUACUGUGUGUUGAUGAAGCUUACCAGAUUGAACAUCCUUUUAGCACUGUUGGACAGCAUUGGCAUUAAAAAAAAAAACCUGCCAUGUUUGAAUUCCUUAAGUACUGCAUAUUGUGAUGUGAUCUUAUUUUAUAAUGUGUAUUCCUCAUUCUGCUUAUAAGCUGUUAUGAUAAUCAGCAAAUUCAAUGAUUGUAGGUGCUCGAGCCAUAUCUCUUAUGCAGCACUUAUGUAUGAGCUUUUUGUGUCAAGUGUGCUAACUAUAGUUUUAGAAAAUGUAUUAUGUAUAUAUGUCACGCUAGUAGGUUGCUUCUUGUAUUUUGCAUUACCCAUGCUACGUUAUGUUUCAUAUGCAGAUUAUCAACUACCAAAUUAAAUGUACUUAUUAUUAUCUUUCAGCAUUUUGUAAAUUUAGUUACUCUGAGAUUAUCGGACAUUAACAAUUUGUCAUUUCUUCACUUCAUAACUGACUAAUAUUCUUUGUAGGCAAAAAAAGUAUACCUGGAACAUGUCCCUGUUUCUUGGGAUGAGAAUAAGAUUAAAGAAUACUGUGAAGAAUAUGGGGAGAUUCUGAAAGUUGAUCUUUUCCAGAUAUUAAAGAAUUUGGAAAAGGAAACAAUUUCUUUUGUUGAAUUCUCAUCCAGCACGGGUGCAUUAGCUUGUGUGGCAGGAAUAAACAAAUCAAAGAUAGUUGAUGGAAGCUUCAAGGUAUAUGUCCUUUUUUCUCAAGCCUUUUCAGUUGUUCUGGUUUACUUGCUGACAUGGACAAUCUCUUUCAUUACUUAGUUGUGUGCAUAUCUUGCUUGGCCAAAAAGUGCUUUGAAGGUCAAUAGUGCUACACCUUCAAAUGCUGCCACCACAACUGAGAAGGACAAAAACCACACAGAGAAGGUUGUUGUAGAUAAGAAUUUACCCCAUAAAUUCCAGAAAGGCGACAAGAGCAAACUUACCUCUCGGACAAAGGAGGCAAUUAUGAAGACAAAUUCAUCAAGUAAAUUACCAAAUGACAAUGAUACAAAACUAACCUCACAAGGUGCUGCAGAAGUACCACAAACCUCAAAAUCUUCUGAAGGCAAGAGGAAAGUUAGAAAGAACAAACAUGCCUCUCAAUACCAAAAUCCAUGGAAGAAAGCUCAAAAUAAUUGUAUGUUCCCUCGCAUAAUUCAUUGGCCAUCUUUUAUGAAUGAAAAUGAUUUCUUAUACUAAUCAUUGUGCAGGUAAUGUUGAUGACAGCCAGCUAACUUAUCGUGGUGCUGCAGUACUGCAAACAUCUAACACUUCCAAAGGGAAAAGGAAAGCCAGCGAGAACAGAAGUAUAUAUAUAAACGAAAAACCUCUGAAGAAAGCACAUAACAAUAGUAUGUUCUCCCUUGAUUAAAAUCCUUUGGUCAAUUACACAUUAAUUGAUUAACAAAAACUAGUUCUUAUGCAUGGAUAUGCAGGUAAUUUGGGUGGAAAUUCGAGAUCUAAAUCAUAUGCCUCUGAUCUGGUACUACUAAAAGCUAUACAUCUGACAUUCUUAUUCUCAUCAUCAAAUUUCCAUCGUUUUUUAUUUACAUGCUACAUUUGUACUCAUGCCUUUUAGGAACCUCAUGCUGGAUUCAUUUCACCUAUAAUUCGAGAUCAUGGCAGUGAUGCAUAUAAUCUGCAGAGGUUUUAUUCCUUUUCCAUUUGUCUCUUGUUAUUUAUCUGUCUGAAUUUUUGGGAUUUGGGAGGGAGUAUAAAAGAUGGGUUGAUGGAUGAGAAGGGAGCCUUGGAUCAGGGAGAAGGUUUUACCUUCUUAAUGCUGGAGAUUAUGAUUUUCCUUAAUGGGCUAAUCCUAGAAGGGUAGCUAUAUAACCUGCCAUACAUGGGCCUCAUGGGCCUAAUACACACACAUACUCCAACACCCCCCUCUCCCCCCGCAGUGCGCAACGGAGUUACAGACUGGACACGAAAAGAAGCACACACACGAGCCCCACACAGACGCAACUAGCCACUAGUGAUGUUGAGGCUGGAGCGGAACUCGGUGAAGGUCGAGGACGGUAGGCCCUUGGUGAAGAUGUCGGCAAACUGGGAGGUGGUCGGGACGUGGAGGACCCGAACAUCGCCGAUGGCGACUCGAUCACGGACAGUGUGUAGAUCGAUCUCCACAUGUUUGGUCCGCUGGUGCUUCACAGGGUUGGUGGAGAGGUACACCGCACUGACGUUGUCAAAGUAGACCAGGGUGUUCCGAGAGAGAGUGUGUUGUGGAGCUCGGCAAGGAGCUGUUGGAGCCAGGAGGCCUCAACCACGCCGUUAGCGACAGCGCGGUACUCCGCCUCGGCACUGGAGCGGGAGACCAUCGGCUGGCGCUUGGACGACCAGGACACCAGGUUGCCGCCCAUAAAGACAGCGUAGCCGGAGGUGGAGCGCGGAGUGUCCGGACACUAGGCCCAGUCGGCGUCAGUGUAGACGACGAGCUCGGUGGAGCAGACCGUAGUCGAUAGUGCCGCAGAGGUAGCGGAGGCGACGCUUGAGAGCAGUGAGGUGGGGUUCUCGGGGAUCAUGCAUGUGGAGACAUCUGCUGAAUUGCAUAGGUGAUGUCUGGCCUGGUGCAGGUGAGGUACUGAAGUGCUCCGGCCAGACUCCGACAUGCAGUGGGUCUGUCACUGGGUUGCCCUCGGCCUCUGACAGCUUUCCUGUGUGUCAACCGUAGUGGAGCAGGGCUUGCAGUUAGUCAUCCCAGCUCACUCCAGGAUAUCAAGAGUGUAUUGCCGCUGGUGAAGAAGUUGCCCGGUGGGACGAGGCUUAACAUUGACCUCGAGGAAGUGGUGGAGCACACCAAGAUCCUUCGUAGCAAACUCCUACUGAAGAGAGGUGAUGAUGCGGCGAAGUAGUGACAGACUGGAGGCUGUGAGGACAAUAUCAUCAACAUAGAGCAGCAGGUAGGUAGUCUCAACUCUGUGGUGAUAGAUAAACAUGGACGUAUCUGACUUGGCUUCCACAAAUCCCAGUGUCAACAGGAAAGCAGCAAACCGAGAGUACCACGCCCGAGGGCCCUGCUUGAGGCCGUAGAGACUUGUUGAGCCGGCAGACCAUGUCGGGAUGAGAAGAGUCAACAAACCCGGCCAGUUGGCUGCAGUAGACUGUCUCAAUGAGAGCACCGUGCAUAAAAGCAUUCUUGACGUCCAGCUGAUGCACAGGCCAUGAGCAAGUGAGAGCCAAUGAGAGUACCGUGCGGACGGUGGCUGGCUUCACCACUGGGCUGAAUGUCUCAUCAUAGUUGACUCUAGGGCACUGAGUGAAACCUUGGAGAACCCAGCGAGCCUUGUACCUAUGAAGGGUACCAUCAGCCCGCCGAUUGUGUGUCUAGAUCGACUUGUCGGUGACGACGUUGGAGCCAGGCGGACGGGGCACCAGAUCCCAUGUCUAGUUGGCAAGGAGUGCAGCGUACUCCUUUUCCAUCGUGCGGUGCUAGUGAGGGUCCGACAAGGCGUCGCGAACGGAAGAGGGUACAGGAGAGACCUGUGGGUCGCCGGGCAUCGCCGCGAGAGCCCGGGGCCGCAGGGUACCAGCCGCGUGUCGUGUCACCAUAGGGUGAACGUGACGUUGGUGUCGGUGCAGAAGUGGUGGGUGGUACACCAGCGGCAUGACACGGGCAGCCGUAGGCUGCGGUGGUGUAGGUGUCGUCAGCGCAGAAGAGGCCAUGGGUGGUGUAGGCGUCGCCGGCGGAGAAGAGACCACCGGGGGUGACUGAAGCAGCGGAGCCGGCCGCGCACGGCGCUGGUAGACGUGCACCGGCUGGGUGAAACGCGCAGGAGGCGUUGAAGCCGACGUCCUCGGACCCGCGUUGGGCGUAGGGGCAGGUGCAGCACCGGAGGCUGACGCCUCCGGACCCGUGCAUGGCGCAGGGCCAGGGGCGUCAUUGGCGGGCGGCGAGCUGUGGCACGGGUCCGUCAAAGGGCACGGUGAAGCAGUACCUGCAGGAUACAACGACAAAGGUGGCUGGACCACCAUGUUAGUGGGAAACAGAGAGAAGAGUCAAGGUCUGGGGUGGAAGUGGUUGUGAUGGUGGUGGAGAAGGGGAAGACAGACUCAUCAAUUACCACAUGGCGAGAGACGAGGACCCGACGAGAGAUGAGGUCACAACAACAGUAACCCUUGUGAUCCGGGGAAUACCCAAGGAAGACAGAGUCGAACGGGGAGCCAGGUUGUGGGGAGCGGUGGCAGUGGUGUUAGGGUAACACGCACACCCGAAGACACGAAGGUCCUCAUACUGAGGAGGUGUAGCGAAGAGAGCAUGGUGUGGCGUAGGAGCUGGGCAGGCAGCGGAAGGAAGAUGGUUAAGGAGAUAGGUGGAGGUGCGCAGACUCUCAGCCCACAAGCAAGCAGGAAGCAACGCCUGGAGCAGAAGGGUGCGCAUGGUGUCGUUCGUGGUGCAAAUCAUGCGCUCAGCCUUGCCGCUCUAGAAGGAGGUAUAUGGACAAGACAUGUGCAACUGGACAUCGUGAGAGGAAGAAGGCACGGGAGGUGGUGUUAUCGAACUCACGGCCAUUGUCACACUGGACGACCUUGAUGGUGAGGCCGAACUGAGUAGACACCUAGAUGAAAAAGUGGAGAAGUGCGGGGAAUGCAUCAGACUUCGCACGCAAGGGAAACGCCCACGAAUAAUAAGAGAAAUCAUCAACCACCACAAGAUAGUAUUUAUAGCCAGAAAUGUUGAUGACAGGAGAUGUCCAUAGAUCGCAGUGUACAAGAUCAAAAACAUGGGCAGCAUGUGAAGAAGUAUGAAAAGGAAGACGAACAUGACGGCCCAGCUGGCACGCAUGACACAAGUGCUCAUCGUGAGCCCGAGUACAACGAAUGUCGGAACUACGACUAAGCUGCAUCAGAGCAUCACGAUCAGGAUGGCCGAUGCGAUGGUGCCAAGUGGUGAAGGAGUGGCGGCGCAAGCAGCUGACAAAAUAGACGAUGAAGAAGGCGUAGCAGACGCUGGAAACUGAAGGGUGUAAAGGGCCCCCGUGCAGUCACAUCGGAGAAGAGGACGUCGAGAAGCCAAAUCCUUCAUAGUAAGACCAGAAGAGUCAUUCAACAGAACAGGAAUUGUCAGCUGUAAAUUGACGAAUAGAAAGGAGGUUGUGAACUAUAGAAGGUGCAACAAGAAUAUCAGGAAGACGAAAAGAACCAUGAGCGCUAGCGGCACCCAUGGAUGUGAUAGGAAGACAUGAACCAUUUGCGACCAUGAUGGACGAAGGGUGAGAGGAAGGAGGGUGAACGAAUGAGAGUAUACCAGGGUCGGGAGUAGUGUGGUAAGUGGCACCCGAGUCAACGAUCCAGUCUAAACCGACAUGCGGUGUUGGGGCCAUGGUGUUGAAGUAGUGAGCCAGAACCGCCGAGUCCCAACCGACUGGCCCGGGCUAGGCGCCAGGAGGUGUAGCCCACGGAGACGCAGAGUGAAACCCGGGAGGAGCCCCAGCGAGCAUGCCCGCCGGCGGGUGAGGCUCCCCCCCGGGAGCUUGGAAAGGCCACAUAGAGAUGCGCCCCGCCCCCGGUUUGUGGAAGGAGGGUUAGGGUCCCCCCCGUGGAGGCUUGGGCGCCGAGUUGUUCCCACGGCCAGGACCCGCACCAGGUCCCCUUUUAGGGGGAGGGGGUCCGCCAGGGCGCCCCCCAGCCCCGUUGGAUUGGGGGGGGGGGGGGGGAGGACCAAGAAGAGACGACGACGGCGGAGCGGACGGGCGCAACGGAGGAGUAGCAGCAAGGGCAGUCGAGGAAGAUGAGGACCCCGACGCGGAGAGAGAUCCCAGCGUGGAGGUGGACCCUAGCUGGAUGCCCUGAGUGAGCUCCUCCAUGACAAGGUCGUCACAGACCUGUAGGAAGGUGGGGAAGGGCCGCUACCGGGUGAUCCACGUCCGGAGGUGAGCGUAGCGGUCACUGAGCUCGUGGAGGACGUUGAGGCUAGGAUGCGGUCCUCCACGGGCCAGCCAAGGUCGUCGAGGGAGUCUGCCAUGCCCUUCAUCCGGCGGCAGAAGUCGCUAAUGGAGAGGUUGCCCUGGACGAAGGUACGGAAGCUCGCAUCGAGAUGCAGAGCCCGGGCUUCGGCAUUGCCCAGAAACUGGCCCUCGAGCGCAAGCCAGGCCCGGCGAGCAUCAGCAGAGUUGUGGACGAGGUCAUGGAGGCUGAGGGAGAUCGUCCCGAGGAUCCAAGAGAGCAUGAUACUGUCGAGGCGCAGCCAAGAGGGGGUUUGGACGGCGACCGAGGCGUCGAUGAGGACGUGGUCGUCGAGGGUGUAGCGGUGGAGGGUGAGGAGGAUCAGGUCUCGCCAACGGGCGUAGGAGGGCGACUCAGGCUCGAGGACGACCGGGACGAGGAGCCGGAAGUUCUGGACACCCCUGGCCCUGGUAGUGGAGCUGCUCCACGAGGGGAUCGGAUCGGUCAGAUCGUGCCAGAUGACCUCAGUGUGGGACACGCCGUGACCUGUCAGCCGGAGGAAGUGGCCCCGAGGUCAUGUGAGGCAGGGAGGACGAGGAGCUGCUCCGCCUCGGCGAUCUGGCGGGCCAGUGCAUCGGCCGCAUCGCGCUCGCGCUCCCAAGCGAGGGUGGCCGCACGCACACGGGCCAAGCCUUCGUGGCAGCAGCCCGGGCAGCGACGACGGCGGCGGCGAGGGCGGAGUCGGGACCCGCUGCGUGGAGGUGGGAAGUGGGCGGCAGAGGACUCGUGUCCGCGCCUGGGGCUGCAGCAGCCGCAGCGCCCGCGCCGGCCACGCCUGCGUCGGCCGCUGUGCCCACACCUGCGGCACCCGUGCGGCCGUGCCUGUCGCUAGGAGGAGAAGUGGCGGCGGCGCUGGGCGCGCCCGGGGUGGCGGUGGGAGGAGGGGGAUGGGCAACUUGCGCCCACGUGUAGUUGGGAAGAGGGGGAAGCAGUGGUAGUAGGUGGGAGAGGGAGGAGGAGGGCCAGCCAUGGCUGGUGGCUGGGGAGGAGGGGAGGGAGAAGAAACACUAGCUGGAUACCAUGCUGGAGAUUAUGAUUUUCCUUAAUGGGCUAACCUGAGAAGGGUAGCUAUAUAACCUGCCAUACGUGGGCUUCAUGGGCCUAAUACACACACAUACUCCAACACUAAAUCCUUACUUGCCUCUUUAGACGUCUGUCUCGUUUUAUCAAGAGGAUCUUAGUAGCCAAAUAACUAAGAAAUUGGAUCUAACUUAAAAUUGACAAUAGCAUCCCUAGCUUCCUUAUCUCAUAAUAAGCUAGAUUUGUUAGAACCAAUUCUAGAUUUGUUUGUAUUAUUUCGCUGAUUUAAAUAGAUUCUUUGAAUAAUAACCUUUGUUCAACAUUUUUUUCAAGUUCUAGCAUCCACACCAGCCAGUGUUGUUAUAUGGGCCGGAUGGGGAUUUAGUCAAGGCCCAUGGCUUCACUAUAUGGGCUGCCAUGCCAAGGCCUUAGUGAUAAACCAUGCCAUGCCAUUGACCUUGAGAUGAAAGCCCAGAUAUCCACGCCAAGGUCGCUUGUGUGACCUAAAGUGCUAAAUGUUAAAAAUUUAUGAGAGCAAAUAGUCUACAUAAUAAUAGAAAAUCCCAUUCUACGCUCUGUAGUACAUUGACCAUAGAGAACUUGAGAUCUGGCUUAGUAGUUGUACCUAAUUUCAGUUAUAUUUUAUGAUCUCACAGAACUGCACAGUACGAUAUCCAUCCCAUAAAUAUCCAUCCUUGUGACAGAGGUAUGAUCUUGCAAAUUACAUAUUUUAUUUACUAAGCAUUUGCUAAUUUUCAUAAUUAUGACACAUUAAAGCAUUAUUUGUUUAUUUAUCAUUUACCUGGCAUCCUUCUUUAUGCAUCUUGAAAUUAUCUUGUGACCGUUUUGGUGUUACGAUUUAAAGACCUAUGUCAGGUUUUUAAGGAUCACAUAUGAAAUGUCAUGUGAAUAUGAAAGUUUUAAGCAAUAUAAAGUAUGAUCUUUUUGGUAGUUGUUUCAGAAAUUAUGAUAGGGAAAGUGGGUAACAAACCAGUCAAUUGUAGGCCAUAAAAUCACAAGGAUGAUGCUAUAUAAGUUUAAAAUUAAUAUUAAAAUUUAAUUAGCAAUAUUAAUAACAGUAAGAAAACUUCAGAGGUAGUAGUAAAUGAUGAAUGAUUUCAGAGGAGCGUAAAGAUUCAGUAUUUUUCCUGUUGUAAUACUGUACUACUCCCUCUAUUUCAAACUGUAGGUCGUUUUGGCUUUUGCCCCCCCCCCCCCCCCCCCCCCCCUCUCUCUUCAAAUUUGCGGAACAUCUUGGGUUUAUGCUUAUCUGCUCUCUUUUCAGUUAUCCCAAGAUUUUAGCUUGUAAUCUAAUAUUUUCUUUUCUUUUUGGGGGGAGAAACUGCAGCGUCACCUGCCUACUCUGGUUACAGAAGCCAUGCUGGCUAUGAGGUAAGUCGUGACAAUGUAUCAAUAAUCACAAGAGUGCAUAAAAUUGUUCAUAUUUGAAGUAUGCUUGGUCAUUUAUACAUGUAGUAGACAUUACUAAACUGGCGUAGUUGUCAAAUAUAUAACCAUACAUGCGAUCAUAAUUAGAGGGCAGUUGGCCCCCGUAUUAGUAAACUGGAAAGUAGGCAAUUCGAAACCUCCCCUCCCUCUUUUGGGCACAAAAACUGUUGAUAUUUCAGUUUUUUUUUUCAUGUGCAUGUGAAAUUGUGGAACAAAAUGCACUAGCACAAACACUCUCUAGUAACCAGAACCUUAGCAGCCGAGGAACGGGAACGUGGGUGCGUACCAUGUUCCGGGAACAUCGUUCCAAUUCACGGAACAGGAACAUAGCAGGACGCCGUCCCAUAGACGAUGGAACACGAUUUGUCAUCGCUGGGUAGUGCUCUCGUCGGCCGCAUGGACAUCAAGCCUGCGAUGGCAGGAAGCACUGCAGCUUCCUGUCCACAGGCCUGGACGUUGCAGCUGCUUCUCUGCAGCGCCGCUUUGGUCUCGCUGGCUGUCCCGCCAUGCCGUAGGAAGCGCCCCUGGCCAGCGGCUGUGCGUGGGCGGCCGCUCGUGUGGUGCAUGUGCGUCGUACGUGGCUGUGUGUGGGCGAGCCGUGGGCGCUGCUCAUGUGGUGUGUGUGCCAUGGCUGGGCGCCGCUCGUGUGGUGCGUGUGUGCCAUGGCUGUGCGUGGCGAUGGACAGCUGCUGGCAGCUUCCCAGGAGUGUGUGGGCUUAAUGUGGGCUUAGGGUUCGGUAACUGAUGGCCCAAUAUAAAACCAAAAAAAAACAAAUGAUAGGAAAAAGAAGUUGAGGUACAAGGGAAUCGAACUCGGUACAGGACACGAUCCUGCAUGCACCAACCACCAUGUCCUCACCAGAUUCCUGCGAAAGAUGUACACAUUCCACUAAUUAAAGGAACGAGUGAAGCUGUAUACCCCUUUCAUUCCACAGUUUCUAAGAACGUCGUACCACUUCCCCGUACCUAGUUCCCUAUGUUCCGGCAACCUGGCUGCUAAGUCCAGAACUGGACAGAGUUGCAGAACAUUUGUGAAUUCUGGGCACAGCAAUGGAGACACAAUUCUGCUUGUGCUGGCCAUGGCUAACACCGGAUACCUCAAAGAUGAAACAUUUGCAUUUGCCUGCCCUGUCCAUUGCGCCUGGAGUCUAGGCACCCCGAAUGAGUAUAUACCAUUGUGCCACGUCCACCUUUCAGAAAUAUGUGGUUGCCUGUACUAUGUCUUUUUAACUUUUGUUGUCCUCGCAGGCUGUAUUUACAUAUGAAUACGCACGGAACCGGGCACCUACACCUCCAAGUGGACCUUCCAUCCCUCCAAGAGGACGUUACUGACUAAAAUGGAGUGCUGGCUCCAUUGGAUCGCAUGGUAUUUAGAUGUUUCAGACAUGUACAGUAGAAGUUAAAAAGGAAGUUGUUUAAGGAAAAUAAGAACCCUCUGCAUCUUUACAUUUGACUUCAGUGCAGCCCUGCACACCGGUUGCUUGUUGAAGAAUGUUUUUUUAACCUUAGUAAGAGCAUCUCCAAGAGUUUUUAUAAAGUUUCUCUCAAUUAUCAUUUGGAGAGUCAUUUGAUUAACAAUCAUCAUUUCUAUAUCUUUGUAUUCUUUCAUUUCUAUUUCUUGUCUGCAGUCUAGGGAGACAUCUUCGCCCUCUAUCUUUGGUUAGCUAAAAAUCCAGAAUAGAAGUUGUCUAUAUUUGGAGAUCCAAUUAAGAAAGUUGCUGGAUGGUAUUUUUCAUCAAAAAUCUGUAUUCUAUAAAUUAGGAAGGAUAUAGUCACUGGGAGCCUGCAUCCAUGUUGCUUGCCGGUGGCUGCAGUUCUCCAAACUUCUUUCCUCCGGCCACAGUCGAACCAUUGACCUUUCUUUACUCCUCAAGCAUGUCCACGGCCAUAAAAUCAUGCCAAAAGUCAGGCAGUGGAAGGUCUCACCACAAACCCUGUAAGAAAAUUCACCUAAAAUCAACACUAAAAAAAACAAUCCUGGAACUCAAAAUCUUAGCCGGUCCGAGAAGAAAGUGGCAUGGACCUUCAAGCAUCAUCCAUGGUGGCAUGGAGGUGGAGUGGCUGUAGCUGUAGGCGCACCCAAACCUAAGAGCAAGGUCAAUAAUAGAGCCAAGUGCUUGGCUAUAAGCCAAGUGAUUGGAGCCAAGUUAUAAAAUAAGUUGUCUCAUACUUGUUUCUAAAACAUCUUCUCUUUUAUAUUCCUUCUCACAACACUUGUUAUUUGGGCCCACCACUACCUAUGCAUCCGUGCCCAGCUUGGUGCUUGUAUUAGAGUCAAGCUAUCAUCUCUCUUCUCUCCUCCACAUCAGCAUUAGCUUUGCUAUAAGCUCAUUAUUGUACUUGCUCUAAUUGAAGUUGAAGAAAUCUAGGAACUCCCCCUCUAGCGUCAACAACCCCAUUGGAUUGGAGGCGGCAUGGUGGAGUAGAUAGUUGAUAGGAGGGCCAGAUCAAGGCGGUGGUAGCCGGCGCCAGUGAUUGUGAUGAGCUGCAUCCGACAAUCGUAAGAUUUUCCGUUCAAUAAGUAGAUCAAUCUUUUAUAAAUACGGAAGCUUAAAGAGUAGACUGAAAAUGCAAACUCUCUGUCUGAAGAUCCUUCAGGUGACACGGUCACCACCAAGCUGGGCGCGCCACGCCAAGACACGAGCCGGACAUGGUCCAUGCUCAUCAGCGGACCUGAGUGGGCAUGAACCAUAGGCUAAGCUACAUCUGCGUUUGUGGGAUUUGAAAGAGCAUCAAGGCCCUAAUGGAUUUCGGUGAUUAAUGACAAUAUUGAUUACUAUGACUAACGUGUGUUUUGCAGAGACAAAGUCAUUAGUGUUAGGUCAUGGUAACAGGUACUCGAUGGACAGGGACGUACAUGCCUACUUAAUAGUGGAAAUCGUUUCAGUUUUUAAAGGAUGGAUGGACAUCGUCAAGACUAGACUAGGUCUAAGUGCCAUAUGGUGAAGAAGGACACUUAGAGUAGUUUAGGACUUUGUUUUUCCUUUGACCGUACUAUUAAGAGGGGCUUUGAUCUAGUAGCUUGACUUAGGCAAGGCUUUAGGUUUAGGUGUGGUGCACACUUGGUAAACCUAGCACUAGGCAGCUUAGAGAUAGUCUUUAGAUCGAGAGGAACAAACUUCGUUUUGGAACGGUCGUGUUUCGACGAAGUUUGGGUGCCUAAGCAGGCACCGGACGCUGCAGCGGACACUUUGUGAGUGCGUCCGGUGAGGUCGUUAGCUGUUAGAGUGCUGAGUGCCUAGGGUUAGGCACCGGACGCUAGCACCGGACGCACCGGGUAGCGUCCGAUCCUUAACCUAGGGAGGUCCACAAAGUGACCAAGGUCACCGGACGCUAGCACCGGACUCGCCGGGUAGCGUCCGAUCCUAAACUCAGGGAGGUUGUAAAGUUUCUCCGAGCACCGGACGGUGGCACCGGACGCUGGGAAGUAGCGUCCGAUGACCUGUCAGAGGCAGGUACAGUUAGCAGUUGAGUGUCACCGGACGCUCAGUGCAGAGCGUCCGGUGCAACAUCAACAGCGUCCACUGACCCCGUUUUCUGUGUAAAACGGUUGGCCGACCCUUGGACUUCAUGGGGUGUAUUUAUACUCCACCUCGUCCAUGGGAGGUCUCUUGCCCAUUUGAUCAGUGGAGAAUCACCUUGUGGUGCAAGAGAGAAGCAAGAGCCUAAAGAGAAUUGAGAUUUGAGAGAUUUCUUGUGAGAAUCCUUCUCUAGUUGAAUUCCAAGAGUCAAGUGUGCAUCCACCACUCUCUAGUGCCUUGAUUGGGUCAAGUGAGAGUCCUUUGCUUGUUACUCUUGGUGAUCACCAUCACCUAGACGGUUCGGUGGUGAUUGGAGGCACGAAGACCGCCCGGAGUUCUUGUGGGUGGCUCGUGUCAAGCUUGUGAGCGGUUUUGGGCGAUUCACCGCGACGGAGUGUCGAAGAAUCAGCCCGUAGAGAGCACUUGGUCCUUGCGUGGACCAAGGGGGAGCAAGACCCUUGCGCGGGUGCUCCAACGAGUACUAGUGGAGAGUGGCGACUCUCCGAUACCUCGGCAAAACAUCACCGAGCACUUUCUUCCACUACUCCUUUACUUUCUAGCAUUUUCUUUGUGUCUUUACAUUCUGUCGGUGUUUUGACCCCAGGGGGUAACACCAACAAGUGAAUCUUUGUGCGUGCUCCCUCUUCCAGAUGGUGAUGCAAGAAUGACACAGAGGUUUAUCCUAGUUCGGGCAAGAGAAGGCCCUACGUCCAGCGGGGGAGGAGAAUUUGUAUUAUCUUGCACCUAAGUGCUUGUAGAGGGGUGAAUACAAGUGGAUGUGGCCAAGAGCUCUAGGCCCCGGUCGAUGGUGGUGUGCUAGGUCAUGUUCUACGAGUUGUCCCCCUCAUCUCUUCCUCAGUGUCCCCUUUUAUAGUUCCAAGGGGACACCCAGGUUACAGGGUGUAGGUAUUAGAAUAAGCCUCGAUAGGGGUACGACGUGCUGACCUACUCGAGGCCUCCGUACCGGCGUGGCCUCGAGCUGUCUUGUUGCAGGGUACUUUGGUGAUGAUGGCGCGUGCUUCUGAAUUCAGCUCCUGUACAUUGCCUUGGAUUGGCUUAGGCGCGAGCGUGCUUGUAUGUUGUGGCAGCGGUCACAUCCAGGGUAGUUGAAACGCUGACUUCCGUUGCCUGACCCUUUCCUAGGAAGGAACAUAUCCGCUCGAGGGUCGAGUACCGGGAGCGGCUUCGCUGAGUGGAGCGCUGACUCUGGGUGUCUCGAGGGAUGCUAUGACGAGAUAUCACAGCUGCCACACUGUGCCGGGUUGUACUUUUGUCCAUUUUGGGGGUUAAAGCUGGAAAAAGUAGAGAUUUGAUGGGUGCUUGUUCCCUAUCACGUUUCCCGUGACUGUCGGGUUAGGUGGGAGCAUGGCAGACGCAUUAAAUGCUCUAGCUCCCGUACCCGCGACAGGCGGCGGGAGGCGCUUUUGCGCUCGAGGUCCAUUGAUUCGUUCGAGCCACUUCCGUACUCGACGGUCGCAGUCAAUCGAGCCCCUACCGAUUCGUAGGACCUUGCUCCCGUGUUCGAGGCCUUGGUCAACAUCGAGCUCUGGCUUUUAGAGGUUUAGGUCAGAACGUCGAGUUAGAGUCUCGAUUUGCUCACGAACCCCCGCGUUAUGGAUGUUGGUUAGGAUACCCCCGAUUGGUAUCCUCGAUAGUAGCCCCCGAGUCUCUGCUUGAGCGCUUAUGCUCGAGUAGAGGCUCUUCUGAUGGAUGAGUUUUCGUGGGGGUCGCGCGAGCGACCCUCGCGGGAGUAGCCCCCCGAGCCUUUGGAGGAGUCUUUGACUCCUUCGAGGGCUAUACUGCUUUUUCUGGUGAGACCGCUCCCGAUCACCCCUUUCUCCAAAGGGCGUUUGUUCCGGAAGGGAGCUUCCGACCCUUAUCGGUCGGUUUUACCUUUUCGAGACUAGGAUCGUGACGUGCUCCUGGUGGAGCGAGCGUCAUCGCCCAAGGUGAGUUCCUAUCGGGUGAUCCAAGCGAGAACCCUUGCCCCGUUCGAGGGGGUUGGCUGUAGCCCAGAGGCGUUCUCAUUAAAGCAGGGCUGAUACGGUCGGGGAUACUCAUCUCAUUCGAUAAAGUCCAGCGGCUCGAUGCCUCCCUCCGUGGGGAUUCCUCUCGACCAUCUUGCCCCUGCCUUGGAUACUCCUAGUUAGUCCUCGAGGCAGGCCUCGUUUUUGACCCCUCGCUAGGCGUCCCUGACUCUGGUACUCGAGGGCAACCGUUGAACCUGCCCGGUGGGCCGGUCUACGCUCCCUUGAUGUUUUCGUAUCGGCGCGUGCCUGUCUUGCCUUGCAGUGGAAGGAAGAGCCGUGGCGGUUUGUUUUCUUGCCCGUUGGACGCGCCUUUUUAGGGAGGAGUCGUUGUGGCAUUGUGCCAUUGCGGAAUCCGUAACGUCUUGUCAGGGGGAUAAAGACGACCGUUAGGCGGCGCAUUCAAUAAGGGAGUUACCGCGUUUGUCGGAUCUGCCCGUUGAUGUGGGCCGUCUAUAAAUGGCGCAAAACAGCCUGGCUACUGUCUCUUCCGCAUUUCACCAUUGUUCUCGCCUUUGUUCCUUAUUGUUGUCUCUUCUCGUCUUCUUGAAGCGCAGCGCACCCUCGAGUGAAAGAAUCCGCAGCGCCACCCCCGCCUUCCGUCGAGAUGCCUGUGAGACUCAUCGCCGCCGAUGAUUGGCGCCCGUCGUCCAUGACGGAGCGCCGGCUGAGGGACCUGGAGAACAAGGGGCUCCUGCGCCCCCGCGCCGCCUCGACGAGGCCCGAGUGGAUUGCUCCGCCGGCGGAUCACCGGGAGGCGAAUCCGCCAAAGGGAUAUGUGGUCUCCUUUGCUAAGUUUCACCGCCAUGGUCUUGGAUCUCCGCCAAGCCGCUUCAUGAGGGCACUCUGCCACCAUUACGGCGUGGAACUGCAGCACUUCUCCCCUAACGCCAUCACCGCUGCGGCGGUCUUUGUCGCGGUAUGUGAGGGCUACUUGGGGAUGAUGUCGCACUGGGACCUUUGGCUCCAUCUCUACCGGGGUGAACUCUUACAUGCUUCCGGUGGGGCCACGAGGGUGAGGAAGCCGGUGAGGGCCGGCUGCCUUAAUCUGGUGCAGAAGACAGGCCAAGCUGAGGAGCCUUGAGAGUACAUCCCGAUCGGGCUGACGUCUAACCACGCCCAAUGGGACUCCCAAUGGUUCUACCUCCGCAACGACGGUGACCUUUUCCCUGCUUAUACCGGGCGGUUGAUCUCGGAGCACCCAGAGAAUUGGAAUUAUGGCGUCGUCAAGACCCUUCAAUCUCGACUCCGCCCCCCUCCUCGACGCUCUGAAGACACUGCGUGAAGGAGGUCUGACCGCCGCGCCUGUUCUCUCGGCGGUCCACCAUCGGUGGGUACUCCCGUUGAUAUCUCGGCCGUUGAGGAUGGACGAGAUGGGCCCUGGUGUCUCGUCUCGGGACCUCGAGGCGUGCCGAAUGUUCGACGUGGCACCUUCGGACAAGGAGGUCGCUGUCAGGGUCAGUGCGGCGGUUGCGGGCGGCUUUCAGCCGGAACGCGUUAACAACUUCCCCAUGAAGCCUGAGGAAGGUUGCCUCGAUCUGGUGAGUCCUUGGAGCCAUCGUUGUUCGACCCCUGUUGUUUAAUCACGUCAUCCUUCUUUCUGAUCUUUCGGACCUCAUGCUUGACUUUUUAUAGGGAACGAUCAACUUUCGAUCUUCGAAGCCUCCAGUGAAGGAGGACGAUGUCGAUCGCGAGAAGAGGCGCGCUUGUGCCGAGAAGCAGAAAUCCGUCAAGGAUGCGGAGAAGAAGAAAACAAAGAAGAAGAACCUUGAGCGACAAGUGCUCGAGGCGCGUCGAGCCAAGUCGAGGCGUGGAGGGGAGUCUGAGGAGGACUCUCCUGACGAGGACGACGAGGUGAUGACGAUGACGACUCUGAGGGGAUGGCCGCUCGCCUCGAUAGAAUCCUAGAAGACCCGCCACGGACCGGUGUCGAUACAUCACGCGCGGGGGCUUCCAAAGGGCCGCCAGGCGAGCCUCGAUACGGGCGCCAGAAAGAGGCGUCGCCGCGUCGCUCGCGUGCCGACGCCACCUGCCCCUGUGCAGGGUCGUGUUGCUACCUAGCCGCAACCUCCUCCAGCGCUUGGCUCGGGCCAUAGGGUCAAGAGCCUAGCGACUGGGCCGUUGACUCGCGGCCGCGCCACCGUGGCGGCUUCAAGCUAGGGGGAAGGGGGUCGCAGGAGUGCUAGUCCCGGUGUCCGUCAGGCGGGAGACGCGGAGCCGAGGCCAGCAUCCGCCCAGGAGAAGCCCGGAGCCACGACCAGAGUUGUCCUUCCCGUAGGGUAAGGUCCACGUGUCGUGGUUUUGUCUUUGAUGUCUUGUGCCUCUGUCAGUUUCCAUCUCAUUAAGCUAUUUCCUUCUUCCCAGGCUAAAGAGGCCAUUGGAACAGGCCCAACCCUCGAUGGCCAAGAGGCUCAGGGUGGGGGCGAGCUCCAAAGGCCUGGGUGAGUAACUCAUUCUUCUUUUUGUAGUUCCGGAGUCGGGUUGGUUUAGCGCUAAAUCUCUUUGUGACUAGCUUAUUGCUUUGCCCCAUGUGUAGGUUCCCCCGACCCUUGACCAUCCGCUAACGUCGAUAAGACCCCGCCUCGACUGUCGGAGGGGGCGACGGUUCCAGAACCAUUCUGCCGACACCUGGACGGGUCGAGACGCCUUGCCCUCAGGGCCAGGGGAGCCCCCGAGCCGCCCCAGUCAGGGGGUGUAGGUGACCCCAUCACUAUCAGUGGUGGGUCUAGUGGCAGUCCGCGUUCGCCGGACGCUCGUACCACGAACAAGGAGGUCGAGACCUCCCAUGUUGAAAAUUGGACAGCGUGGCCCAUCGGGCUUCAUUCCGUCGAAGAGAAGAGGAAGAAGGAUGAGGAAGAGAGGGGGAAAGGAGAAGAGGAGAAAGAAGAACCAUGCCGCCUACAGGGGGGACCGCUGCAUCCGCAAGAGGCGCAGGCGCAACAGCAGCAACAACAGCAGCAACAGCAGCUGCAGCAGGAGCAGCAACAGCAGCUGCAGCAGGAACGGCAACAGUAGCAGCAGGAGGAGCAACAACUACAACAGCACUAGGGGGGAGCGGCUCAAAGAGCAGCUGGAUCAGUGCUGGCAGCAAGAGCUGCAGGAGCUUCAACAGCAGCAGCAGCAGCAACAGCUGGAAGCGAUGCUUGAGCAGCAACCGCAAAGCCCGCACCAGCCACAGUCGCUGCCGUCGCAAGGGCUCGAGACCGGGGAGGAGGAACUUCCGGUUUAUGGUCCUCCAACCCCCGCGUGGCUCCAUCCAGGAGGGCUAGCCUCCAUCCCGGCCGAACCUGGGCGGGAGGAUGGUGUCGUGGCGCUCGCAUGUGCCAUGCGCACACCGGCGGACCCCCAGCCUGGAAUCAAGGGUACCAUUUAUGGUAUCGAGGGGAUCACCCUAGGGUUCCUUUGGGACCGACGGCCAUGGGAGGAUCUUAGUGCUGACGGGGGAGAUGAGGCUGGGACCUCUGGCGGAGGCGAUGCUGGGACUUGGAGCUCGGUAGACAACGAUGGGCGGUUUCCUUCCAUCGUCGAUCUGUUCCUACGCCACGGAGGCUCACUCGAGACUGUUCAAGAGCUCAUCCGGGGCGUCAAAGCGCGCACGGAGGAGGAGAUGGAGAACUGGGGCCCCGGGAGGAUCCGCCUUCGAGCCUCCACCUGUCCGGAAGAGCCUAACAUUAUGAUGGACGACCAGGAGGAGGCAAAGAAGUGGGAGCAUCUCGAGGAGCUUCAGCUCUGGAUGAAGCACGUCGUGGGCCUCAUGUCUGACAUCAUCAACAACGGGCUCGACCAGGCUUUCUUUGUAAGUACCUUUGGACCUUUGUUAUUUGGGAGCUUAGUCUCGUAUUCUUACUGUUUUGCAACCUGUUGCAGGAUUUGAAAGAGACCUCACGCCUAAAAUUAGGCUUUAUUCAUGCGACGAGGGGCGGUUGGGAGUAGCUCCCUCUUCUUAAGGAGCAACUCCUCGAGUCGUAGGAAAAGCUUCUCCAAGCCUACAAGGAUCUCACGGCGGCUUUGGAAGAGAAGAAGGAGAGGGAGGCCGCUCUGAACGAGGCUCGAGGGGCCUUGUCUAGUAUGGACAGCAAGGUCUCCCGGGUGGAGGAAGAUGCCCGAGGCGCCCGGGAGGAAGUCGCACGGUCGAGGGAACAGGUCGUCUUGGCCGAGGAGGCGGCCUCCAAGGCCCGGGAGGAGGCCGCGCAUUAUAAAGGUGCGGCUGUCGAGGACCUGCGGGUCAAGAAUACUGAUCUGGCUCAUUCUUGCAAGGAAUCGAGAGGGCCAAUACCGACCUAGUUGGUGAGAACAUGACUCUCGAGGAGAAAGUUCACGGUAAGUUAAUCAUGCUCUUGUGUUUCUUUCGUCGGGUUUUUUCUUUUCCGUCGCCUAACUCUCCUUUGAUCUAUUCAGGGCUUAAAGAUGAUCUGCUGGCCGCCCAAACCGACGCUCAAUCUUUUAGGGCUCAGUUCGAGGGGGAGGUCGCUCUGACCAGUCGAUUAAGGACUGCGAUAAACGACCUCUCGACUUCCUGGGAGCUCGAGCCUGCGGAUGAGUCGAGGGAGGCGGCUCGAGGCGAUGCUCUGGUCGACCAGUUGUGCGACCUGGGUGCCACACUGAGGGAUAUGGUGUGGGACGCCCUUCAUACCGGGGUGAAGCGGGCGAUGGCGGUUGUCUGUUCGGGCUUCUCCUACGACAUGGAGGUGGUGUCCCACGGCUUCAUCACUGAUAUCUCCAAGACUGAUGCUGAGAACGAGGAGAGGCUCCAUGCCUUGAUCGCGGACGUGGAUGCUCCAGGAGAAAGGUUGGCGAAGCUGUUCGAGCCGGAAGUGCUGCCUCCCGAGACCAACGCACGCGCGGAAGACUAUGGGUAGCGGGGAAAACUGAGGGCCUGCGAGCCUAAUCCGGGUGUCUAGGCCCAUUGUAAUAUGCUUGUCUUAAUUAAAUGCUGUGGCUGAGUGGCCCUAAGACUUGUGGUCCUUAUGUAUAUUUGUUUUGUUUUUAUGUUCAAGUUUCUUUUACUCCCUUUGCUACCUAAGUUUCCUGUUCCUCGAUCGAUCUUUCAUUAGAGCGACUUCGGUUACCUCGAGGGUGAAGGAGUGAGUACUGUUACCGUAGCCCGGGGGUGUGGGGGUUCUCAGGCUCGACGUCCCUCGACCCUUAAGGGGCUUGAGGCGCCUUUACUACUUGGUUGCGUGGGGUUUUCUUAGGGCUUAAAAAUGGAAGAGAGAUAUCGUUGAGCUUUUUUGAAAAAUGUUCGAUUUUUAGGAACCUGCAACGAGGGGAGAACCCCUAGCUAGCCCCUGAGGGAGUGUCGGUUAUGAUGAGUCAUGGUCGACACUCCUUCCUAACGUUGAGGUUUGACAGGUAAUAGCUGCUUGAAAAAGAACUUUCAUUUGUUCAUAUAUUCAUUCUCGGGGUCUUGGUACAAGAUGUGCAUGAAAAUUUAGAUGCUUCGAAGCUCUAAGGGUAGAAGCAACGUAGCUGUUCGAUGUUCCACGCGUUGGUGAAGAUUGCCCCCUUUUCGUCUGCUAGCUUGUACGUCCCCGGCUUCAAGACCUCAGCCACCACGUAUGGCCCCUCCCAAGGUGGAGUUAGCUUGUGGCGUCCUUGAUUGCUUUGUCUUCGAUGUAGGAUGAAGUCGCCCACGUUUAGGUCUCUCUUGCGCACAUGUUUAUCGUGGUAGCGUCGGAGCUUCUGCUGGUACCUGGCUGAGUUGAGGAGGGCCAUGUCUCGAGCUUCCUCGAGCUGGUCAACCGCAUUCUCUUGAGUCUCCCUGUUCUUUUGCUCGUUGUAGGCUUUGAGUCGAGGUGACCCGUACUUGAGAUCUGUUGGGAGCACAGCCUCGGAGCCGUAGACCAUGAAGAAUGAGGUAUAUUUCGUGGCUUUGCUUGGCGUUGUUCUCAGGCUCCAUAGGACCGAUGAGAGCUCCUCGACCCAUUUCUUGCCAAACUUUUUCAACCGGUUGUAUGUUCUAGGUUUGAGCCCUUGCAAGAUCAUGCCAUUGGCUCGUUCGACCUGGCCGUUAGUUCGAGGGUGAGCUACUGCGAACCAGUUCCGGUCACAGAAGUCCAAGAAUUUUUUGCCGGUGAACUGCGUGCCAUUGUCGGUGAUAAUGACGUUGGGUAUCCCGAACUGGUGAAUGAUGUCGAUGAAGACGAGGACAGCCUAUUCGGAGCGAAUAUUUGUGAUGGGUCGAGCCUCGAUCCAUUUGGAGAAUUUGUCGAUGGCUACUAGCAGAUGUGUGUAUCCACUUGCUGCCCUUUGGAGGGGACCCACGAGAUCGAGGCCCCAUACUGUGAAUGGCCAAGUGAUGGGGAUCAUUUGUAGAGCGUGGGCGGGGAGGUGGGUUUGCUUGGCGUAGAAUUGGCAUGCGUGGCACGAGCGAACGAGCUCUAUGGCGUCAGCAACGACUGUUGGCCAGUAGAAACCUUGUCGAAAGGCAUUUCCCACGAGGGUCCUGGGGGCCGCAAGCCCCCCAAGUGUAGGUCCUCGAGGAGCUUUCGACCUUCUUCUAUGGUGACGCUGCGCUACAGGAUCCCCGUCGGGCUUCGUCGGUAUAGUUCUUUGCCUCCGCCAUAGAUUACGUAUGAUUUGGACCGUCGAGCGAUACGGCGGGCCUCAGCUCGAUGUUCUGGUAACUCACACCAGAUUAGACAGUCGAGGAAAGGCAUGCGCAAGUCGAAUGGUCGUCCAGGGCGCUGGGGGAUUUGCUCGACCGCCAUUGCCUCUGCCGCCGUUAAUAGGGCCUCGACCGUGUCGGUAGGCUCAGGAGCGGAAGUUUUGGCGCUAAUCCACGUGCCUAGGUCGACGGACGGCUCAUGUAGGUCCCUUGAAAAUGCAUCUAGCGGGACAGUGCCUCGAGUGGAUGCGAUCUUGGCGAGCUCGACGGCUGCUUCAUUGCAUCGUCGCGCGACAUGAUUGAGUUCGAGGCCGUGAAACUUGUCCUCGAGCUUGCGCACUUCUUUGCAGUAAGCUUCCAUCUUCGGGUCGUGGCAGCUCGAUGCUUUCAUGACCUGGUCGAUGACAAGCUGAGAGUCGCCUCGCACAUCGAGGCAUCGAACCCCAAGCUCGAUAGCGAUUUUGAACCUGUUGACGAGGGCUUCAUAUUCCGCAACGUUGUUAGACGCGGCAAAAUGUAUUCUAAUGACAUACCUCAUGUGGACGCCGAGAGUGAGACGAGGAGCAGGCCUGCCCCAGCUCCUGCCUUCAUGAGGGAUCCGUCGAAGUACAUCGUCCACAGUUCCGCUUGAGCUGGGGGGAGUUGGGUGUCUGUCCAUUCCGCGACAAAAUCCGCCAAUGCUUGAGAUUUGAUGGCUUUGCGAGACGCAUAAGUGCGGGUCUCACCCAUGAGCUCGACUGACCACUUGGCGAUCCUCUCGGUGGCCUCUCGAUUUUGGAUGAUCUUACCCAAGGGGAAGGACGAGACCACCGUGAUCGGGUGACCGAGAAAAUAAUGCUGCAGCUUGCGUCGACCGAGAAUUAUGGCAUAGAUGAACUUUUAAACCUAGGGGUAUCGUACCUUGGUGUCCGAGAGCACCUCGUUGAUGAAGUAGACCGACCGUUGGACUGGUAACGCGUGUCCUUCCUCUGGCCUCUCGACCACUACAGCCGCCCUAACGACCUGGGUCAUUGCUGUGACGUAUAGGAGCAGAGGUUCUGCAGGUCGAGGGGGAACCAGGAUCGGAGCGGUGGUCAGUGUCCUUUUCAGGUUGUCGAGAGCUUCCUCGGCCUCGAGAGUCCAGGUGAAGCGCUCGGCUUUCUUGAGGAGUCGGUAUAACGGUAAUGCCUUUUCCCCUAGCCUCGAGAUGAAGCGGCUCAACGCUGCCAAGCAACCCGUGACUUUCUGCACGCCCUUAACAUCUCGAAUUGGCCCCAUCCUGACAACGGCUGAGACCUUUUCGGGGUUGGCCUCGAUGCCGCGUUGGGAGACGAUGUAUUCUAGGAGCAUGCCUCGAGGCACGCCAAAGACACACUUCUCGGGAUUGAGCUUGAUUCUAUUCACGCGCAAACAGCUAAAGGUGAUCUCGAGAUCCUGAAUCAAAUCGCUUCGUAUUUUUGAUUUGACGACGAUGUCAUCGACGUACGCCUUGACUGUCGACCCUUUGUGCUCACUGAAUACAUGAAGCAUGCAUCGCUGGUACAUCACCCCAGCGUUUCAAAGCCCGAAGGGCAUAGUCACGUUACAAUACAUCCCAAAAGGCGUGAUAAAAGAUGUCGUGAGCUGGUCGGACUCUUUCAUCUUUAUUUGAUGGUAACUGGAAUAAGCAUCAAGGAACGAAAGGAUCUCACAUCCCACGGUAGAAUCGACAAUUUGAUCGAUGCGUGGUAAAGGAAAAGGAACUUUUGGACAUGCUUUAUUCAAACUGGUGUAAUCGACACACAUCCUCGUUUUCCCAUUCUUUUUCUUAACUAGUACAGGAUUUGCUAACCAGUCGGGAUGAUGAACCUCCUUGAUGAAUCCGGCCGUCAAAAGCUUGUGGAUUUCCUCGCCAAUGAUCUUACGCUUCUCCUCGUCGAAGCGGUGUAAGAGUUGCUUCACGAGCUUGGAACCGGCUCGAAUUUCCAAGGAGUGCUCGGUGACUUCCCUCGGUAUGCCAGGCAUGUCCGAGGAACUCCAUGCAAAUAUGUCGGCACUCGCACAGAGAAAGUCAACGAGCAUGGCUUCCUAUUUGGGGUCGAGGACGGUGCUGAUUGUCAGCACCAUGUCGUUGGAGCUGUUGGGGUCGAGUGGGAUUUUCUUCGUGCCUUCUACUGGUUCAAAGCUGCCUGCGUGGUGCUUAGGCUGUGGGGCCUCAGCGGCGAGAGCCUCGAGCUUCGAGGCAAGUUCAUCAGAACUCUCGACUGCUUCCCCAUACUCGACGCACUCGACGUCGCAUUCGUAUGCGUGCUCGUAGGAGGAGCUGACAGUGAUGAUCCCCUUGGGCCCGGGCAUCUUCAGCUUUAGGUAAGUGUAGUUGGGGACCGCCAUGAACUUGGCGUAUCCAGGUCGUCCGACGAUGGCGUGGUAAGUGCAUCGAAAACCCACCACUUCGAAAGUGAGAGUUUCCUUCUUGAAGUUGGCCGUUGUGCCAAAACAGACCGGCAGGUCGAUUCGAUCCACCGGCAACACCUUUUUCCCUGGCACAACACCAUGGAAACCGCCUGCACUUGGUUGGAGUUGUGUCCUUUCGAUGCCUAGGAGGUCGAGAGUCUCGAGGUAGAUGAUGUUGAGGCUGCUGCCGCCGUCCAUCAGUACCUUCGAGAGUCGGGUGUUGACGGUGAUGGGGUCGACAACGAGCGGGUAGACGCCGGGAGCGACCACCCUGUCGGGGUGGUCGUCACGGUCGAAGGUGAUGGGGGUGCCUGACCAGUUGAGUACUGUGGUACCGCCAUUCUUGCCGCGAAGACCUCGCGCCGUUCCCUUUUGCGCUGUCUCGUGGUGAGCUGCGUUGAGGGCCCGCCGUAGAUCAUGUAGCAGUCGUGGACGGCAGGGAACCCUUCAUCUUCUUUGUUUCCCCCCUUGUCGUCGCUCUUGUCUUUCUUUUGGUCAUCCUUCUUCAACCCCAGGCUGUCGAAGUACUUUUUCAACAUGCGGCAGUCUUCGAGCUUGUGAUUGGCCCCUCCCUUGUGGUAAGGGCAGGGUUCUUUGAGCAUUUUGUCGAAGACGGCCCCCUCUGGGGGGCCUCGAGGCUUUUUUACGCUCGACGGCGGCAACGAAAUCGUCGUCAAUUGCCUCCCGCUUGUUCGGUCGCGUUUUCUUCUUCUUGCUCUUCUUGGAUCCUCUGCUGGGACCCUCGUCGUUGUUUGCGAUGUUUUCCCCUUGCCAUGCUCAUGGUCGAAGAAAGCGCCGACUGUCUCCUCGCCAGCGGCAUAGUUCGCCACUACAUCCAUCAGCUCGUCGACGAUCUGUGGUUGGUUUUGACCUAACUCUUGCACCAAAGCCUUGCAUGCAGUGCCUGAGACGAAGGCCAAGAUGACGUCGUGGUCGGGGAUGUGUGGGAGCUCGGUGCGCUGCUUCGAGAAGCGUCGAGCGUACUCUAAGAGGGAUUCCCCCGAUUUCUGCUUGCAUUUGCUGAGGUCCCAUGAAUUGCCGGGGCGUAUGUAGGUCCCCUUGAAGUUUCCUUUGAACACCCGGACCAAGUCUGUCCAGUCGUGAAUCUGGUUGGUGGGGAGCUCCUCGAGCCAUCGUCGAGCGGUAUCGGAGAGGAAGAGUGGUAGCUGGUGGAUGAUAGCUCGACCGUCCCCUCGAGCUCCUCCUAACUGGCAUGCCAGCCGGAAGUCUACCAGCCACAGCUCUGGCUUGGUUUCGCCAUUGUACUUUGCGAUGCUGGUUGGGGGUCGAAACGGGCUUGGCAACAGCGUGCUGCGAAUUGCCCUACUCAAGACUCGAGGUCCUGGUGGUUCUGGUACCAGUCGGUCUUCAUCGCUGUCGUAACGCCCACCGCGGUGAGAGCUGUAGCCACGUUCCUCCGCAUCCCUGUGUCGGCGGCAGUGAUGCUCGUUGAUGUCAUGUCGAGCGUCGCGCUGCUCUCGAUUGUCGACGAGGCGCUCCUGGACGGGUAUUGCUUUCUUUCCUCGAGGGAGUGGUUCCUGAUGCACCGACGCCUCCCUCUCGUUCUGGGCUGGCUCGACGCGCUUCUCUGUGGGUACCCCUCGACAACGAGAGGCUGAGCUCUUGGCUCGUUGUGCUGUCGCCAUGUGGAGCAAGCCCUGUACCUCGUCUCGAAUGCGUCGUGCCUAGGAGUUUGAAGGCUCGGGCAUGUUUCGUAGCAGCAUGGUUGCUGCCACGAUGUUCUGGCCUGCUCGAGGGAAGCGGCUAACGAGGGGCUCUGGUUCCUCAUCACCAACGAUCUGCUGGUAUACCUCUCGAGCACGACCACGCGAGAGCCCGCUCGAGUUCGGCGAGGCGCUCGCGAUCCUCGUCGAGCUUGGCCUUGAGCUCCUGCAGUUGCGCGAGUUGUGCGGCCUUGUCGUCCUGAGGUGGGGGGUCGACCUGUUCAUCAUUCCCAGGGGCCCUGGGAUCUUCCCUUGCUAUGGGAGCUCCUCCACCAGCGGCGGCAUCUUGCGUGUCGUCCGUGGUAGCCACGGCCCCGUCAAUGUUGAAGCACUCCCUCGUAGGGUCGUAGCUGUCGGAUUCAGAGUCGGGAUUUGGCUCGGCGGUGUAGAAGCAUCCGCGUCCCUCCUCCACCAACUGUUGCCUGAGCGAGAUGAUGGUGUACCGUCCGGGUCCUAGGCGUCGGAGCCCACGUACCCAUGAAAAAUCUGGUUGCUCGGCCGUUGGCUGAGCUUGCGGCUGCGUCUCGGCGUCGUAUGGGAGGACCGGUGGUCGCUCCACAUACGUCUUGGCACCUGGGAAUAUCGUCCUGGCGAGCGACGUUGCGGCGUUGUCCAAGCCGAACGGGUAUGUCCUCCCGACGGCGAACAAACCGUGUGGUAGUAAUGCAGACGGAGGUGAGGGCGCACGAGGCGCGCUACCGUCCGAUGCUGUCGCGCGGUUGUCCUGACACUGGCUCGUUGUACCCAUGGCCUUGGCGCGCGGGGCCGCUGGCUCCUAUUCCGCUGCCCGCCUUGUACGGGGCGGUGCUCGCGCAGCGGCAGUGUGGCGGUGGCGAUGCUGCCCACGCCUCUUUUUAGGCGGGGAAGCAUGGUGGCGAGGCCGUCUCGGAGCUUUUGAUCGCGUGAGCACGAUACGAGCCCCUGCAGGUCCUUUGAUCGAGAGUAAGAUCAUGUCAUAGCUAAAGCCAGUGGACAUGAACUCGAGGCUUCCGAACCAAAUCACCGUGGAGCGUGGGAUCGGGGAGACGGGAGUGGCCAUCUGGAAGGAGAUGGAAAAUCGGUGGUAACACGCGGGACCCCUACCUAGCGCGCCAACUGUCAGUGUUUUGACCCUAGGGGGUAACACCAAAGAGUGAAUCUUUGUGCGUGCUCCCUCUUCCGGAUGGUGAUGCAAGAAUGACUCAGAGAUUUAUCCUGGUUCGGGCAAGAGAAGGCCCUACGUCUAGCGGGGGAGGGGAAUUUGUAUUAUCUUGCACCUAAGUGCUUGUACAGGGGUGAAUACAAGUGGAUGUGGCCAAGAGCUCUAGGCCCGGCCGAUGGUGGUGUGAUAGGUCGUGGUCUAUGGGUUGUCCCCCUUAUCUCUUCCUCAGUGUCCCCUUUUAUAUUUCCAAGGGGACACCCAGGUUACAAGGUGUAGGUAUUAGAAUAAGCCUCGAUAGGGGUACGGCGUGCUGACCUACUCGAGGCCUCCGUACCGGCGUGCCUCGAGCCGUCUUGUUGCAGGGUACUUUGGUGAUGAUGGCGCGUGCUUCUGAAUUCAGCUCCUGUACAUUGCCUUGGAUUGGCUUAGGCGCGAGCGUGCUUGUAUGUCGUGGCAGCGGUCACAUCCAGGGUAGUUGAAACGCUGACUUCCGUUGCCUGACCCUUUCCUAGGAAGGAACAUAUCAGCUCGAGGGUCGAGUACCGCGAGUGGCUUCGCUGAGUGGAGCGCUGACUCUGGGUGUCUCGAGGGAUGCUAUGACAAGAUAUCAUAGCUGCCACACUGUGUCGGGUUGUACUUUUGUCCAUUUUGGGGGUUAAAGCUGGAAAAAGUAGAGAUUUGACGGGUGCUUGUUCCCUAUCACGUUUCCCGUGACUGUCAGGUUAGGUGGGAGCAUGGCAGACGCAUUAAAUGCUCUGGCUCCCGUACCCGCGACAGGCGGCGGGAGGCGCUUUUGCGCUCGAGGUCAAUCGAUUCGCUCGAGCCACUUCCGUACUUGACGGUCGCAGUCAAUCGAGCCCCUGCCGAUUCGCAGGACCUUGCUCCCGUGUUCGAGGCCAUGGUCGACAUCAAGCUCUGGCGUUUACAGGUUUAGGACAGAAUGUCGAGUUAGAGUCUCGAUUUGCUCACGAACCCCCCGUUAUGGAUGUUGGUUAGGAUACCCCCUAUUGGUAUCCUCGACACAUUCCUAGAAUUGUCUUGCUAGAAUAGGAUUGGAACUAGGUUGCAAAACUCUUUAUCCGGUAGCUCUCUAAUCACACUAGGCACAAGGGGUGAAAUUGGAGCUUAUAUGUUGAUUAAAUUUUUAGAGAAGCCCUAUUCACCUCCCCUCUUGGGCAUCUUGAUCUUUUCAAUUGGUAUCAGAGCCUAGUGCUCAUUAUUUAGGCUUCACUGCCUAGAGAAAGAUGUCUAACAGGGAUGGACCGCCACCCAUGUUCGAUGGGGAUGACUUCCCGUAUUGGAAAAUACGGAUGGAGUCAUACCUUGAGGCAUGUGACACUAAGUGCCUAAAGGCCGUGACCGAAGGGUUUACCCCUCCGGCAAAGGACGCCGUUCUUACUCCAAAGUACAAGAAAACGAAAAGUGGAAUGCAAAGGCCAAAAACCACAUCUUUAGAGGUCUUUGCAAAGAAGUGUUCAACCGCGUACGGAACCACAAAACCGCCCAUGCUCUAUGGAAGGAACUUUGUGCGCUCCAUGAGGGAUCCAAGAGUGAGCGUGAGGAACGCUUUCAUCUUGUGAUGAACAAGCUUAAUACAUUUGAAAUACUUCCAAAAGAAAAUGCUAAUGAAAUGUAUUCUCGCUUGAAUGUCAUUGUAGAGGAGCUAAAUGGACUUGGGCUCAAUCAAAUGAGUGCGGCGGAUGUGGCAAGAAAGAUACUAUGUGUUCUCCCCAUUGAGAAAUAUGGGCACAUAGUAACCGUGCUUCAUCAAGGAGACCUCUCCAUCGCUACACCAACGUCCAUAUUGGGGAAGAUCAAUGCUCACGAGAUGUAUAUGCACAUGAACCCCCAAGAUGGCUCCUCAUCGGCCAAGAAGGAGAAAAAGGACUUGGCCCUCAAAGCUUCUCACAAGGGCAAAGCCAAGAAGAUUGAAGUUGAGUCAUCAACAUUAAGUGAUGAUGAUGCAUCCAUUGCCCUCUUGGUGAGAAGAACCACCAAGAUGUUGAAGAAGCUCAACAAGAAUGGAGUCAACUUUGACUCCAAGAAGAAGAAGUUCUUCACAAGUAGCAAGAGGAAGCCAAUCUCCGAGAUGGAUUGAUACAAUUGUAGUGAACUUGGUCAUCUUGCUCACCAAUGUCCAAAGCCCAAGAAGGACAAGUACAAGAAGAAGAACAAAAAGCAAGAUGAUUCAAGUGAUGAUGAGAAGAAUGACAAGAAUCCAUACAAGAAGAAAGGUGGCAAGAAGGAGUACCACAAGAAGAAGAAUGGCAAGGCUUACAUUGUUGGUGAUUGGCUCACCGACAUUGAAAGCUCAAGUGGUGACUCCUCCGGCAAUGAAAGCGAUGAUGAGAAGGUUGCCGCCAUUGCCAUAGAUGCUUCAUCACCAUCACCUUCAUCACCAUCACCUUCACCACCAUCUACAUCCUCUACACACCUAUGUCUCAUGGCCAAGGGUGAUCGGAAGGUACAAAGUUAGGAUGAGAGUAGUGAGAGUGAUAGUGAAUAUGAAUCACCAUCUUAUGACGAACUUGUAAAAUUGCUAAACAAAUACACUAAGGUCAUAAGAAAGACGAGAAGUGAAAAUGAAAAACUUGAACAUGAAAAUGAAUCACUUCUAGCAAAGCUUGAAUCUAGUGAUGAGCUUAGAGAUCAAAAUGAGAUCAUGACCACUAAGCUCAAGGAGCUCAAACUCUUAUUAAAAGAGCUCAAAGAACAACAUGAUAAACUUGAGACUGUGCAUGAGGAGCUUAUCACUAGAUAUAGAGCUUUGAAGGAAGAACUAGCAACUCUAAAAGCAAACUAUGACAACCUUGAGAUAGCUUAUGAUCUUGCAUUCAAUGAAACAUGUUGCUACUAACCAUGUUGCUAAGCUUGAUGUAGCCACAUCUUGUGAUGACUUACUUGUGGAGAGCACAAACAAAUGUGUUGGUUGCAAGGGCAAGAAAGUGGUAGUGUCCGAGAGCUAUGAGGACACUAUCAAGCUCAAGGAAGAAAAUGACAUGCUCAAGAAAGAGUUGCAAGAGCAAGCCAAGCAUAACAAAAUAGUGAUUGAGUCACUUGAUCAAGACAAGAAGCUUGCAUAUGAGAACAAGUUACUCAAAGAAGAGAACUAAUAUCUCAAGCUUGGUUUGAUGUAUGACAAGCUAGAAGAAGAUGAGUCUUUCAUCUUAGAUGAGUUAGCAAGCAACAAUGACCCAAUCAUCAAGAAGCUAACUCAAGAGAAUAGCAAGCUCAAGAAAGAGAAGGAACACCUAACCAAGGGGUUAGCAAAGUUCACAAAAGGAAAGGACCUUCAAAGUGAGCUAUUCAUGAACAUGGUCAUGAAGAUGGACAAGAGUGAGAUUGGCUACAAGGCUCAUCAAACAAAUCUCAUCAAGUCACUAGCAACUCAUGAUCAUCCAAGCAAGCCAAAGCCAAAGAGGUGCUUUGAGUGUGGACAAGAAGGACAUUUUGCUCAUGAUUGUGAGGCACCACUACCACCACCCUUGCCCAAGCAUGCUAGACCAUUUUCCUUCAAUGCUCGCUACAUUGUAAGGAAAGACAAGAGUGGCAAGGUCAAGGUUAGCUUCAUGGGGCCGCCCAACAAGCAAAGGCCAAAGAAGAUUUGGGUGCCAAAGCAACUAGUAGGGAAGGUCAAGGGCCCUAAGCAAAUGUGGGUCCCUAAAUCUCAAGCUUGAUCUCUUGUGUGUAGGUGAACUAGAAGACCGGUGGAUCACAUUGGGUAAUUGAUAGUGGUUGCACUCAAUAUAUGACCGGAGAUCCCCGGAUGUUCACCUCACUUGAUGAAGAUGUUGACAACCAAGAGAAGAUCACAUUUGGUGACAAUUAAAAAGGCAAGGUCAAGGGUCUAGGAAAGGUUGCUAUAUCAAAUGACAACUCUAUCACCAAUGUGCUCUAUGUGCAAUCAUUAAGUUUCAACUUGCUCUCGGUUGGAUAACUUUGUGAUCUUGGAUUGAAUGUCUAUUCAAGAAGAAGGAAGUAAUAGUGACCAAGGAGGAUGACAAUGAAAUGGUAUUCAAAGGCUUCCAUCACAACAACUUAUAUGUAGUUGAUUUCUCAUCUGAUGAAGUUGAUGUCAAGACUUGCUUAUUCACCAAGACCUCACUUGGGUGGUUGUGGCAUAGAAGGUUAGCACAUGUUGGAAUGGGCACACUCAAGAAGUUGAUGAAGAAAGAAUUGAUUAGAGACUUGAAGGAUGUGACCUUUGAAAAGGACAAGCUUUGUAGUGCAUGUCAAGCCGGCAAGCAAGUUGCAAACACCCAUCCAACCAAGGCCUAUCUCUGUACUUCAAGAGUGCUUCAGCUACUCCACAUGGAUUUAUUUGGACCAACCACAUAUGCUAGUCUUGGAGGCAACAAAUAUUGCUUGGUCAUAGUUGAUGAUUACUCCCGGUACACUUGGACAUUCUUCUUGCAAGACAAGGCCGAAGUUGCAUCAAUAUUCAAAAAGUUUGCAAAGAAUUCACAAAAUCAAUUUGAUGUCAAAAUCAAGAAGAUUAGAAGUGAUAAUGGCAAAGAGUUUGACAACACCAACAUUGAAGAAUAUUGUGAUGAAGUUGGAAUCAAACAUGAGUUCUCCUCAACAUACACACCACAACAAAAUGGGGUUGUAGAAAGAAAGAACCGGACAUUGAUCACCUUGGCAAGAUCAAUGCUAGAUGAGUACAACACUUCGGAGAAGAUGUGGGCCGAGGCAAUCAACACCGCAUGCUAUGCAUCAAACCGACUCUUUCCUCACAAGUUUCUAGUGAAGACACCAUAUGAGUUGCUCAAUUGGAAGAAGCCUGAUGUCUCAUUCUUUAGAGUGUUUGGGUGCAAAUGCUACAUCUACAAGAAGCGCCAACACUUAGAAAAGUUCCAAAGAAGAUGUGACAUUGGCUACUUAGUUGGCUAUUCAUCAAAGUCCAAGGCAUAUAGGGUCUUUUACCAUGCUACAAACAUGGUUGAAGAAACAUUUGACGUAGAAUUUGAUGAAACUAAUGGCUCCCAAGGAGAAAGUGAUAAUCUUGAUGAUGUAGGUGGUGAACCAUUAAGGGAUGCCAUGAAGAACAUGCCGGUGGGGGACAUCAAGCCAAAAGAAGAUGAUGAUGUGCAAAUCAUUGAGCCACCAUCCACCACACAUGUACCACAAGAUGAAGACAAGGAUGUGAGAGAUGCUCAUGAAGACACCCAAGUCACUCAUGAGCAAGCGGUGGCACAAGCACAAGAUGUUGAUGCUCCCCAAGCAACCCCUCAAGUGGUGCCAAGAAGAUCAUCACAUCUCCUCCAAGAUCACUCUCAAGAUCUCAUCAUCGGGAGUCCAUCACGUGGUGUAACUACACGCUCUAAACAUGCUUUAUUUAUUGAACAUCACGCUUUUGUGUCUCUUGAAGAUGAACCAAAGACUAUAGAGGAAGCUCUUCGUGAUGCGGAUUGGAUCAUUGCCAUGCAAGAGGAGUUGAUCAACUUCUCUCACAACCAAGUGUGGACACUUGAAGAGCGACCCAAAGAUGCAAGAGGGAUUGGAACAAAAUGGGUCUUCCGAAACAAGAAAGAUGAUCAAGGCAAGGUGGUGCGCAACAAGGCAAGGCUCGUGGCAAAAGGCUUUUCACAAGUGGAAGGUCUUGACUUCGGUGAAACCUUUCCACUGGUAGCAAGACUUGAAGCAAUCCAUAUCCUACUUGCAUAUGCAUCUAGUCAUGAUAUCAAGUUGUUUCAAAUGGAUGUGAAAAGUGCUUUUUUAAAUGGUUAUAUUAAUGAGCUUGUCUAUGUUGAGCAACCCCCUGGUUUUGAAGACCCUAGGUACCCCAAGCAUGUUUACCGGUUGUCUAAGGCUCUCUAUGGUCUCAAGCAAGCUCCUAGAGCUUGGUAUGAGAGGCUUAGGGACUUCCUCAUUGAGAAGGGCUUCAAUAUUGGAAAAGUUGACACAACACUCUUCACCAAGAAGAUGAAUGGGGAAAUCUUCAUUUGCGAAGUUUAUGUUGAUGAUAUUAUUUUUGGCUCCACUAAUGAAGAUUUUCCAAGGAAUUUGGUGAUUUGAUGUCCAAGGAGUUUGAGAUGUCCAUGAUUGGCGAGCUAUCCUUCUUCCUAGGAUUUCAAGUCAAGCAAAUGAAGGAAGGGGUCUUCAUCUCUCAAGAGAAGUACACACAAGAUCUUCACAAGAGGUUCAAGAUGAUGGAUUGCAAGACAAUCAAGACUCCCAUGGCAUCAAAUGGGCAUCUCGACUUGGAUGAGGGAGGUAACCCAAUUGACAAGACUCUCUAUCGUUCCAUGAUAGGAAGUCUACUCUACCUCACCGCAUCUAGGCCCGAUAUCAUGUUUAGUGUGUGUAUGUGUGCUAGAUAUCAAGCAAUGCCUAUGGAAUCUCACUUGAUUGCCGUCAAGAGAAUUCUUAGGUUUCUAAAAUACACACCUUGCCUAGGCUUGUGGUAUCCCAAAGGUGCAAGAUUCCAACUUGUAGGCUAUUCCGAUUCGAAUUAUGCCGCGUGCCGCAUUGAUAGAAAAAGCACAUCUGGAGGGUGCCACUUCCUAGGUAGAUCACUUGUCUCUUGGAUGUCAAAGAAACAAAAUAGUGUUGCUUUGUCAACGGCCGAGGCGGAAUACAUUGCCGCCGGUGCUUGUUGUGCACAAAUACUUUACAUGAAACAAACUUUGCUAGACUAUGAAGUAGUACUAGACAAAGUACCUUUGUUAUGUGACAAUGAAAGUGCCAUAAAACUUGCAAACAACCCGGUUCAACACACCCGCACAAAACACAUUGACAUCCGCCAUCACUUCCUUAGAGAUCAUGUUGCUAAAGGUGAUAUAUCUCUAGAGAAUGUGGGGACAGAAAAUCAAUUGGUGGAUAUCUUCACAAAACCCCUAGAUGAAGCUAGGUUUUGUAUAUUGAGAAAUAAACUCAAUGUGCUUGAUCUCUCUAACUUCACUAAAAAAUGAAGUUGUGUGUUGACCUUGUAAAUAGCUUUUGUUUUGCAUAUCAUGCAUACCAAAAAUAAAAAUACAAAAAUAAUUGUGAGUAGGGCUUGUCUAACAUGGCUAAGAUAACCCCCAUGUGUGUGUGAAAAAGCUUAACGUUGGAUCAAACUUGACAAGCAUUAGUUUACUUCUAAGUAUUGCAUUGCACCUCAUAUCAUAUGCAUGUUUGUUAGUUUACCAUUUAUUUUUGGUUAUGUUUUGAGCAUCCGCUGUGUUCGUCCAUAGAUAGGGGGAGCAUUCAAAGCUCAUUAUGAUUUAAACCCCUAGCUUUAUGGCCACAUGAUGCUCCUUGGUGCUUUCACUUGACUAUUUUCAUAAAAACUACUAUGCCUAAGGCUAAAUAUUUGUGAAAAUUUGAGGGUUUGAGAGAGAUCAUUCAUACUAGUUCCAAUUUGUGCUUUUUUUGUCUUCUUAAAGUUGGAACUUGGUUGGGUGAAAGUUGGGCAAAGUUCUCUGUUGAAAAACAGACCAGGAGUGCACCGGACGAUGCAAAGGACGCUCAUGCGGUGCGUACGAUGUGGUGAGUCUGCUAGACAGCACUCACCGGAUGCUGGAACAGUGUCUCCAUAGCGUCCGGUGAGGUGCGUCCGGUGGUCUGUCAGGCGUGCUCUAAGGCACCGGACGCUAAGUCCAUCGUCCGGUGGUUGGUCGAACUGAAACACUCUCUGUGUUUUAGUCCGGUGGUCACCGGACGCGUUCGGUGCAACUUUAAGACCGUCCGGUGACCCUGUGGCGGGCGCAUAUAACCCGAGGGCGAGCCAUUUCGGUCGGCAGUGUUUCUUUCCCUCCCGAUCUCGCCCCAUGGCACCGAGCCUGUGCCCUAACCCGGUGAAAUCGCCGCCACCGUCGAGAUCUUCGCAUCCCCUCCGGUGGUUUCUCUUCCCCGCGCCAAGAUCUGCUCCAGGACUUCCCCUCCUCUCUCCUGUGUGCGCAGGUGUUCAAUCUCGCGCAGUUUUAGGGUUUGAGGGUGAGUUCCCUAUCUUGCGCCCUCAAGGUGUUUGAUUACAUGUCUAAACGAAUUUGGAUGUUGUUUUGACAAUAUUCUCGUUUGUUUACCCUUCAUAGCACCUUGAGGAGUUGAUUCGCGUUCUCCGGCGGAUUCCGAUCGUAUCUCUCCAUCCAGAACGCGUCUCGCCAUCGGAUCGUAAGCUAUUCGUGCCCGUUCCUCAUCUUGUCUUGCGAUCUAUAGGUUUCUCUCAUCUCUAGCUAUUAUGUUAUGCUUAUGUAUACUCUACCUAUUCUAUCUCUUGCAGCACGUGGUCUCAGUUGACAGAGUCAGUUGAACUCGGGGCCAAGCCCGCGAGUACGGAUUGAGGCCAAGCCUCUAGAGUGUCAGUUUGUCAGCUUUCGGCAGUUUCUCUAUUUAGGUUCUUGCAAUGGCACGUUGCAAGAACGUCAGUGGUCCGACAGCUGCUGGUGGUGGCUCUCUAGGAGGUGAUGGUGGAGGUGAUCCUCCCCGUCGCCUGUCCACUACAGAGAAGGGCAAAGGCAAGAAGCUGGCCACCAAGAAGUGGAAGGCUAGUGAUAGAGAGGCCGAGGUGACCGAGGCAGUAGCAGCAGUAGCUGAGGCAGCAGAGAGGGGUGGUCGCUCAGGUGCACUGAGGAUCGGGGUCAAUCUCACGCCAUCUCAGAGGCGUGCAGUUCUUCAGGUUGAGGCACGACAUGGGACUCCACCUGGCACCAUCAUGCUAGGGGAACAGUGUGUUCGGAUUGAUGUGACUGAGUGAGCCUAGGAGGAGCCAGAGGCAGAGGCAGAGUCCCAGGCAGAGGGUCCGACACAGGUUCAGCAGGAGGAGCAGCCCCUCAGGAGGUCGACUCGCACUCGUAUCCAGGUUGCCUCUAGGACUGGUACGCAGGGUCAGUCCACCUCUUCUGCUCGCUCCACCCCAGCACGUGCCACUCCAGCUCCUCGUGCAGUUCUAGCCAGAGUUCAUAAGGAUUAUACCUAGGCUCCCACUUGAGAGAUCUAGGACUUGAGGUUUGCAUCGUUCCCCACCUAGUUUCCAGCAGCCCGGGAUCAGAGGGCUCACGCCAAAUUCUAUACAGUGGUCCAGGAGGAUAUGUACCAGGCUUUUCUUCACUUUGAGACUCAGUUCAGGGAGCACAGGGUGCUAGAUCUUGAGGUAUUGGGGAACGUGGUAGGUGCUGACAUCAGGCAAUACUUCACCUAUCUGACUGGUUUCCCAGACUUGCUUGGUCUACCAGGUACCUAUGUUGAGGAGUGGGUACGAGAGAUCUAUGCCUCAGUGUGGGUUGCUCCAGAUCACAGCUAUAUCCACUACGCACUGGCAGACACAGACUAUAGGGUGACAGCUCAGAGGGCCAGAGAGGUGUUGGGAUUGACAGCUUCUGCCACCAGGAUCCAUCAGCUAUGCUAUGGGGACUUGAGCCCCCUCGACUACCACACGGUGGUGCUCUUCCACCGGUUGACUUCAUGGCUCCUUGCUUCCGUUAGCCGUUUGGUGAGGGCUCCAGCAAGACAGUGGGCGAUCUCACAUGCCCAGCUAGGAUUCUGAAUUUCGUCAUAAGGAAGACACUUCUCCCCAGGCCAGGCUAUAGAGAUGGGUUCACUAGGAUUCAGCAGUGGCUCAUAGCUCACCUGAUUGCUCACAGGCCAUUUGACUUGUGGGAUUUGAUUGUGUCAGAGAUAGAGGACACUAUCGGAGAGGGCUUCAGGGGUCGUCGUCAGUUGUUGUACGCACAUUGGAUUACCUUGCUUAUUCUCCGUGCUAGGCCUAAGCCCCUCCUAGCUCACCUUUAGAGAGAGCUGACAGAUGCAGACACAGUGUUACCGCACUACGACGCUCGACAGAUGCUGAGAGCGCACCAUGACCUCCGAGCUCCACCACCUCCUCCAGCUCCACGUGGCCAGGUGCCACCACCUUCACCGAGUGCUACCCGCAGUUCAGGGGCAGUUCCAGAGACAAAGGAGGAGCAGGACAUAGCUAUUGGGGCAGUAGCAGACGCUGAGGCCGAGAAGGAGCUUGAUUUUGCUUCAGACAGCUCAGACGAUGAUUAUCGUCUGCCUAUUCCAGAUCUCCCUCCGAGGCAGCACGACCACAAGGCAGGUGGCUCUUCCAGUGCCACAGACCCAGCUCUGCUAGCUAUUCUUGAGGGGAUGAGGGCAGAUCAGUGUAGAGCAGCUGAGGAGCAGGCUAGGAGGGAUAGGGACCAGGCUGCCAUCAAUGCAGCCAUGCAAGCCAGGCAGGAUGAGCUUCAGAGAUAGCUCCUGACCUUCUAGGAGCAGUAGCUAGCUUCCCAGCCACAGCAGACUGCCAUGAUGGCCGCACUUAUGGCCGCUUUAGGGAUUCAGCUACCGCAGAUUCAGCUUCCAGGCACCUUGUCAGUCAGGACUCCGACUCUAGUGUCUCAGCCGAGCCAGUUUAGAGUCAGUCUCAGCCAUCGCUCUAGCUACCUGCUCAGAGUCAGUCGUUCUCAACUCCUCAACACUAGGUCUCUCAGGGUGCUAUCUCUUCUGGCUUUGAGCAGGUGCCCCAGUUUACCCCGCUACGCUCUGGAUUCACUCCUCAGUCAGCUAUAGCGUCACAGCUUGUGUUGGAUUCGUCAGUAGGACAGCACAUCAGCUUUUCAUAUAGUGCUCUGACUAGUGACCCUACACCUUCACCACUGCAGGCUCCUAUAGCUUUUACACUCCCAGUCACCACUACUGAGCGUCUGUCGUUGUCAGUGACCUUGUCCGAGCAGCUUGCACCGUCCUCUACAGUGCGAGAGACAUUAGCCACAGCUACAGAGUCCGUGCCAGCUUCUUCAGCAGGACUUGAGCUGCCAGCGCAGCCAGUGACAGCUACAGAGCCCACAGAGCAGACCCAGACCGCUUCUCUACCUCCAGCAGUUUCUGAGGGUCACUCCACCUCCUCCGAGUCGACGGUCGAUGGAUCGGAUGAUGCAGCUCAGUUUCAGGCCGUGCCCGCCUCCACCUCCUUCGUCUUAGGUUUUUGGCGCUUGAUGCCAAAGGGGGAGAGAGUUGAGAGUAUGAUAGAGUUAGGGGAGCUAGCUAGUGAGUGAGUGGGAUUUUGAUGUGUUUGAUUAUUUUGUGUGCUUCUCCAUGCAUCAUGUUUACUUUUAUGCAUUUGUGUGAGAUACUUUGUGAGUUUUUUUUUCGAAAAACGCAGGAGAUCUGCAUCUCUUUGUAUUAAGAAGAAAAAGGGGUAUAAGAACCCAGAACUUACAAGACACCACCACACCACACACUCACACUACACAAGCCAAAACAGCCAAGACACAGACGCAUCUAAGCUGGCAGCAAGGUGACCCACAUCGACCUCAGGAAUUAAUCACCUGGGAGAUGGGCAGUCAAGAGGGAAAGCCCACGAGCCCCUGCAGUGCUCCACAUCCGGCGCUCCUCACCAGCCACUACUAAAGCCCCAGCCACACUUGGAGCUGAUCCAUCAAAAAUGCAGCGAUUGCGAUGAUUCCAAAGAGUCCAGGCACCCAGAAUAAUUAGGGAGUUCACCCCUUGCCUCACCAAAUUAGUUGUAGCAUUAUCGGUUCUCUCCCACCAGUCCAGGAAGGAGUUAUCGGUAGGUUGGGGAGAUAGGAUCUGGAGACCGACCUGCCUAAGCAUAAAAAACCAAAACUCCCUAGCGAAGACACAUUCCACCAGGAGAUGGUUGAUUGAUUCUUCUGCUUGAUCACAAAACGGGCAGCGAUCUGGGUGUGGCAAGCCACGACGUGCAAGACGGUCGGACGUCCAACACUUAUUGUGGGACACUAACCACAUGAAAAAACGACAUUUUGGUGGCGCCCAUGUCUUCCAAAUUCUUUCCCAUGGCCCAAAGAGAGUACCUCCAAGGAAGAACCCCUCAUAAGCCGCCUUAGCUGAAUAUUUGCCAUUAGAUGAAAGCCUCCAGAUAUGAUUAUCCUCUCUUUCUGGUUGUAGAUCAAUGCCUGAAAGGAUGUCCCACAACUGAAACACAUCAAGUAACACUCCAACAGUUAUAGCUCCUUGUAUAUCUGCAAUCCAAGCCCGGUUAUUAAGCGCUUCCUUGACUGUACGCUUUUUGAUCCUUCUUUUAGAGAUGACGGCAAAUAGUUGAGGGGCCAGCUCUGCUAUACACUGUCCAUGCAGCCACCUGUCAGCCCAAAAAGGGGUAUGUUCACCAUCACCUACUUCAGUAACAACAGCCAUUGCAAAGAAGGACUUCACCUGAUUAGGGACUUCGAUUGGGAGAUGCGCCCAGGGGCGGUUUGGUUCUGUUUUCUGCAGCCAUAGCCACCUCAUUCUCAAUGCCCAACUAAGGGUUUUUAAAUCUGAAAUUCCUAGCCUGCCCAGUUCAGUUGGGCGGCAAACUUUUGGCCAUGCUACAAGACAAUGUCCACCUCGCGCUUCCUUUCGACCACGCCAAAGAAAAGCACGCCUUAUUUUGUCAAUUGCUUUAAUAGCCCAAGCUGGAAGAUCAGAUGCCAUGACAAUGUAUAUAAGCAUACCAGUGAGCACAAAUUGAACCUGAAUUCUUCUUCCUGCCCUUGUCAUCAACUCUGCCUUCCAACCUGGCAGUUGAUCAGCAAUGCGGUCAAUAAUGGGUUGCACUUGAUUCUUAGUUAACUUUUUCAACGACAGAGGCAAACCUAAUUAUCUGCAUGGGAACUCAGAAAGGGAACAGGGCAGCAGGUUUUGAGUGAUUGUCAGAUCCGAGUCAUCACAACUAAUUGGCAGCACACUGCUCUUUUGAAGGUUUGUAUUAAGACCUGAGGCUUCACCAAAGAUUUUAAGGAUAUCCAUUGUCACAGAAAUGUCACUAGCCACUGGACGAAGGAAAAGCACCACAUCAUCCGCGUACAGAGAGAUUCGAUGUUGCAUAUUUCUUGUUGAGAGGGGCUGCAAAAGGCCCUCUCUUGCUGCACGGGAAAACAGGUGCCCCAAUACAUCCAUGACUAAGAUGAAUAGCAUGGGAGAGAGGGGGUCACCUUGUCUCAGCCCUCGCCGAUGGGAAAUAUAUUCUCCAGGGACCCCAUUCAAUAGAACUUGUGUGGUCGAGGAAGAUAGCAGCCCACUAAUAAUAUCUCUCCAGAUUUGUCCAAAACCCAAGUGUUGCAAGACCUCUAAGAGGAAGGGCCAUGAAACUGAAUCAAAUGCCUUGGAAAUGUCCAAUUUGAGGAGAAGACGGGGCUGUUUUUGUUGGUGAAGAAAUCUAGCUGUUUGUUGCACCAACAUAAAAUUAUCUUGUAUGAAACGUCCUUUAAUGAACGCACUUUGAUUUGGUGAAACCAUUUGCUGGAGAUGUGCAGCAAGCCGAUUAGCCAAUAGCUUAGUGAUUAGUUUAGCAAAGCUGUGGACCAAGCUGAUGGGCCUAAAAUCCUUGGGCUGAUCUGCACCAGCCUUCUUGGGAAUCAAGGUGAUGUAAGCUGAAUUGAGAGAGCUAAGAUUCAUAAACUUCCUGCUCCAGAGCGCUGAGACUGCCGCCAUGAUGUCCUCCUUUAUGAUUGGCCAACAGGAUUUGAAAAAACGGCCCGUAAAGCCAUCCGGCCCGGGAGCUUUAUCUGGUGGCAGCUGCAUAAUUGUCUUCCGCACUUCUUCCUCACUAAAGGGAAGAUCCAGAUCAGCUAAGUCGUGUGAACUAAUCCCAACCUCAGCCAAAUUGACAGUAUACGGUCUAUCUGAGCAGCUUCCAAGCAAAGAUUCAUAGAACUUAUCAACGACUUCAGCUUUGUCUUGGUGGCUUGUGCAAAUGUGAUCCCCUGCAAUGAGAUGACUAAUAAAAUUUUUUCUCUUUCUAUGACGAGCCUGCAGAUGGAAUAGCUUGGUGUUGGCGUCCCCUUCCCGGAGCCACCCAAUACGUGACCGCAGCCUAUCAAUAGUUCUACUCAUGGAAGCAAGAGCAAGACUGUGUUUCUUCAGAUUGUUUUUCAGCCAUAAUUCUACAGGGGAUAGGGGACGAAUAUCUUGAGCUAUUUCAAACUGAUGUAAGAUUUCCCGCGCUAAGGCGAGCUGAAACUUCACAUUACCAACCGUUUUGCUGCUCCACCUCUGUAAUCCCUUAGCAGUUGCUUUAAAUUUCUGGCUUAGAGUUAAAUAGGGGCAUGACAUAGCAGGAACCGACGCCCAUGCAUCAGCCACCACCUCCUGAAAGCCAUCAAUCUUAGUCCAGAACGACUCAAAAUGAAAUCUGCGCUUUCCUACUUUAUUGUCCUGAAGUCCCAAUAGGAGUGGGCAAUGAUCAGAAUCCUCUGAAGCCAUACUAUGGAGCAAGCAAUUGGGGAAUUUAUCCUCCCAGUCUACAGAACAAAGAACCCUGUCUAACCUUACCAAAGUAGGAGAGUCUUGCUGAUUAGACCAAGUGUAUUUGCGACCAUGGAGGGGAAUUUCCUUGAGGGCCAAAUCAUUAAUGAAACGCCUAAAGCGGCCCAUCAUAGCCCUAUUAUAGUUGACAUUAUUCUUAUCCUCAUCUUUGUAAAUCAAAUUGAAAUCCCCUGCUAUCAUCCAAGGCCCCGGACAGGUUGCUCGGAUGUUGCGAAGCUCCUGUAGAAACUGAAUUUUAUCCUCUGUUCCUUGUGGUCCAUAGACACAGGUCAACCACCACGACUGUCCAUUAUCCGAGGUGAAUUGGAUGGACGUGCUGAAUCUGUCAACCCUCUGAACACCAGAUACUCCCACAUGACGUCUCCAAGCCACUAGAAUACCACCACUAGCCCCGGCUGAGGGCAAAACUGAAUAUCCUGUGAAAUCAGACCCGAGAGUAGAUAGAAUGACCCUUAGAGACAUGGCAGCAAUCUUGGUCUCCUGGACACAGACGAUAUCUGCACUGGAUGAAAUUACCAAAGAGCGCACUGCAUCUUGUCUAGCGAUAGAAUUUAGACCCCUCACAUUCCAAAUAAAAAUUCUUGAUGGAUCCAUUGAACACUUGAAAAGAAACGACCACAAAGCAGACCAAAAUCAGAAACAGACCUACGACACCAGCACAUCUCCAUCCCUGGACUCCAGAUCCUCAGGGAGAGACCAAUUAAAAAGUGUAGUCAGAGCCUGGAGAUGGGAAUCCGAGAGCGGCUGCCCAUACAGCUUGAAAUACUCUUCCUGGGCUUGUUGAGUUAUACCUUCAUGCUUGUCAAUGAUGUUGAGGGACUUCAUCGCCUUCUUCCUUGGUCUUCCCCCCAAGUCUGCAGGGUUCACUUCAGGCUCGACACCAGCUAGCCGACGACUACGACGGGGGCAGACCCUGGGUGGCACAGACUUGCUUCUAUGCCUACUGAUGGCAGGGAUAGGCAAUAAGCUUGAAGUGCGUUGAGUUAUCUUGCCAAGGAAUUUUGCCUGAGCAUCAGGAGAUGCAGCCCCCAAUACGGUCGCCGAACCCGCAGCCGUCGGAGGAGAGACCGUUGCAGCUGCCGGAGGGGGCACCGUCGCAGCCGCCGGGGGAAGCACCGUCGCGGCUUCCGGGGGUGGGCCUUCCGUGUCAACCUAAGUGGAGGCCAGAGGUUGAGCAGCUUCCGGAGGGGGCACCGUUGCAGCCGCCUGGGGAAGCACCGUCGCGGCUGCCGAGGGUGGGCCUUCCAUGUCAGCCUGAGUGGAGGCCAGAGGUUGAGUAGCUGCGGCCGCAAGUGGGACAGCAGCCGCCGCCGCAUUUUCUCCCAUGGGGAUCUUAGGAUGGUGGAAGCGGCGCCUAGAGUAAACUAGGAGAGGCUUCACUGAAGAUUGAGAGCGCAGCGGUGGGGUGACCAGGAGAGCAAAAUCGGGGAUCGGAGAGGAAGGUGGUAGAGUCCGAGGUGAGGCCGGCAAGUCCGUCGCCUCAUCAGGGAAGCUGCACAGAGUCGAACGCGGUGAGGCCAGCAAGCACUCAGUUGCCUCAACAGGAGUCCCAACACAAGAAGGCCCAACACCCUUCUGAGGCCCAAAUGUAGAAUCCAUAGGCCCAAGGGUGACCAGCCCAGGUGCACUAGAUCCCAACCAGGGGAGCCUUAAAUCAUCCUCAACUGCAAAUCGCAUAAGCGUAGGGGAGCCCACUGAAGGGGCCACUUCGUCCGACGAGAAAGCCGCCUGCUUGUUUGAAACCAAAAGGGCCCUUCAAACUGCUGGCAGACGUCGCAGUAAUGGGCGGCGCGGAACCGAGGAGUUCUUUCUCUGGGGAGCCUCGAUCAAUCCUCGUCCCCUGGAAAACCGCAGUCUGUUCCGGAGGAGCCUCGGACAAGGAGGUCGCCAUAAUGAAGCCACUUGAAGGAGCUGCCACGUGGGCAGCGCAAGACGAGGAAGGACCCACCUGCUCAAGGACAGGCCGAAGCCGAGCAUCACAACCACCAUGGUCCCGGUCUCGGCUCAUCGGAGGGGCAUUAGACGGCGACGAGGCACGACGAUGCCACCGCGAGGUCGAGCAGGAGAGUCAUCUCCGCCAUCAUCCCCAUCCCCAGCAGGGGGUGGUGGGGGUGGAGGAGCGCCAGGCCCAAGCAGGAUGGAACACUUGACACCAAUGGGGUAGGACAGUAAUCUCUUCACCGAGGGGGCCUCCAUGGAAGUGACCGGAGGUUCAGUGACCCAGAGCUCCUUAGUGGUUGGAAGAGCAGCAGGAUCAAUGCACCAAGCCGAACAUCUGAAGGUGGACAGGUCUCUCAGCGCGAUGGUCUCCAGGUGAACUUGUUGGAUGCAGGCUAGAGGAUUCAAGAACUGCUCCACAAUUGAGGUCUCCCAGACAUGUGCAGGUAUUCCCUGAAGCUCAAGAUCAACCAACCAUGGCAGGGACCGUCCCGAGGCUCCGGCCAACCGACUCCACCGCUUGCAUAGGAGGGUGAAUGCAGGCGAGCAGAUGGGAGGCAGUCGCUGAUCCAUCAGACGCUCGACGAGGCUAAUAUCCGGGAGAACGAGUAGAUAACUCGAGCUGGAAGCUUGACGAAGCACUAGGGAGCCAGCCUCGACAUUCAGACGAAUAGCAAGAACCUCCGCUACCUCCCUAGCCAGGGCCAAGGGCUCCGCACCACAGACAGUCACGAUCACGGCAUGUGCGAGGUCCUCUUCUGCUCUAGCCAUGCGAUCAUCCCAGCUGAUAAUGCAUGGGGGAGAUUGCACAGGCAAGAUAGGAGCUUCAGGGGGAGCCACCGACAUAGAAGCCGAAGGCGCAGGAUCAACAUUCGAAGAAGAGGCGGUAGGCUGACAGAAACGGGGUCGGCGUCGCUGUCGUCUCCGCCUUUCCCCGCCUUCCAUGGCCGCCUCUGGUCCCGGCGUCACAGCAGCGUCCCUAGAAAAACGCGCAGUUUGACCCAAAACCGCCCCAGCACCACUUCCAUCAAAGACCUCAUCCGCCGGAACACCGUUGCUGGGAUUGGCCCUGUCCGGGGACAGAACAGGGGAUUUGCGUCUCCAAACACGCAUGGCAGCUCCUGGGGCACGCGCAGCACCUGCGCAUCUGACUGGUUUAGCCACAGCGACCCCGGGCUCCUCACCCGCCGGAGAACCGUUGCAGGGAAAGGCGCCCGGCUGCGACAUGGCUGGCCCAAUCCGCUUCCAAAUCGAGGUGCGCUCCGGCACAGCCGACUUCAUGGGGCACACGUAGGAGAGGUGCCCCAGCGAACGGCAGCGGAAGCACCUUGUUUUCUGACGACACCGAUCAGCAGUAUGACCGGCAGACAAGCAGUUGAAGCACAUGCCCACCAAAUCAGCACGGACUUGACGACGAGGGGGGUGAGCCUCAUGCCGGCAUCGCCGCCGGACGCCACGCGACACGAACUUCACCCAACCCCCUGGACCAGGAAUCUUCGCACCCCGCCGCAAAGGAGGAGGAGGGCGAAUAAGGACGAUCUUGGGAGGCGGCGGCGUUGAGAUAACUUCCACUGCGGGAGGAACCUCCGUCACCGCAGCCGCCGAAGAGCUCGGGCGAGUAGAUGAGAUGACGACAUCGCGGAAGGACAGAGCAGAGCCGCCGGAGCAGUCCGAGCUCGGACUGUCGCCACCCCACCGCUCGAGCUUGGAACGACCGCGAGAACACAAGGGAGGGGAGGAAACCGUCGCCGAUGGGGAGAGAAUGGCCACCUGCGCGGCCGUGGAGAGGGUGGCCGCCGGGCUCGGGGUGAGCACCGGCGCGGGGGCAAAGGUAGGCGAGGCGACGGGAGAGGGAGAGACGCUUGGCAUAAUAUUUUUUCUUCUUCUACUUUGUGAGUUUCACUUGGUUGUGAGACAUGAGACAUGACUUUUGCUUAUCUAUGAUAUCUCUAUGCCAUGUGUUUGGCUCAUAUGUCUUUGCUUCUGUGUUUUUACUCCGAUGUACUAUGAGCCAUAUGUUAUUAUAUCCUGUUGUAUACAAUCUCACAUAUUUGGAUGCAGGAUGGUAGACUUGGUUGAUAUAAGCAUGCCAAAUUCCUUUGUGUUCUUACUGUCACAUGCUUAUAGAAAUCAAGUCAUUUGAAAACCUCAUUUCAUUCAUACUCGAGGUUAUUGUCAUCAAUCACCAAAAAUGGGGAGAUUGAAAGAGCAUCUAGGCCCUAAUGGAUUUUGGUGAUUAAUGACAAUAUUGAUUACUGUGACUAACGUGUGUUUUGCAGAGGCAAAGUCAUUAGUGUUAGGUCCUGGUAACAGGUACUCGAUGGAUAGGGACGUACAUGCCUACUUAAUAGUGGAAAUCGUUUUGGUUUUCAAAGGAUGGAUGGACAUCGUUAAGACUAGACUAGGUCUAAGUGCCAUAUAGUGAAGAAGGGCACUUAGAGUAGUUUAGGACUUUGUUUUUCCUUUGACCGUACUAUUAAGAGAGGCUUUGAUCUAGUAGCUUGACUUAGGCAAGGCUUUAGGUUUAGGUGUGGUGCACACUUGGUAAACCUAGCUCCAGGCAGCUUAGAGAUAGUCCUUAGAUCGAGAGGAACAAACUUCGUUUUGGAACGGUCGAGUUUCGACGAAGUUUGGGUGCCUAAGUAGGCACCGGACGCUCUGUGAGUGCAUCCGGUGAGGUCGUUAGCCGUUAGAGUGCCUGAGUGCCUAGGGUUAGGCACCGGACGCACCGGGUAGCGUCCGGUCCUAUACCCAGGGAGGUCCACAGUGUGACCAAGGUCACCGGACGCUAGCACCGGACUCGCCGGGUAGCGUCCGGUCCUAAACUCAGGGAGGGUGAAAAGUUCACCAUCGCACCGGACGGUAGCACCGGACGCUGGGAAGUAGCGUCCGGUGACAUGUCAGACAGAGUACAGUUAGCCGUUAUGAGGUCACCGGACGCUCGGUGCAGAGCGUCCGGUGUAACAUAACCAGCGUCCGGUGACCCGUUUUCAGUGUAAAACGGUUGGCCGACCCUUGGACUUCGUGGGGUGUAUUUAUACUCCUCCACCUCGUCCGUGGGAGGUCUCUUGCCCAUUUGAACAGUUGAGAAACACUUUGUAGAGCAAGAGAGAAGCAAGAGCCUAGAGAGGAUUGAGAUUUGAGAGAUUUCUUGUGAGAAUCCUUCUCUAGUUGAAUUCCAAGAGUCAAGUGUGCAUCCACCACUCUCUAGUGCCUUAAUUGGAUCAAGUGAGAGUCCUUUUCUUGUUACUCUUGGUGAUCGCCAUCACCUAGACGGUUCGGUAGUGAUUGGAGGCACGAAGACCGCCCGGAGUUCUUGUGGGUGGCUCGUGUCAAGCUUGUGAGCGGUUUUGGGCGAUUCACCGCGACGGAGUGUCGAAGAAUCAGCCCAUAGAGAGCACUUGGUCCUUGCGCGGACCAAGGGGGAGCAAGACCCUUGCGCGGGUGCUCCAACGAGGACUAGUGGAGAGUGGCGACUCUCCGAUACCUCGGCAAAACAUCGCCGAGCACUUUCUUCCACUACUCCUUUACUUUCUAGCAUUUACUUUGUGCAAUUACUUUGUGUCUUUACAUUCCUAGAAUUGCCUUGCUAGAAUAGGAUUGGAACUAGGUUGCAAAACUCUUUAUCCGGUAGCUCUCUAAUCACACUAGGCACAAGGGGUGAAAUUGGAGCUUAUAGGUUGCUUAAAUUUUUAGAGAAGCCCUAUUCACCCCCCUCUUGGGCAUCUUGAUCCUUUCAGGAUUCACGUUGGACCAAGCCCUGUAUAAAAAAGGAAACACGAGAGGAAAGCGGACAACAACUAUUAUGAGAACCCAAACAAUACUAAGAUUCCUCCUCCUACCACUUGCAUGUUCUUCCCUGUUCCUUUCUUCUUCCGCAAUCAUAUCCAAUUCUACCCAAUUCCUUCCCCUCCGAUCUCUAAUGCUAACAUUCGAUACUCAAAGCCAAUUCGUCUAGAUCGCGAUUCCUUUCGUUCCUCUCGAUUCACAAAUAGCCCUAGUUUGAGCACUCUCGGCGACGAACAUCGAUUGUUGGACGAUGCUAAGAGCCUAUAAUUCCCUGGUCCCGUGAUCGAUGGAGUAAGUCGCGAUCAGGAUUCCCCACCACCGCCACUACUGCCCAAAGCGCGAUCUGGAUUCCCCACCACCACCAUUACUGCCCAAAGCUCUGAUCUGCCAACACCCGCGGAGCCAAGCAGAACAAUACCAUGAAUCCCGACACACAACUUUUAUUGAAGGAGAUCUAGAAGCUCUCCAUCGAGCAGGCCACCAUCCAGAAGUAGCUCUCCGACCAGAAGGACCUCAAGUGCCGAUUCAUUGAGGUUGAUGAAUCCCUAGAUAAGAGCUUCGGAUCAUCGACUCCGAGCUCCGCUAGGAUGCGUGCCCCAUCAUAAUCGAGAACGCCACCUCCAACUUCACCUCAUGGCGCCAAGAGCAUGAGGGCAUCAUCGACGACCUCCACCUUCGCAUCGGCAAGCUAGACAAGUACUGGAACCGAUUGGUGUUCGUGACCACCGCUGCUCACAUCAAGCCGACCACACCGGUCAAGUUGGAGCAGUAUGCCGCACCUUCAUCUACAAGCUAUAUGGCUGCUAGGCCCAACGGGCACCGUGACAAACAUCACCAUGGGAGAAUGAGUUUGGGCUUGUCACAACCUAUACUCAUUCCGGUCACAGAUAUGGACAGCCCCCCUGAAAAUCUUCCUAAGAUUCAUGGUACUGCAUAUGAUUUAGUGUUGUCGCGCAAUCGCCCUCCUGAACCCCACCAUAACCCCACAAGCUCCCCAAAAUGACCCGAUUUGAAAUUUUAGAUUUCUUGUGCUGAGGAUUAUUUCAAGAUGUACUCCAUUGAUCCUUCUGUUUGAAUCAGUGCUCCCGCAUGCAGUUCCUUGGCCUAACCUUCGCUAGAUUCAAUCAGUGACUAACCAACUCAAAACCAUGAAAUGGUCAGAGUUUUGUCAGGCUUUGCAUUCCCAUUUUGAUCACGAUCAGCAUGAGUUCCUCCUUCGCAAAAUGAACCACAUCCGCCAAAGCACUUUUGUUCAAGACUGCUGAUCGUUUCUCUAAAGUAGUUGACUAACUCAAAGCCUAUGAUUCUUCAACCAAUGCCUUGCAUUACAUCACUGGCUUCUUAGAUGGCCUACAUUCAGAAAUACGUGCUGUCAUUUAUGUUCAACGCCCCGAUUCCCUAGAUACUGCGUACACUCCGGCAUUGUUGCAGAAAAAAGCAGCGAAGUCAUCUAGGUGACGCGAUUCCAGGCCAUGGAAUCCAACGGGAGGCUAUCAGCAUGGCGAGCGCCCACAAGCUGCUAAUUCUGACAAGCCUAUAAUGAACCCGAAGCCCAUUGAUAAGAAGCUAGCAAAUCUCAAGGCAUACCGUCGCGCACGGGGUCUGUGCAAUCACUGUGGCGAGAAGUGGAGCUGUGAUAAAAAAAAAAUGUGUAGCCCAGGUCGGUCUCCAUGUGUUGGAUGAGCUAUACGCAUUGUUUUCAACUGAUUAACUAUAGAUGGUCCGACUACGGCAGGGGAGGAUGAACCAGAGACCGAGGAACAAUGCUUCUAUUUGUUUGCUGAUAGUACAAUUGUCUUAGGUGUUAAAACACUUCAGUUUCAGGGAGAAUGUCACAAACUUCCUAUUCUAAUCAUGCUAGACUCGAGCAGCUCCUCAUCUUUUAUCAGUACAGAGUUGGUUUCUCAGCUUUCUUUGGUGACAGAUUCAUGUCAGAAUGUGUCAGUUCAAGUAGCAAAUGAUGACAUUAUGCAUUGGUCAGCCUUCCUAUCUGGGGCAGUUUGGUCCAUCCACCACUUAUCAGUUUCAACAUGACUUAAAGGUGUUGCCUCUUACUUCGUAUGACAUCAUUCUGGGAAUGAAUUGGCUGUAGUUGUUUAGCCCUAUGAAGGUUGAUUGACACUAACGAUGGUUGGCCAUUCCCUACAAGGGAACCACAGUUCGGCUUCAAGGCAUUUCAGACACGGGUGCUGAAAAGUCUAUAGAACUCCUUGCACAAUUAUUCAGUGUGGCUAUUCUAGCAGAGAACUAGGAAACUGAUCUACCUCGGACUAUCAGCAAACUCUUAACUGAAUUUCCAGAAGUGUUAUCUCCUCCAAACUCUAUGCCACCUCAGCGUGACUGCGGCCAUGAGAUUCCUUUGGUGGAUGGCGCUCGGCCUGUCAUGUAAGGCCCUAUCGCUACCCACUUGCCCUCAAGGAUGAAAGUGGAUGCUGUGCUGCAACAUGGGAUUAUACAGCCAAGCACAUCCCCCUUCGACUCACCGGUGUUGUUGGUAUACAAGAAAAACGGCACAUGGCGCUUUUGCGUUGACUAUCGGUACCUCAAUGCUUUCACUGUGGAAAUAGCUUUCCCUAUAUUAUAUUAGUGUUCUAGUAGCUCAUUUUUUUUAGAUAAGGGAUAAAACAAUAUCCGGCCUCUGCAUUCAAGGUUGUACAUAACCAAUUAUUACAAAGUUUGGGAUUAGAAAGGAGUAAAAGCAAACCAUGGUCUAAAACAUUGACCAAGACUCUAAAGUAAACAGAAAUCUCUAAAGCAAUAGUCUCUAAUCUCUAAUCUCUUGCUUAUCGAAGAUAGGAUGUCUUUGGUUUGCUUAUCACGCUGCAGUGGGGCCCAAAAGCGGAGCCAAUACGCUUCCCUGAAAAUAACUUGCAUAAAAGAGUUAGUUUUGAGAUUGUUAAAAAUAGCAUCAUUCCGGCAGCGCCAGAUGGCCCAGCACAUGGCAGCAAACCCAACCCAGAUCACAUCUCUAAGCUUCUUAUUCCGAUUACGAAGCCAUGUACCAAACAUGUGGUUAAUAGAUCUAGGUGGAGUUAAACUAGUAGCAAAGAAAAUAAUCCUCCAAAUCAUCUUGGUGAAGGGGCAAUCAAUGAAUAAGUGUUGGAUAGUCUCAUUCUUAUUACACUAGACACAUUUCUAGCUCCCUUUCCAGUGAUGUUGUCUUUGGUUAGAACAACACCCCUUUGUAGGAACCAAAGAAAGAUUUUGAUCUUUAGAGGAAUUUUCAUUUUCUAGAGUUUCCCGUGGACAAAAGGUGGUUUUGUAUCAAUGAGAUGUAGAUACAGUGAGCGGACAGAAAAUAACCCGGAUUUGGUUAAGUUCCAUCUAAAAUAGUCUGAACCCACCACCAAACGAACACUAGAAAUCUUUGCUACUAAAUUAAGUCAUUCUAAAAGUUUAUCUCCCACCUGUGCCCUGCGAAAGGAGAUGUUGAGGGGACUAGUGGUCAUCACUUUGGACACAGUUGCGUGGCGAUCACGUACAAUAUUAAAAAGGAAAGAGUAUUUUACUUUUAGCGGCUUAUCUCCCACCCAUGUGUCUUUCAGAACCUCGUCUUGGUUCCAUCUUUAACAUCAAAGGAACCUUUAGCCAGCACUUCAUCUUUAAUACGCAUGAGGCCUCUUUAGAAAUGCGAAUCAUUUGGUUUGGCUUUGACUUGGGUAAGGGUUUUCGAUCAUAGGUAUUUAUUUGUCAAGGUUCGAGUAGCUCAUGGAUGAACUUCAUGGACCAUGGUAUUUUUGGACCAUGAUAUUUUUGCACAUUGGACCUGCUAUCAGGCUACCAUCAUAUUAGACUACACGAAGGGGAAGAACAUAAAACAACUUUCUCCACUCAUGUCAGUCACUACGAGUUUCAUGUGGUGGCUUUUGGUAUGUCUGGAGCUCUAGGAACAUUUCAGGGGGCCAUGAAUACCGCACUAAAACCUCUCCUCCACCGAUGUGCCAUAGUAUUCUUUGAUGACAUACUGGUGUACCGCUAGAUGACGGAAGAACAUGUUGAUCAUCUUCUUAGGUCCUUGCCUUGUUGGCCAAAGACCAGUGGCACUGCCAAGACACAGAUCUCCUACCUUGGGCAUAUCAUCAGUGCCACUGGAGUAGCUACUGACCUAGCAAAAAUCAAGCAGUUGUUUCCUGGCCAACACCAACUACUGUCAAGGAGUUGUGCAGUUUCUUGGACUUCACCGGUUUGUGAAGCACUAUGCUGUUAUCGCGAAGCUACUCACUUCCAUUAUUAAAUAAGCAUUCUCUAUUCCGUUGGACGUCUGACCAUGACACUGCCUUCCAAGCUCUAAAGACCAAAUUGUACUCAACUCCUAUUCUGGCAGUUCCAGAUUUCUCUCGGUAGUUUUCUACUGAGACUAAUGCUUCUCACAUGGGUCUCGGUGCUGUGCUCCUACAGGAUGGGAACCGAUUGGCAUUUCUUAGUCGAGCUCUUAGCCCCAAGAACCAAGGUCUUUUAGCUUAUGAGAAGGAAUACAUGGCCAAACUAAUUGCUGUCAAACAGUGGUGAUCCUAUUUAAAGUUGGAUUAGUUCAUCAUCUUUACUAACUAGGAGAGCCUCAUCCAUUUAUUGGAUUAGCGCUUACACACAGCCUGGCAACAGAAAGGUUUCACCAAGUUGUUGGGCCUCCAAUACGCAUCUUCUAUAAGGCCGGGACUGAAAACCGCGUAGCUGGAAGAGGGACAAAGACAAAAUUCAAAGCAGACUGUAGGAGUCCGCUAGUGCUUCCGCGCUCGCUGGCGGCCAUCUGCGUCUCCAAGAUGCGCGAGAUGGCGCCGCCGCCGCCACAAGAUGCUCAGCCCAACAAGACCUCUGUGAUGGAGCCAGCAACUCUCUGUGGCGGGUGAUGGCUCCGGAUGCUGAGCCGGUCGGUGGUGGUUGCAGUCCUUCUUCCUGUCUGCUUUUCAGCUUCUUAGUCAACCUUGCUAUGCUCCGGUCAUCUCCCUGCUGUGCUUUGGCAAUCUCUCGCAGUGGUGAUUGGCCGCCCUUGGUGGGUCUGCGGCUACCCCUGGUGGACUGCCCUCAAGGUGUUCAAUUGUUGGCCGCUACUGCUCGCCUAAGGACAUUUUUGGUGCUCUUGCCUCCCCGUCGUUGCUCUGGGGAGGCUCCCCUUCGGCAAGGUCGCCUCUGAUGGCUUGGCAAUCUCCGGGCGCUCUCAUCGAACUCGAGCAGGACCCUGCUCUUGCAGAGUUGGUCAGCGGGUGGGACUUCUCCGUGGGUAAGCGCUUUGAAGCUGAGGUCGUACACAAAUUUUCCUCCUCGGUACAUCACCCUUCUUCCUUGUUGGAUGGCUCUUUCUUCCUCCUCGUGGUCUUCACAAAUCACAAGGUUCCUUUUUCGUCUCACUGAAGAUUCAGAAGGCUUUGCACUGCUGUCUGGGAGGCGCUCCAGCUGGUUUUCAUGUCACUUACCAAAGUGACCGGCACUUCCUUUUUUCUAUUGCUUCCAAGCAUGUUGGUUUCCUAAUUGGAUCUCUCAGAAGAAUCACGGACUACUCAUUUUGAUGUCUAUUUGCACUUGUGGCGAGACGGAGGCGAUAAUUGGGAACUGAAGAAACAUUGGGACAAAGAAGAGAAAGCUAGUUGGACAAGGGUGCUUAGUCCAAAAAAUAAGCACAAUUUAACUUCAAAGAAUGUUUCUUUUUGCAGUAAGCUCAUCCAAGAUUCUCCAGCUCGUACAUCUCAUCCUACUGAGAUUGGCCCGGUCAUCAAGAUUGGCAAGUUCUUCUGUCCUAUCGCUAUUUCUUCCGGCGGUGAUUCAGUUUUCUCCACAGCUAACUCUGAUCUUGGAAGGGGUUCUGAGCACAUGCCACAACUCAAAAUGCCUGCAGCGUCUUUUUCUUCUAGUGUUCCUGGUGUCAACAAUGUUGAUGGUGAGCUUUAUGUCCAUACUAUUCAAAAUGCUCAUGCUCAUGUUGGUACUAGCAAGAGUGAUAGCGCCUCAACACCAAGUACAAAGGGCUCUUUGAAUCAAGCCAUUUUUCAAAAUCUCAAAAGAGAUCUUCACAUCAGCAGCCCUCCUAAUCGAGCUGCUAGCAUUUAUCAGGCCAGCAAUAUUGAGCAGGCCGCCAACUUUCAGCCAGCUGAAAUGAUUAAUGACACAUCUCAUCGCCAAGGUGAAUGUUUUAGUUUCUUCUCUAAUUCUUCAACUCGCCUUUGCUUCAAACUAGUAGGAAUGGCGCGCCCCUGCGCGCCGAUUGGGAAUCAAAAUGGUAAGAUUUAUUCAUGUACGAUGCACAUGUCAUACACGUAGUUAUUUACAUAGAUAUCUUCACUCAUAUAUAUAUUUAUAAAAUGAUGAAGAUUAGCAGACAUAUAUAUAUGGUGUAAUAGCAUAUAUAUAUAUGUUGAUGCAAAACUGAUCUGCAAACACAAAGGGCUAAUACCCGAUUCAAACGUUAAGGCGUGCCAGCCGAUUUGACCUUACUAUCGGCAAAGGUGAUAACUCGAAUACUUUAGUCCUGACAACAGCGAUGCGCCCGGAUGUCACGGCUAAGAGGUACUCACGCGGAACUCGAGAACACGCCGAGCUUAAGUCGACGAAUUCCUAAGAACUCGUAAUAAAAAGAAAAAAGUAUGACGAAGUCGUCGAAAAGUAGAUGCUGGAAUAUGAGUAAAAACGUGUGUUUGAUUGAUUUCUUGAUUUUUUAUUACAAGGCCCUAGGGUUUAUAUUUAUACCCUGCUCAAAGAGCUACAACCAGACACGAUUAGAAUUCGAAUUCCAAAUUACACGGAAUCCGUAUACAAAACGAUGCAAAUAAUUAAGGAAAUAACAAAACUAUCCUUCGUGACAAACCGAAACUCCUCCACAUGACAACUAGCAGCUUCCGGACUCCUCCUUUGCAUCAUCGGCAAUCCCUUUGCCAUAGUCAUCGGCAGACCUUUUUAUCCAGCCAUCGGCACCAUAUUACUGCCUGUGGACUUAGUCACAUUCAACCUCUCCCUCAUCGGCAACCAUCCUCAUCGGCAACCCGCAUCGUACUGCCACCCUAUCCUGCCAUCCUAGACACGUGCCCAAAAACGGUGUCAACACAUGCCCCCCAGUUUCGGAGUAUAAAACUAUUAAUGCUCCGAAAUUCUCUGCAGUAAUGAUGCCUUCUCCGCAAUUAAUGCUCCUAAUCUGGUAACCGACAACCUCAAUCUGGACAACUCUGAUCCUAAUCCUCCGCAGAUUCCUCGAAAUCCCCAACUUCCUAAACGGGCAUUUUUCUCAGUCGUACAUCGACAACAAUACCGUUACAAAGAUCUGCCGAUGCUCUGACCAGGAUAUUCGCAAAAACGGUUACUUCCCCCCUAUCCGCCCAUCGGCAAGAUGACCGUUAUAGAAUAUCGCCGAUGGACCGACCAUGAGAUCUCGCACAGUAAAAUAUCUUCAGAUAAUGACCGCUUCCCAUCAAAUCACCUGCAGAAUCCCUGGAUUACCGUGCGAACAGUUACCAUAUCCACCUGAGCACCCUCGGGUUUCUCGGAUGCGGCAAAGAGAUAAGUCGGAUUUGCCCUUGCCCAUCUUGUCUUAUAAAUAGUUCCUUCUUGGGUACUCCUUCCCCAUCACACCAUUCUACUACCCAACUUUACUUUUCCAGCGGCGGCGCCAUUUACAACCUUCAAGACCUCCGACAAGCACUUCUCUUCAUCAACUCCGGUGCCCUCCAACGUCCUCUUCACGACAAGAUGGCCAUUGGCUUCGUCGUUCCUGAGGUCAGAUCUCCAUCUCAUCUUCUGUAUAUUUUUUUUUAUUCCUGUUCAUCCGCGAUUCAUCUUACUGAAUAUUCUCCUUUUCCUUUUUCUUUGUAUUUUUAUUCCCCCAAAAUCACUAGGAGUUGUCCAAUAAAAUUGUCAUCCCCACCGAUCAACCACACCUUCAAUGUCUCGGCCCUCUAGGGGAUUCAGAUCCAACCAACCUUAUUAACGCAGAAACCAAUAGGAUCCCCUUUAGAGCUGAAAACUUUUCUUUAGAUAUGUGGAAAGACACUUUUCGCUCUUGGCCUAGCCCUACCGUAGGGUGGAAAGACUGGUUCUUGAGGGUCAGCAAUUCUUAUGAAGUCCAGUGGGGUGAAAGGAAGCUAGCCCAAUGCAUUAGGCUAUCCAUUGCCGAUAUGCACAGGAACGAGUCACUGCUGAUAGCUGCGUCCUACUUUUGGUCAGACACCCUCAAUGCUUUUGUUUUUGGCCACGGCCCUGCUUCUCCUACCCUUGCCGAUGUAGCCAUGCUCACUGGGCUAGAUAUAUCUUCUGCCGAUAGCACCCACUUUUUUGAUACUGCCCCCAGUGCCAAAGUGGAGACUCGCGCUAUCGGCGGUUGGUCAGGGUACAUUCAGAAGUACCGCGGGAGAGGGCCUGUCACCAUAAAGGAGCAAACCACCUUUCUGAACAUGUGGCUGGACAAGUUUGUAUUCUGUGGUCGAUCAGCAGGACCGACUUCCGUCUAUCUAUCGGCAGCAGAGAGACUAGCUAACGGUGGCCAAUUUCCUCUCGGCCGAUACCUGCUUGGCGCUGUUUACCACCUUCUCCAUCAGGUAGCCCAGAAACUCCUGCUUGGCCAAUCCAUCGGCAACUUGGGAGGCCUCUGGUGGUUUAUUAAUAUGUGGCUCAAUCUGCACCUGCAUAAGCGCCUUGAUUUCAACUUGUUCUCACAGCACUUCCCAAGAGACAUAGCCGAAAAUCAUGUGUUGGGUGAAGAGGAAUCGGCAACGCGUGCCCCCUUGAACUUUGGCGAAGCCGUCAUAGUCCUACCUGGUUCAGGGAGUAAUCCGGAUCAGAUCGGCCGAUUCUUCGAUACUCUGUAUGAGGGUUUGGCCAGAGAUGAACGACCAUGGUUGGCUUAUGAUGACCCAGAUAGCAUGCUCCCUCUGACCCUCAAUCCAUUUGAUGAAGCUCUCGACAGGGAUAAUGAGGUGAUGAUGGCAAUUGUGACUCCCAGAGCCAUUCCAGUGAAUUUCUUCGGUAGCACAAAAACUUCUCCCCAGACUUACGAAUUUUACAAUCCAUCGGCAUUAGCUCGCCAGUUAGCUUUCGGCCAGUUGCCGAUUGCACUUCCCUAUGCCGAUGUGAUAAAACCCAGAGAAACCAUCAACAACCUUCUUGAGUGGACUCGAGUAGCCCAACUACCACCAAACGCCGAUAUAGAUGUAGAUCUGUCAGAAUGGGUUCCGGCUGCUUUUAUCACUCAGGCAUACAAGUUAUGGUGGGCAGAAUGGAAAGAGCAUCUAUUCUGCAGAUCGGCACUUUCAUACCGCGGCAUGAUCGACCCCGAAUACGAAGUUCCCGAUGACACUGUAAGUAACUCAAACCAACGUUUCAUUUUCUCACUAUUACUUCCAUCGGCAGCUUACCCUUGUAUUCAUUUUGCAGGUUGACAAUAUUCCUCCAUCGGUUAGCAGGAGUGGCAAGCCGAUCGACUUGUUUCCAUCAGGCCCGAUUUCCUCAAUCGGCCACAAUGCUCCCACUCUGGCUUCCAUCGUGCAUCGGGGUGUGCGCCUCAGGAAAGUUACGACCAGGAGAACCCAGACAUCACCAACGGUAGCUGCUCCCACUCUGGCGCGGGCUUUCAAGGCAAUUUGUCAAAUCUUUAUCUUUUACGCUGACUAUCUUUAUAUCGGCUUUAUUUAUACUUAUAAACCCUUGUUCGUUAUUGCAGCAAACCAGUGCAUCGGCAAAGGUCACACGUCAAGGUGCCGAUGCCACCCAGUCCAACCAGCCAAAGAGGAAGGGUGUCAAGAGUACCAGGGCCGAAACGAAACGCCAAAAAGUGGCAACUCCCCCUCCUCCUCCGGUAUCUCCAAUCCCAGUGGAGUCUUCUCCUUCUUCUCCAGAAGUCCAGACACAGCAAGCGCCAUCUCCCCAACCAAUGCAGGAUGCACCACAGAUGGAAGAAUCCCAGCAGGAAGAGCCUCAAACAGAAGGUACAUCAGUCGUUGUGGGUGAACAAACAACUGGUCCGGUGGGUCCAAUUAUAUCAUCGGCGGCUCUCCCGAUUCAGACAACCGUUGUUCCCCCUCCAGGUAACAUACUUUAACAAUACCGUUGCCGAUGAACUCAUUUUCAUUUAGUCUCAUAACCUUUCUUGUCUUCUUUCAAUCGAUAUCGUCCCAUCGGCAACCUUAGCUGAUCAAUCUGUAGUUCCAUCGGCAUCUUUGGCCGGUCAGCACCUCCCAGUCCAAGGCAAGAGAUCGCCUUGAAGCAAGUAAGUCACUGUUUACCGCCAGCAUUAUUUGCCGAUUCUCCGAAUAUGAGCUAACCUUGCUUUCCGUCCCAGGAACAAGAUUCUCCUGAUAGCCUGUUUUCCUUCGCCAUCGAUCUCUCUGAAGAAGAAGGCGAAGAAGCAAGUUCUUCUCAGACAGUUGGCAUUACAUCGGCAGAGAUCAGGGCCAGGCUGGAAGAAUUGUCAGUUCUCCUUCACCAAGAUACAGCGCACUUGGUCGAUGACUCCGACCCUACCAAGACCCUGUUCAGAACUCUCAGAGGCCAAAUCCCGGUCGACGUCGAAGAAAUCCUGUUCCAAGCCGCUCAUCUGGAGAGUCGCCAGCUGCAGUACCAGAGAGCUUCUCGGCGUCUUGCCGAUAGAGCCGCUCAGACUCAACUCUCCGAUGAAAUGAGGAAAGAGAAACUCCUGACCGAUGAGAAGCACAAGAACAUCGGUAUCCUGAAAUCUUCAGGAGAUGCGCUGAAGCAGAAGAUAUCCGAUCUAUCGGCAAGAAGAGAAUCUCUGUUGGCGGAGCUUAAGGAAGUAGAGAACACUCUGUCCCAAGCCCAACAGGAAGAGAGCCAAUUGCCAGAGACCAUCAGGCUUCUUGAGCGCGAGCGAAAUGCUCAUGGUCGCAAAGCACUCCAACUGAAGAAGAAGCUGAAGCCGAUAGAAGGUUCUGCCGAUGAUGACAUCAAGGAGAUAGAAGCAGUCAACCAAAUUCGGCUACGCGCUAUAUCGGCAAUCCAGACGCUGCUUAACACAUAGAGUUUCCACUGGCAUUGUAUCUGCGCUUUCCUGCUUCCUCAGCUUUUAGUCUAGCCGAUAGGACUGUUAUCGGCGCCUAAACUUUUGAAACACCAAGUCUUGUCCCCAAGCAUUUGGAUCCAGCCGAUAGGAGUGUUAUCGGCACCUAAACUUCUAUGCAUCGACCCAUAUACUGGGGUAGUACUUCUUUAAAUAUUUGCCGUUUAAUGCUCUGGGAAAUUCAAUUCCUUCGAGGGUUUCUAGAAUGUAGGCAUUACCAGGAGCCGAUCGACUUAUCCGAUAAGGACCCUCCCAAUUAGGAGACCACUUUACAAACUUCGAGCUUUUGGUCCCAACUGGUAAAAUUAAUUUCCAUACCAAAUCCCCAUCGGCAAACUCUUUAGCCUUCACCUUCUUAUCGUACCAUCUAGCAACUCUUUUCUUAUUCUCUUCUAUACUCAUUAAAGCUUUUAACCGAUGCCCUGCUAGAUCGUCCAAUUCAUCGGUCAUCAAAGUGGCAUAACCAUCGGAAGUUAAUUGAUCUUGAAAAGAUAAUCGCCUAGAUCCAGCCUUAAUUUCCCAAGGCAACACUGCAUCAUGUCCAUACACCAAUUGACAGGGUGAUACCUUGGUCGAUCCAUGACAAGUCAUCCGAUAAGACCACAAUGCGUGCCCUGAUCGGUAGUAAUCGUUUGGGGAAUCCCAAAUCGGUAAAUAAUAUGCUCCUUCACAAAAUCAAUCAUAUUGGCCGAUGUGACUUUCUUCAAAGGAAUAGCUUCAACCCAUUUAGUGAAAUAGUCAGUGGCAACUAGAAUGAACUUAUGCCCUUUGCUAGAUGGUGGAUAAAUCUGGCCGAUCAGAUCGAUGGCCCAUCCCCGGAACGGCCAAGGCUUUAUUAUAGGAUUCAUAGCCGAUGCGGGUACUCUCUGGAUAUUACCAAACUUUUGACAACCUUGACAUCCCUUGAAAUAUUUAAAACAAUCUUCAAGUAUGGUCGGCCAAAAAUAUUCAUUCCUUCGAAUCAUCCACUUCAUCUUAAAAGCUGACUGAUGCGCUCCACACACUCCCUCAUGGAUUUCCCCCAUCAAACUUCUGGCUUCAUCAUCACCCAAGCAUCGGAGAAGAAUUCCGUCGAUAGUUCGAUAAUACAAUUCAUUUUCAAGGAGCACAUACUUGGUUGCCUGAAAUCGAACCCGUCUUUCAACUUUUUUGGAUGGAUCUUUUAGAUAAUCAAUAAUUUCUUUCCUCCAAUCAUCGGCACCGACUACCGAUGUCGCAUUAAUCAUUGGCUGAUAUCCCGAGGCAUGCUGAGCUAACCGAUUAGCGUCUUCAUUAUGCAAUCGGGGAACAUGCUCCAAUCGGAAAUCCUUGAAUUCCUUUAACAGUUGCAUACUUCUCUCGAAAUACGUUAUGAGAACUUCACUUCGGCAUUCAUAGCUUCCGGCCAAUUGAUUUAUAACCAACAUAGAAUCCCCGAAUAUUUCAACAGCAUCAGCACGAACUUCUCUCAGCAACUCCAAUCCCUUGAUCAGAGCUUGAUACUCAGCCUGAUUAUUUGUCGAUGUGGCAACAAUCGGCAAGGAAAACUCAUACUUCCUCCCCUUAGGGGAAACUAAUACAAUGCCGAUUCCUGCCCCCCGGUCACAAGUAGAUCCAUCAAAGAAGAGCGUCCAGGGUACAAUUUCCAAGGUUUCCACUAGACCGCAAUGCUGAGUCACAAAAUCGGCCAUAAUCUGCCCUUUGACUGCCUUAGCCGAUUCGUAACGCAAAUCGAACUCCGACAGCGCUAAAAUCCAUUUACCGAUCCUACCACUCAUAAUCGGCAUAGAUAGCAUGUAUCGGACCACGUCAUCUUUGCAAACGACAGUGCAUUCGGCCGAUAACAGGUAAUGUCUCAGCUUGAUACAUGAAAAAUAUAAGCAUAAGCAUAGUUUCUCAAUGGCCGAAUACCUGGUUUCAGCAUCAAUCAACCUCCUACUCAAAUAAUAAAUUACCCUUUCUUUCCCUUCAAAUUCUUGAACUAAAGCUGAACCGAUAACCGAUCCAUCGGUAGAUAAAUACAAUCUGAAGGGCUUCCCUUGUUGAGGUGGAACUAGAACUGGAGGAUUUACUAGAUACUUCUUGAUUUCAUCCAGAGCCAACUGCUGUUCUUCUCCCCAAAUAAACUCCUGAUCGGCUUUCAAUUUAAGAAGAGGACUGAAAGCACGAAUCCUACCAGACAAAUUCGAUACAAAUCUUCUGAUAAAAUUUACCUUGCCGAUCAAGGAUUGGAGCUCGGUUUUGUUGGUAGGGUCCACUAUUUUAUUGAUGGCAUCAAUAGAUCUUCGACUAAUUUCAAUACCCCUCUGAUGUACCAUGAAACCAAGAAACUGCCCUGCCGAUACACCAAAUGCACACUUGUUGGGAUUCAUCUUCAAUCCAUGCUUCCUUGUGCACUCUAACACUUUUUGUAAAUCGGCAAGAUGCUUUGAGAAAUCUCCAGACUUAACCACCACAUCAUCAAUAUAAAUCUCUACGAGCUUGCCGAUGAACUCAUGAAAUAUAAAAUUCAUAGCCCUUUGAUAAGUAGCACCAGCAUUCUUCAACCCAAAAGUCAUGACUAUCCAUUCAAAUAGCCCAACAUGACCAGGACACCUGAAUGCGGUUUUUGGAAUAUCCUCCUCUGCCAUGAAUAUUUGAUUGUAACCUGCAUUACCAUCCAUGAAGCUGAUGACCCGAUGGCCAGCCGCUGCAUCAACCAGUAGAUCGGCGACAGGCAUUGGGUAUCCAUCCAUCGGCGUAGCUUUAUUGAGAUUCCUGAAAUCAAUGCACACCCGAAGCUUCCCGUUCUUCUUGUAAACCGGAACAACAUUGGAAAUCCAUUCGGCAUACCGACACUGCCGAAUAAACUUAGCUUCAAUAAGUUUAGUGAUUUCGGCCUUAAUAUCAGGUAGAAUGUUAGGAUUACAUCGGCGGGCUGGUUGCUGAUGUGGCCGAAAUCCAGACUUGAUGGGUAACCGAUGUUCAACAAUUGAUCGGUCUAAACCAGGCAUCUCUGUAUAAUCCCAAGCAAAGCAAUCUUUAUAUUCCUUUAACAAACUAGUCAAUUGUCGCUUACACUCAGGAUCUAAUUUAGCACUAAUAAAAGUAGGCCUAGGCUUAUCACCACUACCUAUAUCUACUUCUACCAAAUCGUCGACCGAUGUGAAUCCCUGGCCUAAUUUUCCAUCAUCGGCGAAUCUAUCCAUUAAAAACCGUCGUCAGAACCGAUUGCUUGGAUCGGUGGAAUCUCAUAAUCGGCAACUUUGAGAAAAUCUUUCUCCCAAACUUCUCCUGAAAUGCACCUGGUCCUUUCGUAAGUAUCCGCUUCUGCCGAUGCGAUAACAUAAGAAGAAUCUCCUGGGACAAUCUCAAUCUUGUCACCUACCCACAGAACCAAGCACUGAUGCAUUGUAGAUGGGACACAACAAUUGGCAUGAAUCCAAUCUCUUCCCAAUAAUAAGUUGUAGGCACCUUUUCCGCUGAUCACGAAAAAAGUUGUCGGCAAGGUUUUGCUGCCGAUGGUCAACUCUGCACAUAUCGCCCCCUUGACUGGAGACACGUUUCCUUCAAAGUCUUUGAGCAUCAUAUCGGUCUUGGUCAAAUCUUGAUCCCCUUUCCCAAGCUUCCGAUAUACUGCAUACGGCAUAAUAUUAAUAGCAGCUCCACCAUCAACUAGGAUCUUGGUCAUUGGCUGCCCAUCAACCCUUCCUUUGAGGAACAGAGCUUUAAGAUGCUGCCUUUCGUCAUCGGCAGGUUUCUCAAAGAUAGCCGUCAUCGGAUCCAGAGCCAACUGAGCUAUCUGAUCAGAAAAUUCCAAUUCAUCAUCACUGGCUGGUGCAAGAAACUCCAUCGGCAACAUGAAGACCAUGUUGACGCCUGCCGAUGGACCUUCCCUCUUAGUGUCUGACGGCUGCCGACUUCCAGAGUUCUCUCCCUUGUUUAGCUCUUCUUGCCUUUCACGUUGCAAUCUCCUUUUCUGUGUUUUGGUUAAUCCUCCAGGGCACCAUGGAGGAAGUGGCCUUUGCCUUGCCGUCGGGCGUCAGUUCUCCCUUGACUCCAUACGAUGCGUGUUAGCAUCCCUGCAAAAUAUGAAUUCAUCCGGAACCCGCGCAUCAGCCAUUCCCUCGAGCUCCUCUUGGUUCCUGGGAAAAUACUGGACACGGUCACUAAGUCUGUUGUGCCCACUAAAUCUGCCCCCUAGCCGGUCAUGAACUGACACCCUUCCUCUGAUCGGCCCAUUAAAUCGCCGUUCAUCAUCAUGAUAAUGCCGAUCGAUCCUAUCGUACCGAUCAUAACCGUUGCACUCAGGGCAGUCUCUGACAGUAGGAACCUUGAUAUUUUCCUCCCAACAAUGGAUGAAGAAUGGACAAUUCCAAUGAUCCCUGUGCCGAUUCCACUCCUGUCGGCGUCUUUCUUCUUCCCGUCGAUAAUCUUCCUGCUGGCGCCGAUACCGAUCUUCCCGUUGUUGCCAUUUUUAUCGAGGCCUUCUAUGAGUUAUGACGAUACCAGAUCGAGGAAGCCUUCCUAAGCUAGUUCCUUCCUGGACCAAGCCCUUACUUCUUGCAUCGGCAGUAGUAACUUGAUGCUGAGGAUCUACCGAUGCACUCUUCUCAGCUGUCUCCGAUGUUAAGACCUUAGCCUUCCCCUUAGCAUCCAACAUGUUUGUCGGGAAAGGAUGUUGGUCUAUCUUCAUCGGCUUCUGGGCUUUGGAAUUGUCAAACUUGAUUCUCCCUGACUCUAUAGCCGAUUGCAGCUGCUGUCUGAAUACUUUGCACUCGUUGGUGUCAUGGGAAGUUGCAUUAUGCCACUUGCAAUAUCUCAUCCUCUUCAACUCUUCUGCCGAUGGGAUCACAUGGUUAGGUGACAGUUUGAUCUGACCUUCCUGAAGUAGAAAGUCAAAUAUCCUGUCAGCCUUAGCGGUGUCAAAAGCAAACUUCUCUGGUUCCUUCUGCCCAAAAGGACAAGACAUCGGCUUCUUGUUUUUUACCCACUCUGCCAAACCGAUUACUGGUUCUUCAUCAGAAUCUGAGCUUGUUGCUUCAUCAACAAAUGACACUUUCUUAUUCCAUGCCCUCUUAGGCUCGAAAGGCUUGAUGUCUUGAUUAGAAAUCCUCUGCACCAAAUGACUUAAACUUUCGAACUCCUGAGAGGCAUACUUAUCCCUGAUAUGUGGCAACAAACCCUGGAAAGCCAAAUCGGCUAGCUGCCGAUCAUCCAGAACCAGGCUAUAGCAUUUAUUCUUGACCUCUCGUAUCCUCUGCACAAAUCCUUCAACCGACUCAUCAUUGCGUUGCCUCAACUUGACCAAGUCGGUGAUCUUCUUCUCAUGAACCCCCGAGAAGAAGUAUUUGUGGAAUUGCUUCUCCAGAUCGGCCCAAGUAAUUACUGAGUUGGGAGGUAAUGAUAUGAACCAAGUAAAGGCCGAUCCAGACAAUGAUGACGAAAAUAGACGAACCCUCAAUUCGUCCCUGUUACCAGCCUCUCCACAUUGAAUAAUGAACCUGUUGACAUGCUCCAUGGUUGACGUGUCGUCCUGUCCGGAAAACUUUGUAAAAUCCGGUACCUUGUACCGAUGUGGAAGCGGGAUCAAAUCAUACGCGGGAGGAUACGGUGUCCGAUAAGAAUAAGUGUUGACUUUGGGUUUUAUCCCAAAUUGUUCCCUCAUUACUUCAGCAAUCUUAUCGGCCCAAUACGCAUCGGCAUCUUGCCGAUGAGGCGGCUGCGGAUCUGGCACUUGGUGGCGAACCUCCACGUGUCUGUUCGGGACGUGAUCUGCACGGAACAUUGUAUUGAUCACCUGUCCUCCAAUCUGCGGACCACCAAACUGCUGUCCACCGAUUGGCUGUCCUCCGAGUUGCUGUCCAAAAUUCAUUGGCUGGUUGGGAAUCCCCUGACCUUGGAACCCGGGAUAGACCUGCCCUUGCUGGAACCCUGUAGUCUGGUAACUCUGCUGGGGCGAUUGUGGAAAGGCUUGCUGUCCAAGCCAUCCAUUAUUAGCUUUCAUCGGCAUAGGUGCUGCCGAUGAUUGGUAAUUGGGUACCGUCGUCGAAUUGACAUACCCAGACUGGGCCAUAGGCCUCUGCUGCAUCAGCAUUGACUCUGCCGAUGCGUUGGGCAUCUGGAACAAUGAAUCUUGAGGAUUUCCAGUGUGAGGCCUUGCAGUAGUAGUUGUGGUAUACCGAGGACUCUGGUUCACCGGCGCAUUGGGAGGUGCCGAUGUCAUAGGAGUUUUGCCCCUCAUGUCGGUUAUUUGUGAUGUUCCCGGCGUCAACUCUGGAGGCAUACCAUAACCCCACCAGUUGGGAGGAAGAGUCAACCCUGACAUUGCCGAUGCCAACAUAUCUGUUGUCAGUUUAUGCUGCCCAACUGAAAUUUGUGGGUUGGUUGCCAUCGGCAUAGAUAGUGCACCAGUAGUCCCCGAUGUACUUGGAGGGAUAGCAGGUUGUGCACUUGCAUUCGUCAAGGCAGCCGAUGGAGCCGUGACCUCUGGUGCCGUUGGCUGAUGAUGGGAGGGGCCCACAUAAUCUGGCGGGAUUUGUCCUUCCUUGAAAGUUCUUGCCACGGCAUUGAAAACCGUAUUAGACAGUACACCAGCUUGGUUAAUCAACGCUCGAUUGAUGGCAUUGUCAACCAUAUCUUGAAGCUUGCCAGGAUUGGCGUCAAAGGUGACCUGCCGUGGUGCCGGCAGUGCAUCUUUCUGGACCACUUCGCCACUCCUGUUUAUGCUGAAAGACCUCAGGCAUUGCUGCUUGAAUUCUUCCAUGGCUUGGGCAAUAGCUUGCUUCUGCUCAUCCUUGAGGUUGGCCUCCGUCACGGGGAUGACGUUCUCUUGAUCGAGGUCAGAGAUCGACAUGUUGAUCUUGAUCUUGAAUCCUGUCCCACUGGGCGUGCCAAAAGAUGUGUUGAUGCAAAACUGAUCUGCAAACACAAAGGGCUAAUACCCGAUUCAAACGUUAAGGCGUGCCAGCCGAUUUGACCUUACUAUCGGCAAAGGUGAUAACUCGAAUACUUUAACAGCGAUGCGCCCGGAUGUCACGGCUAAGAGGUACUCACGCGGAACUCGAGAACACGCCGAGCUUAAGUCGACAAAUUCCUAAGAACUCGUAAUAAAAAGAAAAAAGUAUGACAAAGUCGUCGAAAAGUAGAUGCUGGAAUAUGAGUAAAAACGUGUGUUUGAUUGAUUUCUUGAUUUUUUAUUACAAGGCCCUAGGGUUUAUAUUUAUACCCUGCUCAAAGAGCUACAACCAGACACGAUUAGAAUUCGAAUUCCAAAUUACACGGAAUCCGUAUACAAAACGAUGCAAAUAAUUAAGAAAAUAACAAAACUAUCCUUCGUGACAAACCGAAACUCCUCCACAUGACAACUGGCAGCUUCCGGACUCCUCCUUUGCAUCAUCGGCAAUCCCUUUGCCAUAGUCAUCGGCAGACCUUUUUAUCCAUCCAUCGGCACCAUAUUACUGCCUGUGGACUUAGUCACAUUCAACCUCUCCCUCAUCGGCAACCAUCCUCAUCGGCAACCCGCAUCGUACUGCCACCCUAUCCUGCCAUCCUAGACACGUGCCCAAAAACGGUGUCAACAAUAUACAUACUACCCAAUUGGUAUAGCAUAUGCAGCCUUGGAAGGAUACGAUAUAUCUUUGUUUAAGUUUAUAGGUGGUGAUUCAGUAUUCUAGAGCAGUACACUGGUUUUGAGCACAGACCACGCAAAAAAGCAUGGUAUUCAUCUAGAGGUGCAGAAACACAGUCCGCAGUUAUUUAAAAACUGCUUGAUAACACAUAGCAACGAUUCAGUGAAUGUGUAGUAUAUGUUGGUCGCUGAUCAACAAAAGGCUGAGUCACCAUGUAGAAGACACUUUUGGCUGGCCGUUCAUCCAAGGUAGACCUGAAAUGCAGAAUUUGGCGAAGUGUUACACGCCAGCAAAAAUAGAACAACCUAUAAGGAUGCAUCCUACUUGGCAGUGAUUAGGUUGGUUAGAAUCUAAGCACAGUGUAACAGGGUGAACCUACAAUGUAUCUCUAGGCUCUCUUUGGGGGGUCUUGUUUCUAUGUGUUUGCUUUGAAUCAUUGGUCCUAGGGGCUUCAGGUGUGCCACUGCAUUUUACAUCAUUUCUUGCCAUGAUGACUUCGUCUGCUACUUAUUGACAGUUUAUUAAUGUGGAAAAAUAAGCAUAAUAGAUCCUCUUGCAAGCAUAAGACCGUAGGAUAUUGACGAGGGUGCUUGAAUGAGAUAGUUUGUACUCUGAUAUUCUUUUGGUGGUGUAUUUUAAACUGGAAUUGUUCUUGUAUGGCAUUGUCUGGUGUAAGCUCGUACCUAGUGUUUGGAAAUCCUGCGAUGAUGGCAUGUUCUAGUUGAAGGGCCUCAAGGGAGAUGUUGAUGUUUUCUACCAGAACCGUUAGAUUUUAGUACAGAUAGCUGUCCAUUUUUAUGGAUUUAUUUUGUCCUGAAUCUGUAGGCAGUAGAAAACAGUCAACGGUUAAUAAGUAUAGGCCAUGUAAUGGUAUGAAAAAAAAAUAGCUAGCUGAAGGCAAUACGAUGACAUAAGAGUACUGAGAAAUGUAAUACACCAAGGUACAGGUAAUCAUUCCCUAAAUCAAGAUUAAGGUAUCUUUGUUGGUAGUUUUAUAUUGUUUCAGUUUAACUUAUAAAUAAUUUUUUAAAAAUGUGCUACUUGACCUUGUUCUGCGAAAUUUAGAAAGAGGGGAAGAGGGACAAGGGAAGGGAGAGCAACAUAAAGAUGCAUUCAUGAAACAUGAUCUGUAGGCUAUUCACUGAGAUUUAGCCAUUGUACAUAAUUAAAAGAUGUUAACGCAUACAUGUGCCAGCAGCACCAUGGAAACACUAACAUGAGUGUCGUCCUCCAAAAUUCAUGUCCUUAGUGACCAUGCAUUUCAAUUUCAUUCGAGCAAAACAUACAGGUCAGAAAAAGGACUAAUUAUUUUUGAGUUCCCACCAAGGAUUAAUCACUGGCAAGGCAAAAAUAUUGAUGAAUGCUCAUAAUAAAAAAAAUGUAGAGGAAUGGUUGCUUUCAGGCUAUCAGCCGUAGAGAAGUGAUAAAAAGAAGAAAAGAGGAAUGUUAUUUUGCAUUAACUGCUGCACUGGGUACAUAAGUCUUAUUCAUUUUUUUUCUUGAUAGAACCGUCAGGGUAAAUUAAAUCUAAAACAAAUUAUGGAUAGGUAACAAUUGUUCAUUUAACUGGGACCAAUAAGGGACCUACCAGCCACUGCAUCAUCUAACUGGAAGUUACAUACGUCAUAAGGGGCUUAUCGAGCACUACAUCUAAAAACCUAGCAUAGAGAUUUACACUUCUAUGGUUCUAGUUCAUGAUAUCACCCAAAGACUGAUCAACCAAGGCAGUGUUAAUUGAGAAUGGAGAAUUGAAGACGGUUAGUAGCUUUGUAUAGUAGGGUUUCAAAAAACUUCGAUGUGCAAAUAUGCAAGCAUAGGAGUAAAAAAACAGACCAAAUGCCAUCUCUCAAAUUAGUUGAACUGCUCUUCUUUUAUCGGUAGGCCAGGAACCAAGACCUGCAAUGGCAUAAUAAAUAACUGAAAUUAUGAUGUUAUCUCAAAAUGCUUUUUCAAAAUUGACUUAUGUAAUGAUGAUGUUGUUUCUAGAUCCAAAAUUUGUGCACAAGAAUAGUAGUCAUUUUGAGAAACAUGGGUAAGCAUUAACCAAAACAACUUAGCUAAAAACUUGAUCGAAGCAACUGUACUGUUGAGCAGUGAACUCCUUUUUAUUCUUGUAGAUGGGAUACCUACCACUCAGUAAAUAAUUCAAGAAAAAAAGAGCAACAUAGUAUAAACUCGCAAAAUGAAGCAAGUUCCUUCAACACGAUAUAAAUUAUGAGUUGAAACUGUAUCAAAAUGGAAAACCAAGGUUCUAUACAUAUAGAAAAGUAGCACAAUGGUAGAAGAAAUAUGACAAAGAAAGGAACAAAAUGGCAACCAUACUGAAUGCAGGAGUGAGUAUCCGCCGGCACAUAGUAUCCGCACACGGUCUCCACCAAUGCUGCGCCCAUCAACUGCAAGAAUGUACCACAAAAACCAAGUAAGAAACACAGGGUCGAUCCUCAAUGCCGAAAAGGAGCAUCAGUGGUUAGCUAGAGAGGCAACAAAACAACAACCUAAUUAGUAGCGACAACAUCGCUCAACAGGCAUAGGAUAUAUGUUCUCCUACAUUCAUGUGUCAUCUGAGAGGAAACUCAGAUUUGACACCAUGAAUAAGGCAAUCACAUUGGACUAAGGAGCCCAUUAGCUAUAGGAAAUCACAUAUUUAAGUUGGGACUAAACCGCACAUUGACUACUAAAAUUACAAUAGGAACUAUUUAAAUUCCAAGAGUAGACCAUGGAACACAUAAUCUGGUUGUAAUGGGGAUUUUGAAGUGAGACGAAAUUAAUAUGCAUUAACAUAUGUCACAUGAAGCUGAAAUUCCAUCUAUGUUUAGGAAUUUGAAACAAGGGGAAAAAAGAGCACACUAUUGGCUAUUGGAUUAUUGUUCUUCUUAUUCUCCACCAUUGGUGUGAAAUAUUGAGAAUGCAAGGUUGAGAUUUUUAGAAUGGGUAGGCACUGAUCUGCACAUCUGAUAUCGCAUAAUCGCCAUCCAAACCUGCAACAUUGUUAUGCUUAGAAGUGAACAAAUCUGCAUAGAAGCUAUGGCAUAUGCAGUUACCUUACAUGGACAGAUUAUGUGAUAUCGAUUGCUCCUGCGCCCUUGUCCAUUGACAUGAGGUUGAGCUUUUGCUACAAACCACCAACAGUAUCUUGAACCAUCUACAGAAAUAUAGUAGAAGAUAAUGCAUCUUGAAGCACCAACAGAAAUAAUGGGCAGUCAACUAAUAUAGUAGAAGAUUAUGCAUUUUUUUCCUUUUCUCAAGAAACUAUCAUUUGUAUUCUUAUUGUCAAUAGGCAUAAAUGAAAUCGCAUGUUCAUAGGUAGUAUCAUAAACAGACAUGAACUAUUUGCACCAGGGCAAAGUAUGCCAUUGCAGGUGUUUUCACCUGCAGUGUGUCCGAAUCAAGGAGCAGCAACCAUAGUUUAUUUAUAACCUAGGUUGUAAAAAAAUAGAUGAAAGUAAAGGGCUAACCAAAAAACUACAUACCAAUGCACAUACCGAAUAGGCUCGAUGGGGACAGCGGUGCUCCACUUGCCGCUGCAGGACUGGCUUGUGGCAGGAAAUGAUUCACCGAUGGUUAAUAAUUUUGCCAAAGAUAUCUAUGCAUUGUAAAUAAGUAUCACUAAAAUAGAAAAUCAAAAAAUUUAGCAGAAAGUAAAGGGCUAACCAAAAAACUACAUACGAAUGCACAUACUGAAGAGGCUCGAUGGGGAUAGUGGUGCUCCACUUGCCGCUGCAAGCGAUCCACCGAUGGUUAAUAAUAUUUGCCAAAGAUAUCUGUGCAUUGUAAAUAAGUAUCACUUAAAGACGAAAUCAAAUGUUGGAGGAUUGCAGUAAUAUUUAACAUCAUCUAAUUGUCGGAUUAGAACAACAAGAACAAUCGAAGUCAUAAUAUGCCUAAUCUGACGUACCUUGUCUAUGGCUUGCGUGCUGGUGACUGGUGAGAUGAAGCAGACGGCCUUGGUUUGCUGGAGUUCGGUGGAAACAGCAAGGAGGCUAGAUGGGUGCAUGGGGAACGGCCAGCCCAGAACCAAAUCUACCUUCCGCUUGGGCACGCGGACUUCCAUCGCGACGCGGAACCGAUCAGGGGGCGGAGCUGUGGAGGGGACUAACCGUCGCGCUGGGGGCUGACUGCACUACUGCGUCUGCGUGCAACCGGAGGCACCGCCGCUGUGGGCGAGGGUGGGGAGGGGCCGUUGGGGCUUGCCCGCGACGCCCUCGUGGGGUCGUCGGUGUCAGGUCGGCCGGCGGCUUAGGGUGGGGGCGGCACGGUGCCUGGCAGGUCGGAGGAGCCAGAUCCUUCAUCGUGGAACUGUGCACAACAUGCGGGGAAGCGGAGGGGACAGCGACCUGCUGCUCGCGGCUGCGGCCAUCGCCGGCUGUUGCGCCGCCACAGUGGUAGAGGAUAGGGAGAAAGAGAGUGAGGGAGGUGCGGCAUAGCCGCCACCGCCGCCGUCGUGGCUCCGGCCAUGGCCGGGAUCCAGACACGCCGGUGCGUCACCGCAUCGUGGCGAGCGCACAGGCCCCUCCCAGCCGCAUGGGGAGAGAGGAGAGACGGGGGAGACGGCGGCGCGGGUAAGAGCAACUCCAGCAGAGCCCCUACUCAAGCCCCAAUAGCUAAAUAUGGGUGCCCAGACUAAAAACAUUACUCCAGCAGGGCUCCUACUACUCCAGACCCCAUAUUUGGCUAGGCACCCAUAUUUCUCCCCCAGACCCCAUUCCUGUUGGCCCAACAGGGCAGCCCCCAUCCUCCAUCGCGUGUCCUAGCUCCAGCGCAUGCUCCUUCUCUCUCUACCCUUGUAUGUGCAUGACACCCUUCGGUAACCGGCUCGAUGCUCUAAUUGUGUCCAUGUCCAAAGGAAGAAGAAAGAGGAAGAAGAAAAGGACACUGACGAGUGGGUCCCUUGUGUCAUUCUCUCUAGAAUAAGUUUGAGGGCCCAAAUUUGGGUGCUACUGUUGGAGUUGAAGCAAAAAAAUUGAGCCCCAAGAAGUAGAGAGAGCACCUAAAUUAAAAGUAGGGGCUUAGUUUUGGGAGCUACUGCUGGAGUUGCUCGAGCGACGAUGCGGCGUGGGUGUAAAGGAGCGGUAACUUUUUUUUCUGUCGAUGGAUUGGGUUUGAGAGAUGACGGGAAGAGUCUAGAGCAAGACUGCGGUGACUGUGCCGAGAUGAAUGACGAUGAGGUGCGCCCACGGCCUGACGUGGACGGUACGACAUUGCGGGGAGCAGCUUAGGAUUGUUAGGGUAAAUGUCUGAGUCCAGGUCAUCUAAUAAGAAAAGAAACUGUUGGGAGAAAAUCCGGUGCUUCUACUGCUAUAAGUAAGGAUGAAAACGGUCGGAAACGGAAUUACAAUGUAGAAAACGAAAGCGGUAGUAGGGUACAAUUUUCAUCAAAUAAAAAAAAAUUCAUCAAAUAAAAAAAUUGUUUAUCAUAUAAAAAAAUUCCGUUUAUUACUCAAAAUGCUAGUAGGGUACAAUUUUCAUCAAAUAAAAAAAUUUGUUUAUCAUAUAAAAAUAUAGAUCUUGAUGAAUACACCCUUUGACCGAACCCUAGAUGGUCCCAAAUGGAAAAGUCAUGAAUAUAAAGUUUGUUACACUCACCAAGUUCUACAUUUGGUCUAAUAGUCUACUUUUCAUUUUGAAAGUUUGAACCACUCAAUUUUGAAUUUUAAAAGAAUUCAUAGCCACGCAUCGGUUUCAGAACCCUAGAUGGUCUCGAAUGGAAAAGUCAUGAAUACCAAUAUUAUUCCACUCAUCAAAAUCUACAUUUAAUAUGUAGAUCAUUUUUACAUUUGACAAAGUGUUGGGAAGGUGUAGUUCAAAAUCCAUAAUUGACAUAUAUAGUUUCAUAUAGUUUGUGUGAGAUUCAAGAUUUGGUGGGUAUUGUUACUUAAACUUUCUCAAAUGGAAAAAUUGUGUAUAUAAAAAGUUUAGAUCUUGAUGAUAUCUAACAAACACACACUUUGACCGAACCCUAGAUGGUCCCAAAUGGAAAAGUCAUGAAUACAAAGUUUGUUACACUCAUCAAAAUUCACAAUUAUCAGAAUUCGUACAUUUUACAACACAUACUAUUAAACAUGACUUUAUAUUAAGCCGACACAACAGUGAACUUCUUCUUGACGUAUGACCCUUGGUUAUGAUUUUGCAGUAACCAUGGAGUAUCCUCAUUGUUUAACAGAAUGCUUGGGUCUUUAUUGACUACGAAGGACGGAAUUCGAUCAUCCCUUUCGUAAUUGCCUAACAUGUCUGACUUGUCCUCAAUUCCGACAAUGUUACUUUUCCUAGAAAGGAUAAUGUGGCGCUUUGGCUCAUUGACGAUCGAGUGGUCAUCAUUUUUUCCUCUCUUUGGUUUCGUAGACAUGUCUUUUACAUAGAACACCUAACUCACGUCUGCAGUAAGGACGAAUGGUUCGUCUUUGAACCCACUAUUGUUAAGGUCCACGGUUGUCAUCCCAUACUCCUUGUCGACUGUUACCCCACCUCCGGUCAUCUUCACCCAUUGGCACCGAAACAAAGGAACUUUAAAAUUAGCUACAUAGUCUAGUUCCCAUAUGUCUUCUAUGCAUCCAUAAUAUGUUUAUCUGUUCCCAUUUAGAUCCGUGGCAUCCACGCGUACACCACUGUUUUGGUUGGUCCUCCUUUUAUCUUGGCCAACUGUAUAAAAUGUGUUACCAUUUAUCUCAUACCCUUUGCACGUGAGGACAUGCCAUGAUGGUUGCCUGACCAACAAAUAAAGCUGCUCAUCAAUGUUUUCAUCUCCCUGACAUUUUUUGCGCAACCAAUCACCAAAAGUUUCCAUGUGCUGAUGCAUUAUCCAAGAUUCAUUCUUCCCGGGCCACUGGGACCGUAGGAAAUCUUUGUGUACCUCAACAUAUGGUUCCACCAAUGAGGAGUUCUGGAGAACUGUGUAGUGUGCUUUAUUGAAGUAAUCGUCUCCCAUACCAAUAUAUGUUUUCUUCCCAAGUGUUCCCUUUCCGCUGAGUCUGUCCUCGUGUCGAGAUUCAGGAAUGCCAAUUAGGUCAAGGUUUGGAAUAAACUCAACACAGAACUCUAUGACCUCCUCUGUUCCAUAGCCCUUGGCAAUGCUUCCUUCUGGCCAGGAAUGACUAUGGACAUAUUUCUUUAGGACACCCAUGAAUCUCUCAAAGGGGAACAUGUUGUGUAGGAACACAGGACCGAGAAUAUGAAUCUCUUUGAUUAGAUGAACUAGGAGGUGUGUCCUGAUAUCGAAGAAGGAUGGAGGGAACACCAACUCAAAGCUGACGAGACAUUGAACGACAUCAUUCUGCAGAGUAGCUAGUUGCUCUGGAUUGAUUGCCUUCUGAGAAAUUGCAUUGAGGAAUGCACAUAGCUUUACGGUGGCUAAAGUACGUGUGGAGGUAAAAUUCCUCUUAAAACCAUCGACAACAAUUGCGUCAUUAGAAUGUGACAAUCAUGGAACUUUAAGUUUAGGAAUUUCUUCUCUAGCACAUUAAUUAUUCCCUUGAUAUUGGAGGAGAAUCCAGAUGGGACCUUGAUGCUGCUAAGACAUUUAAACAUGCUUUCCUUCUCUUCUUUGCUCAGAGUGUAGCUAGCAGGGCUUAAGUAAUGACGUCCAUCAUCUGUCUUUUUUGGAUGCAAGUUGUCUCGUUCUUUCAUGCGUUGCAAGUUUUGUCGUGCUUCAAGUGAAUCCUUAGACUUCCCGUAGACACCCAUAAAUCCGAGCAAGUUCACACAAAGAUUCUUUGUCAGAUGCAUCAUGUCCAUCGCGUUGGGGACCUCUAGGACAUUCUAGUAAGGUAGCUCCCAAAAUAUGGAUUUCUUCUUCCACAUGGGUACGUAUCCCUUAGCGUCCUUAGAAAUAGGUUUGCUGCCUCGUCUCUUUCCAAAUACCACUUUUAUAUCCUUGACCAUUUCGAGUACAUCAUCCCCGAUUCGAUUGAGAGGCUUGGUCCGGUGGUCUGCCUUGUCUUUAAAAUGCUUGCCUUUCUUUCGUACUGGGUGGUUCACAAGAAGAAACCGAUGGUGGCCAAGGUACAUGACCAUUCGACAUUUUUUAAAAAAUACACAGUCAAGAUCUUCAUAACAACAUGUGCAUGCAUUAUAUCCCUUGUUUGACUGGCCUGAAAGAUUACUCAGAGCUGGCCAAUCAUUGAUUGUUACAAACAACAAUGCUCGUAGGUCAAAGUGCUCUUGUUUGUACUCAUCCCACACAUGAACUCCUGCUUUGCUCCAUAAAAGUUGAAGUUCCUCAACUAAUGGCCUCAGGUAGACAUCGAUGCCGUUGCCACGUUACUUCGGUCCUUGGAUAAGCACCGACAUCAUAAUAAACUUCUGCUUCAUGCAUAGCCAUAGAGGAAGGUGGUAGAUACAUAGAGUAACUGGCCAAGUGUUGUGACUACUGCUCUGCUCCCUGAAAGGAUUCAUACCAUCUAUACUUAAGGUGAACCACAAGUUUCUAGCAUCAUUUGCAAAAUCUAGGAAUUCUCUGUCUAUCGCUCGCUCUCCACUGGGAUCCAUCGGUAGGGUGUCUUAGCAUAUUGUCUAUCUUAUAGUCUUAUUUAUGCCACCGCAACAACUUUGCAUUGUCCUUAUUUCUGAACAGACGUUUUAAUCGUGGUAUUAUAGGAGCAUACAACAUAACCUUGGCAGGAAUUUUCUUCCUAUGACGUUCUUCACCCUCAACAUCGCCAGGAUCAUCUCGCCUGAUCUUAUACCAUGAUGCCUUACAUACUGGACAUGCAUCCAAAUUCUCGUAUUCCCCCCAUGAUAGAGGAUGUAGUCAUUAAGACAUGCGUGUAUCUUCUGGAUUUCUAAUCCCAAAGGGCAGACAACCUGUUUUGCUUCAUAUGUAGUGAUGGGCAAUUCAUUGCCUUUCGAAAGCAUCUUUUUAUGAUCUUCAAUAACUGCCCAAAUAUCUUGUCAGAUGUACCAUUCUUUGCCUUCCAUUGCAGUAAUUCCAGUGUGGUACCUAGCUUUUUCCCCCUCUUCAGCGGUGGGAUAUAGCGAUUUCCUGUGGUCCUCUAACAUGCGCUCGAACAUGGCUUUCUCUUUCUCACUUUCACAUUCUCUUUGUGCAUCACGGAUGGCAUCACCAAAAGCAUCAUCGCCCCGAUCAUCUUCUGCCGCUACCUCUUCUUCAUUAUCUUCCCCCAUUGCAACAUCAUUGAAGCCACCAUACUGAGCAAUAAUGUUGGCGUGGUCCAAUUCUUCUUCUUCUCUUCACCUUCAUCCAUUAUAAUCCCGCUUUCUCCAUGCUUGGUCCAACAAAUAUAGUUUGGUAUAAAACCGGACUUUAAUAAGUGCGAAUGAAGAGUUCUUGAGUUAGAAUAUUUCGUCAAAUUCUUGCACACAGCACAUGGACAACACAUGAAACCGUCCCCCUUGUUUGUCUUGGCCACGCUUAAGAAAUAGUGCACGCCAUUAAUGAACUCUUUGGAUCGCCGAUCGGCAUUAUAUAUCCAAUUACGUAUUACCAUCUACAUUAAAUAUAACAUAUAUAUUAUGAAAACCAUGCACAUAUAGUUUCUCAUCUUAUUGCACAACAUGUCUAACACACAUAGUUGAUUAAUUCAAGCAAGCUUGGCUACAACAAAUACAAUCGCAACUAGCACUAAAAAAACCAAAACUAAAAUGCACUUAAGCAACAUAAUUAGUUCGUGUCCGAUCCCAACUAUAAUAGAUAGAUCAUUUGCUUGAUCAACAUCAUUGAAUUCCUUUCGCCGGCUCACUGCCUCAUCACCUUCAGCCUCAACCACGCCUAUGCAAAAGAUUUCUUGAUGUGUUGAAUGUAUUCUUCCUCCAGUACCAACCUAUACAUCCGUCGGUACCGUCCCACUGAAAUUAAAAGAGAGAAUCAAAAGUUUAAUUAAUAUCAUUAAAAAAUAAGCACAUAUAUAAGCAAAUGUCUGGAAAUAACUCACAUUACAAUCCGGACACUUAUAGAAUAUACGACCCUUAUUUACUCUCUCUUUCGACACUUUGUACUUCAUCACAAUCUUCUGCCCACACUUGCCACAAGUAAUGAGAGGGAGUUCGGCCGGCAUCGCUUUUGAACCCGUUAAGAGAGCGAAGACCCGGUCACGGUUGCAAACUACUAUCCAUACUCAAUUUUUAAACAAUUAUAAAUUCCACAUUUACUAGUAAACAUGUAUGAUUAAAGAAGAACCUAAUAAUAUCCUUUAUUUGUCUAGUUACUUCAACAAAUCUUCUAAAUUAUACAAUGGACAUUAUGUAGUAAUAAAAACUUAUCAAGUGAUAUUAACAAACCAAUUAAUUUGAACUAUCCUACUUUCUAUGAUCAUAAAAAGAUAUUAUAAUUCAUUCUUGCAAACUACAUUAAUACUAGGUGUCGACGAAAGAUAGUCGGCAGUCUACCUUGGGGUAUACCCACGGUAGUAGUUUAUCGGUAGACAGUGCGCAAGCUACGAACUUGAUGGUGACGCAAGACACGGACAAGCUUUUUAUCCAGGUUCGGCCGCCGUGUGGGCGUAAUACCUACGUCCGCGUCUGAUUGUAUUGGAUUGUAUUGAGAGAAUCAUGUCCUAGGGGGGGUCCCUUGUCCCUCCUUAUAUAGUCCGUAGGGCAGGGUUAUAGAUCUGGAAACUAAUCCUAGUCGGUUACAAUUGUCAUAGAUAGUUUGACAUAAAUUCCUAUUCUAACCGACUAGAAACCUGCUUGAUCUCCACAUCUUGUUUCCUUGCGCGAAACUUCGAGCAGUUGGAUCAAGCCUCGGACUGUCUUCGUGAUGGGCCAAACCUCCUGGCCCAAGUCUAGCCGUAAGGGUAUAGGGGUUUAUACCCCCACAGCUAGUCCUCAAGCACCAUGUAUUAUGAUGCAAUACGCCAUCUUGAGCUUCUUCGACCAGUAAGGCUUGACGUCUUCAAUAAGCAGGAAAGUCGCCCAAGCAGUUGCAAAUGUAUUUUAACUGACUUAAAAGAUAGUUGAUCAACAUUGACAUUAAAGAAGCAGGUUGUUCGAAGAAUGCAUGGUGCUCUUAAUCAAAAAAGAUUUCUUUCCUAAUGAAGUGUGCCCACUUUACUUUUCUGAAAAGUACAGACUUUCAAAAAGCAAGCAUAUUCACCGCAAGGUGAAGUGUGCCCACUUAGUCCCCGAGCCUGGUAGUAGGUGACGUAGGCAUGUGGUGCCAGGGUCAAAAAAGUCUUCAUAGAAAUUCUAAAACUGAGAUGCGUCGCCAGAUGCAUCGUACCGAUGUAGUCCCCGAGCUUGCUGGAAGGCGAAGUAUAAGCCUUGUAGCAAGGUCUAAAAAAUUGAAUUUACUAGUCCCCGAGCAUAUAACGCUAUGUGGUCGGUACAAUCCCCAAACUCUCAAACUAGUGGACUGGUCGACCAGUCCCCGAGGGCUUAGUGCUCAGAUUGGUCGGUGCAGUCCCCAGGCUCUCAAACUAGUGGGCUGGUCGACCAGUCCCCGAGCGUAUAGUGCUCAGAUUUGUCGGUGCAGUCCCUAGGUCUCCAAACUGGUAGACUGGUCGACCAGUCCCCGGGCAUAUAGUGCUCGUUGGUCAGUGCAGUCCCCAGGAAUCCAAACUGGCAUACUGGUCGACCAGUCCCCGGGUAUAUAGUGCUCGGUGGUCGGUGCAGUCCCCAGGAAUGUCAUACACAGUCCUCCACCAAUUCUGCUUAUUCUUUUGGAAAAAGCAUCUUGCCACAUUAAUGCGUGAUGUGACGAGGCAUCCUGGCGUAUUGUCAGACGGUUGCAUGAAAAGGUGCGCCGGGUUACUGUGCAGCCGCUCUUUGCGUGGUUCAAGAAAAGGAAACGACCAACUAUGCAAAAAAGCCACCGUAUUAACUGUUAGUAAUUAUUGAAAACCGAAACGCCGGAUCCACCGCGGGGCCCGCCCACUUCCCAAGAAUGUAGGAAGUGGAAGAGGUGGAGCCGUUGCCAAUAAAGACUCGACAAGCCUGUAAUCUUUACCCUGCCUUUGCCUUCAAUCCUUCUGUUCUUGUCAUUCUUGCCUUCUGCAACCUCCAUCUCAGCUCGCAAUCGUUUCCUCAGCGUCAAUGGCGAAGAGUGACUCGAAGAAAAGGGCUGAGCUGAUGGCGAAGGAGUGGAAAAAGUUCCGGAGCAGCACGAGGUCCCUCAACGACCUUGUCGGAAUGGGGCUACUUCACAACCAAGAGCUCGGCGGCUGGAGGGCACUGGAAGGGAAAAGCUACCCCGACCCCCGUGCCGGUGAGAUUGUAGUUUUUGAAGAUUUUUUCAAGAGGGGUUUUGGGAUUCCUGUCCACCCUUUCCUCCAGGGCCUUCUUCUUUACUAUGAGAUCGGGAUCUGCAAUCUGCACCCGAACUCAAUUCUUCUUAUCUCCACCUUUAUUCAUUUGUGCGAGGCCUAUGUUGGAAUAGAGCCGCACUUCAACCUUUUUCGCUAUCUUUUUUGUCUGAGGAAGAAAGGAGCAGUUGGAGGCUCCAAGAUUGCAGGUGGAGUAUACCUCAAUCUACGUGAUGAGAUGAAAAACCGGUACCUCAACUGCCCAUGGAACACUUCUCUCACCGAAUGGUACAAGAAGUGGUUCUAUAUCAGGGAAGAACCGGGCAGCUCCACGUUCUGCGAUGUGGGCUACAUCCCCGAGAAGAGGGUCAGCUGGACAGACCGCCCGGAAUUCACUGGUCAAGUGGCGGACCUGAUGAAACUGAUCGACUGGUCCCAUUUAGACAGUCCUGGAGUGGUCGGUAACUUUAUUGUACGUCGAGUGAUGCCCCGCCAGAGGAGAGUACACUCGGCAUAUGAGUACGUGGGAAGCCAGGACCCGACCAGAAUGAGCCCUGAUGGUCUGGAGAAGACGGAGGUGCAGCAGCUGAUGAACGAGUUGUUCAACUUUACAGACGACAACUUCAUUCGAAGCAGUGAUCGGAUGCACGCCUUCAAGCUGGGGCGACCAGCUCCUAAGGUAAUGAAUAAUGUUAUUGACUAGUAUUGCUUUUUGAAUACUUGUCUUCCUAGUUGAUGACUUGUCGUUGGUUCUUCUACAAAUUGGAGACGUUGACCGGUGUGCAGUGUACGUGUCACUGGCACCUGGUAUGGAAAACCCUGUGGGGAUGGACCCGCCGGAGGGCGAUGCUGCUCGGUGUCCUCAAUACACCAGCAGUGAGGAGGAGCAGAACCGUCCUGCCCCGACCACCGAGGAUAGGGUGGUGGGGAAAAGGCCAAUGGCGGUGGAUCCAUCUCCGGUGGAAGCACUGCCGACAGAGGGCAGCCAAGCGCCGAAGCGUCGUCGGCUCGUCAGGAUCGCCGACGACGACGACGAGGAGGAGGCUGCUCCCUCUUUGGUUCGAAGGCCGCGCAGCCGUCCGGACGUGGCGCCGGCCACUACUGAUCGAACGACCGGUGACCCUCCUGCCCCACACGCCGAUCCAACGCGUGUUGGAGAGACAGGGGCAGCAGCGGCGAUUGGUAGGACCAGGAGAAGGUUCUUCACGACGACACACAGGCUCUCAGAUCUGUGAGUUGUUCAAUCUCACUUUUACGCUUCCUCCUAUUUUUGUUUUGUUGCUGCCACUUGUGACAUUGGUUAAAUAUUGCAUUUUUUGUUAGCGCGGCGUCGGAUGUCGACCCUGACAACAUUGCUGGCCAGAAGACGGCCGAGCCCGUGGUUGUCGUUGAAGAUGCCGUGCUGAAGGGUCGAGAUGGCGGACUAGAGGGGGGGGGGGUGAAUAGUCCUUUCUAAAACUUAUAGCACCGGCUAACCGAAAUAAGUGCGGGAUUAAAACUAUCGGUCUAGCCAAGACUACACCCCUCUAUCUAAGUUCUCUAGCACCUUGUAAAAGAUCCUAAACAAGUAAACAAGGUGCUACCUUAGCAAGAGCUCACCUAAUCAAUUCUAGGAGCAAGGUCACACAAACCUAUGCAACAAGUACUUUACAAACGGGUGGAGCUCCUACACAAACUAGUGAGGCAAAGCGCACAAAGCCUAAGCUCACUAGCAAGCUCAAUAACAAGGCAACUAAUGCCAAAUUAGAGAGCGCAACUUACUUAGCUACACAAAAUAAGCAACAAGGUAACUAGGAAGCUACACAAGCUAACUAAUUACAAGAGCAACUACACAAGCACAAGUAUAUGAACGUAAGAACAAGCUUGUGUUAGGGACUUGCAAACCAACAGGAAGAACAAAGUUGACACGAUGAUUUUCUCCCGAGGUUCACUUGGUUGCCACCAAGCUACGUCCCCGUUGAGACAAGCUCAAGGUUGCCGCCGGUCCUCUUGCUAGUGGUGACCAGCAAGUCACACUCUCCCACGUGGAGUGCUUACCACAAGCUCUAGCACUUGACCCGGCCGGACCACUUGUCGCUCUUCACGUCUCGCUCAACUAGAGUUGCUCUUCGCGAUCCCCGCGGGGUGAGCACCGUACCCCUCACAAUCUCUUCUCCGGAGCACCGCACAAUCUCCUUGCGUGCUUCGACGGAGUCACAAGCCACCAAGCCGUCUAGGAGGUGGCAACCUCCAAGAGUAACAAGCACCACCGGCUUGCAACACGAACACCUAGUGCCACUCGAUGCAAUCUCUCAAUGCAACGCACUAGAAUCGCUCACUCACACAAUCGGAUGAUCACUAUCAAGCAUAUGUGAGUUAGAGGCUUCACUAGCACUCCCCAAGCAUGGACACUAAGUCCCAAGGGUGCUCAGCACCAGCCAAGGCCGGCCACCACCUCUAUUUAUAGCCCCAAGGGCUAAACUAGCCGUUGCCCCUUCACUGGGCAAAACACGUGGGCACCGGACGCUCACAGGGAGCCACCGGACGCUCAACUCCCAGCGUCCGGUGCUCAGGCGUCAGCCACGUGUCACUAGCCGUUUGAACUCGACCGUUGCCGCCAACGGCUACCACGCGCUUGCGCCUGACACAGCACCACCGGACGCUCAACUAGUCCACACCGGACGCGUCCGGUGCUCACCGGACUCAUGCGCAGAGAGCUCCGCGAACUCGCACGGUCACCGGACGCAAGCCACCGGACGCACCCUGAGCGUCCGGUGCUCACCGGACUCAUGCGCAGAGAGGGUCACCAAACCGCCCGCACACCGGACGCUGAGCACCGGACUCUCUCCGGUGCGUCCGGUGCACUCUGCUGCACCCGACAGCACACCGGACGCUAAAGGCCAGCGUCCGGUGCCUCCGCGUAGAGCGUCCGGUGAGUGUUUCCUACUGAGAAACACUCCCGCGACUUCUCCAAAAAUCCCACCGGCGCAAUAGAAAAUAUGCACUUAAUUUUCUCAAAAGCGCCGACCCUAGGAACUCCACCUCCUUUGAAAAUGUGCCAACACCACCAAGUGUACACCACCAUGUGCUAGUGUGUUAGCAUUUUCACAAACUUUUUCCCAAAGGAGUUAGCCUCUCAACUUGCCACGCCACUCGAUCCUAACACGUAUGCAAAGUUAGAUCGCUCAAGUGGCACUAGAUGACCGAUAUGCAAACAAGUUUGCCCCUCUUGAUAGUACGGUCAUCUAUCCUAAAUCCGGUCAUAAACUUCUCUACACACCUAUGACCGGUGAAAUGGAAAUGCCCUAGGUUAUACCUUUGCCUUGUGCUUUCCAUUCCAUCUCCUCCAAUGUUGAUGCAACACAUGCACCAACCAAUCACCAAAUGAUAUGAUCCACUUCAUAUCAUCACGUGACCGUAUUGGUUCAUCGAUCUUGACCUCACUUGCUCUUCACCGUUGCCUCGGUCCAUCAGCGCCAAGUCUUGCUCAAGCUUCACCGUCACACGCGGUCCCUCGCUUCAAAGCCUCUGACUUGCCCUUCACUCUUGCAAAUGGUCCAUCAAGCCAAGCCUCAUCUUGAUCUUCUCCACCUUGGUCACAUGACUCCAAGUCAUGUCUCAUAUGCAAUGAGCUCCUCCAUCAUCACAUCAUCACCUGGGGACUAUUCUUCUAUGUAUCUCACAUAAACACUAUUAGUCCACCUAAGUUGUCACUCAAUUACCAAAACCAAACAAGGACCUUUCACGCGCCGCAGACCACCUAGGAGCAGGCCAAGGAGCAGCCCACGGAGGUGACCGCGGCUGAGACUGACGAGGAGCACCUAGCUCCGACGAGGACCAAAGCGAGUACCCCUACGAGGGACGAGGAGGCUGCAAGGACGCCUCCCCCGAGCAGGGUUGCGGAGGAGGAAGACAGAGCUCCGGCUUCCCCGCCUGCUAAAGAAGGGAGGGUCCCAAGCCCACCCCGAGCAGGGGUCUCUCCACCAAAGGACUCCCCUGGCCUGGACCAGGGUCCAGUGAUGCCUGCGACCGCAGCCAGGGGUAGUGCGGAUGGCGAGGAGACUCGGACGGCCUCCGACGAUGAAGUGGAGGAAAUCCAAGGUCGUCCCCAAGAUGGUCGCCAACAUGUUUACGUGUGGCGCCAACAUGGGGACCAUUUCAUUGGCCAUGAAGAACUCGCGGAGACGGAAGAGGCCUCGAGGGUGGAGCGCGUAGCAAAGCGGCUUGUUGACGAGGUUAAGGUAAGUGGUCUUUUGCGCUGCUUCGAAAUUUACCUGCAUUGUCUCUGGCUUCAAUAUAUGUGCUUCCUGUAGGGCGCAAUGAAAAUGGUGAAGUACCAAAAGAGGUGCUUCGACCAAAUUGAAGGAAUCGUGGCCAAGAAUAAGGCCUUGUUCGUGGAGGUAGACCGUCUUCAGUCGGAGGCCGAGGAGAAGACGGCCGAGAUGGGUGCUCAGGAAGAGCGCCUGCUCGAUCUCAAUCGGCGGUUGGCCGACAAGGAUCAGGAAAGGAGAGGUUAGUCAUGUAUUCCGAGCAGCUGUAUAUGACCGCAUAGUCAUUUUUGUUGACCAGAAAUUGCUCCUGCAGACUUGGAGGAGGAGGUUGCGCGCCUCCGACAAGAAAAAGAGAGGCUCGACCAGGAGCGUGCCGGCGCGCUAGAGGCCGGGCACCGAGCUGGUGAGGAGUUAAGCAACAAAAAUCGGGAGUUGAUUGGUAAGAACCGUGUUACCCUCUUCUUUGAUUGCUCACUUUUCCUUGUCUUGUGUGCGCACUAACUUCCUGCUUGGUUCACAGUGCUCAAAGUAAAUACCAUGAAGCACCUCGACGAGUUGAUCAAGGACCGGGACUCCUGGAAGGCCAACUGCAUCAAGCUUUGGAGAGGAGUGGCCCCGGUUCUUGAUUUGAUCAGCCUCGAGCUUCCUGAAGACCAGGCCCGCGCACCGAAGCUAACUCCGGUCGAGAAGGCGAAACGGGCGUGGGACUGGCUCCAGCAGUUUGUCAAGGACGCCGAGGAAUUCGCUGGUGCGCACGUCCUCAGCAUGGUGCGCGCUCACUAUCCUCUGGUCGACCUUUCCCGACUGGAGAGGGGGUACCCCAAGGAGGUUGGUCCGAAGGAGGCAGACGACCUUCGUGUUGGUCUGCUUGAUCUGUCGUCGACAGUGAUCGGCGACAUCAACCAAAGUGGGACAGCAACUCCCCCCGACCAGCCCGGGUCAGAUAGGUCGGCCAGAGAGUUGUCGGGAGCGUCCAUUGCCGGAGAUGGGCGGUCGAUGCAUGCGGUCUCGACCAGCCACGCGCCGGUGGCCCCGACCGCUUCGACUGGACGGCAGGGCCGUGCGGGUGAUCAGCCCGAGCAAUAGACCUGUAGAGUAGUCUGUAGGAGUAGACUAGGGACCGCCCAGAGGGGUGCUUAUUGUAAACUUUGUAUGUAAAGUUUGUAAUAAAGAUUGAUUUGUCAUGACCAUAGUGUUGAGUGCUGCUACGUUGUCUGAGUGAUGUAUCACUGAGUUGAGUUAAUAAUCUUUAAGGAUCUUGGUCCUAGAAGGAGGUUGUGGAACUUGUCAAAAAUUCUGCGUGUAAAAAAGUAUAUAGUGAAAAAGAGAAGAUUUUAUUAUUGCUAGUUAUAAGAAAUUUACAAACGAAAAGUACUGGAACUUAUGGAUAGAAACGGCGCAGUUUGUCUAUGUGCCAAGAAUUAGGCAAGCGUGUUCCGUCUGGGUACGCCAGACUGUAAGAUGUAGGGCGUGUGACUUCGCUGACCACAAAGGGUCCUUCCCAAGGUGUGGAUAACUUGUGUGUUCCUUCUUGGCUGGUUUUCCACUUGAGUACCAGAUCACCGACCACGAAGGAACGGUCUUUGACGUUCCUGUUGUGAUACCGCCUAAUGACCUCGAGGUACUUUGCUGUUCGAAGGCAUGAGAUUAGGCGCUUUUCUUCCAUGCAUUUGAUUUCAGGCUCCCUCGCGAUGUCGGCCGAAGAUUGGUCGAAAUUUUCGACUCUUGGAGACCCGAAGGUUACGUCGGACGGAAGCGCUGCCUCGGUGCCGUAAACCAUGAAGUAGGGUGAUACACCAGUGUUGCAACUAGCUUGUGUUCGGAGACCCCAGACCACAGCCGGUAACUCUUUCAUCCAUCGUCCUAGUGCUCUAUCGUUCUCGGUGUACAACCUUUUCUUUAGAGCAUCGAUGAUCAUUCCGUUCGCUCGCUCUACUUGACCGUUGGCCCGUGGGUGAGCUACUGACACGUACUUUAUGACUAUGCCCCUGUCGUCACAGAAGUCCCAGAAUGUAGUGCCAGUGAACUGAGUGCCCAGGUCAGUGAUUAUGCUAUUGGGGAUCCCGAAUCUGUGUAUGAUUUGAUUGAGGAACUCCACAGCCCUCUCGGAGGUUGCUUUGACUAGUGGCAUGUACUCGAUCCACUUUGAGAAUUUGUCGAUUAGUACGAAAACGAACUUGAAGUUGCCGGGGGCCGGCUUAAAUGGCCCGAUCAUGUCGAGACCCCAUCAGGCGAAAGGCCAGGACAACGGAAUAGUUUGAAUUUCGUGAGCAGGCACGUGGGUCCUCUUGGCAAAGAACUGGCAUCCUUCACAAUGUCGGACCAGUUUCUCGGCAUCGGCGACCGCAAUUGGCCAGUAAAAACCUGCUCGGAAGGCCUUCCCGACCAGUGUUCUGGAGGCAGCGUGGUUGCCGCAGGACCCGGCGUGUAUGUCAUCUAAGAGCUUGACGCCGUCAUCUUGGGAUAUGCAUUUGAGCAACACUUCGGAACUUGCAUUUUUUAGCAUAAGUUUGCCAUCCACCAGUAUGUAAUUCUUGGACCGUCGAAUGAGGCGCUCGUUCUCCGUUUUAUCUUGAAAACCCGAUCCAUCCGAUAUAUACCUGAUAAAGGGGACGCGCCAAUCACGGCUGCUGGGUGCCGGAGCGGUGUCGUCUAUGAGCAUUGCCUCAUUGGGUUGCUUUUCGACCAGGUCUGUACCCACACUUGGCGUGUGGAUAUCCUGAACAAAAACGCCUUGCGGAAUCUGGGCCCGGGAUGAUCCUAACUUUGACAGCGCAUCCGCUGCCUGGUUCUUAUCCCGGACCACGUGGAUGUAUUCUAUGUCGUAGAAAUUGGAUUCCCAUUUGCGAAUUUCUUUACAAUAGAGGUCCAUCUUCUCAUGGGUUGUGUCCCAUUCCUUAUUUAGCUGGUUGAUGACUAGGGCAGAGUCGUCAUGGACGUAGAGGCGUUUGACUCCUAGUUCGACGACCAUUCGUAUGCCAUGUAGGCAUGCUUCGUAUUCGGCGGCGUUGUUCGACGCCGGAAAGAGGAUCCUAAGGACGUAGCGUAGUUUGUCCUUGUUAGGUGACACGAAGAGUAUCCCGGCGCCGGCGCCAUUGAUGUUUAGGGAUCCGUCGAAGAACAUCGACCAGUGGUCGGGAGUGUCCGAAACGGAGGGCUCAUUGAGGUCCGUCCAUUCUGCGAUGAAAUCGACCAGGGCCUAAGACUUGACGGUAGUGCGGCUCUGGAAAUCCAGGGAGAAUGGGCAUAAUUCCAUUGCCCAUUUUACAAUUCUGCCGUUGCCAUCCUUGUUGUGCAAGAUGUCCCCUAGAGGGAAAUUGGUGGUUACCAGGACCCGAUGACCGUCGAUGUAAUGUUUUAGCUUCCUUGAGGUUAUUAAGAUGGCAUAGAUAAGCUUCUGUAUCUGAGGGUACCUGGUUUUGGACUCAUUUAAGACCUCGCUUAUGAAAUAAACGGGUCUCUGGACAUUGUAUACGUGGCCUGGUUCGUCUCGCUCGACCACCAUUGCCGUGGAGACAACCCUAUCGGUCGCUGCUAUGUAAAGGAGCAGAUCCUCGUUGGGUUGAGGUGCUGUGAGAACGAGUGGUGAGGUGAGGAAAGUUUUGAGCUGGGUGAACGCAGCAUCAGCUUCCUCUGUCUAGGAGAACUUUUCCGAUGCUUUUAGAAGUUUGAAGAAGGGAAGGCCUUUUUCUCCCAGUCUAGAGAUAAAACGGCUGAGAGCAGCCAUACAACCGGUGAGCUUUUGAAUAUCCUUGACAUUCUUGGGUGGUCGCAUGUCGAGCACUACUUUUACUUUUGAGGGAUUCGGUCGUAUGCCAUCGUGGCUGACGACGUUGCCGAGUUGUAGACCAGAGGGGACCCCGAAGAUGCACUUUUUGGGGUUAAGCUUCCACUUGUAUUUAUUUAGUGCCUUAAAGGUUCGGUCUAGGUUGUCGAUUAGAGUGCUCGCGUCCCUUGUUUUGACGACGACGUCGUCUACAUAGGCCUCGACGAGGUCAUCACGAAUCUCGUCGUGGAGGCAUUGCUGAAUAGCCCGUUGAUAAGUGGCUCCAGCGUUUUUGAGUCCGAAGGAUAUGGUCGUGUAGCAAUACGCACCGAAAGGAGUGAUAAAAAAUGUUUUGAUCUGGUCGUCUUCCUUUAGUGAAAUCUGGUGGUAACCAGAGUAGCAAUCUAGAAAGGAGAGAAGUUCGCAUCCGGCCGUUGAGUCGACCACCUCGUCGAUGCGAGGGAGACCAAAAGGAUCUUUAGGACAGUGUUUAUUGAGAUCAGUGUAAUCAACGCACAUUCUCCAUUCAUUGGUCUUUUUUCUUACAAGAACCGGAUUGGCAAGCCAAUCGGGAUGAUACACUUCUUUAAUGAAUCCGCUGCUAGAAGCCGCGUUAUUUCUGUCCUAAUAGCCUCCUUUUUGUCACGAGUGAACCGUCGUAGCUUUUGCUUGAUGGGUCUUGCGGUCUUCGAGACGUUUAAGGAGUGCUCGAUCAGGUUUCAUGGGACGCCGGGCAUGUCUGCGGGUUUCCAAGCGAAAACACUCAUGUUGUCCCUUAGAAACCUGACGAGCGCGUCUUCCUAUUUAGGGUCCAGGUUGGCCCCGAUGAGGGCCGUCUUCUCGGGGCUACCGUCGACCAGCUGCACCUCCUUGUGCUCUUUGGACUUUGAAUUUUUCCUCGGAGUCUCCUGCUCGGGUAGUCGAAGCUGGUCGGGUGGAAGCUGCGCGGCUUGGGCUAUGGUUUCUGCCAUGCGGAUUGAGAGGUCAAUUGCUUCGGUGAUCUUGAAGCUUUUCUCCUCGCAAGUGUAUGCGGUAUAGACAUUGCCUCUGACAGUUAGGAUGCCCUUCUCUGUUGGCAUUUUGAGGACCAGGUAUGAGUAGUGUGGAACUGCCAUGAACUUUGUCAACGAUAGUUGGCCCAGUAUUGCAUGGUAAGUGCCAUCAAAGUCGACGACCACGAAGUUGACAAACUCUGUUCGAAAGUGGUCGGGCGUUCCGAACUGGACAGGCAGUGUUAUCUGUCCGAGGCGUACUGAACUUUGACCUGGCAGGACUCCCUAGAAUUGAGCGUCAUAGGGCUUUAGCUAUGCCGGGGUUAUCUUGAGGGCAGGCAAGCUAUUGUGAAAGAGGAUGUCGAUGGAGCUUCCCCCGUCAACGAGCACGCGCUCGAAUCUGAUGCAGUUUAUGCAAGGAUCCAGGAUUAGAGGGAAGCGUCCUGGCUCCGGGAUGGCGGCCCAUUGAUCCUUCCUGCUGAAGGAUAUCUCCCUAUGCGACCAGGGAGGAAAUUUUGGAUCGGCGAUCAGACCAUCUGUGCUGUCCAUGUUGAGGCAGGCUCUCUUCAGGAGCUUUCUUUCUUGCUUAGAAUCGAUGGAAACUUUGCCUCCGAAGAUGGAGUGGACCACGUCGGUGGGACUGACAUACUGGUGUCGCGGGUCCCUAUCAUGGUCAUCGUCUUCGUCUUCGUGACCACGCCCGUCCUGCUUCCCGUUUUUCUUGGCAGAAUCGUCUUGAGCGGCCCGCUGCGUGUAGAUGCUUUUGAGGACACAGCAUUCUUCCAUCCUGUGAAUGGAUUUGGGGUGGAGUUGGCACGGUUCCUUCAACGUCUUGUUGUAAUCUUCCUGGUAGUCUCGCCGCCCAUUGGGGCGCUUGACCGUAUUCACCUCGUGGUCGUGGUCACGAGGGCACUUGCCCCUAAAGUCAUCGCGAUUGUCACGCCGCCUAUCCCAACCUUCUCUAUGGUCGUGGUUGUCAGGGCGAUGAUGGUUCCUGUUGUCAAAACGACCAUGACUGUCGUCCCGUCGAGGAGGCUGGUCGGGGCCUCUCGCAUCCUCUCGGAUGAGCUUUUCUGCGUUAUCGGCGUCAGUGUAGUUUUUUGCCGUGGCAAGGAGCUCAGCCAUCGUGGUCGGCCUUUUACGUAGUAGCUUGUUCCUCAGUGCUUCGUGGAAGCGUAGCCCUUUGAUGAAAGUAGAUAUGGCCUCGUCGUGAGAAAUUUUCGGAAUUUUAAGGCAUAUAUCCGAGAAUCGUCGGAUGUAAUCGCGCAGAGGCUUGUUUUUCUUGUCCCUUAUUCUCUCGAGGUCGUACUUGUUCCCAGGCUGCUCGCAGGUAGUGAUGAAAUUGUCAAUAAAUGCCUGGCGCAGUUCUUCCCAGGAGUCGAAAGAGUCUUCGGGCAGGCCAAGGAGCUACUGAUGACCAGCCUGGUCAAGGACAACUAGGAAGUAGUUAGCCAUGACGUGCUCAUCUCCUGCUGCUGAACGGACUGCAAUCUCGUAGAGAGUGAUCCAGUUUUCUAGGUUUUCCUUGCCGUCGUAUUUUUUAAGCUUCUCGAGUUUAAAGUUGCGGGGCCAUACGACUUGGCGAAGGUGUGAAGAAAACUGUCUCAGGCCGGGGGGCCAUGUGCGGCAUCGUACUCAAUGCGCCGCAAGUUUUCGUGCGCCGCUCUUUCCGUGGCGCGCCUGUUGAUGUGGCCCGGGCGUCCUUGGGAGGGAUGUUGUAUCGUAGAUCCCUGUCCUGGUUCACUUCCUGACCCCGCCCACGCUUCUGCUCACGGUAGCCGCCGGUGUCCCGACCACGGUUGCCACGCCCCACAUCCUUUCUGCGAUCAUUGGGGGAGCGGCUACGGUGGCGCUCGCUGGGUUGUGGUGAAGUCUGGCUGCGAUGAGUCUGGUCGGAAGAGACCUCUGUGUAGGAGAUAGCUUGGACCCUUUUGAGUAAGGUGGCUGUCUGUCCCAUCGCGGCGAUCAGGUGUGCGCGUACGCUGGAUCGGACACCCUGGCACUCAGGAGUAUCAGGGAGUCGGUCCAAGUUUGCCAUAGCAACAGCCACGUUAGCACUUGGCAUUUUGUAGACUUGCUGAUCUCCGACCAUGUCGAAAGCGUCACUGAGGUUGUGCAGCGCAAACUGUCGUUCCUCGUCCGCGCGUCGCCGAGCGCGGUCGGCAUUGCGCUAUUCGCGGAGCUGCUUCUGCUCAUCUGUUUCUCCCUCGACGACCGGUUCGUCGUUGCUGACAUUGAAGACGAGGUCUCACCGCCGGGGUGGAAAGACUGGAAAGCGAGAGAAACCCGAGGGAUACGGUGGUAAAUCCAAGUCGUAAUCUUCAUCCUCAGAGUUUAUGAAGCCUGGUCGUUCGGCAGUACUUGGAUUGACACCAUGUUGACGUAAUGGCGAGGUGGUCGAUUGCUCUGUCUCGGCGACCAUCCCGCCCUGUUGAAAAGGGAUUGGAUGUGCCGUGAGUAGUGAACGACCGAGUUGUUUAGUCCAUAGGGAGGACUCUGGUCAGAGUCUACCUUGAGUUCGACGGACCACCCCGUGGGGGUGGAAGUUAUUGUCAGAGAAGCCCCAGCUGUUCGUGUGUGAUGACACGAGUUGGCCGGCAGGAGUCGAAGGAGUCUGUCAGCAUGACUUGAUCAGAUCGGCGCAAGAUCCCAACUACCAGUCGGGAGGCUUCGAGGAGACUGAGAUCGGCGCGAUCAAGGGCUCAGAAAAGGUCCGAGUCUUCGACCUUCUUUCCCUUGUAACGAGGGAGUGGUGGUCGAGUGCUCAGUGUCGGCGUGAUCGGAGUCGACGUCACUGUCGUCCCAGAUCGGAUCUGGGUUUCUUCCGAAGUCGUGGUCGUGAGGCCGCCGCCAUGAGUCGUUGGUGAGGUCGUUGUCCCGAUCUUCACGACGUAGGAUAACUAGCUGAAGAUCAGCCGAUAACUUGCUACAAGCAGCAAGGAUAACUAGUGCAACCUGACGACACGCACAAGGAGCCAACCACCGUCUCUAUACGGCAGCCUGAACCAAGGAUUCGCCCAACCACACUCUCAAAGAACCAACCUACGCAACCUGAACUCGAGGAUCAGGAGCACGGAUUGGGUGCCGAUGACGCGGCCGCUUCUGUAAUCUCCGCGAAGGAAAACACAAGAGCAAAGGGGUAGAGAUCUCUCUCUGAAUUUGUUAGCACACAGCUGAACAAAGUGGUUUGUAUUCUCAAUAUCCUAAGUCUUGGAUUACAAUGAGUCUUAGAGGGUAUUUAUAUUAGCAAUAGCCCUGCUAGAUAGGUAUGAAAACGAAAUAGAGUUUCUGAGGGAAGGCAAUGUGAAAGGUCCCCUCGAAAUGGAUUCCCGAAGUGGCUUCGCGUGACUGUUGGCCUCCAGAGCAGUUUCCAAUAAACUGACCAUAACUUUUUAUUGGGAAGUCCAAAUGAUGAACCAUUUCCUGGGUGUGAAACUAGACUCCAAGAGCUUUCCAGCAAUGUAUGCCAUGCACCACGAAACGCUGUAGAUUGGUACAGUUUUACUUGGCAAGUUGUACCAACAUUCUGUCACGACAGACUGUUGACCUUCUGAGCAGUCUGUACUAGUUCUGGUCUGCAGGCAAUAUGGAGGAUCCAAACUGGUCACCACUAGAUUCAUUGGAAAGUAGACUUGUCAAGCUUUCCAACAAGUGCUCAUGGGCCUUCAUAGCACCUUGGUAGUGAAAGUUAUGAUCUUUUCUUUCAACUGGUCCGUUCUGCACCGCACUGGUCCGAUCUGCCCUUCUUUCAACUGGUCCGUUCUGCACCGUGUUGUUCCAAUCCUUGCGGUCCAGGUCACCUCCCUUCUCAUGUGUAUACCUAAGCACAACCAAAGUAGAACACUUAGGUAGUAUAAUAUUCUCAUUAACAUUAAUAGAACUCUCACAAAGUAGCGCGUUCACCUCUUGUUGUAGCUUCUUGGCUCGGCUACGUGUAAUUGCUCCAUCAAUGGCUUGGGCUGGUGCCGGCGUAGUCGGUGUAGAGGUUGGCGUGGAAUUGGAGGAAGCAUGCUUGGUUGGGAUGUCCUCAUCAUCCUCCCCCUCUUGAAAAGGAGUCGACCUCGACUCUGAUUCUUCUAAUCUGAAGAAUGGUGUCAAGUCAGCAACAUUGAAGGUUGUGCUAACACCAUAAUCUUCAGGAAGCUCAAUCUUGUAGGCAUUAUCAUUGAUCCUGGAUAGCACUCUGAAUGGACCAUCUCCCUUCUUGCGAUGCUUGUUUGGUCUUCUCAUCUUUGGCCAGUAGAAGUGAUCAGCUAGCAUCUCAUAUGUCUUUCUCCAUCCAAAGUGACCCAUCAAUCCACCUGCAUGUGUUUCCUGUAGCAACAAAAGCCUAACAGAGCAGUGGGGUACACACAAUUUGUUAGCUCGAAACAAAAAUCCAUCAUGUAUAUGAUAUUUUUCCCACCCUUUUCCAAUUGUACAGUUUGCAAAUGGUUCUGAAAAUUCAUGAUCAGUAGGGUACAAUUCUUUUAUGCUUUCAAGUCCUGGAACCUUGACAUCUAGUUGAUUCAACAAAACAUUUUUACGUGACAAAGCAUCAGCAACAAUGUUUUCUUUACCUUUCUUAUAUUUCACAACAUAUGGAAAAGUUUCAAUGAAUUCAACCCAUUUGGCAUGUCUACGAUUCAGUUUUGCUUGCCCCUUUAAAUAUUUCAAAGCCUCAUGAUCUGAAUGAAUAACAAAUUCUUUUGGCCAUAAAUAAUGUUGCCAAGUCUCAAGAGCUCUUACCAAAGCAUACAAUUCUUUGUCAUACACCGAGUAGUUCAGUUGGGCACCUCCUAACUUCUCACUGAAGUAUGCAACCGGCUGUCCAUUUUGCAUUAGGACACCACCGAUUCCGAUCCCACUUGCAUCACAUUCAACCUCAAAGGUUUUAGUGAAAUCCGGUAACACCAGCAAGGGGGCUUCGGAUAGCCUCUUCUUCAAUUCUUGGAAUGCUCUCUCUUGUGGUUCACCCCAUUGGAAGGCAACACCUUUCUUUGUUAACUCAUUCAACGGAGCAGCUAUAGUGCUGAAAUCUCUCACAAAUCUCCUGUAAAAACCAGCAAGUCCAUGAAAACUUCUCACCUGACUCACAUUUUCAGGAGUUGGCCAAUCCUUGAUUGCUUUCACCUUUGAUUCAUCAACCUGAAUUCCUGAACCUGAAACAAUAAAACCAAGAAACACAACCUGAUCUGUACAAAAUGUGCACUUCUCAAGGUUAGCAAAUAAUUUUUCUUUUCUUAGCACAUCCAAAACUUGCUUAAUAUGAUCAACAUGUUCCUCCAAUGUCUUGCUGUAAAUUAGAAUAUCAUCAAAGUAAACAACAACAAACUUUCCAAUGAAUGCUCGCAAGACAUGGUUCAUCAAUCUCAUGAACGUGCUAGGGGCAUUGGUCAAACCAAAAGGCAUAACUAACCAUUCAUACAGCCCAAACUUUGUUUUAAAAGCAGUUUUCCAUUCAUCUCCAAUCUUCAUUCUAAUUUGAUGGUAACCACUUCUCAAAUCAAUUUUAGAAAACAUCAUAGAACCACUUAAUUCAUCAAGCAUAUCAUCUAGCCUAGGAAUAGGAUGACGAUAACGAACAGUGAUGUUGUUUAUGGCUCUACAAUCUACACACAUCCUCCAAGAACCAUCUUUCUUUGGCACCAAAAUCACAGGAACAGCACAAGGACUUAAACUUUCUCGCACAUAUCCUUUAUCUAAAAGUUCUUGUACUUGCCUUUGAAUCUCCUUGGUUUCUUCCGGAUUGGUGCGGUACGCCGGACGGUUUGGAAGUGCAGCUCCAGGGAUGAGAUCAAUUUGAUGUUCGAUACCGCGCAAAGGAGGAAGUCCAGCAGGUGUUUCCUUUGGAAAAACAUCGUCAUAGUCCUGCAAAACACGUGCAACAACACUAGGGACAGAUGUUAAGUCAUUAGCUGAAAGCAAUGUGUCCUUGCACACAAGUACAAAUAGUACUUGAUCUGGGUUUUUCCUCACAUCUCUCAGUUCAGAUUUGGUGGCUAUCAUCACGAAGUUCUCUCCCUCUCUUUUUGUGUCAUCUCUCAUGUUUGGCUUGUGGCUCUCACUCACUGAUUUGUGGAGGGCACUCAAAUUAUUUUUCUCUCCUUCUUUUGUACUCUCAUUCCUCACUUCGGAGCUCUUUUGCAAGUGCUCAGCUAGGAUUUGUUGCGGUGUCAUGGGUUUAAGAAUCAACUCCUUGUUCUUCCACUUGAUGGUGUAUUGAUUGGUUCUACCACAAUGUAGAGACGAUCGAUCAUAUUGCCAUGGUCUUCCCAACAGCAUGUGGCACACUGUCAUAGGCGCCACAUCACACUCUACAGUGUCAAUAUAUUCACCAAUCUUGAAUGGAACUUUCACUCUUUGUGCAAUCUUAAUAGAACCUGAAUUAUUAAGCCAUUGCACAUGAUAUGGAUGGGAAUGUUUCAACAGCUUUAACCCAAGCUUUUCAACCAUUUUUUUGCUUGCAAGAUUGUGGCAACUGCCACCAUCAAUGAUCACUUUGACAACCUUAUCUUGCACUUUAGCUCUAGUCUGAAAAAGAUUGUGCCGCUGUCCAUUUUCAGCAUCGCUCAUUUGUACACUCAAAAUCUGAGUUACAACAAGAGCAGCACCAGAUUCAAAUUCACAGAUGUCCUUCUCAAGAUUACUCUCACUUCCACUAUCUUCUUGUUCUUCCUCACUAGCAGAUUCAUACUCCCCUUGAUCAUUCACAAUGAUGGUUCUAGCGUUUGGACACUCUCUUGCAACAUGACCACGACCACCACACUUGAAGCACUGAAUUCCACUACUCUUGCUGGAAGAACCCACUGAGUUUGCUGAUUUGAAUUUCUCAUUUUGAGCAGCCAACUCUUUGCUACUAGAAGAGCCAAGGUUGCUAGAUCGUGCACCACUGUUUGAGCUGGAAAAUGUACCUUUACUUCCACUUCCUUUAGGUGCAAAUUUACUUCCACUUGCUGCACUUUUUGUGCUGAAAGAUACUCCUCUAGUGGACUUCAUAUCCUGCUGCAAUUGCCGCUCAGCUUUGCUAGCUUGAUGCACCAAUUCAACAAGAUUACGAUAUUGCUGAAAUUCAACAAUGCGCUGAAUAUUCUGAUGCAGCCCUGACAUAAAUCUUGCAAUUGUUUACUCUUCAUCUUCAAUUACAUUGGCUCUAAUCAUCGCCUUCUCCAUCUCUUUAUAAUACUCAUCAACACUGAGGCUUCCUUGCUUCAGAUUCUGUAGCUUGUCAAAUAAAUCACGGCGAUAAUGUUUGGGGACAAAUCUUGCUCUCAGUUCUCUCUUCAUUUCAGCCCAUGAACGAACAUCACCUUGACCAGCUUCUUCUCUUUCAUUCAACAUUUGCUCCCACCAGAUUAGAGCAUACCCAUCGAACUCAAGAGCAGCCAUGGCAACCUUCUUUCUCUCAGAAUAAUUAUGCACACGAAAAACUUUAUCCACCUUCAACUCCCAUGUAAGAUAUGCUUCAGGAUCAGAUCCUCCUUCAAACUGGGGCAUGGUGAAUUUUAACUUGCCAAACCUCUCUUCAUUGUGCUGAUUACGCCUACGAUUUCUUCGGUGACGACGAUCAUCAUAAUGGGGCUGUUCAUCCUCUUCUUCUUCAUCUUCAUGGUGACUGCCAUUUGCAUUAUCAUGAGGAUGAAUUUGCAACCGGUUCAUGAGUGCUUGAACAUUGUUUGUUAGCGUCUCCAUGCUUUGUUUCAUCUCAUCGAAUUGUGCCAUGGUGACACAAUCAUCAAUCUCUGGAUGCUCAGUCAUCUUGCUGUAAAAAAUUAGUGAAGGCAAAGCAACAAUAUAUGUAGAAUAGGGAAUUAUAUGUGGAAUCUCACAAUCUCACCUCUCUUACCAACCGAAGCUCAUGUGAGUUCCCCGCAGAUUACAACGGUCAAUGCGAGGUGGUAACCGAGAAUGAUGGUUGGGAGAAUCCAAGAUCAGAAUUUUCCUAUGACGGUGGGUUAUUUGUGGAGCUUGGUGGGGAUAUAUUUCACAAGGAAUGCAAUCUGAAUUCUUGAUAUUGUAAAGUUAAACCACAAUCCAAACUAGAAGUUCAAUGCCUAGUGCUGACCACAAGAUAUGAGUGAUGUAAAUAGAUCAAACACACGCGCAAAGAUAAUUCAGAUUUGAUGCAAACAAGGAGUAUUCCUAGGAUGCAAGUGUUGCAAUCAAACCCAAGCAAAAUUUUGCACCAAAGAUGGAUAAUGACUGAUUGUGUGUCUUGAUAUAAAAUUCAGAACUUGAGCACAUAAACAGAGUGAAUUUUCUACUCUUUCUUCACAACUUUUCUUCCUCAACUCUCUUUUUUUUUCACUUUCCUUUUUUUUGAUACCUUUUUUUUUAUAACUAAGAACAAGAGCAGAUAUAACACUUGCACACACUUUUUUUUUGAAACAAGACACAACCGUCAGCGUUCUAACUUGAUAGGCUCAAAGUUUACGCGAAGGAUGAUACCGGUUUUAGAUUUUCUUUAGGGAUUUGUAGAUAUAAAAGAGGCACAAAGGACACACAAAGGAUAUGAUGAUCAGCAACUAAACAAAACUCUAAUGGACUGAAACUUAACCAAACUCACAAGAAAAACAGAUUGAAACAAAGGGCUAAUGCACAAAAAAAUUUAUGGCUUUUUUGGUGGAUAGGACGAACAAGAUAUAUAUAUGUAGCUAAGGGUAAAAAUCCUACCGUGGAAACUUGAGCUUUGAUACCAGAUGGUGAGGUCGUUGUCCCGAUCUUCAUGACGUAGGAUAACUAGCUGAAGAUCAGCCGAUAACUUGCUGCAAGCAGCGAGGAUAACUAGUGCAACCUGACGACACGCACAAGGAGCCAACCACCGUCUCUAUACGGCAGCCUGAACCAAGGAUUCGCCCAACCACACUCUCAAAGAACCAACCUACGCAACCUGAACUCGAGGAUCAGGAGCACGGAUUGGGUGCCGAUGACGCGGCCGCUUCUGUAAUCUCCGCGAAGGAAAACACAAGAGCAAAGGGGUAGAGAUCUCUCUCUGAAUUUGUUAGCACACAGCUGAACAAAGUGGUUUGUAUUCUCAAUAUCCUAAGUCUUGGAUUACAAUGAGUCUUAGAGGGUAUUUAUACUAGCAACAGCCCUGCUAGAUAGGUAUGAAAACGAAAUAGAGUUUCUGAGGGAAGGCAAUGUGAAAGGUCCCCUCGAAAUGGUUUCCCGAAGUGGCUUCGCGUGACUGUUGGCCUCCAGAGCAGUUUCCAAUAAACUGACCAUAACUUUUUAUUGGGAAGUCCAAAUGAUGAACCGUUUCCUGGUUGUGAAACUAGACUCCAAGAGCUUUCCAGCAAUGUAUGCCAUGCACCACGAAACACUGUAGAUUGGUACAGUUGUACUUGACAAGUUGUACCAACAUUCUGUCACGAUAGACUGUUGACCUUCUGAGCAGUCUGUACUAAUUCUGGUCUGCAGGCAAUAUGGAGGAUCCAAACUGGUCGCCACUAGAUUCAUUGGAAAGUAGACUUGUCAAGCUUUCCAACAAGUGCUCAUGGGCCUUCAUAGCACCUUGGUAGUGAAAGUUAUGAUCUUUUCUUUCAACUGGUCCGUUCUGCACCGCACUGGUCCGAUCUGCCCUUCUUUCAACUGGUCCGUUCUGCACCGUGUUGUUCCAAUCCUUGCGGUCCAGGUCACCUCCCUCCUCAUGUGUAUACCUAAGCACAACCAAAGUAGAACACUUAGGUAGUAUAAUAUUCUCAUUAACAUUAAUAGAACUCUCACAAAGUAGCGCGUUCACCUCUUGUUGUAGCUUCUUGGCUCGCCUACGUGUAAUUGCUCCAUCAAUGGCUUAGGCUGGUGCCGGCGUAGUCGGUGUAGAGGUUGGCGUGGAAUUGGAGGAAGCAUGCUUGGUUGGGAUGUCCUCAUCAGUCGUCCACGUGAUCCGGCCGACGGUGAACGUGAGACCUUCGGGCACGGCCGCGGAAGCUGGAACGAUGACCAUCUUGUUCGUCGAGAGAGCUGUACGCACACCCCCCACCUGGCGCGCCACUGUCGACGAAAGCUAGUCGGCAGUCUACGUUGGGGUAUAACCACUGUUGACGGUUCUUAAGUAUCAAUUUUAAUUAUCAAAUAAACAAGAGAAAGGACCAAUAUGCAACCAACACCAAGAAUUAGGGUUUGAUCUGACAGAAUUCCACGAGUUUUGUUGUUUAUCUGUUUCUGCAGGGGGUUAUCAGGAAAUAAGGAAGAAAGGCCCACAUCUCGGGUUUACAUAGAGAUAUCAACGCACCGCGCAAUUUUUUACCAUCUAGAAGACUCAAGAAGCCACGGGAAGGAAGCAGAGGCCGAACAGAGCCAGGCCCUAGGCGCCCGCCCAGAUGACCUGGGCGCCCGCCCUCUGUUGGAUGCCAAUCAGAACUCUUUUCGCACACGACGUUCCACCGACCUAAAGGAUCAAGGAUAACCGUCCAAUCAAUGUCGAUUUGAUCCAACGACCCACGUUCACUUGAAGGGACUAUAAAACCAGACCCCCUGGCCCCUGGAGGAGACAAGUUUAUCAUAGAGUUGAGGGGUGCCCUCGAAGGAAAACAUCUUCUCUAAAUAAAAUUUCUUUUAGGCUUAGCAACCAAUGUGAGUAGAAAUAGAUCUUCUAGUUUCUACUAGAUUGAGAGAGAUAGAGUGGAGGUGUAGAUCGGAGGAAGCCCGGCCUGUCGGUGUCUACCCUGAGUUUGUACCUGUGGGAUCAAGUUCUCCUAACCCGAAGCUUGCUCCUAGGAUUCUUCAGUAUUUCGACAUCUAAAUUCUAGUAAGUUCUUGUUUUAUUGUUCUUUUGGUUUAUGAGUUUACUUUAAUCUCUUCGCGUAGAGUUUAGAGUAAUCAUUGCUAGCGUAAACUUGGUGUUUAGGCUAGGGUACUCAUAGAUAUUCCCUGACUAGCUAGACCGUGGUAGUAGCGAGGAACGGGACAUUUACGAGUUACCUUUGAAGACCAUAUCUCGUUAGCAGGAAGGAUAGGGUUUAUAGGUGCGGGUUGAACAUCCUCUGUGGUGUCUAGAUUCCGUUGGCCUCCCCAAUAGAACAGUAGAUCAUCCUUACCAAGGUUAGAAGGAGACUACGGUUGCAGCCUUCUCUAUUUAUCACUCACAUCGAGAAACAUUCUUUGUUGCCUAAAGGGUUAGUAGUAAUAGACCGGGUUAGUCAGAUGCACUCUUUCUCCUAAUGGUAAAAAUAUAAAUACGAUACUCUGGAUAACCUCCUGGGUGAAGUGCUCACCGAUAUCCGUGCGCUUGCGGAUCAAUUCCUUAUUGCGUUCCCAAAUAUCAACAAGCAUUUCUGGCGCCGUUGCCGGGGAGAAAGACGGUUUGCUGAGAUAACCUUGAGUCUUACUACUAGCUUGUAUCUAUACUUUUAUCUUUUCUUAUCUUUUAUAUUCUUUGCUUAUUUUCUUUCUUACCUUAUGGAAAACCAAAAUUCUAAAUCGAUCCAUGAAUUUGCAACACCUUCGGAAACUGACCUUUUACCAUGGGAGUCGUCACAGCCUAUCCAAACAUCCCAGUAUAGGUUAAGUUCUAGGUUGAUUGCCAUGAUUCAAAACCUAUCUUUUUCGGGAAAGGAAGACGAAAACCCUUACCUUCAUAUUAGAGAUUUUGAGCAAACAUGUGAUUGUCUUCGCAUUGAAGGCAUUUCUGAUAAAACUUUACGUUGGAAGCUUUUUCCUUUUUCCUUAAGGGGAGAAGCUAGACAAUGGUACAGUCAGAAGGUAAGUCAACAAUGAGGUGAAUGGGGAGUUUUACGAGCCAACUUUUGUCUAGAUUUUUAUUCCCUCGACCGUAUCGGCGACCUUAGACUCGAAGUCCUAUCUUUUAAACAAAAAGAUAAUGAAACUUUGGGAAAAUCCUGGAAACGUUUUUCUGAUCUUUUAGAAUCUGGUCCAAACCUUAAUCUUGAAGACCCUUGUUCUUUUAUUUCACUUUUUUCGAGGUCUUCAGAAAAAUCAUAAACAAAUGCUACAUACAAUGUCUAGAGGUUCUUUCUUUCGCAUCCCUACUGAUGAAGCUAGAGUGAUCCUAGAUAGAAUCCUAGAAGCUGAGAUGGAUAAUACACUUCAUGAUGAAACCUACGAAGCCGAAGCAGACACUCUGCCAAAUUCUUCAUCUACUUUAGCUAUCCUAAGUUCUGAGCCACAAAAGGAAGAAAUUCCACCACCGUACUUCAUGCUGGAUAUAGAAUAUGAUCUUUUUGCCGAUUUUGGAAACAUUUCAAACUACCAUUCUAUGAACAGACCCCAAAACGGCCAUCUUAGCAUUUGUUUGCCAACUGAAUAUCAAUUGAGAGAGCUUAUCUCAGUUAUGAGUAGCGAGUGGUUGGAGGAAUCAGAGCUUUCCUCUGAUGUGAUCCGUUUGGACACACCCUCUAUAACUAUACGCUGUGCUUAUAAUUCUGAUCGAUUUGAUGCUCUCUAUAAUCCUGUUGUGGGGAUCAACAUCAUGUCUGAAUCUUUUGCACUUAAACUAUUUAAAAAUUUGUUCUUAAUCCCCACAACAAAGGUCAUAAAGGAAUCUUUGGGACGAUUAGUUUCCAGUCUUGGAAUUAUUAAUGUCCUACCCAUUACGGUAGGAAGCUCCAUGGUUCAUUUGAACUUCUAUAUCUUUGAUACAUGGGACUUCGACCUGUUGAUAGGACAACCUUUUAGAAGACUCAUUUAUGAAGGUCAUACUGGAAAGCUACACAUUUCAUUUGGAAAAACAUUUAAAUUCCCCAUAACAAUUUCACACUCCUUAAAUAAUAAGGCCGAGUCAUAUCUUUUGCCUGAUCCUAUAGAGGAGGUAAAGGCUGCAUCUCUUGAGCUUUUAGAUGAACCAGACUUAGAAGACGAAAAUCCUUUCUUCACAGAAGAAGAAGCUGAACCUUCUGAACCUGAACCCUUAGAUGAGUUUGUAGAAACACCUAGACCUCCCAUAGAGCUUAAAACUUUACCACCCGGUCUUAUCUAUGCUUUCCUAAACAAUAAUCUAGAGUUUCCUGUGAUCAUUAGUGACAAACUCACUCAGGACCAAACUCUGCGAUUAAUGACCAUUCUUGAGAAACAUCACUCAGUUUUCGGCUACUCACUCCAAGAUCUUACAGGAAUCAGUCCUAUGAUUUGUACCCAUCGUAUUCCAACAGAUCCUUCUGUUUCACCUUCUCGAGAACCCCAACGUAGACUUAACAACACUAUGAGAGAGGUAGUUAAAAAAGAAGUUAUAAAGUUGCUGCAUGUAGGGAUUAUAUAUCCUGUGCCACAUAGUGAGUGGGUGAGCCCAAUUCAAGUUGUGCCUAAAAGGGAGGCAUGACUGUUAUUAUGAAUGAAAAGAACGAGCUAAUUCCGCAACGCACCGUCACAGGAUGGCGGAUGUGCAUAGACUACAGAAAACUAAACAAAGCUACAAGAAAGGAUCACUUUCCUUUACGUUUUAUAGAUGAGAUGCUAGAGCGAUUAGCGAACCAUUCGUUCUUCUGUUUCUUAGAUGGAUAUUCAGGGUAUCACCAAAUCCCGAUCCAUCCCGAUGAUCAAAGCAAAACCACUUUUACAUGCCCAUAUGGAAUUUAUGCUUACCGUAGAAUGUCUUUUGGGUUAUGUAAUGCACCAACUUCUUUUCAAAGAUGCAUGAUGUCUAUAUUUUUUGAUAUGAUUGAAGAGAUUAUGGAAGUUUUCAUGGAUGAUUUCUCUGUUUAUGGAAAAACUUUUGAUAGUUGUCUUGAAAACUUAGAUAAGGUUUUGCAAAGAUGUGAAGAAAAGCACUUAGUCCUUAAUUGGGAAAAAUGUCAUUUUAUGGUUAGGGAAGGAAUAGUGCUAGGACACCUAGUAUCUGAAAGAGGUAUUGAGGUAGACAAAGCUAAAAUUGAAGUAAUUGAACAACUACCUCCACCUGUGAAUAUAAAAGGAAUUCGAAGCUUUCUUGGCCAUGCUGGUUUUUAUCGUAUAUUCAUAAAAGAAUUUUCAUUCAUUGCUAGACCACUUACUCUUUUGCUAGCCAAGGAUGCUUCUUUUGAAUUUGAUGAUGCAUGUCUAACAUCUUUCAAUUUAUUAAAGAAAGCACUCAUCUCUACACCAAUCGUUCAACCCCCUGAUUGGUCGUUGCCUUUUGAAAUUAUGUGUGAUGCUAGUGAUUAUGUUGUGGGGACAGUUUUGGGACAAACUAAAGAUAAGAAGCAUCAUGCAAUUGCUUAUGCCAGUAAAACUUUGACAGGAGCUCAACUUAAUUAUGCAACCAUUGAAAAAGAGCUUCUGGCUGUUGUCUUUGCCAUUGAUAAAUUUAGAUCUUAUUUAGUUGGAGCUAAAAUAAUUAUUUACACUGAUCAUGCUGCACUAAAAUAUUUGCUCACUAAAAAAGAUGCUAAACCUCGCCUGAUUAGAUGGAUCUUAUUACUUCAAGAAUUUGACUUAGAAAUAAAAGAUAAAAAGGGAGUAGAAAAUUCUGUUGCUAAUCACUUGUCUAGAAUGUAUUUUAAGAGUCCACAGGAAACCCCCAUCAAUGAUUCACUCUGGGACGACAUGCUCUACGGGAUUAACAGGUCUGACCCCUGGUAUGCAGAUAUUGUUAAUUUUAUGGUUUCAGGGUAUGUACCACCAGGAGCAAACAAGAAGAAGCUUAUUCAAGAAAGUCAUUCACAUAUAUAGGAUGAGUCAUACCUCUUCCGAGUAUGCUCUGAUGGCUUACUCAGGAGAUGUGUGACCACUGAGGAAGGAUGGAAGAUCAUCGACAGAUGUCAUUCAUCACCAUAUGGAGGUCAUUAUGGAGCAUUCCGUACACAUUCAAAGAUCUGGCAGUGUGGAUUCUACUGGCCUACAAUGUAUGAAGACACGAAGCAAUAUAUCAGAAGAUGUGGGCCAUGUCAAAGGAACGGAAACAUAAAUACAAGGGAUGCAAUGCCACUCACCAACAACCUUCAGAUUGAGCUCUUUGAUGUUUGGGGAAUAGACUACAUGCGUCCAUUUCCUCUAUCAAAGAAGUGUGAGCACAUCUUGGUGGCAGUUGAUUAUGUCUCCAAGUGGGUAGAGGCAUUACCUUGCAAGCAUGCCGACAACAUCAGCUCAAAGAGGAUGUUUAAAGAAAUUAUAUUUCCAAGAUUUGGAGUCCCCAGAGUAGUGAUAAGUGAUGGAGGAGCACACUUCAUCGACAAAUGCUUCAAGCAAUAUCUAUCAAAACAUGGAAUCCGUCACAACGUCGCUACCCCCUAUCAUCCUCAGACAAGUGGCCAAGCAGAGACUUCCAACAAACAAAUCAAGAAUAUUCUUCAGAAGACAGUGAAUGAAAUGGGAACGACAUGGAAAGACAAGUUACCCGAUGCACUUUGGGCAUACCGGACAGCAUACAAGACUCCAAUUGGAAUGUCUCCAUACCAAUUGUUGUACGGGAAGACUUGCCACCUACCUGUUGAACUAGAGUUCAAAGCACAUUGGGCCAUAAAGAGAUGGAAUAUGGACCUAGAUGUCGCUGGAAAUCAUAGAAGAAGGCAACUAUCAGAAUCGGAAGAAUGGUGAGAGAAAGCAUAUCACAAUUCAAAGAUCUAUAAAGAAAGAGUCAAAAGGUGGCAUGACAAGAGAAUCAAGAAGAAGGAGUUCGCACCCGGAGAUAAGGUAUUACUUUUUAAUUCCAGGGUGAAGCUUUUCGGGCAUGGAAAACUCCAGAGCAAAUGGGAAGGACCAUUCAAGGUGAUCAAUUCAUCAUCCCACAGAGCUAUCACACUUCAAAAUGACGAAGGUACGUUAUUUAAGGUAAAUGGUCAACGUCUUAAAUUAUUUUUAGAGCCCAAUAAAGAAUUAGAAGAAACAGACAUAGUCCAUUUUUUACCUUCCCAUGGAGAUAUAGAGCCCGACCUUUUUAAUCUGAUGUUUUUGGGUUAUACAUAUAUUUUUCCUAAAUAGUUUUGCAUCUAGAAACGCGCUCGAGAAAGUGGGCCCACAGAGGGGCCAGAGAGAGGGCGGGCGACCAGAUCAGGUGGGCAGGUGCCCAGCUCCUGUUCCCCCUCGGUCCCGAUUUUCUCUGUUAUGGAAAAUGCACUUAUGGUAAUCCGAAUAAUCCCUCAGAUGGAAAGUUUCGUACGCCCAGCGACGGGAGCAACCAGAACAACCCCUAGAGGCACUUUUUGACCCCUAUAUAAACAGACCCCUGACAUCAGUUUUGAAACACCAAACCACCAAGCCUUCUCUUCUUCUUCAAUUAGAGCUUGUUUAGUCCCUUGCUGCUCCAAUAGCCGAGAAGUUCCAUGAUGAUUGGGAAGUCGUCCCCUUCAACCUCAACAUGAAGCCUGAGGAAGACCCCGACGCCCGUGCUCUCAUCCCGGCCAACACAGAGCGACAGCUAGAAGCCAUGCUAUUACACCAACGCAGCUCCACAAAAUCCUAUCAUGCACAACCAGUUCUCACCGCACCGCCACAACCCCUACUCCUCAAGGGAUCAUCAUCCAAGACGAAGACCACCAUCCUGGUGCCAACAGGCACAAGGAUCCUUAUUAUUAUUAUUAAAGAGUAUUAUUAUUACUAUUAUGUCUUGUGUGUCUCUACUUUAUUCUUGUGCAAGAAAGCAGAAAACAAGUAUGGGGGAUAUCCCUCGACAUGCCAAACACACUUCGACUACACCACUCCACAAUUUAGGUACACACUCUGCACACUUUACUUUACAUAUACAUAUCUUGGAUUAUACAGAAUAUUGUUUCCGACAUGAUAAAGAUUUAAAAUGUUUCUAAUCAUGAUUAAUCUCACUCUAUGAUAUUUCCUAAAACUUGCAAUUAUUGAAAAUCAUUUUAAACCCUGUGUUAUUUAAGUCAUUAUGGAAUGUGAGAUGGUAGAGUAUGAGUUUCUUAUUCUUAUCAUUGUUGCUUGGAGAAUUUAUUUCAAAAUCUUUAAAAUUCUAGCUAUCAUCCUCAGUAUUUUAUAUGCCUGAUAAAACUGAAAAUAUUAAUUAUGAAAGCUAUCUACUCUGUAUUGAGUUUGUUCAAAAUGAGUUAGACCCUUGUUGAGAGACUUAUCAUGCUCCUAAGAUUAAGACAUUUAUUCAGAAAGAUUCACUCUUCUGAAGUAUUAUUGCAUUAGAGGCAUGGGCUAUGCAAAAAUAAGGAUAUUUCGAGGAAAUAAAAAGGAGCAAGUGCUCGACAACCUCGCAGAAAAAAAUGGACAAGUGUCCGGCAGUAGAAUUAGGGGUACCUUGGUAUCCACUUAGAAAAAGAGAAAAAGAAAAAUAAAAUGAUAGCCCAUGGUCCCUCUAAUAAGCAAUAUGCCAGCAAGAGUUGACAAAGUUUUUAAUUUCCAAAGUCUUUGAUCUAAGAGUAUGACAUUCCCCUCCUCGGAUCCCGUUUUGAUCAAGCAAUAAAUGCAAAGUAAGUAUGCUUAAGAAUUUUUGCAAAUUAAAACAGCCUCAGUGAGAUAUAUAAAAGAUAAUGAGUGAUCGGAGAGAACCUAUGAGGAUAAAAGGUAUGCUAACUUUCUUUUAAAAAAUAUACAAAAACUCCAAGUGACAGGAUUGAGAAGAAAGGAUCUUUACUCUUAACCAUAUACUUCCCUGACUAUGGUACACAGUGGAUUUUAACACCCUGCAGUUAUGAAGAGAAUGUUUUAAAAUGUUUUACCCCAGAUAUUGUUCUUAACCAUCCUUUUCUCGAGGACGAGUAAAAGCCUAAGUAUGGGGGUAUUUGUUGACGGUUCUUAAGUAUCAAUUUUAAUUAUCAAAUAAACAAGAGAAAGGACCAAUAUGCAACCAACACCUAGAAUUAGGGUUUGAUCUGACAGAAUUCCAUGAGUUUUGUUGUUUAUCUGUUUCUGCAGGGGGUUAUCAGGAAAUAAGGAAGAAAGGCCCACAUGUCGGGAUUACAUAGAGAUAUCAACGCACCUAGCAAUUUUCUACCAUCUAGAAGACUCCAGAAGCCACGGGAAGGAAGCAGAGGCCGAACGGAGCCAGGCCCUGGGCGCCCGCCCAGUUAACCUGGGCGCCCGCCUCUGUUGGAUGCCAAUCAGAACUCUUUUCGCACACGAUGUUCCACCGACCUAAAGGAUCAAGGAUAACCGUCCAAUCAAUGUCGGUUUGAUCCAACGGCCCACGUUCACUUGAAGGGACUAUAAAACCAGACCCCCUGGCCCCUGGAGGAGACAAGUUUAUCAUAGAGUUGAGGGGUGCCCUCGAAGGAAAACAUCUUCUCUAAAUAAAAUUUCUUUUAGGCUUAGCAACCAAUGUGAGUAGAAAUAGAUCUUCUAGUUUCUACUAGAUUGAGAGAGAUAGAGUGGAGGUGUAGAUCGGAGGAAGCCCGGCCUGUCGGUGUCUACUCCGAGUUUGUACCUGCGAGAUCAAGUUCUCCUAACCCGAAGCUUGCUCCUAGGAUUCUUCAGUAUUUCGACUUCUAAAUUCUAGUAAGUUCUUAUUUUAUUGUUCUUUUGGUUUAUGAGUUUACUUUAAUCUCUUCGCGUAGAGUUUAGAGUAAUCAUUGCUAGCGUAAACGUGGUGUUUAGGCUAGGGUACUCAUAGAUAUUCCCUGACUAGCUGGACCGUGGUAGUAGCGAGGAACAUGACAUUUCCGAGUUACCUUCGAAGACCAUAUCUCGUUAGCAGGAAGGAUAGGGUUUAUAGGUGCGGGUUGAACAUCCUCUGUGGUGUCUAGAUUCCGUUAGCCUCCCCAAUAGAACAGUAGAUCAUCCUUACCAAGGUUAGAAGGAGACUACGGUUGCAGUCUUCUCUAUUUAUCACUCACAUCGAGAAACAUUCUUUGUUGCCUAAAGGGUUAGUAGUAAUAGACCGGGUUAGUCAGAUGCACUCUUUCUCCUAGUGGUAAAAAUAUAAAUACGAUACUCUGGAUAACCUCCCGGGUGAAGUGCUCACCGAUAUCCGUGCGCUUGCGGAUCAAUUCCUUAUUACGUUCCCAAAUAUCAACACCCACGGUAGUAGUUUAUCGGUAGACGGUGCGCAAGCUACGAACUUGAUGGUGACGCAAGACACGGACAAGCUUUUUAUCCAGGUUCGGCCGCCGUGUGGGCGUAAUACCUACGUCCUGCGUCUGAUUGUAUUGGAUUGUAUUGAGAUAAUCAUGUCCUAGGGGGGUCCCUUGCCCCUCCUUAUAUAGUCCGGAGGGCAGGGUUACAGAUCUGGAAACUAAUCCUAGUCGGUUACAAUUGCCAUAGAUAGUUUGACAUCAAUUCCUAUUCUAACCGACUAGAAACCUGCUUGAUCUCCACGUCUUGUUUCCUUGCGCGAAACUUCGAGCAGUUGGAUCAAGCCUCGGACUGUCUUCGUGAUGGGCCAAACCUCCUGGCCCAAGUCUAGCCGUAAGAGUAUAGGGGUUUAUACCCCCACACUAGGUCAACCAUGAAAUAUGAUAUAUAUAUAGAGAGAGAGAGAGAUACUAAUUCAAGUGAAUGAUUCAAAAUAACAAAGUGGAUUUGAGCUAAAAAUGAUGGGAAAAUCACAAGCCAAAAAUAACAUGAAAAAGACAAGAAAGGAUGAAGUUAGUCACCUCUAAGCACGAAGAGACGAUGACGGAGUCGAAGAAGAUCAACGAUGGGCGUCGGAGAUGAAGAAUAAAGGAAGUGGGGAGUGGGGAGGAGGUAGCCGGCCUAUAAACCAGACCUUUAGCACCGGUGCUCUCGGUUUCAAAUGAUCCCCAGGCAGUGGGGAGGAGGUAGCCGGCCUAUAAACCAGACCUUUAGCACCGGUGCAGGGCAUAAAUCGGUGCUAAAGGGUCACCUUUAACACCGGUUUGUGCCACGAACCAGUGCUAAAGGGUUUGCCUCGGCCCAUGGCACUGGCCGGUGCUAAAGAGGACCCUUUAGCACUGGUUGGUAACAAGAACCGGUGCUAAAGGGUCCCUGCACUGACAACACCUGUCAGCAGCCGUUGGGCAGGACCCUUUAGCACUGGCCCGUGUUACAAACCGGUGCUAAAGAGGCCUUUAGCCCCGGGCCGCAAAAAGACCGAGGUUUUUGGCGAUUUUGGGCAUCGACCAAUGCCUGAUUCUGUAAUAGUGAACGUUGGAUAGAGCUUGACCUGAGCUAACCAUAAUCAUGUAGUAAUUUGUGCUAUAUCCUAUACAAGAAUGAACUUAACCAAUGCAGCUGUAUAAACUAAGCAACUCACCUAUGAGGGAUCGGACCUAACUGAGACAGCAACAUAGGUAACAACACAAAUCGAUAACUUAGGCCCUGUUUAGUUCCCCACCCAAAAUUUUUUCGUCCAUCCCAUCGAAUCUUUGGACACAUGCAUGGAACAUUAAAUGUACAUAAAAAAAUAAACUAAUUACACAGUUUGAUUGAACAACGUGAGACGAAUCUUUUAAGGCUAGUUACUCCAUGAUUAGCCUUAAGUGCUACAGUAACUCACAUGUGCUAAUGAUAGAUUAAUUAUGCUUAAUAGAUUUGUCUUGUAGUUUCCUGAUGAGCUAUGUAAUUUAUUUUUUUAUUAGUUUAUAAAAACCCCUCCCGACAUCCUUCCGACAUAUCCGAUGUGACAUCCAAAAAAUUUUCAUCUCCAAUCUAAACAGGGCCUUAUACCAAGCUUGCAGUGGAGAUCGGACCUAACUAGACAGUUGUACGAAUGAGAUAUAAACCGUGACAGGUAUUUAUAGACAAGUUGGAGGUUAGACCUAACCGAUGCAGCCCUACUCGCCAAAGACUUCGUCGAAAUCUACUCUACCGCUACUCCUAUGGGUGGCCGAAGCCGGUAAAAAAGGUAAAAGUACUUGUUUUGAUUGAUGAUGGGAUCGACAUUCCUAAUAACGUCACAUGGUCCUCUUGAUUCAGCAAAAUAUAUAUUUGAUUGUUUUCUUGUAUACAAUAUAACUGGAGGCACCAUAAAACAUACUUCCUCUGUACCAAACUAAAUGCCACUCUCAUUUCCCGAUGAGUCAAAUAUUAUUAACUUUGACCAAAAAUAUAUAAGAAAACUUUAAUAUUAUAGUACAUAAUUAGUAUUAUUAGAUAGAUCAUUGAAUAUGAUUUUAUAAUAAACUUAUUUAGAGACACAAAUGUUGGUAGGGUAGCUACAACAAUCGACUUUUAAGCUAGCUCUAAGCAUUUUUUUGUCAUGUUUUAAUAGAAGAGAGAGAAAAGUUAGCUCUUAAUCAAGAGCUAAGCUCUUGUACACAUUUCAAGGUUAUGUGAGAGUAUCAUGUGGGGUAGUUAAUGCUAAAAGCUUGUGCUAAAAGUUAGUACCGUUGGAGAAGUUGACUUAGAGAUAGUAACUAGCUCUAACUAUUGCAGGUGUCAUUAAUAUUUUCUAUAUACCUAGUCAAAUUUAUGAAAGAUAUGAAAGAUUGAUAGGUAAGAAUACCAUUUUGACACUUAUUUUAAGACGAAGGGAGUAUGUGAUGUCAUAGUGUUUGGUUUGGACUUACAUGCAAGUUACAUUUAGUAAGAUUAUAUUAUAUCGCACUUAGUCAUAUUUUGUUGAUCUUGCUUCUUCUUGAUCUCACUAUAUUCUUCAACUGAUAUUUGUCUUUCUGAAUCAACUGUUCUUGCCUCCUUGGCUCUGUCAGAAGUAAGCACUUUGAAUUUGCCUUUCUGGGAUGAAGAUGCAACCAUGUGUUGGGUAUUUUAAACACAAAUAGAAAAAUCCGCAAGCGCAUGGAUACCGAUGUAGCUUUCAUCUGGGAGUAUUCCAAUGUAUCGAUUUUCCACGGGAAACACGAAGUGUACUAGUUAAGGUUUAGAUCACCCAGGGAUAACUAUAUAUAUGAUUUUGUAGGGAGAGAGGAAUUUUCCUAAGAGUUCUAUAGAUUGAUCUAGAAAUCAAGGUUUACUUUAGGGUUACUUCUUUCGGGACAUCAGAACACUAACCAUAGAGGGGUGAGAUGGGGGCUAGAAAGCUCCGACUACGGUCCUACAAACACUGAUUCGAACGUGCUAGGAUACGUCGGCCGUCAGGACUGUCGCGAUCCUGGGGCUACCACAAUAAUUUGCUGGAUAGGGUGGAAUUCUAGGUAAUUGGAAGACUAAGCGCCACGCUUAACCUAUUAAUUACUACUCUAGCGUAUCAAAGAACUAGAGCACUUAAUGCAAGCAGGAAUCCAAUAAAUAACUUAAAAGUAGAUAUGGAAUUAAAUAAAGAACUCAGGAAUUAUAAAAUUAAAGAACCUGAAGAUUGCCCAAUGAUGAACUAGCUGCUGCAAAUGUACAAUAUUGAGAAAGAUCUGAUAGAUCCGGCUCCUCCUCAGCUCUCUCCUCUUCUCUCUCUCUCUCCCUCUUCUCUAGUUUACAACUAGAUCAACUAGAUGAUGAACUAAACAACUUCAACUAGAUGAACUAGAACUAGAACUAGAAGAAUGUAAGUGCAUUCGCCCCCGAUGUGGGUUUCGAUAAUUAGUGAUAAUUAAAUUAGGGACUAACAUGUUUAUCGAGCAUAAUCUAUAUGUGUUAGUCCAUUGAUGAAAUUGAACGAAAACCUUUGGUGAAUCACAACACCCCCAAAUUUUCAAUGAACGAACAACGUUUUGACUCAAGUGGCUAUAAAUUUUUAUCCUUUGCUGAGUUAUAGGAAACACCGCACUAUCAAGAGGGAUGCAAAUUAAGUUAGUAAGAUGAGGAUAAGGGUGCUCAAGUCUAGAUAUAUACAAUACGCUUGAGAUACACACUCGCACUCACGGGCACUUAGAAGAGUUCUUUUCUACCAAGGUGCGCUAGUAGUACCGACGCUCUGGGUCGGUGGUACCGGCAAGUCAAAGCCAUGCUUAGUGGCCUCUCUAGGAUCUAUGAGAAUUUGAACUGACGGUGGUACCGGGCUUAGGCCGGUAGUACCGGCUAGCGUCGGUAGUACCAGUGAAACGCCAGUAGUAUCGGUAGGUCAAAUUUGCACCAACUCUGAUUGCACAGAUUUGAACUGUCGGUGGUACCGGCCUUCCACCGGUGGUACCAGCGAUGGUCGGUAGUACUGACAGAAGCCCAGUAGUACCAGUAGGGUUAUUUCUUGUGCACCCUAGAACGUUCUAACGGUCUAUUAUGAGGUAGCUGGUGGUACCGGUGGUUUCCACCGGUAGUACCGAUAGUUGUUGUGAACAUAUGUAUAAAUAGCUCUUUCGUCUUGCCGGUUGGUUUGCAUUUUGUUAAUCUUGGGUUUUUGGAACUCUAGCCGGCUAGGCGUUCUACAUGGUUGCCCAUGUUGAUUCAUUUGUGAGGGCACCCUGAAGUGUUUGUAUCACCUUUUGAUUCUUAGUGGAAAUCUCGAGCCAACUUUUGUGGUUGCUUGGGGAGGGGACCUAAGUGGUCGGACCUUCGUGGUCACCUCAACAACAGGGACAUAGGAACUCCUUAGUGGGGAUUGCUGAACCUCAGGAAAAAAUAUCUUGUCUUGCUGUGGAGGUAGCUUCGAUUACCCUUGUUCUUGUGUUCUUCGUGUUCUUCCUCUCUACCCCAUUUCAUAGGUAAACAAGGGUCGAUCUACGUUGUGGAAAAGAACCAAGCCAAGGGAACUUCAACAUCAUCCUCUGCUACAUCUAGGAGAGUAGGGUAACUCUCAGAUGUGAAAUCAGAACUCAAUAUACUCUAAUUUCAUAGCCUUCUUAGGGCGUCGGUAGUACUAGCAGUUUGCGUCGGUAGUACUGGCUAUCUUACACCAGUAGUACCGGCCCAAACUGUCGGUGGUACCGACAGACAUUUAACUUCCGCAACUUGAGUUUUUAAGUUUCAGGUUUUUAAGAUACACCUAUUCACCCCCCUCUAGGCCAAUUAGAUCAUUUCAAAGAACUAGAACUAGAAGAUCUAGAGGGACAGCUACCUCUCUACUUGAUGAAACCCUAAUUUUUGCUUUGGAUGUAGCUAAUGAAGGAGAUGUCUCUGGGGGUCUGCCUCUGCUUAUAUAGCCUAGUGGGAUGAACCGCAUCCCACGGAUCAAACCAACUUGAAAAAAUGGUGUUCUAGUGUACUCCCUCCAUCUUACAAAUAAUAUCAUUCUCUUUUUUUAAGAAGUCAAACAUUUUUAACUUUGACCAAAUAUAUAUGAAAGAAUAUUAAUAUCUAUGGUAUAAUUAUCGUUAGAUUAAUCGUUGAAUAUUUUAUAAUAAACUUAUUUAGAGAUACAAAUAUUCUAAUGUUUUUUAUAAACCUAGUUAAAUUUAAAGAAGUUUGACCAGCUUUGUGAGAACUUUUUUUUGGAUGGACAGAGUAAGUCUCAUGUGUGUAGUAGAUGUGAGGAAGGCGGGGAGGCUACAUUUGUGUGUAGUAGAUGUGAGGAAGGUGGGGAGGUUACAUUUGUUUGUCUGAUCGGCAUGUGCAAAUCUACAUGUCUAAUACGAAUAAAAUCUAGCAUACUAAUUAAUAUUGCAUUGGCUUGCUCUGAGAAUUGUGCAAGCCAACAUUAGAGCCUUUGCGGACAAUCAAGCACCGAUAACCUACACAACAUAAUUAUGAAUACGAGCUAAUGCAAGGAACCAAAUAGGUCCAUAUAUACGAACAAGAAGAGAAAUAUAACAUGUUGUUCCAUAUGAUUAUCUCGGUUUAAUAGGAAUCCUAAAAGUUCAACUAUUUUGAAAAGGGCAUGAUACAUUUUGAUAUUGUUCCUGUUAUGAAAUAUUAAUGUGGAUGUCCAUAACUCCUAUACAACCAAAACUACAACCUUCUACUUCAAUGGUGUUAACUCUCCUAGUAUCAAUUCUUGUAAUUUCAUCUUACAUGUAUGGCUAUAUAUAGAGGAGGGCUUAUGUAUUGGAAAGGCGAUAAGAGAAAAGAGAACAGCUCAUUUUCUUCCUCUCUAAAUUUGGUCUUUACAUUCUUACAUACCUAUUAUUGAUAGUCAAACUAACUAUUGUAUAACAGUUCCAAAUAUUUACUACUCCUAAAAUUUCCUUUUAUUUCGUAGGCUCAAAUAAAGGGCUCCAUUGAUUGCUUUGGGUUUAAAUCCUUUAGGGCCCAUUAGAAUAAAGGAUUUACAAUACGCAUAAUAAGAAAACAUAGGAAUGAAAUAUCCUAACACUUCAAAUUCUACGUGCUUUCAGAACAAAGAAAAGUUUAGAAUUAUGCCUUUAGAAGCAAUGUUGAAAAAACAAAAGGAACAAAGCAAUGAAGUUGGAGUUCAUGUUUAGCCUAGGAUUUAUGAAGGAACUUUGUACGAUUGUACUUGGAACAAAGGAUUGAUCACAUUCCUACAAAAUUCUUAUGGAAUCAUUUACUCAUAGAAAUUUUAAUGGAAAUCUAACAUGUGGGUUCAACCUCUUAGAAACUUUCAUUUGUGUGUGUCUCUCUAUUCUAAUUCGUGUGUUUCUCCUGUAUUGUAUCCAAAUGCUCAAUUAGAAACUUUUCUCCAUUUGUCAAUUCCUAUAAGAUUGCUAGUAACAUGCAGCUAUAAUACUUUUUUUUUUCUAUUCCUAUGGUUUUGAGAUCCUGUGUCCCAAAUAGGCUCUAAGAAUGGCCUAAUCCAUAGGAAUUUCAAAGAAAUUAUUGGGAAGCAUUCCUUUGUUCCAAAGGGUAGGAUAGGAAUUUUCCUACUAGAAUUGAAUCCUUCAAAACUCCUUUGUUGUUUCUUCAUUCCAAAAGGGGCAAAGAAUAAGUUUCCCCCUUUGUUUCAAAGGACUCGGCUCUAGUUGGAGUCCUCGUUCAUCAAAACGGAAAUGCUAAUGAAUAUGUUUCUUGGUAAUCUCAUGUUAUUUCCAGCCAUAGCUCGCCUCGCCACAAUUCGUAAAGCAAAUGUUUGGUUUACGCGUAGACCAAGGUAGAACAUCACACUCAUUUGCCGCCACACUCUUAGGUGAACAAUUUUGGCACCACCGUCACAACUCUCCCCAACUUAGUUAUGGCGCAGCGAGGCCCAUAACCAAACAUCCCCACGCCUCAACAGUUACUCCAAGGAUAGACUCAUUAGGGCACACGCGGUGGUGCACCUAUUCAUUCAGGAGAGAGGCAACCACGUCAACACUCCUAACCCUUCCUUCCCACUAGAGAAGCCCUUCACCGAGUUCAAUAAUUUUUCUAGCAAUCAAAAUCACUCAAAUGGUGAUGGUGUAACUGUUAGAAUAUCUGGAUGAUCUGGUGUGACGUGGAUAGUUUGUUAGUCUCUCUCGGUGUUGUUAGUUGAUGCUCCAUGGUUUAUCUCUUGGUUUGUUGUAUACUUGCUUUGUAAGCUAUUCUCUCCAUCUCAAAUUGUAAGUCAUUCCAAGAAUCACAGAGAGUCCAAAUAUCUCAAGUUUUACUAAAUUUAUAUGAUAUAACAUUUAUGGCACCAACUAAGUAUCGUUAGGUUCUUCAUUAAUUAUAUUUUUACAGUAUAUGAUGUCAUAAAUUUUUGUAAUUUUUUUUUAUAAUUUUAGUCAAACUUGAAAUGCUUACUCUCCAAGAUUCUUAGAAUGACCUAUAAUUUGGGAUGAAGGGAGUAGAUGAAAUAGAGAUCAUGUAAUUUAAGUUGUAGUAAUUGUUCGCUUGAGCUUAUCGGCCAAAUCUGCCAGCCAGUCAGCAAUGUUUUUCUUUCACAAUAAAUCGGUCAACUUUCUGCCAUGACUUAUGAGGCAAACGAAUAAGGGGUUUAAGUCUGGGGCUGUUUCCGGCUCUAUUUAACAUGGAGGCGUGACCCUGGUAUCUCCAACAACGAAGACGCAAACACGAGACUUAUCUCAGGGUUUUGGGUCACGGAAAGGAAAAGGUCACACAUCCAAAGGCUUCGUUCUCCAACAGCACAAACUCAAAAAACAGAGCACCUCACCCCACUCCGGCCGCUCCCCGCCUCAGACCCAUCUCGAGCGCACGUGAGCCCCGGUGACCCCGCCCCACGGCUGCUCCCUCCCCUGUGCAGCUGCGAGCAACUCCUUCUAUCCCUCCAGCGACCCCUCCCCGCAGUUGCUCCCUCCCUUGCGAGAUCAUGUGAGCUUCCUCCCCUGCGCAGCUGCGAGCGCCUCCUUACUUCCCUCCUCCGGGUGACCCCUCCCGACAGUUGCUCCCUCCCCAGUGAGAUCCAGUGAGCUGGGCGAGCACCUCCACCCCCAUGCGGCGGGGGAGCGGAUCCAAAUUCAGCGAUGCAGCCAAGCCUGGUGGCUCUGGUGGUGCCCCCACGGUGGGCUCUCCUAGCAGCGCCAGCCGCUCCACCACAAUGCUUCUCCUACGGGCCCACCACUACGAUGCCAUGGAUUUUUGCGUCGUGGAGAAAGGCGACGCAAAUUUGCGUCCUAGUUCGUAUGGUACCAAAAAUGUAUGCUCCGUUCUCCGUUUGUUGUCUGUUGGAGGGCUGUUUUCGUUUUGACAGUAACGAUUUGUAUAUAGGAGUAUAGUAUAUAAUAUAAGCAUCUAAAUCUUGUCCCGUCCCUGUGUCCUUUGUCAACAUUUUUUUUAAAAAAAAGGAGGUACAAAACGUGCUUAUUUUAAACUCUUAGUUUAUUUGGGCCAUGUUUAGUUUUAAAUAAAAAAAUCGCGACAAUAUAACACUUUUAUUUGUUUAGUAAUUAUUGUUUAACCAUGGACUUAUUAGCCUCAAAACACUGGCGGAGCCCGUCCGGCCACCCCGGCUGGCCGGCCGGGCUCCUCGCCAAAAUACAAAAGAAAUCUUUUUUAUAUUUAUAUAAAAUUCUAUAAUUUUAUAGUUAAAUAUUUUUACUUAAUGAGAAUUGUCGGGGCUUCUGAAAUCUUCUGGCUUCGCCACUACCUCAAAAGAUUCGUCUCGUAAAUUCUGAUCAAACUAUGUAAUUAGUUUUUAUUUUCGUCUUACUUUAUGUAUAUAAAGAUUUGAUGUGACGUAGAAUAUUGAAAAAUUUUGAAUUUUGGGUGGAAGUAAACAACGUGAGAAAGGAGAAAAACGAUUCCCGCCUGAGCAAUCAGAAAUUACGACAAACAGAACCUAAUAAUCCGUUGUUACAUUGGUCGACCCCAGCGACUAGUCAAUUACUACUACAUAAAGCAGCAAGCAGCAGGUUACACCUUUACAUGACAACAUCGGUUCCCCUGUUAAAUCAUCAAAUCAGAGUGCCUCUAGAAUCGUGCUUUCCUAGAAGGCCGUUAUGUUAAGCAACUGCGUGCGGAUUAAUUAGGUAAGCAAACCACGCUAGAACGAACUAAUCAAACCUUGGGAGCCAUGGAUGGAGCCAACAGGUACUUGUUUGCUUCCCGGCUUGUCCCGGCGCCCUCGUCGACGCCGGCCGCUCUAGCGCCUGCCUCCAGCGCCGGCGCCCAUCAUCUUCUUGAACUCGUCGAAGUUGACACUGCCGUCGCCGUCUGCGUCGACGGAGCGGAUCAUCCGGGAGCAGUCUGCGACGGAGCACUUGUCCCCGAGCUGGCGCAGGACGCGGUGGAGCUCCCGCGCGGAGAUCAGCCCGUUGCGGUCGGCGUCGUACAUGCGGAACGCCUCCCGCAGGUCGGCCUCGGUGGCGUCCUCUCUGCCCUCCCCCUCCUCCGCCCCCUCCUCCUCCUCCCCGUUGCUGCAGUGGAAGGCGAUGAACUCGGCGAGGUCCACGAAGCCGUCGCGGUCGGAGUCCAUCUCGUCCAUCAUGCGCCGCACCUCCCCGGGACCCGGCGGCGCGCCCAGCGCCCGCAGCACGGACGCCAGCUCCUCCGCCGAGAUCUUGCCGUCGCCGUUGGCGUCGUAGCGCCGGAACACCUGCUCCACCUCCGCCACCGGCAUCCCCCGCCCACCUCGACCCGCCGCCUUCGCCUUGGCCGAGUCUCCGCCCUUGACGCUCGCCAUGGCUGCUCCCUCCCUCUCCCUCGCUCUGUGUCUCUCUCCUUGUUCCUUCGUCUCCGGGUCCGGGCUCCACCUUUUUUAUCCGUGCAAGAGCCAACAGGCCACGUCGCGGCGGAGCUACGCACACGCACACGCACACUCCUCGGCUCUACGCAUCCGCAACGCACCCUCAUGGACCCGUGGGCCCGUAUAAGCUUGCGCGCGUACCGGACCCGCGUGUCGGUGAGACCCGAGAUGGCUUCGGCUGGGUAGACUUGAUUGAGAUCUGCGGCCCCCCGUGACAGAAUCGUCUGGAGAAAAGGAAAGAGCGGACAAAAGGCAGACCACACCGCGGAUGCCCGACACGUGGGCGUUCGAGUCCGGCUGACCCUGGGGACCCGCCAUGUGCUUAGCUGCGUGGGCCAUGAGUGCCAGAGAGCAGGAUCCGUGACAGAACACGCGGGGACGAGACGAAAAGGUGUGCGCCGACCGCAUCGCAUCGUCCUUUGCGUGGUUGCGUCCAUCGGUGGGCGCUGCCAUGAGCCCAUGCCCAUGGUGACCGCGACUCAUCAGCUCGCUUCACGCGGUCUCCUAACCGAGUCGGGAUCCGCUGCUCCCGCUCCAACAGGCAACAGCGAAUGCCGGCCUGCCACCCCUCAAGAACCAGGCUGAGCCGCAAAUGCAUACCGUAUCUUCUACAACUAAAACACAAGAAAAGCAAUCGUCCACAAACUCAUUCGCUCCGCUCGCGACCAACGCAUCCCCGACUCCUUCGCGCCGACAGGUGGGCCCCACAUGCGGAGACGCAACCAACCGCACCGCGCAAUCCACUAGGCCUCAGGUCCAGCACGCCAGCCGCCGCGUCCGCUGCCUCCCGCACGGCCACCAUUGGCAGCGGCGGCGCCACCGUAGCCGAUGGCAAUGCCGCCGACGCCAGCAGCACCAUCGCUGGCUGCUCCGUAGGGGGCAGAACUACCGAAUCCUCAACGGAGGAAGCCGGUGGCGGAGGAGGAGGGAGCAGGAGCGGGAGUGGCGGCACGCCGGCGUCGGGGUCGAUGGGGGGAGACACGGCUGGGCGAUAGGAUGCGGCGCGGGUCGAUGAGCCCGUAGAACCUAGCCUGCCUGGACGAGGUCGACGAGCCGUAGAAUGACGCCGCCGCCAAGGAGGGCAGCGGCAGCUUCCUCCCCGCCGCCGCCGCCGCCGAGGACGCGGCAGAGGACGGGAGCGGGCGGAGGUCGAGGCUGUUGGGCGUGCCGCCGAAGUAGCAGCACCGUGGCGCCUAGAGCCCUAGACACGCCUCGCUGCGGCAUCCCCGCCGCGCGCUGCCACCCCAGCUCCAGGCCUCAUCGAUGCUCAGCCACACCGCACCGUGCGGCCUUGCUGGAUGUGUCUCACUGCAGGACCGCGUCAGCCCUCACCUCCACCACCCGAACCUAGCUGCUUGCCUGCUCUCAACCGUGGUGGUUCUGGAUGAGGAUUAGAUUAGGAGAGAGAAGUGCACGGGGAGAGAACCAGUGGAAAAACUUCAUUGUCCAUAAUGCUAUGAACUCAGAUAUAUCCAAACGUAUCUUCUCCAGAUGCUAUGAACUCAGAUGUAUCCAGUCAUUCAGAUGCUAUGAACUCAGUUCUCCAUCUGAGUACUUUCUAUUGGUACUCUUAAAUUUCUUGUUUCUUACAUAUUUGGACCGGUGGUUUUCUCAUGAUGAUAUGGAUGGAUUGGAGCCUGAGUUUGAUUCUGCUUCUGCAUGAGCAAUAGGUAGUUCUGAACUGUCCAGAUUCCCUGUGUUUGUUCAAUAACAGUCCUAUCCUGUUGAUGUUCUUUGAAAACUGAAUUUUCUCGUAGGCUACCUUUGAUGCUUCGAUAGUAAAUCUGCAGUUUUGGGAGGCAUCGCCACAGAGAUAGGACUUGCAGCUGAAAUUGUCGGUGAUUGAUCAGGCUAUCCUAUCCCCACAUUAUUUGAUGAAUGUUCAUGCUGUAGUGUUCUCAUCUCACUAUCAAAUAGAUACUUACGAGAGGGGGUGGUCUCACUGAUUGCAGAUCUCUAGGUGAUACUUGUAUGGGCACAAAAGGAACCGGUCUCUUCAUAUACUCAAACCUACAACCUUGAACUCUCAACUCUCAUUGUGUUUGUUCAGUGUCUUCUACCUCAAAGUAGAUGAUGAUCGGGGUCGUUGUUGCAGGUCUUCUAAUAUUUUUGCAUGGGCUUGUCACGUGGAAUAUGUGUUGGGAGUACUUCUAACCUUAUCAAAUUUACAAAAUUCUAUGAAUCAUCAUACUUCUAUUGAGUUAAAAUUUGGAUACUUCUAAUCUACGUUACACGGAUACGUCAGGAUGGCCACGUAUCCCGUAUCGGAUACGUAUCCGAUACGGAUACGCUUGGGAUACGCGAUGGAUACGUAUCUGUGAAGUAUCGGGAAAAAAAUAAUUCCAAAAAAAAUCCGAUACUUCCUCUGAUACGUAUCCACACGAUUUGAUGAAUGACGGUGCGUAUCUGCCUUCCGCCACGGACGCUCGGCUGCAUGAGCACCGCCGCCUGAUGUGCCUCUGCCCACAUGUACGCACGAGGGCUGACAGCACCUCCCGUCUGGAAGCACACUGAGUGCCGCCGCCCGACGUGCGGCUUUCUGCCGGUACGCUCGAGCGCCGAUGGCGCAGCCUGCCUGACGCCUCCCUCCUGCCCGCCCGCCUGCCUCGGUGGCCGCGACAACCAAUGAACCAACACCAGCAGCACUUCCUGGUGGCGAUUCAGCGAAGACUUCCGGUGAUCUUCCCUUAAUUCUUUUCCUCCUCUCCUGAUCUAGUCACUCGGUGCUUUAUUUCUUCCUCAAUGGCAACCUCUGUUCUGUUCUUGUUGCCUGAUUUCUGUCUUCCCGGGGAAAGGGGUGAGAACUGGGGAAGCAGGGAUACAGACUGAGCGGUGGUGAGCUGUGCUGAUUUUUUUAUUGUUUGUUGCGUUGGUGGGGUGAGUGGUGGAGAUGGAAAGCUGCGUCAGUGCUUCUGUUGUACUAAGCCACUAGUCUAGAAGCAGUUUAAUAAUCAUAGAUGUGGCUUCAUUGAGCGUUUGAUUGGCUUCUACUAAUUUUAACAUGCUUUAUUACUUUUUAAAAAAAAACAUAAAACGUAUCCGCGUAUCAAGUUUUUUAGAAAAAUGGCGUAUCUCCGUAUCCGUAUCCGUCCGAUACCGAUACACGUAUCCGUAUCCGUGCUGCAUAGCUUCUAAUUUCAUCUGCAGUGGUAGAAGGUACUGGACAUGUUUGGGACUUGGGAGAUUCAAGCAGAGAUGGGUAGAACUACAGCACUACAGCUUUCAUUUAAUCAAACUUGUUUCUGCUUUAUCAUGCUAUGCUUUGACCGAAGCUUUAAUUCUUGUGUUGCUGGCAUUUCUGUGUUUCUCAGAUAAAUUAGCUGAAGUAGUAAUUGGUAGUCCAACAGUCAAAAUGUUUGGUUUGGGAUUUCUAUCUGUGGAUGUUUUGUCUGGCUUUAUAUGUUUUUGUGCUCGCUUUUACAUGUGGUUGCAGGAUGAGUUUGGCAAUUAGAAGUUCCUGUAGCAAAGAACUGAAAUUUGAAACUGGGGGCAGGUCAGAGUCUAGAGCACGAUCAUUCCGGUUUUGUUAGUUUCAUCACUUGUUCUCAGUGAUUUCAGAUCUGAAUGGUUGGAUAACAUUCUGACUCUCCAUGGAUAUCGCUGAUAGUAAUAGUAAAACAAGGUUUCUGGAUGCUCUAAAAUUGGCUGCAUAAUAUACAAGGCCAGAUUUCCAUGUAGAGUUUUAGAAAAUACUAAUAAAUAGAUAUGAAUGUCCUCUAAUUUUCUUUUGUUUGAAUGCAAAUCUUAGCAUCCUCCAAGCAUCACUCCUGUGCUCUCCUAUCAGUACUAUGAUAUCCUCACAGCCUAUGAUAUUCCCAUCUCGACUCUGUUAAGUUGAUUUCUCAUCAGUACCAAUUGCAAAAUUGCAGAAAAGAAUUAUGCUAAAAUUAUUAAAUCAGCCUAAAACCAACUGCACUAUUAAAUAAUUUCUCAUCAGAACAAGAUGCCUGUGCUUCCUAAGUCUGACUAUAAUAAUUAAAUCAGCCUAAAAUUAGAUGUUGAAUGAACAACUCCCACCAUCACUUCAGGAUAUUAAUGUCAAGGUAAGUCGUGGUUGAAGUUCAAUUUUCUCCGGUAAUAGAUGUCUGAAGCAACCUUGGUAAAUAUUUUUCGGUCCUCCUCUGAUUGGAAUAUAAACUGAACAUAACAUUUAUUGUACAACUGACCUUAGGAUUUGCCUUUUUAUUACAGAUUAUAUUAUAAUAAUAAUAUUGCUCUCUUUUUUCUAAUGCCCAUUUUUUGUAGAAUCUAAAUACUACUUUGAUAUCUGGCGUCCUAAAUUGAUAGGGAGCUGCUUGUUUGUUCCUAAGAUGAUGUUCGUUGGGGACAAACUGCGAAGGUCCGCAAGGGGAAGCAAGUGACGAUACUUUUGAGGCAUGCAUACUCGUGCCUCAUAUGUCUGUGGCUACUUUAUUAGACUGAAUUUGAAGUAUCUGCUUUAGUUGUUGUUUUAGCUCUUGCCGAAAUGAAUGGGUGUUAUGCACAGGAUCCUUGCAAAAAGAGGAUAAUAGUAUACUUCAAGUUAAUUAGUCUCUAGAUUGCUUCUAUCAGUUAUAGUUUUAUGCAUACUGAUGACUGGUAUGCGUUUCAGGUUUUUUGUUCAAAUUUUAGUAGGCAAUAGGGUACUAUGAUCAAAACAUUAGUGUUGGAUGUCCUAUCCUUCAAGGACCUUGUAGGAAUUAUUAGUGAUGGUGUCAACAGACCUCCAGAGAUCUCUAAUGUGCUCACAAGAGAAAUAAAAAACUAUUGUAUGACUAUUCGUAUCAUCACAUUCAAAUGACAUUCUCCUCACAUGAGGAGACUCAUGCCAUUCAAUUCUUGAUAUCAAUUUCAGUGAACAAUUAGUUAAUUUUCAUUUGCCUUUAGUAUGUUUAAGUCAUAUUCAGUAGUCAUGUUUUCCUUCUAUAUCUCCAAAUAGGUAUGGUGAUCAAAAUGUAGCGAUAUAGGUAUGGUGAUUUUAUGACACACGAGAACAUCCAAGCCUUUGGCCGCUACAGCUGGAAAUGUUCAUGUGCUAUAGUGGAGGGACUUCUUGGAAACAUGGGCCAGAAUAUGAUGUUCAUAAUUGUACUCUGGCAUUGUGUGACCAUGUCUGGUUUAUUGGUUUUACACCUGAGAUUUAGAGGCGAUAUCUAGAUUCGGUGUUUAAGGAUGAAUAAUGAGUGUUCAUGAUUAUGUAUGCAGAGUUCAUCAAAAAUAUUCCAGUAUAAUACACAUUCACCCUUGCAUUGUCUUUUUGAGGUACCCGUAUAAUACACAUUCAUAUAUGUAUUAUCGUGGUAUUAAUUUUUCCCGUUGCAACGCACGGGUAUUUACCUAGUACAGUACAUAAGGUUAUCUGGGUAGAACAUAGGGCAUCCCCAGCGGUUUUUGAGCAGUUUUAUAAAUUUUGUUUGGUAAUAUUGUUAUUUGCCACCUCGUAAAACAAUAUAAAAAGAAAAUAAAAAGAACAUCAACUCCAACAGUUUGCUAAAACUUAUUUAGCAAAUUUAUAGUUUUGCCAAGUCUUAAAACCAAAUAUCUAGUAAAAAAAAGAGGCAUUUUCCAACAGUUUGCUAUUUGGACUUAGCAAAAGAACUUGGCAUCCUAGGAUUUUUGUCAAAAUCAUAAAAUUGAGCCUCCAACAAGUUAGCAAAACUAGUUGACAAUUAGGAUACACGUGAUGCCAAGUGAUGGAUGACUUGAUAUAUUUGCCAAGUGAAGGGGAAAUUUUGCCAAGUAGUUUUGCCAACUUAUUGCCAAGUAGUUUUGCCAACUUAUUGGAGACUGUUUUCUGCGGUUUUAGAAAAAAUCCUAAGAUGCCAAGUACUUUUAGCAAAUUGUUGGAGUUGCAAUUUUGAUUUGGCAAAAAAAUCUGCUGGUUCCAAAGAUCAAUGAAGAAGCAUCAGGUUGUCAGCUUGCUAUAAAAGCGCGCACAUUCAGUAUACCAAGCCUAUUCUAGGCGUGCAUAAAUGCCAAGAAAACAAGAGAAUUUGUCAACUUGCUAUAAAUACCAAGCUCAAUUACCAAACUGAUGGCUAGGAGAUUUUGAGAGUAAUUCUAGAAAUUUUUAAGAUUUUUCGUCACAUCAAAUCUUAUGGCAUAUGCAUGAAACAUUAUAUAUAGAUUAAAAAAUAAUUAAUUGCAUAAAUUAUUUAUAAUUUGCGAGAUGAAUCUUUUAAACCUAGUUAGUUUAGACAAUAAUUAGCAGAUACAAACGAAAAUGCUACAAUAGCCUGUAGUCUAAUAACAAUUAAAAAAUAAAAAGUAAAGUGACAAAGACAUACUUCAUUCAUUCUAAAUUAUAUGUUUGACCUUUUUAACAUCAAGUUUGACCACUCAUUUUAUUCAAAAAUUUAUACAAAAUAUCAUGGCUUGAUUUAUUAAUAAAAGCACUUCAAGAAUGAUUUAGAUUUAACUAUACUCCCUCCGUAUAGAAUUUAUAAGUUUUUUUGACAAGGUUUGAGUCAAACAUUGGAUAUAUAAAUCAUCAAUAACUUUAAAUUGUUGAGUUCGCAAAAUAAAAAUUAUAUGAAUAGAUUUGUUUUUAAAAAUCUUUUCAUAAAAAUAUACAUAUAUCAUUUUUCUAAAUAUUCUUAUAAAAAUAAGACGUCAAAGUUGUAUUUUGAAGACCGUAUCACUAUCCUAAACGACUCCUAGAUCUUAUAUAGAGCGAUGUAUAAAUCUAUAACUCUUAUAAAAGCAAAACCCCACUAGCCUGAUUCUCUAGCAUCUCCUUAAGCCACAUCAUCAUCCUCUUCUCCUCUAUUCCACAUAGUGCCAUGUCAUCAUCCUUCAUUUUUUCAAAAAAUCAUUUAAUAAUCCCAAAUGUCUUUACUAUGCAUGCGCCUAGCCAUAGACCACGCAGAUGAAACCCCUUCUCUCUCCUCGCCCAUAGCCCUUCCCCUUCCCACUACACAGAUAAUAAUUAACAUCAUUUUCAGCUAAACGCUUGCUCCACUUUCCCUCAUCAUCAAUAUUAUACGUCAAGAGUCUCCAUGAUGGCAUUUGGAUGGUGUAUAUAUGUUCUUCUCAUUGCUCACUUAUACAUGUUGUCGAUAUUUGGAAACGCAAUAAGGAAUUGAUCCGCAAGCGCACAGAUAUCGGUGAGCACUUCACCCGGAAGGUUAUCCAGAGUAUCGUAUUUAUUUUUUUACCACUAGGAGAAACAGUGCAUCUGACUAACCCAGUCUAUUACUACUAACCUUUAGGCUACAAAGAAUAUUUCUCGAUGUGAGUGAUAUAUAGAGAAGACUACAACCAUAAUCUCUUUCUAACCUUGGUAAGGAUAAUCUACUAUUCUAUUGGGGAAGCUUACGGAAUCUAGACACCACAAAGGAUGUUCAACCCGCACCUAUAAACCCUAUCCUUCCUGCUAACGAGAUAUGGUCUGCAAAGGUAUCUCGAAAUUGUUAUGUUCCUCGCUACUACCAUGGUCCAGCUAGUCAGGGGAUAUCUAUAAGUAUUCUAGCCUAAACACCACGUCUACGCUAGAGAUAAUUACUCUAAACUCUACGCGAAGAGAUUAAAGUAAACUCAUAAACCAAAGAACAAUAAAACAAGAACUUACUAGAAUUUAGAAGUCGAAAUACUGAAGAAUCCUAGGAGCAAGCCUCGGGUUAGAAGACUUGAUCCCGUAGGUACAACCUCAGAGUAGACACCGACAGGCCGAGCUUCCUCCGAUCUACACCUCCACUCUAUCUCUCUCAAUCUAGUAGAAACUAGAAGAUCUAAUUCUACUCACAUUGGAUGCUAAGCCCUAAGUCUAUUUAGAGGAGAGGUAUUCCUUCGAGGGCUCCUCUCAACUCUAUGAUGAACUUGUGUCUCCUCUACGGGCCAGGGGGUCUGCUUAUAUAGUCCCCUCAGGUGAACGUGGGCCGUCGGAUCAAACCGACAUUGAUUGAACGGUUAUCCUUGAUCAUUUAGGUCGGUGGAGCGUGAUCCGCGAGUUUGGAUGUGAUUGGGCAGAACUCCUGGGCGUGCGCCCUACGGGGGUGGGCGGGCGCCCUGCCCCCGGGCCCGAUCGCCUUCCCGUUCGUUCCCGUGGCUUCUGGAGUCUUCUAGAUGGUAGAAAAUUGCGCGGUGCAUUAAAUCUCUAUGUAAUCCCGACAUGUGGGCCUUUCUUCCUUAUUUCCUGAUAACCCCCUGCAGAAAUAGAUAAACAACAAAACUCGUGGAAUUCUGUCAGAUCAAACCCUAAUUCUAGGUGUUGUUUGUAUAUUGGUCCUUUCCCUUGUUUAUUUAAUAAUUAAAAUUGAUACUUAAGAACCGUCAACAAAUACUCCCAUACUUAGGCUUUUACUCAUCCUCGAGAAAAGGAUGGUUAAGAAAAUAUCUGGGGUUAAAACAUUGUAAAACAUUCUCUUCAUAUCUGCAGGGUGUUGUAAAAAUCCAAUGUGUACCGUUGUCAGGAAAAUAUAUGAUCAAGAGUAGAGGUCCUUUCUUCUUAGUCCUGUCACUUGGAGUUCUUGUAUAUUUUUGAAAAGAAAUUUAGCAUACCUUUAUCCUCAUAGGUUCUCUCAGGUCACUCAUUAUCUUUUAUAUCUCACUGAGGCUGUUUUAAUUUGCAAAAAUUCUUGAGCAUACUUACUUUGCAUUUCUUGCCUGAUCAAAACAGGAUCCAAGGAGAGGAAUGCCAUACUCUUAGAUCAAAGACUUUGAAAAUUUCAAAUCUUGUCAACUCUUACUGGCAUAUUGCUUAUUAGAGGGACCAUGGGCUAUCAUUUUCUUCUUUAUUUCUCUCUUCUUUUUUUAAGUGGAUACCGAGGUACCCCUAAUUCUACUACCGGACACUUGUCCAUUUUUUCUACGAGGUUGUCGAGCACUUGCUCCUUUUUAUUUCCUCGAAAUACUCAUAUUUUUGCAUAGCCCAUGCCUCUAACGCAAUAAUACUUCGGAAGAGUGAAUCUUUCUGAAUAAAUGUUUUGAUCUUAGGAGCAUGAUAAAUCUCUCAACAAGGGUCUAACUCAUUUUGAACAAACUCAAUACAGAGCAGAUAACUUUUAUAAUCAUCAUAAUUAAUUUUUUCAGGUUUAUUAGGCAUAUAAAACACUGAGGAUGGUAGCUAGAAUUUUUGAAUGUUUUUGAAAUAAAUUCUCCAAGCAACAAUGAUAUCAAGAAUAAGGUACUCAUACUCUACCAUCUCACAUUCCAUAAUGACUUAAGUAACACAGGGUUUUAAAAUAAUUUUUUAAUAGUCGCAGGUUUUCAGAAAAUAUCACAGAGUGAGAUUAAUCAUGAUUUGAGAUAUUUUAAUCUUUUUAAUUUAUCAUGUCGGAGAUAAUAUUCUGCAUAAUCCAAGAUAUAUGUGUAUGUAUAAAGUGUACAGAGUAUGUACGUGAAUCGUAGAGUGGUGUAGUCGAAGUGUGUUUGGCAUGUCGAGGGAUCUCCCCCAUACUUGUUUUCUGCUUUCUUGCACAAAAAUAAAGUAGAGACACACAAGACAUAAUAAUAAUAAUAAUAAUAAUAAUAAUAAUAAUAAUAAUAAUAAUAAUAAUAAUAAUAAUAAUAAUAAUAAUAAUAAUAAUAAUAAUAAUAAUAAUACUCUUUAUUAAUCUUGAGGCAUUUAUUACAAAUGACUAGUAACAAACUGAAGCUAAUAGUAAAUCUAAACCGAAUUUAAAGAUAAAUAACUAAGAUGCAUUGCCUCAAGAUCUAAUCUAGAUAACUUAGCGGCGCUCUAACUCCCUGAUCUUCUUAUUGGCACUAGCAAGAUCAUGCCUAAGACCUAGUAUCACGGUGUUGUGGUUAGAGAGCUGCCUAGUGAUGGAGUUAACUGAUGACUGGAGGUCUAUGAUGACCCUGUCUAGCCUGCGUACGUCCUCAUCAAUAUCUACUAUAGUCUUGCGACGCUUAGGAGGAGGGAUGAAACGGACUUUGGCUGCUCUAAUCCCUUCAAAGUAAGGCCUCUCCUCCUCCAUAGUGUAGCGGAUGCUGCUGAUCUCGCCGCUCCAGUUGGUCUUGACUCCAACGACCCUCUCAUUGGGUCUAGGUGGAAGGAUCCUAGUGUCGGUUGGCACCUUGAUGGUGGCCUCCUUCUUGGCUGAUGGUCCCUUGAGAAGUAGGGGCUGUGGUGGUGCGGUGAGAACUGGUUGAGCAUGGUAGGAUUGGGCGGAGCUGCGCUGGCGUAAUGGCAUGGCUUCUAGCUGUCGCUCUAUGUUGGCCGGGACGAGAGCGCGAGCGUCAGGGUCUUCCUUGGGCUUCAUGUUGAGGUUGAAGGGGACGACUUCCCAAUCGUCGUGGAACUCUUCGGCCAUUGGAGCAGCGAGGGACUGUUGACGGUCCUUAAUGAUCAUAUUUAACCAUCAACUAAUCAUGGAAAAUGAUCCAAAUGCAACCAACACCCAGACUUAUGGUUUUAUCUGACAGAAUUCCACGAGUUUUGGUGAUUGUCUAUUUCUACAGGGGGUUAUUAGGAAUUAUGGAAGAAAGGCCCACACUCGGGUUUACAUAGAGAUAUUAACGCACCGCGUAAUUUUCUACCAUCUAGAAGACUCCAGAAGCCACGGGAACGAACGGGAAGGCGAUCAGGCUUGGAGGCAGGGCGCCCGUGAAAGGUCCAAAUGGCUAGAGGGGGGUGAAUAGCCUAUUUAAAUUUUCUACAAACUUCAACUAGACAAGUUGAUUAGUAAAACAAAAGGCGAAUCUAUUCUAGCACUAGCACAACUAAGGUAUGCAAGCCACCUACACAAGUCUAGCAAGAAAGCUAAACACUAGUUACAACAAGAAAGCACAACUAGAAGCUUGCUACACUCCUAAACAAGAAGACUAAACGAAACAAGCUAAACAACUAGCAAGGUAUACAUGUAAGGAGUGAAGAGUGAUUGUUAUACCAAUGUUGUAGAGUAGGGAUAUAUCCAACCAAUCACUCACAAUCACAAGAGAAUCCUCGGCAAGAGAUGACACAAGAUUUUUUACCGAGGUUCACUUGCUUCCCGGCAAGCUAGUCCUCGUUGUGGCGAUACACCCACUUGAUGGAUCACGAGCUAAUUGGCAAUCCAAAGCCAAACCCUCAAUGGGUGCCGCACAUCCACUCACAAGAUGGGGAUCCUCUAAGCCACGAGCAAUCCACUAGAGUAGCCAAUUGCGAUCUCCCGCGGGGAAGGCUCAAGAACCCCUCACAAGUCACUUGGUGAGACUCGAAACAAUCUCCAAUCACGAGCUCAACACCACCGCUGCUCCAAGCCGUCUAGGGCGUCGGGAAACACCCAAGAGUAACAAGAAAUCCACAGCAAACUUAAGAAUCAAGUGCCACUAAAUGCGACUCUCAAAGCAAUGCACUUGAAUCUCACUCAAUCUCACUAGGAUUAGCAAUCAAGCAAGGAGAUGAGUGGAGAGUGUUCUCUAGCUCAAUGUAUGCCUCAAGUAAUCAAAUGUGCAAGAGAGCACCUCCCAAAGCCGGCCACCUACUAUUUAUAAGCCCCUCAAAGAAACUAGCUGUUGGCUGUUUUCACUGGGCUGAAAACUGGGGCACCGGACGCUACUAAGUGAGCACCGGACGCUCGACUCCCUGUGUCCGGUGCACUGGAGUUGGCCACGUGUCCAUCCUGAAUCUCACGAGUCAGAUCCUAACGGUCACAUGCGGAUCACCGGACGCUCUGCAGAUCCACACCGGACUCAUGCGCAGAGAGUUCCGCAAACCUGCGGGUCACCGGACGCUAAGCACCGGCAGCGUCCGGUGCUCACCGGACCCAUGUGCAGAGAGGGUCGCAAAACACCCGCACACCGGACGCUAACCAUCAGACGCUCUCAGAGUGCGUCCGGUGCUCAACCCUAGCAGGGUCAAGCACACCGGACUCUGAGGCCAGCGUUCGGUGCCUCCGCACUCAGCGUCCGGUGAGUGUUUCUCAGUGAGAAAACACUCCCGCAACUUCACCGAAUUUCCCACCGGUGCAAUAAAAAAUAUGCACUUAAUUUUCUCAAAAGCGAACCCACAUCCCUCUCAACCCUAGGAACUCCACCUCCUUUGUAAAAGUGCUAACACCAACAAGUGUCCACUGUUGACGGUCCUUAAGUAUCAAAUUUAAUUAUCAAAUAAAUAAAGAAAAGGAUCCAAAUGAAAUCAACAUCUAGACUUAGGGUUUUAUCUGACAGAAUUCUACGAGUUUUGGUGUUUGUCUAUUUCUGCAGGGGGUUAUCAGGAAAUAUGGAAGAAAGGCCCACACGUCGGGAUUACAUAGAGAUAUUAACGUGCCACGCAAUUAUCUUACAUCUAGAAGACUCCAGAAGCUACGGGAAAAAAACGGAGGCCGAGAGGGGCCAGAGGCAGGGCGCCUGCCCUUCUUCCCUGGGUGCCCGCCCUUUGUUGGAGCCCAAUCAGGACUCUUUCUCUCGGGAGAUCUCCACUGACCUAAAGGAUCAAGGAUAACCGUUCAAUCUAAGUCGGUUUGAUCCAACGGCCCAUAUUCACUUGAAGGGACUAUAAAACCAGACCCCCUGGCCCCUGGAGGAGAGAGCCUCUCAACCCUAAUUCAUUAUUCCUCAAGGGAGAAGAAGCCCCUGAUCAAGAUUAGAGCCACCACAUCAAUUAGAUAUCUAGAUUAGCAUAGCUACAUAGGAUUAGAACUAGGAGUCAAUCUUCGAUUGGUUUCCGGAUCUAUCAAGAGGAUUCUUGGUAAUUCUCUAAUUGUGCUUCUAAUUGCUUUCUAAUUAACUUUGUUCUUCAAUAUUAUGAAUAUGACUUUGUUCUACUUCAAUAUAUUGCUUAUGACUUUGCUCUACUUGUUUAUAUUCAAGAUUAUAUUGUUCUUAGUUUAUCAUAGUUAUGUACUUGGCUUAGUUAGAUUGGAUCUAUAUACAUGCUUAGGAUCGUAUAGCGUUUAUCCAUCGGAUCCAUGGGUAAAUGAUAAAUAUUGUGUAGGCGUGGUGCUUAUACCGUAUUUAUCUGCGAUUGUACCCAAUAUGCCAGAUCGUGGGGUAGUUCGUGAUAGUGACAGCUUCAUUGAUUCUUAUAUAGUCCCCCUCUCAUGUAUUGGGCUGGCAGAACAAUAUUAUUACAGGGAAGUGAUUACUAUGCGUGGGCGUAGUCUUGUCUCGCAAUGAUUGCUAAGUAUGCUUGCACUAACUAUGAUAAUGCUAGACUAUAUAGUUGAGGAUAACUUAGGAAAUAUUCUUGUAGUUCGUUCUAAUUCCAUGCUAAUGACUUUCUAGAGUAUCUAAUUGAGGUGCUUAUCAUAUUUAUUAUGUGGCUAGUUAUGAUCAGAUUAAUUAUCUUUGUCACUAUUCAUUAUUUCAUAUAUCUUUUAUGUGACACUUAUCCCUAUAUGAAAGAGUUAGAUAAAUGUUCUCAAUUAUACAUGCAAUGAUAGAUAUUCAAUCUCAUAUUCUAUUCUGUAAUCAAUAUUGAUGAUUGUUAAUCCCUUCCCUGUGGUAAAAAUAUAAAUAACGAUACGUGGAAUACUUCCGGGUUAAAAUGCUACAUCGGUAUUAAUCUGUGCGCUUGCAGAUCCCAUUCAUUAUUUAUUUAGAAGAGCAAUUGCAUAUUUCAAUACCGCGUCUCUCAUGUCAUACUGGGGAUGACAACUUGGCUUAAGUUGUAUGAGGGAUAGGUUUGGCAUUUUUGGCACUGUUAUCAGAUUUAGAAAACUAAGUCUACUUUUGGUAAUGAUGUUAAGAAUGCCCAACAAGCAUUUUUGGCGCCGUUGCCGGGGAAGGUUGAUUACUAAUCAGGAAUGGAAUAAAGGAUUUUGAGUUAUCAUUCGCAUCACUAAUAUGAUUGAGCUUAUCUAUUCUCUCAUACAGUUUUACCCCGAUAUUUUUCUAUUUUAUCUUAUGCAGGGAAAUGUAUGAAUAGAAGACAUCUUCAAGGAAACUUUGUUGACAAUCCCGAAGCAUUAUUCAGAAGAACUAGAGCCAAGCUAAAUAAGAGAUCAUCAACACUUCACCAAGAAGCUUCAUCCAAUCAAGAAGAUCACUGGAACUUGUCUUCAGAGUUCGAAGCCAUGGCGAACAAAUCAAUCCGCGAGUUCUCAGCUCCCACUACGGACAACAUCCGCACUGGACCUGCUGCAGAGAUCGAUGGCAACUUUGAGCUCAAGCCUGGACUUAUCAACAUGGUGCAAUCCAACCAGUUCUGUGGGAAGGCACACGAAGAUGCUAGUGCUCAUCUCCAACACUUCCUAGAGAUUUGCAACACAUUUACCAUAUCAGGAGUUUCCAGAGAUGCUAUACUACUUCGCCUCUUCCCAUUCUCACUGUUAGGGAGAGCGAAGCAGUGGUUCUACGCUACAAAGGAGAAGAAUACUACGUGGGCACUCUGCUCAACAAACUUCCUGGCUAAAUUCUUUCCCAUGGGCAAGACCAAUGCUCUCCGUGGGAAGAUUACAAGUUUUCAACAACAAAAUGAUGAAUCUGUUUCAGAAGCAUGGGAGCGCUUUCAAGACUACAUCCUAGAAUGUCCCCAUCAUGGAAUGGAGAGUUGGCUAUUGAUGUAGACAUUUUAUCAUGGGCUCGGCAACAGUGCCCGAGAAACCAUAGAUGCUGCAGCUGGAGGAGCAUUCUUAUCACUUACCAUAUCACAAGCCACAGCUCUUGUGGAGAAGAUGGCGUCCAACCAAAGUUGGAAUGAAGAAAGGACCCAGACACGCAAGAAAGGUGGAGGUAUGCAUCAGCUCAAGGAGGUAGACAUGCUGUCUGCAAAGCUAGACCUGCUCAUGAAGAAGCUCGAUGAUAGAGCUGGAGACAAGAAAGAAGUUAUGCACAUCUACGACUCUCACAUGACUUGUGAGGAGUGUGGAGAUACUGGACACUCAGGCAAUCACUGCCCUGAGAUACUUGAGGAUGUGAACUACAUCAACAAUAACAACAACAACUACUACAACCGUCCUCAACAAAAUCAAGGUUGGAAUCAACAGAGGCCUAACUACUCAGGUAAUUAUCAAGGUAACAAUUCUUACAACAAUAAUAAUAAUAAUAAUUUUCUACCUCUGAGAGAGUUAGUGUCUAAUCAAGGAAAGCUAAUGGAUAACCUAUCUAAGAAAUUAGCAUCAAAUGAUAAAAUGCUAGAAAAUAUAAAUAAUAGAAUAGAUAAUUUCUCUACUGCCAUCAAGAAUCAAAUUAGCUUUAAUAAAAUGAUUGAUUCUUAGUUAAAUCAAAUAGCUGCUGCUGUUCCUGCUACUAACCCCGGUAGGCCAUCACAACCGGAAGGAUUAGAAUCUGCAAAUCUUGUAGACAUGCUUGAUGCAGGUAAUAAUUGGAGUAACCCCGUCACUGAAGUUACUACUGACCUUCUGCUGGUCAAGAGAGGCGAUCCAGAACGCCCCGUCAUCCCAAUCUCCAUCGGCAUGGUGGACGUCCUAGAAGCACUCUGCGACUUUGGCUCCAGUGUCAACAUUAUACCCAGGGUACUCUAUGAAAAAUUCUUUACAUAUCCUUUAUUAGAAACAACCAUGUGUUUGCAAUCAGACGAUAAGUUUUCCAAAAGGAAUAUUGAAGAAUCUUUAUGUCCGAGUUGGUACCUUGUACGCCCCAGCAGACUUCGUAGUGGUAGAGACCGGCAAUGAUGAGAGGGCACCUAUCAUCCUAGGGAGGCCAUUCUUAAACACCGUGGGAGCUGUCAUCUACGCUAGUGCUGCCAAGAUCAGUUUCUACAUCAAAGGGAGGAAGGAGACAUUUUUCUUCAAAAACAAGACUACACAAAUCCCAGAUCAAUCCAGACGUGAAUCAAGGAAGAGGACCAACAGGAGGAACAGGAACAAGCAAGUGUGGACCGAGUCAGCUAAGAUGGUCACUGCAGUUCAUGGAGGCCAAGAUCAUCAACUUAAGUCACUGUUUUUGACCAAGAAGGACGACCCAGGAAUGCCAAGCAUCUACUGCUCCAUAAAUGGAUACAACUUCUACAAGACGUUUUGCGACACCGGAUCGGGCGUCAACAUAAUGGCCGCAGUCACCUAUCGGCUCUUGUUCGGAACCAUGCCUUUAAAACCAACAUACAUUCAGCUCCAGAUGGCAGAUCAGACAUUUCAAGAGGUCAAAGGAAUAGUAACUGAUGUCCCUGUCAAAAUAGACGAUCAUUUUGUCUACACAGACUUUCAGGUUAUUGACAUGGGAGAAGACGAGUACGAUCCACCCAUCAUCCUUGGAAGACCGUUCCUCAGCACCGUUAAAGCAAUCAUCUACAUUGGAACUGGAGAAGUCCAUAUGCACUUCCUCUCAGAGAAGGUACGCCAGUAUUUUAUUGACCCUAACUAUAUCGUUGAAGAAUCUAAGCAGGUAAGAAAACGACGCAACCGCAACCAGAGGAGGCAAAUCAUCAAGGACAGAUGGGCAAACUACGAAGGAGAAGUUGUAAGGUCAGAAGACGUAGAGUUUAAACAGAAUUAUCCAGAGGAGACCGAAGCACCGAGUCAGGUAUGGAAAGAGAAGAUAACUAUACAUGAAGAGGAGGCGCUGCCAGAGGUACAGACUAUGCCACCCAACGAAUCCCAGGACAAUUGAGAAAGUAGAGAGUCCCGUUCGGAGGACUUAAAAACACCGAACGCCUUGCCAAGAGAUAAACUUGGUAGUUAUCCUUUCCCUUUCAAUUAUUUCAAGUAGUUUACUUAGUUAAUCAUGUUCGUAUUAUCUUAAAGAGAAAAUAAAAAUAUGAAAAACAGUAAGCCCCAUGUGAGUAUACGAGUGGCAUAAAACCCAUAAGUACAUUCACUGUGGUGGCAUAAAAAAAUAAAAUAAAUAUUUCAUUUCUGCUUUAUAAAAUAAAAAUAUAAAAACAGGGAGUAAUAAUUAUUAAGGAGUCUCAACACGAUAAGGGCUAAAUAUUUAUGCUAACACUUAAUCAGUUUCACAAAGCUUUGUUGUCUAUUUGAGCUCCACAGAAUUCAAGAAUCAAGAAGACUAGCAGACAGAGGACAUUCUAAUAGCUGCCAGAAUGCUGCUGACUUUCAAAUACACCUCUGCCACCUGCUAGCUACAUCAAGAGAAAUUACGUCAAAAUUCAGCUUGGGGGAGAGCACCCCCAUUUAUCCCACUAAGUAUUUCUAUCUAUCUUUAUACUUAUACUAUAUUAAAAUAUUAAUACACAUAACUAUGAAAAAACCAAAUAAAGAUUUUGUGCUUAUAUACAUAUAUAUAUGUCUUUUGCUUAGUGUGUUUAAUAAAUAAAUAAACUGGCUAUGCUAAUCUGUAUCUUAAUAAUAAAACUCUAGCAUGGAUAUGAUGAAUAGUUGCUCUGCCUAAUUUGCACAUUUUAAGUUCUCUCUCAAGUUUAGAUAUAACUGUUAUAAUUUAAAGCUUGCUCUAGACCUAAACUUGUGGGAUGAAAACUUGAUCUGAAGUCUAAGUUGUUAACGGAUACGAUAUGGGAAGGUUGAGCUGCUGUUUAUCUGUUCCUAGAGAUGUUAGAAUUCUGGAGAAUUUUAUCUUUGAAAAUCUUUAAAAUGUUGCAUGAUGAGUUCCUGUAUGAUGAGAGUUUAAAUUCCUACCACAGCCAUAUAUACAUGCUUGCUAGACUUUGAGCCACACAUUUACUAUUUACUGCUUAUGAGCAUUGAGUGUGGUCAAGGUGUGUAGACCCUUAGGAGCUUGUCAUGUAGUUAAAAUCAAGAUUUCACUAGCACGUUCACUCAUAUAUGCUACUUCUACUCCAGAAGUACCAUCCACAUAUAUCCACCCAUUUUCAUCUCCAGAACCACCUAAAAAUAUUCUACUCCUAAUCCGGGAGAGAAUAGCCAAAAAUAUUUCUAUUUUUUCCUUGUGAAAUAAAUGCUCAAGUUAUCAUGUUACUACCACUUGCUAUAUUGUCUUAUGAGAUGAGUGUUCUAAAAAAAGAAGAAAGAAAACAUACGAGGAAAUAAAAAGGGGCAAGUGCCCGGAACCUCGAAAGAAAAGAAAAAGUGAGACGAGAGGUAAAAAUGGACAAGUGUCCGACAGUAGAAUUAGGGGUACAAGAUACCCACCUGAGUGAAAAGAAAAAGAGCAUCUCAUUCUCCUCAUAAAAUUUCAAAAAAAGCAAGGAAGGUAUGUAUCCCCUCAAAAGAGCAAAAGUAGAAUUAGGCUUUCACCAUUAUUAUCACCAUCAUCACCAUACGCCAUUCAUUCGCCUCACAUGCACAUCUUGAUUUGACUUAUUGAUUUGUUUCUUUGGAUCCAUGGUUUGACUAUACAAUAAAUGUCUUGUGAGUAUGUAUAUUUUAUCUCCCACCUAUGAGCUCCAGAUAUUAAAGCCUUAUUAGAGUAUGGUGAGAGAGAAGGCAAUGUCACUAUGUCUUAUACCACAAAUACUACAUAUAUUGAGAGAAGGCAUAUACCAUCACUGCCUUGGUAAGGAUCCAGAAAUACCACAAAAGAGAGAUCUGAGAGAAUCAUACAAGAAAUCUCUGAGUUUUAUUUGAAAAUCUGCAAAAACUCCAGAGCUAUAGCUGAUCAAGAAUAAGAGACAUGGCACUUGACUAGACUGUUCUAUCUUUUAACUACUCAAGACAGAAGUGAUGGUUACAAGUCCCAUGGUGAAAGGUAAAGUAAGUAAGUUUUAAGCCUUGACAGUUUACUCUAACUCAG